rnacentral:lncRNA from 1 species
CUUGGCAUUGACUGAGUUCACCCUCACGUGGUGGUUUAGCGUGUAGUGAACUCUAAAGCUUUACCUCAAGAGAUACCCUCCGCGCCUCUCGUACCGAGGUAAAAUAUAACCGAGUUUACCGUUCCCCUCUUUAAUAAGCUGGUCCACGGAAACCCACAACUGCAGUGACUAAUCAAUAUCUCACAAAAUCAAUAAAAGUUUCGACAGUAUGACAUGAAAAUUAUAUUACUACCCAGCCUGUUAAAGCAAAACAAAUAGUUCAUACAAUUUCAACACAAAUUUCAAUUCAGCCAUUCAUGCCAAUAUCACUGUCGUAAAGUGCGGGUCCGAGAACCCGAUCACCAGACGUGAUGUGAAGACUCUAAAAAAAAUUUAAAAUUAGGAGUCUCCACCAAUUUUUUUUACUAGGUGCGAUUGACCACCUAUUGACUCGAUUCUAAUCGAUGAAGCCUUAAAUUAAUUUUAAGCUCACCGAAAAGAACCUUGAACUGGUCUAUGAUUUUUUAAAUCUAGGCUCGGGAGUACGGUUACGUCCGGAGAAGGAUUAGCACCCCUUGAACGGCCGUUCCAUGAACGGUACCAUUUUUAGAUUAUCCUAUUAGGCUUUAAUUUUUAAUUUCACUAUAUUUUCUUAGUUAUUAUUAUCUUAUUUUAUCCUUUAUUUAACCUAAAAUGGAAUGCAAAUGGGAGGCAAGAUGAGAUGCAUGGCGUGAGAUAAAAAAAUGCAGGAUGAAUAACUUUUUAUCGAGGAUAUUUUCCCGAAUCCUCCCAUUAUACUGGUGAGACUUAGGGUAUUCUAUCACCUAGGAAAUUAUCCGAGAAACUCGCCUUCGCAAAUUCAACGAAUGAUUCCCAUCAUCGGGGUCAUCGUACGUUUUUCUUUAAAAAUAAUGUUUUCGUGCAUAAUGAACCUAAUUCGGGCAAAAGCCUUUUAUUAAAUAUGUUUCUCGAGCCUUCCCAUCAUACUGGUGGGACCCGAUGAUACCUUUUCACAUAAGAAACUUUCAGAGGAAUACCCGCCUUCGCGAGAUCCUCUGAAGAUCCCAUCAUCGGGGCUUAAACUCGAAAAUAGAAUUAUUUAUAUGUGAUGAUAUGCAUGAUGCAAUAUAUAUAUAUAUAUAUGCUAUGUUGAUGCAAUUGUCUAUUUUUUAUUUAUUAUUAUUUAAUUAUUAUUUUAAUUUUAUCAUAUUUUUUAUUAUUAUAUUUUCUAUUUUAUUAUUAUUUUUUUUAUAUCUUAUAUUUUUAUCCUAAAUUCUUCCUAUAUUUUCCUUUUAUAAUUAGAUAAAUUAUUUAUGAUUCCAUUUAAUGCUUAAUUUUAAAUUAAUUAUUAUCUUAGAUUUUUAUUAUUUAUUUAUUUUAUUUUUUUAUUGAGUAAUAUCAUGCAUAUUGUAUUUUUACAAAUUAAUUACUUACUAUAUAUUUGAAUCAUUAUUAUUAUUUUUAUCAUCAUUUUUUAUCUAUUGUUAUUUAUUAUUAUUUUUAUUGAAUAAUUUUUGUAUAGUCAAAUUCUUUAUUUAUUAAAAACUUCAGAAUCUUGAAAUCGAGGCCCUCCCAUCGUACUGGUGGAGCCUUGAUUCGGAUUCCAAGCUUACGGAACAUAAGCCCGGGAUUGCGACUUCUCGCAUCCCGACCGAUCAUCCCAUCAUCGGUACAAUUUUGUAUUCUUUCCAUGGUUAAUAUUACGGUACCUUAAGGCUCACUUAAUAUACUAUUAAAACUAUUAAUAUUGUCCAAAAACAAAGGAUUUGUAGUGGUGACUAAAAAAAAUAAUUAAAUCUUUUUUACUACCUUCUACUAUUAAAAUUAUUGUUUCACAUUUUUCUGUCAAUUUAAAUCCUCUGAAAUCCUCUAAAAUAUUUUAAAAGGAUUUUAAAUAUCAUGCUCAAACCAUUUAAUUUUACUAAAUACCAAGCUUAAUAAAAAAAAUGGGCUUGCCCCAAAAUAAUCAGUCCAUCACAGAUCCAUAAAAAAAAUAAAACCCUUUACCUGAUCAGGCUUGGCUAGCCCAGACUACCGCUGGACUUGACCCGUGGUCUACUUCAAAACCCACUGUUUGGUUCCCUGCCCAGUAGCCUCUAGGUGGCAAAACGACGUCAUUUCAAAGCUUUGGAAGGGCUUCGUGAUUAAUUGCAAAACGACGUAGUUGUGAGCCCUUGUACCCUAAAUAUAAAAUCCUUUUUUUUUCAUUUUUCUUCAUUUUCUCCCUUCCUUAUCUCUCUAGUCGACCGGACUCUCUCUUCUCUCUCUAAAAAUCCCACCUUUCUCUCUUACUUUUCCUUUCUUUCGCCGGCCUUCCUCCUUGGCGUCGAUUGGGAGUCUCCCCUCUCUUCUCUGCGUCGAAUCUGGUGGCGCGAUGGUCGGUAGCGAAACUCUCUCUCCUUUCUCCCCUAGGCUUUACCGGCUUCCAACCUUGAGCCCUCAACUCUCUCUCCUAAUUGGUGUCGGUCGAGCUUUCUCUUUCUCACUCUCCUCCUGUAGACAAAAAAUCGAGCCCCCAAAACUCUCUCAAUAUCGACGCUGAUCGGGCUUCCUUUCUCUCACUCCUCUCAUGCCGACGCAAACUCGAGCCCCCAACUCUCUUUCGUAAUCGGUGCCAGUUGAGCUUCCUCUCUCUCACUCUUCUCCUGCAGGCGCAAACCCGAGCCCCUUUUCACUCUCCCUCUCUACCGAUUCGCUUUCCCCUCCUCUCAUUAUGUAUUUUUUUUUAUUUUUUGGUAUCUCUUUUUGAUGUAUUUUUCUUGGUUUUUUUUUUUUGUGUGGAUUGUUGUGGCUGCUAGAGACUUAGGAAUUUUUGGUUGUGCUUGUUUUCUUUGGCUUGCAAGAUCCCCCCCGAUUGCUACAGUGCCCCAUUUCCUUUAUACCCGGUUCUUGGCCUUUGGAGUGGGCACGUUCCACUACCUUGCCAGGCGCGAGUUUUUCGCGUCUGGCACUGUAAUAGUGGUAGUACGGGGUACUGGCAGGGACGUUCACGCCCUGCUAGUACUCCUCUUUUUUAUUAUUAUUAUUUAUAUAUUUUAUAUAUUUUAUAUAUUUUUUAGUGUCUACAAUCACCAUAAGCCAUUCAAUUCAAACCAUAAACUUACAACACAAUCAAACAGUCUCCAAUCACUCAAUUUCUAAAAUCAUCAUUCAAUUUCAAAAUGAUUUAUAAAACUCAUUUCAUUUAAUCACAUUUUACUGAUAAAACAUAAGAAUUUACCAUUUAAACUCAUUUUUCUAUAAAUCACAGAAACGAAUAAAAACUAUUUUAGAUAAUUAAGACGAUAAUAAUGUUACUCACAAUAUCGGGAGUCGAAGUACUCCUAGUCCUGAUCUUUGGGUACAAUCUCCUUACCCAUAUCGAAAGUUUCACCACCUAAACAUAAUGCACAACAAGCAAUUUACUAUAUUUGUACUAAACGUUAUAAAACUAAUUUAGGCUCUAUAUGAAUGCAUGAAAUGGGAUGCGAAAUGUUCGGAUUAUUAUCUAAAUAUGGUGUACUACGUAGCUUCAAUUAUGUAUCGAAAUAAAAUGGUAUUGGCCUAAUUCGAUUUAUACACCGGUCAAUUGGCUAAUACAUCCAAUUCAACUCCAAUUAACUUGAUUCCUCUUCCAACACUCCAAGUCAUCAAUUAUAAGUGAAAUAAUAUGUAAUAUCACAAAAAUCGAUCAUCAAUAUCUUCCUUGUAAAAUUCGACCAUUGAAGGUUUAGUGUAGAACAUGUAAUUUUCAUGCUUGAUUUUUACACCUUACAUCAUAAAACAACUAAAAACACCUAAAUAACAUGAAAUUCAUCAAAGUCCAUUAUCCAAUUUCUCUCUUGAAAAUUUCAGCCAAGAAGUGUGGGUGAAGGGCAUGAAAUUUCUUCCUUGUUUUUCAUGCUAAACAUCACCAAACAACUAAAAACACUAAGAUACUUUGAAAUCUAACCAAAUAAAUCAUUAAAUGUCACGACCCGGAACUCCCAUCGAGCCCGUGACAAUCGCCGCGNNNNNNNNNNNNNNNNNNNNNNNNNNNNNNNNNNNNNNNNNNNNNNNNNNNNNNNNNNNNNNNNNNNNNNNNNNNNNNNNNNNNNNNNNNNNNNNNNNNNNNNNNNNNNNNNNNNNNNNNNNNNNNNNNNNNNNNNNNNNNNNNNNNNNNNNNNNNNNNNNNNNNNNNNNNNNNNNNNNNNNNNNNNNNNNNNNNNNNNNNNNNNNNNNNNNNNNNNNNNNNNNNNNNNNNNNNNNNNNNNNNNNNNNNNNNNNNNNNNNNNNNNNNNNNNNNNNNNNNNNNNNNNNNNNNNNNNNNNNNNNNNNNNNNNNNNNNNNNNNNNNNNNNNNNNNNNNNNNNNNNNNNNNNNNNNNNNNNNNNNNNNNNNNNNNNNNNNNNNNNNNNNNNNNNNNNNNNNNNNNNNNNNNNNNNNNNNNNNNNNNNNNNNNNNNNNNNNNNNNNNNNNNNNNNNNNNNNNNNNNNNNNNNNNNNNNNNNNNNNNNNNNNNNNNNNNNNNNNNNNNNNNNNNNNNNNNNNNNNNNNNNNNNNNNNNNNNNNNNNNNNNNNNNNNNNNNNNNNNNNNNNNNNNNNNNNNNNNNNNNNNNNNNNNNNNNNNNNNNNNNNNNNNNNNNNNNNNNNNNNNNNNNNNNNNNNNNNNNNNNNNNNNNNNNNNNNNNNNNNNNNNNNNNNNNNNNNNNNNNNNNNNNNNNNNNNNNNNNNNNNNNNNNNNNNNNNNNNNNNNNNNNNNNNNNNNNNNNNNNNNNNNNNNNNNNNNNNNNNNNNNNNNNNNNNNNNNNNNNNNNNNNNNNNNNNNNNNNNNNNNNNNNNNNNNNNNNNNNNNNNNNNNNNNNNNNNNNNNNNNNNNNNNNNNNNNNNNNNNNNNNNNNNNNNNNNNNNNNNNNNNNNNNNNNNNNNNNNNNNNNNNNNNNNNNNNNNNNNNNNNNNNNNNNNNNNNNNNNNNNNNNNNNNNNNNNNNNNNNNNNNNNNNNNNNNNNNNNNNNNNNNNNNNNNNNNNNNNNNNNNNNNNNNNNNNNNNNNNNNNNNNNNNNNNNNNNNNNNNNNNNNNNNNNNNNNNNNNNNNNNNNNNNNNNNNNNNNNNNNNNNNNNNNNNNNNNNNNNNNNNNNNNNNNNNNNNNNNNNNNNNNNNNNNNNNNNNNNNNNNNNNNNNNNNNNNNNNNNNNNNNNNNNNNNNNNNNNNNNNNNNNNNNNNNNNNNNNNNNNNNNNNNNNNNNNNNNNNNNNNNNNNNNNNNNNNNNNNNNNNNNNNNNNNNNNNNNNNNNNNNNNNNNNNNNNNNNNNNNNNNNNNNNNNNNNNNNNNNNNNNNNNNNNNNNNNNNNNNNNNNNNNNNNNNNNNNNNNNNNNNNNNNNNNNNNNNNNNNNNNNNNNNNNNNNNNNNNNNNNNNNNNNNNNNNNNNNNNNNNNNNNNNNNNNNNNNNNNNNNNNNNNNNNNNNNNNNNNNNNNNNNNNNNNNNNNNNNNNNNNNNNNNNNNNNNNNNNNNNNNNNNNNNNNNNNNNNNNNNNNNNNNNNNNNNNNNNNNNNNNNNNNNNNNNNNNNNNNNNNNNNNNNNNNNNNNNNNNNNNNNNNNNNNNNNNNNNNNNNNNNNNNNNNNNNNNNNNNNNNNNNNNNNNNNNNNNNNNNNNNNNNNNNNNNNNNNNNNNNNNNNNNNNNNNNNNNNNNNNNNNNNNNNNNNNNNNNNNNNNNNNNNNNNNNNNNNNNNNNNNNNNNNNNNNNNNNNNNNNNNNNNNNNNNNNNNNNNNNNNNNNNNNNNNNNNNNNNNNNNNNNNNNNNNNNNNNNNNNNNNNNNNNNNNNNNNNNNNNNNNNNNNNNNNNNNNNNNNNNNNNNNNNNNNNNNNNNNNNNNNNNNNNNNNNNNNNNNNNNNNNNNNNNNNNNNNNNNNNNNNNNNNNNNNNNNNNNNNNNNNNNNNNNNNNNNNNNNNNNNNNNNNNNNNNNNNNNNNNNNNNNNNNNNNNNNNNNNNNNNNNNNNNNNNNNNNNNNNNNNNNNNNNNNNNNNNNNNNNNNNNNNNNNNNNNNNNNNNNNNNNNNNNNNNNNNNNNNNNNNNNNNNNNNNNNNNNNNNNNNNNNNNNNNNNNNNNNNNNNNNNNNNNNNNNNNNNNNNNNNNNNNNNNNNNNNNNNNNNNNNNNNNNNNNNNNNNNNNNNNNNNNNNNNNNNNNNNNNNNNNNNNNNNNNNNNNNNNNNNNNNNNNNNNNNNNNNNNNNNNNNNNNNNNNNNNNNNNNNNNNNNNNNNNNNNNNNNNNNNNNNNNNNNNNNNNNNNNNNNNNNNNNNNNNNNNNNNNNNNNNNNNNNNNNNNNNNNNNNNNNNNNNNNNNNNNNNNNNNNNNNNNNNNNNNNNNNNNNNNNNNNNNNNNNNNNNNNNNNNNNNNNNNNNNNNNNNNNNNNNNNNNNNNNNNNNNNNNNNNNNNNNNNNNNNNNNNNNNNNNNNNNNNNNNNNNNNNNNNNNNNNNNNNNNNNNNNNNNNNNNNNNNNNNNNNNNNNNNNNNNNNNNNNNNNNNNNNNNNNNNNNNNNNNNNNNNNNNNNNNNNNNNNNNNNNNNNNNNNNNNNNNNNNNNNNNNNNNNNNNNNNNNNNNNNNNNNNNNNNNNNNNNNNNNNNNNNNNNNNNNNNNNNNNNNNNNNNNNNNNNNNNNNNNNNNNNNNNNNNNNNNNNNNNNNNNNNNNNNNNNNNNNNNNNNNNNNNNNNNNNNNNNNNNNNNNNNNNNNNNNNNNNNNNNNNNNNNNNNNNNNNNNNNNNNNNNNNNNNNNNNNNNNNNNNNNNNNNNNNNNNNNNNNNNNNNNNNNNNNNNNNNNNNNNNNNNNNNNNNNNNNNNNNNNNNNNNNNNNNNNNNNNNNNNNNNNNNNNNNNNNNNNNNNNNNNNNNNNNNNNNNNNNNNNNNNNNNNNNNNNNNNNNNNNNNNNNNNNNNNNNNNNNNNNNNNNNNNNNNNNNNNNNNNNNNNNNNNNNNNNNNNNNNNNNNNNNNNNNNNNNNNNNNNNNNNNNNNNNNNNNNNNNNNNNNNNNNNNNNNNNNNNNNNNNNNNNNNNNNNNNNNNNNNNNNNNNNNNNNNNNNNNNNNNNNNNNNNNNNNNNNNNNNNNNNNNNNNNNNNNNNNNNNNNNNNNNNNNNNNNNNNNNNNNNNNNNNNNNNNNNNNNNNNNNNNNNNNNNNNNNNNNNNNNNNNNNNNNNNNNNNNNNNNNNNNNNNNNNNNNNNNNNNNNNNNNNNNNNNNNNNNNNNNNNNNNNNNNNNNNNNNNNNNNNNNNNNNNNNNNNNNNNNNNNNNNNNNNNNNNNNNNNNNNNNNNNNNNNNNNNNNNNNNNNNNNNNNNNNNNNNNNNNNNNNNNNNNNNNNNNNNNNNNNNNNNNNNNNNNNNNNNNNNNNNNNNNNNNNNNNNNNNNNNNNNNNNNNNNNNNNNNNNNNNNNNNNNNNNNNNNNNNNNNNNNNNNNNNNNNNNNNNNNNNNNNNNNNNNNNNNNNNNNNNNNNNNNNNNNNNNNNNNNNNNNNNNNNNNNNNNNNNNNNNNNNNNNNNNNNNNNNNNNNNNNNNNNNNNNNNNNNNNNNNNNNNNNNNNNNNNNNNNNNNNNNNNNNNNNNNNNNNNNNNNNNNNNNNNNNNNNNNNNNNNNNNNNNNNNNNNNNNNNNNNNNNNNNNNNNNNNNNNNNNNNNNNNNNNNNNNNNNNNNNNNNNNNNNNNNNNNNNNNNNNNNNNNNNNNNNNNNNNNNNNNNNNNNNNNNNNNNNNNNNNNNNNNNNNNNNNNNNNNNNNNNNNNNNNNNNNNNNNNNNNNNNNNNNNNNNNNNNNNNNNNNNNNNNNNNNNNNNNNNNNNNNNNNNNNNNNNNNNNNNNNNNNNNNNNNNNNNNNNNNNNNNNNNNNNNNNNNNNNNNNNNNNNNNNNNNNNNNNNNNNNNNNNNNNNNNNNNNNNNNNNNNNNNNNNNNNNNNNNNNNNNNNNNNNNNNNNNNNNNNNNNNNNNNNNNNNNNNNNNNNNNNNNNNNNNNNNNNNNNNNNNNNNNNNNNNNNNNNNNNNNNNNNGAGAAAUGAGAUGGGAGAGUUUUAGUUGUGUUUAUAAAGGAAAAUAUAAUAAUAUUAAAGCUUGACACUUGUCACCAUGUGAUUGGUCCAUACAUAAAACUUAAUAAUUAAGCAUUUCUUCUCCACCACAUAAAAUCCCUCAAUCAUCCAAAGUAUAAAAUGAAUUUCAUGGGUUUGACAAGUGUCAAGGUGGUGUAAAAUUCUAAAAAUUCUAAUUACAUCCUUAUGGACACGUGAAAUGACCGUUUUACCCUUUUGUUCAAAAAAUUGUCUGAAUUAAAAUUUUUCACUUCUCAAGCUCAAAUUAUGUUCCAAAUAGUCAAACUUGAUCAAAAUUUCAUCCACCAUCCCAAAUUUGCCCUCGAGUGGAAAAAUGAUCAUUUUACCCCAACGUUAUGAAAAUUCCAAUUUAACUCCAAAUCAAUCCCUGAACUCCGAAUCACCAUAUUAAGUAAUUCUAAGGUUCAAUAACUCUCAAAUACAUCUUAAAAUCUCUAUUUGAACUAGUCGAGGUUUAAAUCAACUUAGUUGUAUCACUAGGUACACUACCGACUUUUGACUAUUUUUUCGAGGUAUUCAAGUAUGCAGGCAUGUUGUCAAAUACAGGAAUGAUAUGGCAAAUAUAUUAUAGGGCUAGGCUUGACAGUCUUCUUAUAAUUUAUAUUAACUAAUAUUAGUACGUUAAGUAUUAUUAAUUUUGUAUAACUUAUAUAUAUAGUUAUAUAUUUAUAACUACAAUGAUUUCAAUUAUUAUAAUAAGAAACUAAUUACAAAAGAUGACAUACUCAAAGUAGUAUUAUAAUUACCCAAUAUGAAUAUAUGAUCAAUGUAAAGUAUGAUGUUUUAAUGUUAUAUAUAAUUACAAAGUUUGUAUAAUUAAUAACUAAUUGUAAACAAUAUAUAUGUUAUAAAAACUAAGGUAAUAACUUUAUUGCAAAAUUAUUAAGUGUAAUCAUAUAAAUAAAAUUUAUUAUAACUUAUAUUAAUGCUUACAUAUAAAUUAGAUAUAUGUAUAUUAUAAUUAACUAAUACAAAUAUAAUUAUACAGUGAUAUAUAUUUACAUAAUAUUAUCUAUUACAAAAUAUUAUUAUUAUAUAUAUAGGUCUAAUAAUUUUAACAUAUCAAUAUGUAUAUAUAUAAAAUGUUAAUAUAUUAUAUUACUAUGAUUCUAUCAAAACGUCAUUUAUUAUUUUAUCUCAUAAAGUACUGAUGUGAUAUAUUGAUAUGUAAUAAUGGAUAGUGACGUGGUAUGAUGAUAAGACCAUGUUAUAUUUUUCACUCUCCAUCACCCUCCAUUGGGUUGCCAACAUUGGGCAGCCCACUAACCAAACCUAAUUCUUUUUUUUUUUAUUGGGACUAUCUGUCAAGCCCUACUCCAUUAUAUACUCAUCACAACAUCCAUAUACUUGAUGACACAUCUGCAUGUUAGAAUGCCUUAGAAAUAGUUAAAUAAUCGGUAUCGUAACUAGUUAUGCAACUAAGUUAAUUUAAAGCCUCAAACUAGUUCAAAUAGGAAUUUUAAAAUAAAAUUGAGAAUUUUAAAACCCAAGAAUGACUUAAUAUGGUGAUUCGGAGUUCGAGGAUUAAAUUAGAGUCAAUUAGGAAUUUUCAUACCAUAGGGGUAAAAUGGUAAUUUUGCCACUCGAGGGCAAAUUUGGAAAGUUGGAUGAAAAUUUUGAUCAAGUUUGACCAAUUAGAGUAUAAUUUGAGAUUGAGAAGUGAAAAUUUUCAAUUUUGAGCAUAAAGGCAAAAAUGUUAUUUUUCGGGUCCACAAGGGUAAAAUUGGAAUUUUAUGAUUUUAUACCACCAUGACAUAUGUCAAGCUCCAAAAUUUUACCUAUUAUUAUUUUAUGCUAUGGAUAAGUAUUAGAGCAUUUGUGGUGGUGAGAAAAGGCUUAAAAAUUAAGUUAAAACAAGUGGACUAAUAAAAAGGUGACAUGUGUCAAAAAUUAAAUAUUUUUAUAUUGCCAUUUAAAAACCAGCCCAUACUCUUCCACUCAGAAUUUGAAGGCCAACCAGCACCUGCAGAAAAGAGAAGAAAAGAAAAGAAAAACCCUAGGGAGGAAAAACUAAGGAAAAUUUGUUGAAUUUUCAAGAAAUUGAUGAUUAUAGGUAAGAUUUUUAAUCUUAAGCUUGAAAUUCAUCUUGCCCAUGUAUUCUUUUCCAUUUUCCAUGAAUUAAAUUCAAGUUUUCAUGAGGGGCAAUAUGCUGGCCAAAUUUAGAGAGAGAAAGUUGGUGAUAAAUUUAGUUGAAUUUCAAGGUAACUUAGUGUUUUUAGGUGUUUAGUAACAUUUAGUAUAAAAAUUAAGUAAGAAAUCCACAUACCCAUUAUAGAACCUAUCUUGGCCGAAUUUUAUGGGUGAGGUUUGAUGAUGAACUUGGUUGUUUUUCAUGCCCUUUAGAUUGUAUUUGGUGCUUAGGAAUACCGAAAAUCAAAAACGGGUAUUGAAAAAUUUUACUCCCGUUAGUUAGCAAUUUGCACAAUAAUGAGGGAUAUUUUGGUAAUUGCACUUAGAAUAGAUUUUUAUUGAAGUGUGUUGAAUUUUGGGGAGUACUGGAAGUGCAAUAAAUUAAUUGGAACCGAAUUGGACGUUUAGAUCGAUUAAAUAGUGUAUAGUGCGCGAUAGGCCGAACUCCUCCCAUUUCAUUGCAUGCAUUCAUAUAGAACAUAGAAUAGUGUUGUGACAAUUUAGCAUAAGUAUAUUAAAUUUCCUGUUGCACAUUAUGUAUAGGUGGUGAGUCCUCGGAUAAGGGCAAAAGUAUUGCACCCCAGGAUCGAGACUAGGAGUGUUGUAAAUUCCCGUCAAAGUGAGUAACCAUUAUUCAUCUUAUCUAUCUAGAGUAUUUUUACAAUCGUUUUUAAGAUUUUAAGAAUAUUGAACGUAAAUGAAUUUUAUGUUUUAUGACUAAUAAUUGAUUUAAGGAAUAAGGUUUAUGACUUAUUUUACAAUUCAAUAAUAUUUCUGAAAAUGUGAGUAUGUGGAGACCAACCUUUGAUGUUGCUUGUAUAUUUAAGUUUAUGUACCUAUGUUUGGAAUUGAUGAUUUAUGAACUAAUACGUGAUGACAUAUGUGGCUGAGUUUUUGGGUUGUGAAAUAUAUUAAACUGUUUGUUUUCCUUUGACAGGUUGGGUAGUAUUAUGUUAGCCGAGUAAUAGGAGACAAUUAAAAUAAAUCAUCCAAACCCAUAUAAAUAAUUAGAUUUCAUCCAAUUACUCAAAAUGGCUUAUGUACUUUUCAAAACUUGGCCUUGCCAAAAAUUCAUUCUCGGGGAUACCCCGCAAAGGCAUCUUACCGAGACCGCCAAGGCUGUUUAUUGUUACACACACACACAAAUACAUUUCACCUUUGACAACACAACCGUUCCUCGGGGUUGGCUGAGUCCCAGUUUCACGUGGUGGCCAGCGUGGAGUGUACUCAAAUCCUACCUCGAGAGUUAUCCUACGCGCCUUUCCAAUCGAGGUAAGCUCAAUAAAUGGGAACCGUGCCCCUCUAAUUAGGCUGGCCCACAAAACCCCUGUGAUUGCAGUGCCCACUUUAUAAUCCACAAACUAAUAAAAUCACAAUAGUAUGACAUGGCUCACUUAACACAUUCAAGGCAAAUCAAAGCAGUUCACAUAUUCUUUAAAUCAUAAAAAUAACCAGUCAUACUCACAUUUAUCAUAAGCCAUUUAAUGUAAAAUCAUGGAUAAACAACACAAUCAUAGUAUAGGUCUCCAAUUACUCUAUUUUUGAAAUCAUUAUUAAAUUUUCAAAAAUUUUAUAAAAUUAUUUUAUAAAAUCUCAUUUUCCCAUAAAACACAAUAAUUUUCCAAUUAAACCAUUUUUUCAUAAAAUCACACAAUUAAAUAAAUCUACUCUAGAUAAUUAAGACGAUAGUAAGUUUACUCACUGUACUAGGAGUAGAUAUACUCCUAUUCUCGGUCCUCGGGUGUAGUCUUUUACUCGUAUCAGAUAGCUCACCACCUAUCCACAAUACAUGACACAAAAAAUUCAAUAAUUUGUGUCAAAUCAAUAUAUAUUAUUUCAGGCUCUUAUCCAUGCGUAUGCACUAGAUAGGGUGUGAAAUGUUUGGACAAUCGCUUAAUCACAGUGUCCGACCUAACUCGCCUAUACACGGUGUAAAUUUCUAAAAUCUCCAAUUCAACUCCAAUUCCAUCCAUUUCAAUUUCAAUUAUCCAAUUAUAUCCACAAUACCUCAAUGACUGUGAAUGUGGUCCAAUUUAUCAGUUCGGACCACAAAUUACACUUUUACCCCUAGUGGGUAAAAAUUUCAAUUUUUUUGCACAAAAAAUUCCCAUUAAAUUUCCAACCUCAUAAUUCAUCAUUUUUCCAUCUAAUUCUCUUAAAAUAAAGUCAACCUCAUCCUCACACACCAUUGGCUAGAUUCGGCCUAGAGAAAUUCAUGGAGAAAAUGAAUAUUUUUCUUAUUGUUUUACUCAUAAACAUGCUAAACUAACACUAAACACUAACAUAGUUCAAAAUCAAAUUAAUCUAACAACUUUCUCUCUCUAAGCCCAUAUGAUCAGAUUUGAAUCCAUCAUCAAAACACAUAAUUUAACCAUGGAAAAUAAGGAGAAAUGCAUGAAAAUGAUAAAUCUUAAGUUAAGCUUGAAAAAUCAUACCUUUAAACACUUGAUUCCUUCAAAAAUCACACUUUUUCUUUGAAUUUUCUCACUCUAGGGUUUGUUCUUAUUUCUCUCUCUCUCUCCUGCUGAUUUUGGCUGACCCUCCCAAUGAAGAAUUCUGGAAUUUUCAAGACUUUUAAUAGGCUUAAUAAAAUAUUAUUAUUUUAUUUACCUUUUGAAUAUUUUAUUAUUUUAUUUUUCUCUAGCCAUCUUUUUGACUUUCUUUUUCUACCACUCAAUCCUCUUCACUUAUCCAUGUCUUUCAUGAAAUUUCUAGACUUUUCCAAAGUUUUGGUGGAACAAAUUUUUAAAAAUUACACUUUUGCCCCUGUAAAGUGAAAAAUUACAUUUUUACCCCAAAAACUGAAAAAUUGCCCAUAGACAUAUUUUUCAUCCCUUAUACUCAUACCAUUCUCCAAUUUGUCAAAUGUGAUCUAAAUUCUCUCCAAAUCCCAAAUUUUAUCCGUGGGUGGAAAAAUUACGAUUUUGCCCCUAGAUAGUGAAAAUUCCGAUUUAACUCCGAAUUGAUCCUCGAACUCUGAAUUACCAUUUUGAGUCAUCCCUGAACUGUGAAACUCUUAAUUUCACCUUAAAAUUCCUAUUUGAACUAGUUCGAGGCUUAAUCGACUCAAUGGUACCAUUAGGGGUAAUAUCGUCUUUUAACGAUUUCUCGAACUUCCUAAAUAUACAAACAUUCUAUCGAGCAUGUAAAUGACAUUAUAAUUAUUUUACAAAGCAGAGUUUGACAAUAGAGUUCACUUCACGUCGAACCACCACUUGAGGAUGAACUCUACUAACGCUAAGGGAUGGCUAAACUAUGUUUUUAUGAGUAGUUGUUAACUUAAUAACCUUGGCUAAACAUAUUUUUCAUCCCUUAUACUCAUACCAUUCUCCAAUUUGUCAAAUUUGAUCUAAAUUCUCUCAAAAUCUCAAAUUUUGUCUGUGGAUGGUAAAAUUACGAUUUUGCCCCUACACUUCAGAAAUCACCAGAAUUAAACUUUUUCACUUCCUAUCAUUAAAUUAUACUCCAAAUAGUUAAUCUUGGUCAGAAAUUUCACUCCAUGAUCAAAUUAUUAUCUUAGGUGGCAAAAUGACGAUUUUACCCUUGAAUAUCAAAAUUUCCAAUUUUACCCCAAAUGAACCCUUGAACUCCGAACAAUCAUUUUUAGUCAUUCCUGAACUAUAAAAUAUUAAAUUUUAUCCUACAAUUCCUAUUUGAACUAGUUCGAGGUUAAAUCAAUUUAAGUGUACCGUUAGGUACAAUAUCGGGUUUCGUCUAUUCUUAGGUGCUUUUCUAGAGUAAUAACAUGCUACUCAGUGCAUGUAUGUCAUGACAUGUGUUUAUAGGGUCAGGUUUUACAGUAAACCUAUGGAAAUCUAGUACUAAUUUGAAAUUUGUGUUGGCAUAAACUCAUCCAAAUGUCAAAAAAUAAAAAUUAAAAAAAUUAAAAAAACUCAUCUAGAUGUCAUGAUAUUCUUGGUACAAGAUUAUACACACACACGGAAAUCCAUUUGAGAAUAUGCUUGCAUUAGAAUUGAAACAUGAAUUUAAAUGAUGCCUAUAUUUUUCCUUAGGUUAAUGAUUGAUAGAUGCCAGUUAAAAUUCUACUACGCAAGUAUACGUAUCGAACAGACAGUAUAUUAGCAAGCAGAGUAUCAAUUCCACAGAGAAUUGAUCUAAAAUUUUACUAAGUACUAAAAUUAGAACAAAUUAAUCUUAUCCAAACACUCAAAAUUAAUUGAUUAACUAAAACUAAUUAACCAAAAUUUAAACUAAAAAGAAAAACCAAAGUAAUAACAACGUGAGUAAAUAUCAAAUCAAACAAGCCUAGGAUUACAAUAUCCCUCACACUUCAUCUAAAUCUUACCUCUCUUCCUUAACUUAUUUCAUUGGGUUAAAUUGUUAACCUAGAGUCCUAAAUUAUUUAUAAAGGUCUCCCGACUCAUCUUAUAAAAAUAUCUAUAUUAACCAAACCACUAUAUCCCUAUGUGAAUUGAAAUUAAAAUAGACUCAUUAAGUUCAGGCUCUAUUCUACCUACAUAUGGCCUAUAGGUAUAUCCCUAUCCUAUACGCAAAUCAAUUAAUAUGAUCAUAUGAUAUUCUAAUUUUAGUCUACUCUAAAUUCCCUUUCUGAAGUUUGUUUAGGUUCCUAAAUCAAUUUAAUUGGUGAUCAAGCAAUAAAAGCAUUAAGAACAAAUUGAAAUAAACAAUUCAAAUCCCAUUAAAGAUAAGUAAGAAAGAGAUUAAAAAUUUAGAUUACAUGUGAGUUCAAUUGCAAUCCUAGAAAAAUAGUUUAUUUUAUAAUAUCUAAUAAAAACUUCAUCCAAAGAAAAUUAGCCAUUGAUCCAAGUCAAAGAAAAUAAGAAAAACACAGAAGUAGAGAGAGAAAACUAAUAGUUGAAACUUUGUGGUCUUGAUUCUCCCUCCAAUUCUCUUGCUUUUUUGCUUUGUUUUUUGCUCUUCUUCUCUAGAGAAAUUGCUUAUUGCCUCAUCCUAAAACCCUCUGAAAAAGGCCCUUUAAAUAGCUUUCAAAAGCCCUAGCUUCCAAAAUCCCGUAAGCUUGUUAUUUUUGGAAAAUAUGGUGGGGGCCGCAGCUCUCAAAUUUCAGAGUCGCUGCUCUCAAAGGUUUUGCCAAAUUUUGUUCCUCUAGUGCAGUACUUUCACCUCGACAAAUAUUUUCACCACUUUUCGUUUAGAAAUGGCCAAAGUGGUAAACAUUAAAGUUGUAUCCCUGCCUCUUAGCUUUUUAAUGGUCUAAAACUCAUGUCAUUUGGACUUCUUUAGUAGGAGAUAUUCUUGAAAACCUGAAACAUAUGCAAACAGAGCACCAGUCCAUUAUGCACCUUUCUUCACCAAUUGAAAUUAUUUUUAAUCUUACUCCUACAAAAACAUAAAAAUAAAUAUAAAUAACAUAAAACUAACAUUAUUAACUUAAAAUAAACAUUUAAACAUAAAUUAAACUAAACUAAUAAAAAAAUAAAAACACCUAAAUCCGAUCCUAUAUCUAAUCUAACUUAGACUAAUGAAGUAUUUAAUCUCCUGUUAAAUAUAUGUAUUUGAAGCACUCAUCAAUAGACAUACUUUUGAGGAAAUUAUGAGGAAUCAUUGAGUUGUUGCACUUUAUCUCUAGUAGUAGCAGUAGUAGUAGUAGUAACUAUAUUUAUUUUAGUUUUCAUUAACUAAAUUUGAUUUUCGUAAGUUAGGUUCUUUUCUAUGUUUUGCUCGAGGACUAGCAAAAUAUUAAGUUUGGGGGUGUGAUAACUCUAUGAUAUAGAGUUAUUUGGGCUUAAUUUUGAUAGUAAUUUGGCUUAGUUUUUGUAGUAAUGCAUAGCAAUUAGUAGGUUUUAUUUAAUUAUUUUAAAUUAGUUAUUUUAGGCAAGUCUGUUACGACCCGGAACCCCCUCGAGCCCAUGACAAUCGUUGCGGUGCCCCGAUGGGCACUCAUCUCCCUAAAUGCCAACCGGAACCUUACAAGGCUUAAUAUCAGUUUCUCAUUUUCCCCGGUGAGUAACCGUUGCCAAAUUUUAUGUUCUAAAGGAUUUUGAGCUAUUCCCAACUUAAAACUGAUAAAAUAAAAAUUUUUGUCUCAUAGGGGCAUUUUGGUCAUUUUCCACUUAAAAUUUUGAAACCAGUUAAAAAUGUAGUAAACAAGUACCAAUCGCAUAAUUUACAAUUAAAAAUAAGUUUAGGCAUCUAAAACCUUUAUUUAAAAUGAAAUUAUAAUUAUUUGAAUAUAAUAAGAAGAUAAAACAAAAUAUUCAAUAAAAUAUUUUAUUUUCUUAUAAACAGAAAUUUUGGAGUUAUGUGUAAAUACUUUUUGUAACAUAAAAACAAAAUAAAUUCAUCAUAUUGUAGCACAAUAAACUAUUAAAUUUACAAUAAUCAAGUGGGCCCACAAUAACUAGAAUUAAAAAAAUUGUGAACCUACUAUGUGAAGGACGCUAAUCCAAUAGAAGCCCUUGAUGGAAUCAGCUAUCUACAGCCUACUCUGAGCCUGAAAUGUGUGGAAAGGAGGGUGACGAGAUUAUAAAAUCCCAGUGAGUAAACAAACAUAAUUUAAAUCAGCUAAAACUGAGUAAAAGGAGACAAUUAAAAUAUCCCAUCAUAUUAUGUAUUUCCCAAUUUGAAAAUUCAUCCCAACCCAUGCAAACAGUUGUAUUUCAUUUAAUUUCUCAUUAAGGCUUAUGGCUUCCAUAAACAUUUGGCUCAUGCCAUCAAAUAGUACUCGAUGACACCUUGAUCAGAGGCGUACACUCGAGCCCACCAAGGUUAUUAAAAUUUUGUAUACACGUAAAACAUAUCUUUAGUUUGAAAAACACAACCAUUCCUUGGCAUUGGUUGAGUUCCCCAUCACGUGGUGGUUUGGCGUGAAGUGAACCCUAAGCUUUACCCCAGGAGAUACCCUACGCGCCUCUCCGUUUGAGGUAAGAAUAUAAUGGGGUUUCUCGUGCCCCUCUAAAAAACUGAUCCACAGAAAUCCCAUACUGUAGUGAUUAAUUAAUAUAUAAUCCACCAAUCAAUAAAAUUCAUUCUAGCAUGACAUGACAAUUAUUAUAAUUCACAGCCUUUCAAGACUAAAUACAUAUUUCAUAUAUUUCAACACAAAUACCAAUUCAGCCAUUCAUACAAAUACUGUCAUAAGCCAUUAGAUUCAUAAAUUUAAUUCAUAACAAGUGGUCUCCAAUUACUCUAUUUUUCAAAAUCAUCAUUCAAUUUUAAAACAAUUUAUAAAAUCUUUUCAUGUAGACACAUUUUGUUUGUAAAACUCAAGAUUUACCAUUUAAUUUCAUUUUCAUAAAAUUUCAUCAAAAUCGAUUAAAAACAUACUUUAGAUAAUUAAAAUGAUGGUAAGGUUACUCACAGUAUUAGGAGUUCGAUAUACUCCUAUUCCCGAUUUUCGAGCACAAUCUCUUUACCCUUGUUAGAGGGCUCACCACCUAUACAUCAUACGUGACACGAAUUUCAAUAAAUUGUGUCAAUUUAUCAUAAACUAUUUCAGGCUCUUUAAAUCUAAAUGAAUGCAUGCGAUGGGAUGCAAAAUGUUUGAUUAAUCACUUAAAUGUGAUAUUCGACUUAAGUCACACUAUACUCGGUCUAAUCGGCUAAAAUCUCCAAUUUAACUCCAAAUCAAUUCUUUUCACUUUCUACACUCCAAUUAUACUUAAAUUACCUAAGUGACUGUGAAUGAUAUUCAAUUUAUCAGUCCCGGAUUAAUAAUCACACAUGUCUACACAUUAGGUAAAAAUUCAGAUUUUCACACCAAAAUUUCCCAUUUAAUUUCUAGCGUCACCAAACAUCAAAUAUCAGCCAAAUAUCAUAAAAUAUAAUCAAUUUUAGCCUUAAUAUCCUCCCUAGAAAAUUUGGCCAAUAAUGGUGAUGGGGGAAAAUGAAUUCUUUUCUUGUUGUUUUGUUUCUAAAUAUGCUAAACUAACUAAAAACACUAACAUAAUUUAAAAUCAAAUCAAUCUAACUUCAUUCUCUAUCCAUACCCAUUUGGGCAGCCAUGAAUUCACCAUGAAAACAUGAAAUUUAAUCAUGGAAAAUAAGGAGAAAUGCAUGGGAAAGGUAGAUCACAAGUCAAAAUCAAGAAAUUUUACCUUUGAUUGCUUGAUCCUUUGGAAUCCCGCACUUUUUCUUCAAUUUUCCCACCUAGGUCUUGUGUUUUUUUCCUUUCCUCUCUUGUUCUUACCAUGGCUGGCCACAUGAAGAGAAAAUGGGAUAAAUAUGGGCUGAUUUUUAUGGAAAAUAAUAAAGUAUUCUUGCUUGACAUGUGGCAUGUUUCCAUUGGUCCAUUUUUAAAACUUUAAAAAAUUUUAAACCUUUUUAUCUCCACUACAUGAUUAGUCAAUGGUCAAAAUGAGGAUAAGGGAAGACCAUGUGCUGGACAAAUGUCCUGGUGGUAGAAAAUUAUUGUUUUGCCCUUAGGGGUGGCAAAAUUACCAUUUUACCCCUAUGUUCCAAAAAAUACCAAGAAUGAAUUUUUUUCCACUUCUUAACCUCAAAUCAUACUCCAAUAAGUCAAAUGGGGCUAAAAAACUUUUCUAAAAAUUUCUAUUUUAUCCCCAAGUGGCAAAUGACCAUUUUGCCCCUAGAUAGUGAAAAUUUCGGUUUGACUCCAAAUUAAUCCUCGAACUCCAAAUCACCAUAUUAAACCAUUCUGGGACUUUAAUAUUCUUAAUUUCAUCUUAAAUUCUCUAUUUGAUCUAGUUCGAGGCUUAAAUCAACUUUGUUGUACCUUUAGGUACAAUACCGACUUUUGUAAAUUUUUCGGGACUCUCUUAGCAUGCAAACAUGUUAUCCAUCACAUGUAUGUCAUGACAAGUAUUUUAUAGAGUCAGGCUUGACAUCUUUUCCCUUACUUGGAUCAACCAUAUGAUCCUUCUUCAUGACUGAUUUUGACAUCCGGUUAAAUAUUAAUAUUUUAAUAUUAUUUUAUUAAUAAAAUAUUAUUUUAUUCUAAAAAAUUUAUCUUGUCUCUUUGGUUCCCAGAGUUCCUUAUUAUGCCUCAAUUCGCAUCCGACCAACUUUAUUUAUCACCAUAUCAAAGUAUGGGGCAUUUCAAAGUCAAUCUAAUCAUGGUUAAUUUUAUGCUUAAUUUAGUGUUAAUGUAGUUAAGAUAGGUUGUUAUUGAUUUAAUUGUGCUUUUGUAAGUAUUCGAAAGAAGAAUUUUAGUAAAAAAAGGAGAGCAAUUUUAAGGUGUAGACUUUCAAUGCACAUGUUUCGGUAUUUUGGCCAUAACUUUCUCUACAGAGCUCCAAAUGAAGCGAUUCUUGGACCGUUUAAAAGAUAAGAGAAAAAUCUACAAUUUUAUGAACUUCACGCAUUUUGACUUUAGUAUGGUCAAAAAUCUUAUUGAAGUUGACGCACUGCAACAAUCCUAGAGCAAUUACGAUUUUUGUUAAUUAAUUGGGCAAGCCUGCGACUUACAUAGUCUGAUGAGGAAAUCCCAACUAAAAUUGACUUCUUUCUUUACCCAACUUGGCCUAACUUCAAAGCCUAUAAAAACAACCUUUCGAAGAACUUAAAGGAGAACGAAAAAAUGCCAGAUUAACAUCGGAGAGUUAAGUCACAAAGUCAUUAAAGCUAAGAAGAAUUUGAAGGAUUCAAGGAGAUUUGGAGAUUAAGAACAUAAUUAUUGAGUUUUUCUAUAUUUUCUUUUAUUCUCUUAUUAUCUUGGUUGUGCUUUUAAUGUUUAGAUUUUAUUCGUUGAUAAUGUGUGACUUGAUGGGGAACUAAUUUUUUAAUCUAAGAUUAUAAUUGACCUCAAUAUGUAGUUUGAUUUAUUUAUCUCUCUUUUGCUUAUGUUUGAUAGAUUUAAGAUGUUUAUUUUAUUUUAUUCUCAAUGCUUCUAAUUGCUUGAUCACCAAUGAGAUUGAAUUGGAAAUCUAAGUUAAACCUUGAAGAAAGGUGAUUUAGGUAGACCUUGAAUAGAAUAGCGUAUGAUCGAAUGCACUUAGUUGAUUAGGUGAUUUGAUUUGCACAUAGGAUAGACAUACACCUAUAAGCCAUAUGUAGCCAAGAUUAGAGCACAAACUUAAUGAAUCUUUCUUCAAUUUAAUUUGCAUUGACAUAUAGUAAAUUAAUUAAGAGAUAUAUUUUUAUAAGAAACUCGACAGAGACUUAUACAUAAUUUAGGACUCUAGGUUAGGAACUUAAUUCAUUAAACUAAGUUAAAAGCGAGAGACAAUAUUCAGAUGAAGUACUAAGAGAUAUUAUUAUCUUAGGUUUGUUAAUCACUAGAAGUAAAAUUUGUUGAUAUAUUAGUUUUAGUUAUUAUUUUAUUAAUUUAAAAUUUUCUUUUUAAUUUUAAUUGUUUAGAUAAAAUUAAGGUGUGUUAAUUUUAGUAGUUAACAGUAAAAAUUAAUUCAAUUCUUUGUGGGAUCGACACUCUACUCAUCUCAAUAUUAUCUUUGCGAUACGUACACUUGCGUGAGUAGAAAAUUGAACAAGUAAAAUAAUAGAUAUAAUUUUGACUAAUAAGAGUUAGUCAUAAGAGUUUAUUUAGUCCAAAAUAAAAAUUAAGAAGCUUAAUUGAAUGCAAUAGACUAAUAAAAUUUUAUUUGAAAUUUUAAAUAAUUAAAUUUUUUUUAAAUAUUAUACUUUAAUAUAUAAUAUUAAGUCGACCUCCAUAAGUUAAAUGUAUGGAGAUCCAUCAUUGAUUCUAAUAUAUCUAUUAUAUAUGUAAUGACCAAAGUUUAAUCACUAGUCCAAUAGCUUUUCAGACUUAAACCAUAAGGCCUUCAGAAGCUCUAGCUCUAGUUACUAGUAGUGAUGGACUUAGAUUGUUAUAUAAAUUUUAACAAUCACAUUUACAUCUGAUGUGGGGUAUCACAAUCUCACCCAUUCAAAUCCUUGAUGUCCUCAUCAAGACCAUAUAUCACAUCACAAUCAAGGCUUAUUCAACAGGAACAAGAUUUCACCAAAGCAAUGUGGAAGCCCACAUUGGACUAGCGCAGGCUUUGAUACCAUUUAUAACUACCCAAGUCCAAGCAUCGACCCAAUAACUUUUCGCGCCUCAACCACAUGGUCCUUAAAAGUUCAAGUUGCUAGUAGUAAUGGAUUUGGAUUGUUAUAUAGGUUUUAACAAUCACAUUCACAUCAGAUGUGGGAUGUGGGGUAUCACAAUCCCACCCAUUCAAAUCCUUGAUGUUUUCAUCAAGCCCACAAAUCAUCCAUAGGAAAUCAUUCACAAGACCAAUUCAUAGGACCAAGAUCUCACCAGACCAAUGUGGAAGCUCACAUUGGACUGGCACAAGUUUUGAUACCAUUUGUAACAUCUUAAGUCUAAUCACUGGUCCAACAACUUUUUGAGCUUAAACCACGUGACUCUUAAAAGCUCAAGCUCAAGUUGCAAAUAGUGAUGGACUUGGAUUGUUAUAUGGAUCUAAAUAAUUACAUUCACAUCUGAUGUGGGAUGUGGGAAUGCCAUUAGAAAAGUUAGUAGAGUUAUAUAUGGAGAAAUUUUGAGAUUACAUGGGGUGUUAGUGUCCAUUGAAUCUGAUCGAGAUUCUCGAUUUGUGAAAAAAUUUUGAGAAAGUCUACAUAAAGCUUUAGGUACCAAACUUAAUUUUAAUACUAUCUUUCAUCCCUAAAUAAAUGGUCAGUCCAAGAGAACUAAUUAAAUUCUUGAGGACAUGUUGAGAGCUUGUGUCAUGGAUUUUGGAGGUUCUUGGGAUUGACACUUGUCAUGGGCGAAAUUUGCUUAUAAUAAUAGCUAUCAAUCUAGUAUCCAAAUGGCUCCAUUUGAAGCUUUGUAUGGUAAGAAGUGGAGGUCUCCUCUUUUUUGGGAUGAUGUGGGUGAAGGACAAUUACUGGGGCUAGAUCUUAUUCAGUAGACAGUUGAAAAGGUUCAGUUAAUCAAAGAACAUCUUCGUACAGCUCAAAGAAAACAUAAAAGUUAUGCAAACAAUAUAAUAAAGAAGUUAGAAAUUGAGGUUGGAGAUCAUGUAUUCUUGCAAGUUUCCUCUAUUAGAGGAGUAAUGCGAUUAGAGAUUCAAGAAAAACUUAGUCUUUUUUAUGUUCGUUUGAGAUUUUGGAUAGGGUUGGUGAUGUGGCUUAUAGAUUGGUGCUUUCACUUGCUCUAUCGGGAGUGCAUAACGUGUUUCAUGUUCCCUUGAUAAGGAAAUAUAUUCCAGAUCCUAAUCAUGUUGUCACAACCCAGAACUCCCAUCGAGCCCUGACAACUACUGUGACGUCCCGAUAGACAUUCAUUACCCGGAAUGUCAAUCGAAACCUCUCAAGGCUUAACAUCAGUUUUUCUCACUUUCCCUGUGAGUAUUAGUCACUAAAAUUAUGUUUUGAGAGAUUAUAAAUUAUUUCCAAAUCAAAACAAUAGAAAAACAAAUUUUUUUCUCACAGGGGCAUUUUGGUUAUUUUUCCUCAAAAAUCUCGAAAUCCUCUAAAAAUGUAGUAUGCGAGUAUAAAACACAUAAUUCAUAACAAAAAAUAAGUUUAAAUAUCUAAAACCUUCAUUUAAAAUGAAAUUAUGAUUAUUUGGAUAUAAUAAAAAUAAAUAAAAAAAAUAUUCAAUAAAAUAUUCUAUUUUCUUAUAAAACAAUAUUUUUAGGGUUAUACGUAAAUAAUUUUUUGUAGCAGCGUAAAAGUAAAAUAAAUUCAUACAUACUGUAAUACAGUAAGCCAGAGUAUUUAAUUUAAUUUACAAUAAUCAGUGGGCCCUCGAAUAACUAAAAAAUAAGGAAGACUGUGAACCUACAAUUUGGAGGAUGGAAAUCCAAUGGUAGCCUCGAUGAAAUUAGCUAUCUACAGCCUAUUUUGAGUCUGAAAUGGGUGGAAAGGAGGGUGGUGAGAUUAUAUAAUCUCAGUGAGUAAACAAAUACCAUCUAAAAUAUCUAAAGCCGAGUAAAUGGAGACAAAUAAAAUAGUUUAAUAUACUGUGAUUCAUCACCUUUCAAUUCAUUUCAAUCAAAUAAAAUUAAUUCAUAUAAAUCGAGUAAUCAACAUGGCUUAUGAAUUUCUUAAAACUUUGGCUCGCGCUAAAAAAUCAUUUUUAUACCCAGUUAUCAGGGAUGCCUUGAUCGAGGGCUAUCCCAACCGAGUCCACCAAGGUUAUUAAAAGUUAUGUAUGCAUAAAUCAUGUUUUUAUUUAGAAAACAUAGCCGUUCCUUGGCGUUGGCUGAGUUCCCCCUUACGUGGUGGUUUAGCGUGAAGUGAACUCUAAAGUUAUACCUCGGGAGUUAUCCUACUCGCCUCUCCAACCAAGGUAAAAUAUAUCGGGAUUUCGUGCCCCUCUAAUAGGCUGGUCCACAGAAAACCCGCCCCCUGCAGCAGGUUAAAUCCACCAUACAACAAAAUUUUGAUAGCAUGACAUGACUAAUAUAAUACUAUCCAGCCUGUAAAUGUAAAACAGAACAAUUCAUAUAGUUCACCAAAAACACAACCCAGCCAGUCAUGCCAACACAUUAACAUAAGCCAUCAAUUCAAAUCAUAAAUUUACAACACAUCAGGAGUCUCCAAUUACUUUAUUUUCAAAAUCAUCAUUCAAUUUCAAGACAAUUUAUAAAAUCUUUUCAUUUAAACACAUUUUGUUUAUAAACAUAAAGGUUUACCAUUUAAACCCAUUUUUCAUAAAAUCAUAAAAUCGAAUAAAAAUCACUUUAGAUAAUUAAGACGAUAGUAAGGUUACUCACAGUAUCAGGAGUAGAAAUACUCCUAGUCCCGGUCUUUGGUGUAAUCUUUUUAUCCUUAUCAAAUAGCUCACCACCUAUACAUCACACAUGACACAAAAUUCAAUAAUUUGUGUCAAUUUGUCAUAAACUAUUUUAAGCUUUCUAAAUCUAAAUGAAUGCAUGAGAUGGGAUGCAAAAUGUCCGAUUAAUCGCUUAAAUGUGAUAUUCGACCUAAGUCACACUAUACUCGGUCUAAUCGGCUAAAAUCUCCAAUUUAACUCCAAAUCAAUUCUUCUCACUUUCUACAUUCCAAUUAUACCUAAAUUACCUCAGUGACUGUGAAUGAGAUUCAAUUUAUCAGUCUCGGGUCAAUAAUCACACAUGUCUAUACGUUGAGCAAAAAUUCAGAUUUUCACACCAAAAUUUUCCAUUUAAUUUCUAACCUCACCAAACAUCAAAUAUCACCAAAAUAUCAUGAAAUAUCAUCAAUUUCAGCCACAAUAUCCUCCCUAGAAAAUUCGGCCAAUGAAGAACACAUAAGGAAUGGGUGAUUUUCAAGCUUGAUUCUUACACUAAACACCAUAAAUCAUUGAAAACAUCCAUAUAACUUAAAAUCCAACCAAACCAUCACCAAAUUCUCUCUCUCUCUCUAGAAUUCGACCUUCAUGGGUUUCAUCAUGUCAACUCAAUUUUCAGCCAUGGAAAUAAGAAAAUAAAGCAUGGGUAUGCUAGAUCUCAAGCAAAAAUUGAAAAAUCAUACCUUAUCUUGCUUGAUUCCUUGAAAUUUCCACAAUUUUUCUUGAAAUUCUCUUAUCCAGCGUUUGUUCUAGUUUUUCCUUUCUUUCCUUUGUCUUGGCCGAAUAUGGAGAAAAAGAAUGGGAUAAAUAUGGGCUGAUUUUUAUAAAAAAUAAUAAAAUAUUCUUGCUUGACACGUGUCACAUGCUUAUUAGUCCAUUUUUCUUUUUAUACUUUAAUAAUUAUGCUUCCAUUCUCCACCACAUGAUUAGUCAAAGGUCAAAAUGAGGAUAAGGGAAGACCAUGUGCUGGACAAGUGUCCUGGUGGUGGAAAAUUACUAUUUUACUCUUGGGGUGACAAAAUUAUCAUUUUGCCCCUAUGCUUCAAAAAUACCAAAAUUACAACUUUUUCACUUAUCAACCUCAAAUUAUACUCCAAUGAGUCAAAUGUGAUCAAUCUUGAUCAAAAACUUCUUCUAAUAUUCCAAUUUUUUAUCCUCAAGUGGCAAGAUUACCAUUUUGCCCCUAGAUAGUGAAAAUUUCGAUUUGACUCCGAAUUAAUCCUCGAAUUUCGAAUCACCAUUUUAACUCAUUAUUGAACUAUAAAUUUUGAAUUUCACCUUAAAAUCCCUAUUUGACCUAAGUCGAGGCUUAGAUCAACUUUAUUGUACCUCUAGGUACAGACCGACUUUUGUCGAUUUUUUGAGGCUCUCCUAGUAUGUAAACAUGCUAUCCAUCACAUGUAUGUCCUGUUAAGUAUUUUAUAAGGUCGGACUUUACACAUGUGGUUAAGUUAGCUCUUUAAAACUUAAAGAAGAUUUGUCUUAUGAUGAGCAUCCUAUAUGUAUUGUGGAUAGGAAAGAGCAAGUUCUAAGAAGGUGGACUAUUCCUUAUGUUAAAGUGCAAUGGAGUAAUCACACAGAAUGAGAAGCGACUUGGGAUUUGGAAGAAAAUAUCAAAGAGAAGUAUCCUUACCUUUAUGAAGACUAAGGUAAGCGUUUAAGGGACUAAACUCUAUUUAAGGAGGGGAUGAUGUAAUAUCCCUCACAAAAAAAAAAUUAUUUUAUUUGAUAAUUAUAGAUAUGGUCAUGGGGUUAUUAAUAAAAAGAAAAAAAAGAAAAGACUUUUUAGAAAAUAAAGUAGAUAUAUUUUAGUUGGUAUCAAGAUUACGUUAUCAUGUUUAAAAAGAGAAUCAGUUAGUUUUACCUUAUUAUAUUUUAAAAAGAAAAUAAGUCAAUUUUAUCUUAACACAUUUAAAAGAAAAACAAUUAGUUAAUCUUAUCAUGUUUUUUUUAAAAAAAGUAGUCGAUUUUAACUCAGCACGUUUAAAAGAAAAGCAAUCAGUUGAAAAAAAUCAGUAAAAAUUAAUUUAGUCUUAUAUCAUUAGGCUUAAGAGAAAACCAGUCAAAAGAAGGAAGAGAAAAAGAAAGAUAGAGAAAAAAGAAAAGUAUUUAAGGAAUUUUUGAUUAAUGAAUGAUCAGGGUUUUAUGCUCUUAGUUUAGGCACAAAAAUCUUAAAUUAUUUUGUAUUUUUUUAACUUUUAUUCAAAUUCGGUACUGUUCUGAUAACUUUCCAGUGACAUGAUAGGUACCAAUGGAAAAGUCUUGAAAAGAUCUUUCUAAUAGUUUUUGUAGCAUUUUGUUAGACUUUAUGAAUAGAAAGAUACAAAUUUUUGAAAUUGAUUGAAAAUCUGAUUUUAACAAUUUUAAUGGCCCAACUUUGGGUCACCGGUCAAUAACAUUUUGGGUCAUUACAAAUGGUAUCAGAGCCUGCGCAAAUUCGAUGUGCGCUUUCACAUUGUUUUGUUGAGAUUUUGGUCUUGUGAAUGAUUUGUGACAUUAAUGAGAACAUAAAAAAUUUAAAUAGAUGGGAUUGUGAUGCCUUACAUCUGAUGUGAAUAUGAUUGUUAAGACAUAUAUAAUAGUCUAAGUUUAUUACAACUAAUAACUUGAAUUUAAAUUUUUUAAGGUAAUGUGAUUUAUGCUUGAAAAAUUAAUGGAUUAGUACUUAGAUUUGGAUCGUUAUAAUAUAUAUAUAUAUAUAUAUUGAAAAAUGAGUAUGAAAUUUUAAAAAACAGACAAAAAAGAAGAAGAAAAUGUCCUAUUUUGAGAAUGAAAUGGAGAUACGAAAUUGUUGAACUUGGAAAAGUAGGCAUCAGAUAGAUGAAGUGGACGGAGCAUAUCCUUGGAGAUAUGUAUAUCUUAUUCGUGAAACUUGGAUACAGCCAUUACAAUUUGACCACGUGGCAAUCCCCAUAUCAUGAAACAAGAUGAAGAAAAAUCUUAGGAACACUGGCCUACACUAUAUAUACAGUUCAAACUGACAAAAACAGAUGAUUUCCCAGAAUCUAGAACCCAAGUUUUCUUGUAAGGAAGGAAAUAUGUCCAUUACACCAUCUCAACAAAGUUUCCUAACCAACGCUUUUACAUUUACUCACAAACCCAAAACCAAGCGUCUCAGCUCUGCUACUUUCAUCUCAUGCAGAUACCAGUCAGAUGACCACAAAGAUUCUGCCUGGUAGCUAAUUUUCAUGCCAUUUCACUUCUCUUUGCUUCUUGCAAUGCAACUAUGUUCCAUGACGGAGGAUUGUGUUUUGGUGCUGAAUUUUCUACAGGAGAAAUGAGAAGCAGUUGGCAAAGCUAGCAAUAGUGACACUGGCAGCUGGAGUGUUGACUCUGGGCUCAGUUGGUGAUGCAUCAGCUGCCAAGACGGGUGGUAGAGUUGGUGGUCAAGCGUUUCGUUCAUCAGCUCCUCGCUCAGCCCCAAGAGCCAACAGCAAUUCGAGGUAAUUCAUCGGUUAAGUUUUGUUGGUGUUAAUUUUGUUUAGGCCGCUGGUUUUAGCAUCUCCUUUGGAUAUUAAUUAGAUAGAUUCAGUUGUUUGACAAAUAGGAAUUUUUUUUUUUGACGUUAUUGAUCAAUAUUGAGCACAUAAUGUUACUUGGGAACUUGGAUUUCUUAAUUUUUAAUGUGUUGUUGUUUGAAUUUUGAAAGAAUUAAGCUCUGAAUAUAUGCGCAGUGUAGGUGGGUACUAUAGAAAAGCAGUUGAAAAAGCCUCAUUUGUGCUUUUAAUAUACACAUUAUACUAAUUUCAAAGAGAUAGAGGGCUGAUGCGAAGCUUUUAGCUGCAAGUUCAGCUAAAUGGUAGCCUUGUUUGUUCUUUAUAAGGAGAGAUUUGCAUAAGCAGGAAUCAGUCACUAGCUAGAGAAUGGCUUUCUAUUUAAGUACGGAAAACUUUAUCUUUUAGUCACAAUUGGUAUUUCUAAUAGUCAAUAGUUCUCUAGGACUUAUUGAACUAUAUGAAAUGCUAGGAGUACUGUCACUACCUUCUGAUGCUGAUCAGGAAGGAAAAAUUCUACAAGUCUAGAUGGGAGCACUCUUGAAUUUACUGUAUAAUUUUUGCUUUCUUUUAAGUUGGCAUUGCUAUGUACUGGGUCAGAUUGAAAUGAUGCUCAAUAUUGAAAAAAAGUUGAGGAGAAUCUUAAGUAAUAUGCUGAGCCACUUCAAAUUCAGUAAUUGAUGGAAUGGCAUUUGUCGUCCUCAUUGCAAGCUUUUAUUAUUUGAUCAUAAGUCUAAUUCAUUCUGUGACACCUUGAUUUGACCAAAAUUAACUGGUUUCUUGAAAAAAGUCAGGACCCAGAACAUAUUCUUCAUUCUAGAUUGAAAAACAGGAUGAGCAAUGAGAUAGGUUGCUCCAACUUUGCCAUUAUAUAAACGUGGUGGCUAGAGAAAGUAUGUGUAGGUCAGCAAGCAGGAUUUUCACCCAUAUAAGCUCAGCUGCAGUGAAGGCUAUAGCUCUACACCUGGCCUCAGUAGAUGACUUAGCACGACGACAUCCCAAGAUUAGCAUUCCUCCCAAAUACACUAUGUUGGCUUUUGUUGAUUUACAAAUUGCAAUCAUCUAAACGGUUCACCCAGUUAUAAUUAGACUCAGAGAAAGCUGUGGGAGUAAGAGCAGACUGCUUCUUGAAUGAUAGAUGGGAAUGAGUUAAUGACCUUGAGUUAUCACUGGAUUCAUCUGUAAAUGUGAUGAACAUGCAUAAACUGAGACACUUGUUUACUGAAAAUGCGAAAUCAGGCAUCAUUCUAGACAAGUAUUGAAGGAUAAAACCCCAUAGCAACAAAGCGUGCCUUGUAACUUUUAUUAUAACCAUCAAGUGUUCUCCUAAUGCAAAAAACACACUCACUUUUGACAAAUUUUGAGCUUUAGAUGGUGGAACAAGCUGGAAGUUCAAGUGUUCACAAAGCCAUUAAAUUCAGUGCAGUGAUGGCAGCCUUCUGUUGCGGAUCUUUCAUAGCUUGAAGCAUAUUGUAGGUUCAAGAGAAACAGGAAUAGGAUGCAUCACAGUAGUGUAAAUUCUUUGGUCUGAAAGUAUUACUUUGUGAGAAAGUGGCCAUUAGAUGAGUCCAAGGAGGCUGAGAGAGAUUGGAUGCAGAAUUGAGAGAGGGUUGGGAUUGGAAUUUGAAACAGGUUCAGCUGAGGAAAACAGUAGUCAUUGAGUCAUCAGGUUGAAGUGGGUGACUUGCUAAAGAAUUCUAACCUGAGGAUGUCACUACUGCAGACCUUAAUGGAAUAGAGAAAUGGCUGUUGCACUUGAAGAUUGAUUGUCAGAUGAGAAAUUUGUGAGAGGAACUGAAGCAAUUAUAGGAGGAGCAGAUGCUGCAACAAAAGUAUAAGUUCUAAUCUGUUGAGCGGCACAAUAAGCAUUAAUUCUAGGCUGUGAUAAAUAAAGAGAAGAAGACCACUGCAUGUCAUGAAAUGAAUAUUUCUAGGCAGUUGGAUCAAAACACUUAUAUGCACUCUAUGAAUGGACCAUUCAAGAAAAACACAUGGAUGUGAUUUUGGUUGAAGUUUAUGACGAUUGUAAAUCAAGCCAAGGAUAGCACAAACACUGAAACACAUUGAGCUAACAAUAAUUAGGUGUAAUGAGACCUCAAAAGGUGUUUUCUUAUUCAAAGCUGAAGAUGGUUGAAUGCAGUUUGAAAUGAAUAGACCAGAAAGAUAAUGGCUGUGAUGCUUAAUGUAAGAGAGUCAAUUCACUUUCAACAAUGUGUCUGUGCCAUCUUUCAGCAAUGCUGUUAUGUUGUGGUGUGUGGAAGCAUUUGAAAAUGUGAAAGACCGUGAUCUAUAAAAAUUUGACUAAUUUUCCAUUCCCCUCCAUUAUCAGAAUAUGUACUAGAGAGUUCACAGAUAGCCAGAGAGGCAGAAGUUCUAAAAAAAUUUCUUGUGCUACUGGCAGUUAUUAGUGCAAAAUUUUCACCAUCAUUGUUGGAUGAAUGACUGCCCUUGGUUGGCAAAUUACUGCUGGACUCCAAGUCAAAUUAACUUUAGGAAUGAGAGAAACAUCAGUGCCUUCUUCAUGCUUGAGAGAAGUUCCAUCAAUGAGUUUGCCAUGGAGUUCUAUAGCUUUGGUCGCAGUAAUAAUUUCCUUGAAGUCUGGCCCAAUACCUUUGAGAAUAUACAGCUCAAUAAUCAUUGUCUACAGGAUUUUAAAGGAGUACAACCUCAUCAGCUAUGAACUUCAUUGUUUGUAGAUAUUUAUUUCAUUGAUUUUUCAAGUACAAAUAAUUAUAGAUACAAUAAUUAUAGAUAAAACAAGAUCAGGUCUGGUACCACACAAGAUUGAAUCUGUAUGUUUGAAAUAAAAUCAAAGCUUUAGAAUUGAAAUAGUUUGAAUCAUUUAAAUAUUCUGACUUGCUUGACUGCGCUAGCUUCUUCUCUCCUGCCAUUUGGUCAAUUACAUUAAAUCAGACUCUUGUAAUGUUGUAAACUAUUUUAGAUGGCUAGCAAAAGAAGUAGAUUAAAUUCAUUGCUGAACCUAAGGCCAUAGUUUCUGAUUGAAAGUCAUGGUGAUAUGAAACUAUUGUUAUAUUAAUGACCUUCAUAAUUUGUGCUUAAAAUUAAGAACCAUUAAACCAUUUUGUCAGAGAACAGAUGAGGGGUUGGAAAUAUUCAGAAUAGUUUGAAUGUUUUGUUACUUUGAUCCCAUAAGCAUUUUGAUAUUUAGGCCAUUGACAAGAAAACAAAGUUCUACAUUUUACAGAUUCAAAAAAAAUAUAUAUAUAUCAGCAGGUAGAGUUUGGUGUUUUGUCAUGGAAGAACCCUUACUUGAACCAAGUAGAAAGGAGCUAGUAGACGUGCCUAAGAAAUUAGAUUGUCAAGAAUCAAAAUGCUCUAAAUGAAAUGUGAACUGAUUAUUUUUAUUUUGUCUUUAGCUUCUUCAUCAAAUUUUGGUCUUUGACUUCGUUCAUAUUUUCAGUGGACAAAUCUGUUUUGCUAAUGCUUAAGCUAAUGUUUGUCCAGGACCAAUAUUUAUAUCAAUCCACCAGUUGCCCCACCUCUAGUCGGUGGGUAUGGCUAUGGUUUUGGUGUGCCAUUCUAUGGUGGCUGGGGUUGGUCACCAUUUUCCUUCUUUGCUCCAGGUCCCAGUGUUGCAAUUGGUGUUGGAGGUGGAUUUGAAACUAUUGUCUUCUUUUUGUUUCUUGGUGCUGUUGCAGCUGUUGUGAGGAGAUUCCUUGGAUCAAGAGAUGAUGAGGAUGAGUAUUAGUCAAUCGAUGGAAACGAGUAUUUUGAGACUUGGGUGAAGUAAUAAAUAGAGAUGCUCGACUCACAUAUCGGUAGCAACUAUUGUAUUUUGCUGUGAGAAUAUAAUGUAUAUUUUGAUGAAUUUUUAUGGAUGAUGCAGCCUGCUACCACUUUGGAAUUUUCAAAAUGGAAGGAAAAAGAGAACUGUUAGUAUUUAAACAUGUUGCGUUUGACACAUUCAAGACACUAAAUUUUCGUAUCUUAAAUGUGUGACACGAUUAUAACAUAAAACACUAUAAGAAUAAACUUAAAACUCUAACUUUAAAUCUUCUUGUAUCUUGUCUAAAAUUAUCAAGUCUAGUUUAUGUGGUCAAAUAUUAAGAAAAUUAAAAGUGGAUUAAGAAUGAGUUUUGAAACUUGAAGUUUUAGAUCGUGGAUAUCGAUUUAUAUUGUUUUUAUGCAUGGAUUUCAUAGAACAAUGUUUUAAUCGAGGUUUUUAAAAGGUUUAAUUUUGUAAAAAAAUUUAUCAAAAAUUGAGAAAUUAGGGAGAAUGUAAGAAACAGACCCUAAUGGGUUGAGUUUUGACCAAUCAAGUAAGGGUCGACUUUGCUGGAGGUUGAAGAAGAGUUGUAUAAGCGGCGAAACAAGGCCCAAUGCAUGGGGGAAGCACGUGUGACCUACUCGUGUUGAGUGUUUCGACUGUUUAGAUAGUUCUCUUUUACUCGUCAUUUACUACCCAUUUGUACUAUUUUUCUAAUUUUUAAAAUAUGUUUUAAUUAGUUAUUUCGACUAUUUUGGUGAGGUAUUUUUAGAAUGUAUGUGACAAAAAAAAAAUAAUAUGUAUUGUUUUAAGUUUAAUGGUAGUAUGCACCUUCUUAGAUAUUUGUGUAUUUUAUAUACACUCGAAAUAAAGUUAUAUUAAUAAUUAAAUCUUAUAAAGUGAGUUUUUCAAUCCAACAAAUAUAUUUUGGUGAAUGGAAAUAUAAUGAUUGAAUAUCUCAAAAGGUUAUGUUAUAUAUGUCUAUGAUUUUGAGACAUGAUGCCUAUGAUCAUUAAGUUUUUCUUUUUUUUUUAAAGAUAUGUGAUGUUAUUGCUAGUUGCCAUAGUCAAAAUAAACUAUGAAAUUUUAUGAGUACAAGAUGAAAAUAUAGUAUAAAAACUAAAACCCCAAAACAUAUGGAUCUAAUUCGGAGAUAUUGGGUCCAAACUAAACCCAUGGACCAAACUUCUCGCUAAGCCCACCUAACUAGACAAGGAAAAUUUCAUGCAUGUACUCAAUAAAAACUCUUAACUCAUCAACUAUCCAAACAUAUUCGAUCCUCAAUUAAAUUCUUCUUAGCUUAUCUCAAUAGCAGGCUUUCAAGUCAACUCAAAACACUGCUCCACCUCCAUUGCAUAUGUGCCCAAAUCCCUUUAAAUUACUCUUAGUUGCUAUCCAAGAAACAAACCACUAUCCGCAUCUUGCAUACCAAUUAAUUGGUGUCCACACACCACCUUGUUCGAAUAAAUCAAGAAAAAUAUUCGAUCAUCCCACCAACUCUAUCCACAUAUCAACCUAAUCUCUACAAAACCCCCACCUGAGUCAAUAUUUAUUUAAAUAUAGUAGGCAACUUCCUACUCCAAUACAAACUCAACAAUUUAAAAUUGAUUUGGAUUUGUCUAUAAAACUCAGCACAAAAAUAUGGCUCAUACUUUAACUCAACCCAACAAUAUAAAACUGUAUUUUUUAGUUUAAAUGAACUGCUCAACCUACUGUCCAACUUUUCAGACUCCUUCACGUACACUCAUGUUUCAAAUCGAAUUCCAUCCUCAUUUAAAAUUCCUAAACCAUUUCAAACUCUUAUCACUUACUUACUAUCUCCACCUUAUUCAUAUCUCUUUAAGUAAACGUUUGAAAAAGUACGUCUCUUCUUUGAAUAUCAGCUUUUGCCAAUAGAUCAGCUUCUUUAUUAGCUUCCCAUCUUCACACACCAAAAUCAGACCUAUUUAAAGAUCCGGAUCACCUCUCUCUUCCCUUUUCAUUGCAACCACCAUUUGAAUAAAAUCUUCUCUAGAAUUCUCAAAUGCCAAACUAACCACAUUACCAAUAUCCCAUGUUAUUUCAACCUCCAUUAGAUUAAUGUCAGAAGUAAGAUAUUGAUUCGAGUCUUGUACAAAUUCCUCAAUAACUUCCUUCGCCCAUUUAUUGCUUGAUAAUUCUAUUUUAUAAAAUUAUUUGUCUUAUUUUGUUCUUAAAAGCUAGCUAAGUUCUUGACUUUAGAUUAAGAUUUAGUUAUUUUUCUAAUUAGUUUACUUCAUUAUGUUAUUUUAUUUUAUGCUAUUUUUAUGUUUAUUUACUUUAUUUUAAUUAUAAUUUAUUAGUUUUAUACUUUUGUAAGAUUUUAAGGAAUAAGGCAUCAAAUUGGUGAAGAAAGGUGAUUAAAGGACCAAGACUUUGAUCAAAUAUGUUGUGGUAUUUCGAGUAUAACUUCCAUUCUAGAUUUCUAAAUGACAUGAUUUUUAGACCAUUGGAAAGUUAUAAGACAGAGCUACAACUUUUCAUGAAGAUCACUUUGCCCAGUUCUACCUUGAAGAUAGAGUUGGAAGUUGACAGAGUGUAUUAGUCAGUAAGAGAAGACAUAAAGCUAGGCUAAUGCCGCAGCAUCGAAGGGAUGUGCUACGGCGUAAAGAGGAAAAAUAUGAAGAAUGAGUGUGGAAAAGAAAAGUUUGUGGGCUGAUUAAGGUUUUAUGGGUUCUACAAUUAUUCUAAGCUUAUAUUAAAAGUCAAGCAGGUUAAAUUAGGAAGAUUAGAUUAAGUUAGUAGUAUUUAAAGAGAGUUUGAGGAGAAGUUAGCCAUAUAAGUCUACCCUAAAAGAGAUUCAAGAGCUUAGAAAUUAAGGUUGAAGAUUGAAGAUUAAGGCUGCCAAUAUUCAUUUCUUCCUUUUCUUUAGCUUUUAUUAUUUGUAUAACUCUUGAUGACUAAAUUUCAUAUGUUUUUAUUUAUUAUUGAAAUUAUGUGUAUCUAUUUUCUUUCCUUUAGGAUUGCAAUUGAACUCACAUGUAGUUUAAAUUUUUAAUCUCUUUCUUGCUUACUUUCAAUGGAAUUGAAUUAUUUAUUCCAAUUGAUUCUUAAUGCUUUUAAUUGCUUGAUCACCAAUUAAAUUGAUUUGGAAACCUCAACAUAACUUAAGAAAGAAAGUUUAGAAUAGGCUAAAAUUAGAAUAACUUAUGAUCAUAUUUUUUUGUUUGGAUGAAUAAAUUGAUUUGUGUAUAAGAGAGAUAUACCUAUACGUUAUAUGCAGCCAGUAUUAGAGCUUAAACUUAAUGAGUUUGUUUUAAUUUCAAUACACAUAGAGAUAUAACGUUUUAAUUAAAGUAAAUAUUUUUAUAAGAGUUUCUAGAGAGCCUUAUAAAUAAUUGAAGACUUUAGGUUAGCAAUUUAACCCAUUAGAAUAAAUUAAGAGAGAGAGAGGUAAGAUUUAGAUGAAGUGUGAGAGAUAUUGUAAUCUUAAGUGUUUUUUUGGUUGAUUUUUAUCCAAUUUUAUUAUUGCUUUGAUUUUUUUAGUUUAAAUUAUUGUUAAUUAGAUUUAGUUAAUUUAUAAUUUAUUUAGUUACUUAAUUUUGUUUGUUUGGAUAAUACUAAAUUGUGAUAAUUUUAGUACUUAGUAAAAUUUUAGAUCAAUUCUCUAUAGGAUCGACACUGUACUUGCCAUUAUAUUAUUUGUUCAAUACGUAUACUUGCAUGGUUAGAAAAAUAAAACAACAUUGCUUCGCAAACCUUACCUCCUUUACUAUUCGAUAAUUUGUCUUUGUUGCAACCUUUCUUACCUCUAGGUCUUUUGAUUAUACUUCCCUUUCCACCUUACCUCUUAACUUAGCAUCACCUUCAUAAAUUUUACCUUUGACGUGAAUCAUAACUUGCAAUAUAUAGGUUAUAAUUUGGUCCCAUCUUUGUUUUUCAGCUGCAAACAAGUCCACAAUUUCUUCAUUAGCAUUAUUUUCACCUUGAUACUAUUUUUGUGUUAUCAUAUCCACCUCCUCUAAACUGGAUAACCAUGUGGUAUUUGAUGUAGAAUCCUUGUAAAGAGACCUUAGUGCUUCCAACUAUUCAUACUUACUUGGAAAUUCUAAAUUUAAAGAACUCAAAUUUAAAAGACUUGUAACCAAACAAGAACACUCCAUAUAAUUAAAUUCUCUCUCUUCAUUAUAUACCAUAAUAGCAUUAUUUUCCAAACAUUCCUCAUUAUUCGGAUUCGGACUCUUAUUCCCAACAUUGAUCGCCCUCUUUUCACAAGAGUCCAUUCCAACAUUCUCUUCCUUAUUCACACUAUCUGAAUAGUCCUUCCUAAUGACAUUGUUUUCAAUACCACCUUUCAGUAAAUGUGUCUAAAUUUGAACAAUCUUGUUUAAAUUUCGGCUGUCCUUCUCCAUUUUAUUCCCCUGAUCUAAAAAAUGAACAAAUUUAAAAUUUAAAUCUUGUUGCACUCCUAAGUUAGGUUUGAAUUUUGAACCUCCUUCAUUUCUAAAAUCUAUAGAUAAUCGUGUAAAAACAUUUUCCACCGAGAUAUCAUUCUAAUUGCCACCAUUAUCAAAUUUAUGCCGAAUCCCUCUAGAUUGCAUGUGUCCCCGUAAGACUUUGGCAUCUUUUUCCAGCUCUUGAUUUUGAAUUCAAAUUUGAAUUUUGAAUUGCAAUUGGGAUCUUGCAUUCACUAGCCAAACAUGCCCUAUCAUUAGAGCCAAACGUUCCCCUCUUCAUAUCAUCCUACUCCUACUGCCAAUUAUUACUUGAAUAUGGUGCUUUUAACACUUCCAAUACCAAAGUAAGGAUUUUAUAUUGGCUAUCACCUAUAGGUAAUGUUGUGAAAGCCAGAAUGCAACUCACUUUUCUAACUUUAAUAACUAUGCACCCAAAAUUAAAUUUGCUUAAAGCCAUCAUACAAACAUCUAAUCUCACAAAAUCAUCCCAUUUAUCCCUUAAAGCGUUGAAAAGAUUGUAAUGCCAAAUAUGCAAUGGAACAUCUUUUACUUUCAUCCAACAAAAGAAUUCCUAUCGCACUAAUUUUCUAUCAUAGGCCAUUAAAUUACUCAACCAUGGUUGAAAGCAAUUCAAAUAAUCAUCAAUCAACACUUUCAUAACCUCAUUAUCACAGAAGGUAAGUAGUACUUGGAAUUCCCCCAUUGGUCGAACUAUAACCUCAAUCCUUUGCAUCAUGAGGCCUUUUUGCAAGUCACCCAUUGAACAACCAUCCCAAAAGGUCCCAAUAACAUUACAGUUUAGCCACGCAUAGUUAGUUUUUGGAAUAAAUAUCGAGGCCUCUUCCUCUUCUUUAUUUUUCAUAUGAGGUUCCACCUUAGGCUUUCUUUCAACAUGCACCCGCUUUUCACCCUUCCCAACCUCCUUGAAGGUUCUAAAUAGGCCUGAUCUACCAUUGAUUUAUCCAAAAAUGGCACAAGCAUUCUUCUUCCUACUAUAUUUCCAUCUUUAACCAGCAUUCAUCUUCUAACUAUGUACAGCUCAAUACCACCCCUGAUGGCUACCUUCAACUCCCUUUCCUCCCCACACUUAACAAAAACAUCCAAUCACCACCACUAAUUCAUCAAAAACCUCUUUAAUUUCAGCCUAGGAAACUCCCUUUGUGAUAUUAUCCAUGAAAAUUGUAUACAGAGAUUUCCACCAUCACGCCAACUCUGAUUGACCACGAAUCUUUGUGCCCUGAAACCCAUAGCUCUAACAAUCCGUAGCUGCUUCUCCUCCCCACACUUACCAUAAAAAAGCUCUCCUCUCUCUCUCUCUCGCUCUCUCAUUUUUUUAUAUGUGGUCCAAGCCUAUGAUUAUUAAAAAACAUAUCCGAUUAUAAGAGCAGUUUCAUUAUGCUAAUUCAUUUGUAGUCAUUAAAGUGGCAAAUUGACUAGUGUUAUGAAAUUAUUGUUCUCAUAUGUUUUAAGGAUUUUUAUGGUUCUGGUAUGCAUUCAUUCGUCUAAAGGUGGUGUUUAUAUAUUAAAAUUAGAGGAUAACAAAUAAAAGCAUGUGUGUGAGAAUUGACUACCUUCAGUGAUUUAUUCACUUAACGGUGGUAUCUUACAAAUGUUGUGUUAUAUUUGCUUAAUUCUUUUUAUGUGAAAGAGCUCCUAAAUACAUGUCAUGCAUUCAGCUUAAAGCUGUUUAUGCUUGAACCCUUUGGUUAUACUCAUUUAUUAUUUUUUGAGUAUAUAUAAAUCACCCUAUUUAUUCAAAUUCAAUUACAUUAUUUAAAUUUUCAAUCACAUUUUCUAUCAAUAACAAUAUGGCCACUAUUGAGAUUUUUACUAAGUCAAACUUUAAGAAUUGGAAAAGAGAUAUUGAGCUUGCUAGUUAUAUGUCAAAGAUAGAUCUAGCCAUAAAUGUAGAUAGGCCUACAAAACUUACUAUUGAGAGCUUUGAGAAUGAUAAGAAAGCUUUAGAAGUAUAGGAGAGAUUUAAUAGAUUUUGUCUAUUUUUUAUUAAGAGGUCCAUUCAUAAACAACCACUAAGUGGACUUCCUGAUAAAACUAAUGCAAUAGAGUUCUUAGCUACAAUAGUAUAAAGGUAUAGGGCGUUAUCAAAUGUUGAAAUUGACACUUUUUUUAAAAGUUUUAUUCCAUGACUAAUGAUGGGAUAAAAGGAGUUAUGGAGUACAUGAUUAAGGUGGUCGAUUAUCAAACCAAAUUGAAAGGCGUUGAUAUCAUUAUUCCCAUUGCUUGAAUUGCUCACCAUGCCUUGAACACCCUUCCACCUAAAUUUGGGCAUAUAGUCAUUGCUUACUGUUGGUCCCAAAAUAAGUGCUAGAGGGGGAUGAAUAGUAUUUAAAAAUUUUGUAGGGAACUCUUUAAGUUUUAAACACUUUUGGAUGACUUAAGAUGGAAAGUGUGAAGACUUGUUGAGGAGAGAACAGCAAGUAAGGAGAGGAUUAAGAGAAAUGGACAAAACACAAUAUCUAUAGUGGUUUGGUUCCUUUGACCUACAUCCACUACCUUGAUCUUCUCAAUCAAGAAUUUUCAACCCAACUUCAUUGAAACAAGUGGAAUUAAUAGCUUUCACCAAGCUUUUACAAGUUAAGCUUCUAACCCAAGCUCCAAACCCUUACAACAGUCUCUAAGCUUUCCUAAGGUUAGUCUACCUCUUAGAAUGCCUUCCACACUCUAAGUAAACAAGGAACAAAUAUAAGAUGAAGUACAAUUGAGCACCUAGUUGACUUAAGAUGUAUAAGCUUCAGUUUAAACAAUUUUACAAAGGAUAGGAGUGGAAUGCACUUAAAAAGAGAAGCUUUUGGUUCUUCUUGGCUUAAUCUCAUUUUUGGGUGCUUCUCUAAUGCGUUUAUUUCAUUUUGAACCCCUUUUAUACUUGGAGAGUGAAAAUAGACCGUUGAAGAUAGUUUGGAAACAAUUUACCCGUUAAUUUACCUUUCAGAGUUUGAAAUUCAAAUCUGUCUAGCCUUUUAAUCGAAUAAAAUAGAUUUUAACUAAUUAAAAUCUUUCUAUCUAUCUUUCUGUGCUUCAGGUUAAUCGAUUAAAAUUGACUUUAAUCUAUUAAAACUAUUUUGUCUGUCUCCAUUGUUCCAAGUUAAUCGAUUAACCUUGUCUUUGAUCGAUUAAAAGCUCUCUACUUCUUUUUUGAUCGAUCACUAUGAUUUUUGAUCAAUUAAAAUCUCCUUAGGUUCAAAUUUCUUCACUUGAUGCCUUUUAACGGUCAACUCAAAUUUGAAUCUUCAAUUUUUGACACUAAGGUACCUUUUCAUUGAAUUUUAAUUGAUUAAACUCUAUGGUUAAUUGAUUAAAGUUGUUGCAAUAUCCUCUAGUACUGUUUUAAUCGAUUAUACCUUAUGUUAAUCGAUUAAAAUCCCUUUGCUUGUCUUGGUGUGCAUUCCAGUGUUGUUUUAAUUGAUUAAAAUUCUGUGUUAAUCGAUUAAAACCUUUUUGUCCUUAUCAAAGUCCAUUCCAAUGUUAUUUUAAUUGAUUAAAUCAUAAAUUAAUUGAUUAAAAUCUCUCUAUGAAGUUUUAAGUCCUUCUUUUAUAUUGUUUUGAUUGAUUAAGAUGAAAUGAUGAUCGAUUAACCUUCAUGAAACAUCUUCUAUUUUGCUUAAAUCACUUUCUUUGGACUUGAGACUUAUCCUGGGGAAUUUGGGAUGUGAGAUAAACAUUAAUAUACCCAUUCUACCCCUACACAUUUAAGUAACAUAGUUCGAUAUUAAUGAAUGAGGAAUGUUUUGUUAUUAUAAAAAACAUAUGGAGUCAACACUUGCAACUUUGAAGAAGACACUUAGAGUAUUAAUGAUUUUAUGAUCACUAUAUGUGUUGUUGAAGAUAAGAUCAAAAGUGAAAAAGCCAACAAUACUUUUCUUGUUACCAAAACUCAUCACAAUAAAUGUAAGAAAUCUAAACGUAAUGCUCUUAAAAAAGUUCAAGAUAAAAAGAAUGAAUCUAGUCAAUUUGUCAAUGUGGGGGGUCCAAGAGUUAUCCUUAAGAAGGAACUUAAAUUUUUUUUUUCCAAGAAGAAUGGACAUAAGAAACAAUAUUGUCUUAAAUAUUAAACUUGGAUAAAGAAACAUGAGUGUGAAGGUAACUCUUGGCUCUUGUUAUACAUAAAUCCAAUUUAAUUGAAGCCCCAUUUAGUUUUUGGUGGCUAGACAAUAGUGCUAUUAAUGUUGCUUUUACCUUAUAAAGGUUCAUAAGUAAGGGGAAGUCAAACAAGGAAUAAUCCAAACUCAUGAUUAGUAACAAUGUAAAGGUGGAAGUCAAGUUUGUAGGAAAUGCUUGCUUAAAUUUAAGUACUAGAUUUACAACUUUUAUUGGAAGCCAAUUUCUAUAUACUAUCAUUUAAAUGAAAUUUAGUUUUUGCUUUUGUGUCACACAUUAUUAGUUAUGCUUUUUAAAAAAAAUAUUAAAUUAUUAAUAUAAGGCAAAACACUAAAACAAGCCCUUGAACUAGUUAAAAAAAAUUCAAAUAAGUUCUUAUUCUUUUAGUACGUUUAAUUAAGCCCUUGUACUUUUAUUUUGAGUCAAAUAAACCCUUAUAACUAAUGGUUGACUAAUUUUUAUUAGUUAAAAUAUCACUUGUCAAUUUAUAUCCUCGUGACAUUGACAUGGUGUUGAUGUGACCAUGUCAUUAUGUCACAUUAACAUGUUACAUCAUUAUCAAUUAUGACAUUUCAACAUGUCAUGUUAACACCACGAGACAUAGAAUGAUAAAUGGCGUUUUAGCUAAGUCAACCAUUAAUCAUAAGGGUUAAUUUGGCUCCGAACAAAAGUAUAAGGGUUUAUUUGGUUCAAAAUAAAAAUAUAGGAGUUUGAUUGAACGCAAUAAAAGAAUAAGGGCUUGUUUGAAUAUUUUUGAAUAGUUUAGGGUCUUUUUAAGUAUUAUGCAUUAAUAAAAUUACUGAUUAAAAAAUAUUGGCUAACGUACUUUUCCACAAUUAUUAUGUAGAUUGUGUUUUGCUCCUACUAAUAUUUAUACCAUCUCAUACAAUGUGGACACAAUUGCCAAAAAAACUUGCAUAAAGUAAACUUAUUUCGUGUUCUGGCAUAAAAGACUUGGCCACAUUGCCAAGGAAAAAGUAAUAAGGUUCAUAAAUGAUAACAUCCUACCUGCUCUUAUUUCUAAUGACCUGGAGACAUGUGUUGACUAUUAUUGACCAUGAUAAAAGGCAAUGAAUCAAAAACUGAGGUUCUGAUUUAUUCAAACUUAUUCACACUAACAUAAGUGAACUAUUUACCUUUUCUAUCUACAAUCUAAGUAUUUUUUGACAUUUAUUGAUGAUUUUCUCAUUAUGGUUAUCUAUUCUUAAUUGAAGAAAAGUUUGAAGCUUUUGACAAGUUCAAGAUAUUAUAGCAAAAGUUAAGAAACAUUUGGGAAAAACCAUUAAGAAAAUUAUCAAGUCCAAUAAAGGUGGUGAGUAUUAUGGCAAACAUGAUACAAUAGAACAAUAAAAGGGGUUUUUCCCUAAAUACUUAAAAUGUUGUGGAGUAAUGACCAAUACACUAUGUUUAGCAAUCUUGAACAAAAUAGUGUAGUUGAAAGGCAAAAUUGCAUUGUAAAGGAUAUGAUGGGGAGUAUGACGAGUGGACCCAAUUUACCAAAAUUUUUUAAGAGAGAAGAAAUCGAAAAAGUGUUUUAUAUUUGAAAUAAAAUCCCUACCAAAUCUAUGCUUAAAACCCCUUUCGAGGUGUGGAUCAAAUGGAAACCUAAUGUUGAUCACUUAUGUGUUUGGUUAUGUCCUUCGGAAGUGCCUCGUUGUAAUCCAACUAGGAUUAAAAUAUAGUAUAGCUCAUUGCUAUUUUAUUGUGUACCUAGAUCAUUCCAUGGGUUAUAGAUUUUAUUAUUCAAGUGGAGGUGGUAAAAUUGUUGAGGCAAAAACAAAUAAUUUUUUGGAGUUAGAUCUCAUUGAUACUAAUUGCUCUUAAUAUAGAGAUAGAGGGGAGCAUACUGUGAUGAUAAGUAUUCCUAUACCCAUAUAAAAGGAUACCGUGGCACACAAUAGUUAGGGAACAUAAUCCUGUUCAACUAAGAUGGAUACCUAGUGCUGAUCACUUAUGUGUUUGGUUAUGUCUUUUGAAAGUGCAUCUUUGUAAUCCAACUAAGAUUAAGAUAUAGUAUAGCUCGUUGCUAUUUUGUUGUGUUUCGAGAUCAUUCUAUGGGCUAUAGAUUUUAUUAUUCAAGUGAAGGUUGUAAAAUUGUUGAGACAAAAAUAAAUAACUUUUUACAAUUAGAUGUGGCUGAUACUAAUUGUUCUUAAGUUAGAGAUAGAGGAGAGCAUACUAUAACAAUAAAUAUUCUUAUACCCAUACAAAAGGAUAUCGUGGCACAUAUCAGUUUGUGAACAUAAUCUCGUUCAACUAAGAUGGAAACUUAGUGUUGAUCACUUAGGUGUUUAGUUAUGUCUUUCAGAAGUGCAUCUUUGUAAUCCAACUAAGAUUAAGAUAUAGCAUAGCUCGUUGCUAUUUAUUGUGUACGAAGAUCAUUCCAUGGGUUAUAGAUUUUAUUAUUCAAGUGGAGGUGAUAAAAUUGUUGAGGCAAAAACAAAUAAUUUUUUGGAGUUAGAUGUGGCUAAUACUAGUUGCUCUUAAGUUAGAGAUAAAGGGGAGCAUAUUGUGACAAUACAUAUUCGUAUCCCAUGCAAAAGGAUAUCGUGACACACAUCAGUUGAGGAACAUAAUCUCAUUCAACUAGUUCAUGAUGAGGUCAUUUAACACCACAAUGUUGUAGAACAAGUACCAUAAAGAAAAUCCACAUGGAUAAGGAAGCUUGCUCUUUCCUCAAACAUUUACUAAUUCUAUCUUGAAGAAGAUGAAUAUGAUAUUGGCCAUGUAAUUGACCCAAUGAAUUUUUUUUUUAAAGUUGUUUCUAGUCCUUAGUUAGAUUUGUGGUGGGAUGUAAUCUAUGUCACAUAAUGGUGUGUGGGAACUUAUUGAGCUAUCUAAAGGUUGUAGACCCUUUAGUUGUAAAUAGGUGUACAUGACCAAGAAAGAUUUUAAACAAAAGAUUGAGUGGUUUAAAGCUAGAUUGGAAGCCAAGCAUUUUACACAAAGAGAAGUCAUUGAUUACAAUGAAAUCUUUUCUCGUGUAUCCUCUAAAGAUGCUUUUAGAGUGAUUCUGACAUUAAUAGAACAUUAUGUUUUAGAGUUACAUGAAAUGGAUGUUAAGUCUACCUUGUUGACUGGGAAUUUUGUUAAAGAGUUCCAUAUUUGGCAACAUUAAGGAUUUAAAGAGGAUGAUAAAAAUCUUCUUAUGUGUGGACUAAAAAAUUCUAUUUAUGGGCUUAAACAAGCUUCUUGACUAUGGUAUUUUAAAUUUGAUGAAGUGAUCACCUCUUUCAAUUUUGUUGAGAACAAGGUAAACAGAUGUAUACAUCUCAAAUUAAUGAAGUAACUUUAUCUUCUUUAUUUUGUAUGUUGAUGAUAUAUUGUUUGCUAAUGGUGAUUUGGACAUGCUACAAGAAACUAAAGUUAUUGUCUAGUAGGUAGUUUAACGUGAAAGAUAUUAGGGAAAUAUCCUAUGUUCUUGGGAUUGAGAUCCAUAGAGAUUGAUGUCAUCACUUGUUGCGAUUUUCUCAAUGUGCAUACAUUGAUUAUGUGUUGAAUAGAUUUUCAAUGUUUGAUUGCAAAGGUAGAGAUGUGCCCAUUGUCAACGGUGAUAUAUUGAGCUUGGCACAAUAUCUUAAAAAUGAUGCUGAGAGGGAAUCUAUGAAAGUAGUACAAUAUGCUAGUUUAGUAAGGAGCCUAAUGUAUGCUUAAAUGUGGAGAAGGCUUGACAUUGCUUUUUUAGUGGAUCCUUUAGAGAAAUAUUUGUCUAAUCUUGUUAAAGAUCAUUGGGAAAGUUGUAAAAAAGGUGAUGAGAUUUUUGAAAAUGAAAAAGAAUUAUAUGUUAGUUUACCAAAAGGCUAAAGACCUUAAGCUGGUGGGCUAUAUAAAUUUUGAAUUUGCCAAUUGUUAAGAUGAUAGGAAGUCCACAUGAGGAUACAUUUUUAUGUUGGCAAGUGGUGAAAUAUCUUGAAAAGUAUAAAGCAGGCAAUUAUGACUUCAUUCACUAAGCAAGUAGAAAUUGUAACAUGUUAUAGAGUGGCUACAAAGGUUGUCAAGUUGAAAAAUCUCAUUAAUGAAUUGUCUGUGGUUGACUCUAUUACUAAAACCAUACAAUUGUACUAUGAUAAUGUUGCAAAAGUUGUGUUCACUAAUAAUAAUAGAGGUGUCACAAGGGUAAAGUCUACAUAGAUAAAAUAUUUGACAAUUAAAGAACUUGUGAAAAAGGAUAGCAUUUUGGUAGAGCAUAUUACGACUGAUGUCGAUCUUCUCACCAAGGGACUUCGUCUUGACACUCUUAAGAAAUGUGUUUAUGACAAGGGUGUUUUGGGGUCUUUUGAUGUACUUGGUUAGUGGGAGGAUUUGACAUAGUUGUAGUUUUCUGCUUUAUGCUUAAUUUGUUUGGAACACAUAGUUGAUGGUGUAUUUAGUUUUAUUAUUAAUAAUGAUUAUUCAAUGAUAUUCAAUCAUAAAGUUUGUGUGUGUGUGUGAAGAAUUAAGACGGGUGUCAAUCUUAAGCACAGAUUUGGGGUAUAAAUUGAUAGCCUUAAGUUUAUAUCCUUGACACAUAAAAUAUAUUUGAAGAUAUUUAAGAUAGACAUAUAGGUUUAUUAAAUAAAAUAUAAAAUAUUUCUCUUGUAAGCUUGGGUUGCAUAAAAUACAUAAUAAAGUGAUUGACAAAUAAAUAUAACACAUGAAAUAGAUCAUCAAAAAAGUGUUGUUAUUCAUUGCUACAUUACCACAUGUACUUCAUGUCGAUAAGAUUGAGUGCUAUAUGUGAUUAUAAUUGGUUAUGUUUCUUUAUGGAUGUAGUUAUUGUUAUUUUCCUAUAUUACAAAAUUUAAUGGAUAAAAGGACAUUUGCAGUAGUCUCAAGAACAAUCUAUUUUAUAUUAAGCUUAUAAGGUUUUUAGUUGUGUUAGUCUAUGAGUCAUUUUUAAAGAAACUCUGUUUUCAAUUAGAUUUUUCUUUUUAAUAAUGAAAGUGUAGACUUAUAUGAUUUUAAUUUAUUUUGCCUUUUCAAGAUCAGGCUAAGUUAAUCUAUAGUCCUUAAUAUGAUCAAGUGAAAUGGAUUAGUGCCCAAUAUUAUAUGUGGCUAAAUAGUGAGCUUGUAUAGAAAACCUUAAAUCUUAUAAUUAGUAGGACUAAAGAUUCACUAUAUAAAAGGUAAGGUUAGGUCUCCUCUCUUGUUUAUAAAAACAUUGAAAAUCUCAUCCAUUGGAGAGUUGUUGAUAAACAGGAAGAUUUUAGUAUAUUGAAUUUUAGGAGUUAAUCUAACUAGUACUGUUUCCACUUUCAAGUCAUGGAUCAAAAACUAGAUAUGUCUUUUGUGUUCUAAAUUCAAUUAUGAUAAAUCUUGAGUUAAGUAUGAAUUAAUUAUACAUAAAGUAAAUCUUUGGUGAAACAUGAAUUAAUUGUACAUAAAAUUUAUCGGAAGUGUCGUAAGAUUGGUAGAUGAAGGGAUAUUGAAUGGAAAUUCUUUCCUUCAUGUACUUGUCUAUUUUUCUGCAAUGACCAAAGGAGCAGUCUCUUCUUGCGCUUCAACCAUAUACCUCGUUUAGUACAGCUGUAAAAGUAUGCCAAGUAAUAAGGUGGAAGAAGAAACCAUGGUUAUCAUUUGUGUUUCAGGUGGAUGGGCUUCUUCUGCCCAGGAUUGUGAAGUCAAGUUCAUGCAGGAUUGUGACAGUUGGUUACAAAAACGAUGCAUCGCAAUCUUAUCUCUUGCUGCGUUGCUUUGUUAGCAGGAACUACUAUUAAUAGUCCACAUCUUUAAUCUUAAAGCAGACAAGAAAUGUGAAAGAGCAAGCACUGAAAUUAAAUGUAUUAUUAGUAGAACGAAAUUGAUAACAAGUCUUAAGUAAGGCUCUAGGCCAUGACAAUUUGAUGACACUCGUGUCGUACGAGGAUUUAUGUAUCAAUUCUGUUCCCAAUAGGUCAGAACAUGAUAAGAAAUCUGUGCACAAACACCUACUGGUUUUGUAUCAGUAAACGAUAUCUCUUAAAGCAUGAGGAGAACAAAGUCCAUCAAUUCAGAAAACUUGGUAUAUUCAUGUAAGGAUUUAAAGUUGGAUUACACUUGGUCUAAGGAAUAUGGGCAGUGAAUGGUAUUUGAGCUUUACAAAAUAUGAUGUUCCUCAUUGUUUCUUUCAGUCAAGAAGUUGGACUGCUGCAAUAGCAGGUAUUUUUUCCCUCAACUUUUGAGUUAAAGCAACACGGACGGUCAUAACGCCAGCUGCAGGCCCACUAAGCCGAACUUUUACAACGUAGUCAUUUAUCUGAACAAGCUCAAGUUCCCCACCUCCAGUGCCUACCAGGUACGGUCUAAUCUCAUCAAGAACCUGCAACACUAAACUGGCUUGAGCUCUUGUUUACUCGUUUAACUUCUUUCUCCACCACAAAACAUUAUUAGUUAUCAAUAUAUAUAUCUUCACAAAAUAGUUAUGCAGGCAAUCUGAGACUAAUUAUGAGUAUCUGAAUAGCAUACUGAUUGUGGUAGCACGAUUUAGCAGUGAAGUGAAAGGGUUUCAAAGAGAAAAAUAGUUUAUUUUCAGCCAAAAUCCAGAUUUAACCCUUUGUCAUGCUUGUCGCUUUUAUAAAAAACAUUUUGUCAUUGAAGCAAACAGUAGAUCUUACUGUUUUCUGUCCAAAAUCUUUGUUUCAAGCUCUUGACCCCUUGUUGUGAUGAAUGUAUGCUCCAAGGAAACUUUUAAACAAAAAGCAACUAGCAACUCUACAAAAGUUACAGAUUGACAGUUGCUAGUAUACUGAACAAGAGCAUUUAGCUCAUUAGUUAAUGUAUGAUUCCCAAUCUAAAAAGCAAGAUUCGAAUCCCCUUCCUCUAAUUAAAAUAAAAUAAAAAAAAUAAACUAGCAGAGCAUAAAAGUCAUCUGUCAUAUUAUGUCCAUGAGAAAUUCACCAUUACUUGCAAUUUAGAAGCCGCUAUUAGUUCUGAUGAAGUCAUAGAAUUUUUUAUAUGGUAGUUUGCAAUUGGGAGCAUGAAAGGCUUUUUAGGGUGAUUUAUACAUGGUUGCCGUCGUUGCUAUCUUUCAGCAAGAAGAGUAAACAAUUUCUCAGUUCAAGUUGUCCCAUAUUUUUCUUCAAAAGUUCCCGUGUGAAGAAUCAAGACAUGAUUAUGCUAUGAAGAAAUGAGAAACAAUGACUGAAAUACUAAAUCAUUAGAGCUUCACUUAUCUAACCUUUUCAACGUUUUCUUCAUUUAGCUCAAGCCCUGUCUCAGUAUCCAUGAUCUGCUCUACUUCCAGAAUUUCCGGAAUUUUAUCUCGGAGGCGUGUUUCAAUUCCCAUCUUUAGGGUCAUUGUUGAGCUUGGACAUGAGCCACAUGCCCCUUGCAACUUUAAUACCACAACAAGGCCAUCUAUUUCGUGCAAAGCCACAUUCCCUCCAUCAGCCAUUAAGCUAGGCCGUACCUCAUCCAAAAUCUUCUCCACAUUCUCCUCAGUCAGUGGAAGGACACAGCUUGGUGAAACCGCAAGCCCUUUGGCAUUGGACAUACACAACCUCAUUCAGAUUUUGUUAAUUUUAAAGCUUUGUUGCUGAGCAUAUUGCGAAUGGGAAGAAGAACACAAAUUAUACACAAGAUUCAACACUCUUGAGGCCAAAUGGCUACUGGCCAGUAAAGUCGAUCACUUGGUUCCAUAUCAACUGAGAAAACUAAAAAGAUUAUUAUUCUUGAACCUCAUGUUCUAUGUUUCAACACUGCAGAAGGGUUAUUGCCAAUCUGAAUGAAGGUUUUCAGAUGAUUAAAAGCUUUAAAAAUUUCCAUUUCUUUAAAAAUUCCAACAUUUUCCAUCAUGACUAAAAGGAUAAUUCUUUCUUUAUUUCAAAUUAUGUUCACAAAAAAGAAAAAAAAAAAGAUGUAAAGAAACAGAUCUAUGCUAUGGAUUUGUAUACUGGCUAUUCAUUACAUGGCCAGCCAGCACACUCCCCUUAAAGAGGACAUAACUAAUUUACUUCAAAAGCACCCUAGCUGUGAUUGAAUGUACAAAAUUCAUCUAUGAAUUAUACUCAAAUAUUCUCCAUUUGCAGUUCUUACAUUUUUUUUCAGGAAUACCAGGAUUAAAUGAAUUCUCUUAAAAACCCAGUAACAUGGCUCAAAUAUUAACUCCAAAGGAGAGAAAUUGCAUUACAGUUACCUCUUUGUUUCCUCCGAGAACGGCGUGAAUUAUACCAAAGAAAAUGUCUGCUGUGAAAUUGACCUCCGAGGAAAGCAUUGUUCUUUGAGGUGAAACCACGUGAACCUGAAAUGGGGUUCUGAAGUUAAAAACAGCAGCACUGUCAGCCAUGAUCAGUUACAAUAAAAACUCACCAAAGAUUGCGUUAAAGACUUUAUAAGCUUACAAGCAAAGCACCGUCCAUGAAACUGUAAGAAAUUAAGGACUUGAAUAGCACCUUUAGGAGUGAUAAACAUGGAGAUAAGGCUUCUUUAGAUGAAGAGAGGCAUGCUGCGAUUGGUCUUGCUUUGAGUGCUGCUUGUGUCUGUACAAAGAUUGCGCUCAUUUCUGGCUUUUUAUUUAUUCUAUAAUUAAUAGAAAUGAAACCCCAUUUGAAAAGAAGUGGGAAUUCUCCAACAGGGUUUAACAGACCAUAAUAAUAUUUACUUACAUUAAAGUCUAUCUCUGAUGCUUGUGCAGUAGUUUUUGAUUGGCUAUCGAAGAUGAUAAAAGAUAUCAGCCAACAAUGCCCAAAGGCUUCUUUGUGGAUAGGAGUGGUUGUUGGCACUACCGUGCAAUUACCUACAAUACGAAUGCCUCGUGGCAUUGAAAAUCACCAUAAAUUGAAAUUAUUAUUGCCUUCUUUUUUUUUUAAAGUUAAUUAAUUAUAUAUUUGAUAUCGAAAUUGUAAGGAAAUUGUUGAUUUAAUAUUUAAAGAAAAAAUUCUACAAAUUAAGACAUUUAAAAUCAUGAAAAUUUAUUAAUUAAUUGAUAUAUUAUUUAAUUUAUAAAUUAAUAAUUUAUUAAUUUAUACAUUAAUUAAUAAAAAAUUAAUUUAUCAAUGUAUUUUCUUUUUUCAAAACAUUGAAUGCAAUACAUGUAUCAUAAUGUGAUUAUAUGAAUAUUAUCUAAUUAUCGAAUUAUAAAUUAUCAUUAUUCGAGUCGAGUAAUUUAUUGAAAAUGUCGUGAGAAAUGAUAAAGAAGAUAAAUUGAAAACGAUAGUUCUGUACUGGACCCUAUCUCACAUAAAGAUGCGCUCAAAGCAACAAUUAUAUUAUUUAAUUUUCUCUUGGAAUACGAGAACAUUAUACCAAAACUUCUUAAUGCACUCAGAAAAGUUAGAGAUGAGGUCCAAACAGAUAUCAAUUUCAAGAAGAAACAAAUAACACUAGUCAUAUUUUACAAAUGUCUCCUAAUUGAGUCUUGUGUGUGUGUGUGUGUGUAUAUAUUAUUUUGAUGAAUAAGGAGAUUAUUAAUUUAUAUAUCAAGUGAGACCUACGUGUUAUUUUUAAAAUGUAUUAUCUUGUUAAUUUAGUGAAUUAUUAAUUUACUACGUUAGUCUCAAAUUGGGAUCGAUCAAAAAUAUUAUUUAAUUGCGAUAAAUUGAAAUUAUUAUUGCCUUCCAAUUUUCUAAGGUUAAUUAAUUAUAUAUUUGAUAUCGAAAUUGUAACGAAAUUGUUGAUUUAAUAGUUAAAGAAAAAAUUCUACAAAUUAAGACAUUUGAGAUCAUGAAAAUUUAUUAAUUAAUUGAUAUAUUAUUUAAUUUACAAAUUAAUAAUUUAUACAUUAAUUAAUAAAAAAUUAAUUUAUCAAUGUAUUUUCUUUUUUCAAAACAUUGAACGUAAUACAUGUAUCAUGAUGUGAUUAUACGAAUAUUAUCUAAUUAUUGAAUUAUAAAUUAUCAUUAUUCGAGUGGAGCAAAUUAUUGAAAAUGUUGUGGAAAUGACAAAGAAGAUAAGUUGAAAACGAUAGUUCUAUACUGGACCUUAUCUCACACAAAGAUGCAGUCAAAGCAACAAUUACAUUAUUUAAUUUUCUCUUGCAAUACGAGAACACUAUAUCAGAACUUCUUAAUGCACUAAGAAAAGUUAGAGAUGAGGUCUAAAAAGACAUCAAUUUCAAGAAGAAACAAAUAACACUAGAGUCAUAUUUUACAAAUGUCUCCUAAUUGAGUCUUGUGUGCAUGUGUGUAUAUAUUAUUUUGAUGUAUAAGAAGAUUAUUAAUUUAUAUAUCAAGUAAGCCCUAUGUGUUAUUUUUAAAAUAUAGUAUCUUGUUAAUUUAGUGAAUUAUUAAUUUACUAUGUUGGUCUCAAAUUGUGAUCGAUCAAAAAUAUUAUUUAAUCGUGAUAAAUUGAAAUUAUUAUUGCCUUCCUAUUUUCUAAGGUUAAUUAAUUAUAUAUUUGAUAUCGAAAUUGUAACAAAAUUGUUGAUUUAAUAUUUAAAGAAAAAAUUCUACAAAUUAAGACAUUUGAGAUCAUGAAAAUUUAUUAAUCAAUUGAUAUAUUAUUUAAUUUAUAAAUUAAUAAUUUAUACAUUAAUUAUUAAAAAAUUAAUUUAUCAAUGUAUUUUCUUUUUCCAAAACAUUGAACGUAAUACAUGUAUCAUAAUGUGAUUAUACGAGUAUUAUUUAAUUAUCGAAUUAUAAAUUAUCAUUAUUCGAGUCGAGCAAAUUAUUGAAAAUGUCGUGGGAAAUGACAAAGAAGAUAAGUUGAAAACGAUAGUUCUGUACUGGACCCUAUUUCACACAAAGAUGCACUCAAAGCAACAAUCACAUUAUUUAAUUUUCUCUUGCAAUACGAGAACACUAUAUCAGAACUUCUUAAUGCACUAAGAAAAGUUAGAGAUGAGGUCCAAGGAGACAUCAAUUUCAAGAAGAAACAAAUAACACUAGAAUCAUAUUUUACAAAUGUCUCCUAAUUGAGUCUUGUGUGUGUGUGUGUGUAUAUUAUUUUGAUAUAUAAGGAGAUUAUUAAUUUAUAUAUCAAGUGAGACCUAUGUGUUAUUUUUAAAAUGUAUUAUCUUGUUAAUUUAGUGAAUUAUUAAUUUCCUACGUUGGUCUCAAAUUGGCAUCGAUCAAAAAUAUUAUUUAAUGGUGAUAAAUUGAAAUUGUUAUUGCCUUUUUAUUUUCUAAGGUUAAUUAAUUAUAUAUUUGAUAUCGAAAUUGUAACGAAAUUGUUGAUUUAAUAUUUGAAAAAAAAUUCUACAAAUUAAGACAUUUUGGAUCAUGAAAAUUUAUUAAUUAAUCGAUAUAUUGUUUAAUUUAUAAAUUAAUAAAAAAUUAAUUUAUACAUUAAUUAAUAAAAAAUUAAUUUAUCAAUGUAUUUUCUUUUUUCAAAACAUUGAACGUAAUACUUGUAUCAUAUUGUGAUUAUACGAAUAUUAUCUAAUUAUCGAAUUAUAAAUUAUCAUUAUUCGAGACAAGCAAAUUAUUGAGAAUGUUGCGGGAAAUGACAAAGAAAAUGAAGUUGAAAAUGAUAGUUCUAUACUGGACCCUAUCUCACACAAAGAUGCACUCAAAGCAACAAUCACAUUACUUAAUUUUCUCUUGUAAUACGAGAACAGUAUACUAGAACUUCUUAAUGCAUUAAGAAAAGUUAGAGAUGAGGUCCAAGAAGACAUCAAUUUCAAGAAGAAACAAGUAACAUUGGAGUCAUAUUUUACAAAGGUCUUGUAAUUGAGUCAUGUUUGUGUGUGUGUGUGUGUAUUAUUUUGAUGUAUAAGGAGAUUAUUAAUUUAUAUAUAAGAUGGCAUAUAUGUGUUAUUUUUAAAAUGUAUUAUCAUAUAAAUUUAAUGAAUUAUUAAUUUACUACAUUGGUCUCAAAUUUUAUUAAGUAUUAAUUUAUAGAGAUUUUACAAUAUAACCAAAUGUGUGGCUUAGUUAAAUAUAACUAAUAAAUAUGUGUUUCACGUGUUAAAAAAUCACGUCAUUUUAUAUUCUUUUUAAAAUUUAUAAUUUAAAGAAUAAAAAUCUUAGAAAUUAAAUGAAAAAAUAGAGGAAUAAAAAAUUUGACCAAAAAAGAUUCAAAUGUUAUGGAAUAUUGACAUAUCACACCAUAUUAGACCAAUUCAAAUUAGAGCAAAUUUAAUAAAUGAUAAAUGUAUUAUCCACAUUAGAGAUAUUUCAAGAUUCAUCUACGUGUGAAAAUUAUCUACGUGAUAAUAUGAUAUUUAUCAAGAAGAUAAUAUAAUUUAGAGAAAUAUCUUAUUAGGAGAUUGUGAUAGCCAUUGAUCUGUUAAGGGCUUUAACUAUAACUAAGGGGUAACCCCAACCUCAUUUGUAGAACAGUUAUUUUUCAUUCGAAGCAUUGUUUCAAAAAUACAUAAAGAGCAUUCUCUCAAUAUCUCUCUUUUCCUCUUGUUUCUAUUAUUUCUUUUACAACAUGUUAUCAACCACAAUCACCAAAGGAGGUAAUUUUCUUAGGUCUUCAUGAACCAAUUAGAUUUUGAUUUUGUAUACCGUCCAUUGGCUUGAAGUCGACAACGGACCUAGAGCAUCCUUUGGCCCUUAAAGCGGAGGUGGGAAUUCGAGAACCCUUGUAGUUGUCAUAAUUAAUUUAUGGGUUUAUUGUUUUUGCGUAAAAUUAUGGAAAAUAUCGAAAAGCCUAAGUUCCACAUCCUGGAAGUGAAUGGAAGCAAUUAUCUGUCUUGGAGCCCUGAUGUGGAAAUGCAUUUCCAAGGACAAAGCCUUGCUAAUGCAAUUAUUAUAAACGGGAAAGCAAAUGACAAAGAAAGGCGAAUGCAUUGAUCUUUAUUCACUGUCAUUUGCAUGAGAGCUUGAAGACUCAAUAGUUAUUCGUUCGAGACCCUGAGAUCCUGUGGACGAGGUUGAGAAAGAGGUAUAAUCAUACCAAGAUAGUUAUCCUUCCUCAGGCACAGUAUGACUGACAGCAUUUCAAGCUACAAGACUUCAAAUCAAUGUUCGACUACAACUCAACCUUAUUUAAUAUUGUUUCUUGGCUAGAGUUAUACGGUGUUAAGCUCACUAAAUCAGACCUAUUAGAGAAAAAUUUUUCCACCUUCUAUGCUUCAAAUAUUGUAUUGCAAAAUUAAUACCAGUUGUGUCAAUUUAAGACAUACUCAUAGUUGAUUUCUAUCUUCUUGACUGCAAAACAGACUAAUGAACCACUACUUAAGAACCAUGAUCUUAGACCUACUAGCUUAAAAGCAUUGCUUGAAACAAAUGCUAACUCUAGCAAGAGUAUAGGCCAAUUUAAAGGUUGUGAACAUAGGCAAAGGCAUAACCCACGUAGAGGUGGUGGAAGACUUAACCGCCCUAAGCAAUCCAACCUUGCCCGAAUCAUGGUAAAGGCAAAAACCCAUGAAGAAGCAUGAUGAAAGUAUCUGCCAUCACUGUGGCAUGGCUGGACAUUAGUCUCGUACUUGUCGUACGCCAAAGCACUUUGCUGAUUUACACUGGGCAUCAUUGACGGAUAAGGACAAGCAUGUUGAGACUCAAGCCAUUGAGAAUUCUAUUGAUAUGACUAACAUUGAAGCCAACAAUGCCUUCGUUAAGAUGACUCCCCUUACUUCUAUAGAAGUAAUAACAUCCUUGGAAAUCUCUAAUUUCUUUUAGGACCUUGAUAGCCAGGAUAAGGCAUCAAAAUAAUGGACGACAGCCCAGACUUAGGAUUUGAGGAUUUUAAUGUUUUCCUUUUUUUUUCUUUUCUGAAUGUAUUACCUUGGGUUGAUCGUUUCCAACGAAGAACAAUAUGGUCAUUUAAUAAAAUUAUUAUGAAAUUGAUUCCAUAUUUAUUAUUUGAAAAAUUUUAAUUCCAUGACUAAUUUGAAAAUUUUUAUGAUACAUGGCAGCUCAAGUUGUCAAUACAAGUGCAAAUGGGAACUACUAAGAAAAAUGAAGAUGUUUGUUUGCUUGAUAGUGCAAUGACACAUACCAUACUUUAUGGCAAAUAUUUUUUUUUUAGUGUGACAUUGCGUAAGGAAAAUGUCCAUACAAUAUCAGGUCCCCAUUGAGAUUAUUGAUGGCUUCAAAAAUGUCACAGUUGUUCUACCAAAUGGCACUACCUUGCAUAUCAAGGAUGCAUUGCUAAGCAGUAGAUCAAAAAAGAAUCUAUUUAGCUUCAAACAUGUAUGCCAUAAUGGGUACCAUCUUGAGACAAUUUAUGAGCAAAAUGAGGAAUGUAUCUGCAUCACCUCUUAUAAGAUAGGCUAAAAGACCAUCUAUGAGAAGUUAGAAGCUUCAAUUAUAGGAUUGUAUUGUGUCAUUAUUAGAGCUAUUGAAUCUUACUAUACCAUGUCUUGGGGAUUGGUAAAUCCUGAUGAGUUUGGACUUUGACAUGAUCACCUAGGUUACUCGAGAGCUAUGAUGAUGCGUAGGAUAAUCAAAAAUAAUAAAGGACACCUUUUAAAGGAUAAAAAGAUUUUGUUGUCCAAGGAUACCUAUAUACAAGGAAAGCUCAUUACUAAACCUUCAAUGACAAAGGCUGAUCUUGAAUCCCCUUCAUUCUUACCAAGAAUUCAAGGUGAUAUUUGAGGACCAAUACAACCGACAAAUGGACUAUUCCGAUAUUUUAUGGUAUUAGUGGACGCUUCCUGCAAAUGGUCCCAUGUUCGCUUGUUAUACACGUAAUGUCACCUCUGCACGUUUACUUGCGUAGAUUAUAAAGCUCCAAGUACACUUCCAUGAUUAUCCAAUCAAAAGCAUAAGGAUAGGUAAUGCUAGUGAAUUUACAUAAGAGAGCUUUAAUACGUAUUGUGCUUCACUAGGAAUUGAGGUUGAGCAUACGAUUUCACAUAUUCAUACUUAGAAUGGAUUGAUAGAAUCCUUGAUUAAACUCAUCCAAUUUAUCACUCGUACUCUUUUAUUGAGGACAAAGCUUAACUUUUCAGCAUGGGGUCAUGUUGUUUUGCAUGCGGUGGCACUAAUUAGAUUGCACUCCACUACUAGCCUCUUGUAAUUUCUUAUGCAAUUGGUUCUAGGCUAUGAACUAGACAUUUCACAUUUAUUCACUUUUGGUUGUCCUAUGCAAGUGCUUGUAGCACCACAAAAAAAAACUAAAAUAGGUCCCCAAUGUCGUUUGGGCUUCUAUGUUGGUUUUGAUUCUCCAUCCAUUAUUAGGUUUUUGGAACCAAUGAUGGGUGAUCUUUUUACUGUCAAAUUCGUGGAUUAUCAUUUUGAUAAGACAGUGUUUCCAUAAAUUGGGAUGCCUAAGGCUUCCAUGGUUGAAAAGUAGAAACCAACUGAGAAUUUCUCCUAGAAUGAGAAAAAUCUAUUCUAUUUAGACCCAAUAACUUAUGAAUGUGCAAACGAUGUGCAACGUAUAAUCCAUUUACAGGCUAUUGCCAAUAGACUUUCUGAAAUGCCCCCAACUUUGAUAUGGUGAUAAAUAAAGUUGAUCGAAUGCGAAUUGAGGCAUAAUAAGGAACUUUGGGAACCAAAGAGACAAGAUAAAAAUUUUAAAAUAAAAUAAUAUUUUAUUAAAGAAAUAAUAUUAAAAUAUUAAUAUUUAGCCGGAUGUCGAAAUCAGUCAUGAAGAAGGAUCAUAUGGUUGAUCCAAGUGGGGGAGAAGAUGUCAAGCCUGACUCUGUAAAAUAUUUGUCAUAACAUACAUGUGAUGGAUAGCAUGUUUGCAUGCUAGGAGAGUCCCGAAAAAUUUACAAAAAGUCGGUAUUGUACCUAGAGGUACAAUAAAGUUGAUUUAAGCCUCGAACUAGAUCAAAUAGAGAAUUUAAGAUGAAAUUAAGAAUUUUAAAGUCCCAGAAUAGUUUAAUAUGGUGAUUUGGAAUUUGAGGAUCAAUUUGGAGUCAAACUAGAAAUUUCACUAUCUAGAGGUAAAAUGAUAAUUUUGCCACUUGAGGACAAAAUGGGAAUUUUGUUUUAAAGAUUUUGAUCAUAUUUGACUUAUUGGAGUAUGAUUUGAGGUUGAGAAGUGAAAAAUGGUGAUCUCGGUAUUUUUCAAAACAUAGGGGUAAAAUGGUAAUUUUGCCACCUUAAGGGCAAAAUUGUAAUUUUUUACCACCAGAACACUUGUCCAGCACAUGGAUUUUACCCAAUUUUAUCAUGGAUAAUUGAAGGAAUUUAUAUGGUAGAGAGAGAAACCUUAAUAGUUAAGAAAUAAAAAUGGAUCAAUGAAAUGGUGACACAUGGCAUAUUUAUAACCAUUAAAUAUUUAACUUUAAAAUUAACAUAAAAUCAGCCCAUUUCUCAUUCAUAUGGCCAGCCAAAGAAGAACAAGGAGGAAAGGAAAAAAACGAGAACCCUAGAUGAGAAAAUUGAAGAAAAAGUGUGAGAUUUCUAGGGAUUAAGCUAAUAAAGGUAAAAUUUCUUGAUUUUGACUUGUGAUUUACACUACCCAUGCUUUCUUUUUCAUUUUUCAUGGUUAGAUUUCAUGUUUUCAUGGUGAAUUCAUGGCUGGUCAAAAUGGGUAUGGAGAGAGAAAGAUGUUAGAUUGAUUUGAUUUUAAGUUAUGUUAGUGUUUUUAGUUAGUUUAGUAUAUUUAGAAAUAAAACAAUAAGAAAAGAAUUCAUUUUCUCCAUCAACCAUCAAUGGCCAAAUUUUCUAGGGAGGAUAUUGUGGCUGAAAUUGAUGAUAUUUUAUGAUAUUUUGGUGAUAUUUGAUGUUUGGUGAGGCUAGAAAUUAAAUAGAAAAUUUUGGUGUGAAAAUCUGAAUUUUUACCUAAUGUAUAGACAUAUGUGAUUAUUGACCUAAGACUGAUAAAUUGAAUCUCAUUCGUAGUCACUGAGCUAAUUUAGGUAUAAUUGGAGUGUAGAAAGUGAAAGAAAUUGAUUUGGAGUUAAAUUGGAGGUUUUAGCUAAUUACACCGAGAAUAGUGCAAAUUAGGUCGAAUAUGGUAUUUAAACGGCUAUUCGGACAUUUUGCAUCACAUUUCGUGCAUUCAUAUAGAUUUAUAGAGCCUAAAAUAGUUUAUGAUAAAUUGACACAAUUUAUUGAAAUUCGUGUCAUGUAUGAUGUAUAGGUGGUGAGCCCUUUAACAAGGGUAACGAGAUUGUGCCCGAAGAUCGAGAAUAGGAGUAUAUCGAACUCCUAGUACUAUGAGUGACCUUAUUAUCAUUUUAACUGUCUAAAGUAUGUUUUAAUUUGGUUUUGGUGAAAUUUUAUGAAAAUGAGUUAAAUAGCAAAUUUUAGGUUUUAUAAAAAAAAAUGAGUUUAAAUAAAAAGAUUUUAUAAAUUGUUUUGGAAACUGAAUGAUGAUUUUGAAAAUAGAGUAAUUGGAGACCACUAAUAUGUUGUAAAUUUAAGAUUGAAUUGAUGGCUUAUGUUAUUGUGUUGGCAUGACUGGCUGCGCUGUGUUUUAUGAAUAGUAUGAAUUGUUUUAUUUUACCCUUGCAGGCUGGGUAGUAAUAUAUUAGCCCUGUCAUGCUGUCAAAAUUUUAUUGUAUGGUGGGUUUAACUUACUGCAGUAGGCGGGUUUCCGUGGACUAGCCUAUUAGAGGGGCACGAUAAACCCCGUUAUAUUUUACCUCGGUUGGAGAGGCGAGUAGGGUAACUCCUGAGGUAUGAUUUUAGAGUUCAUUUCACGCCAAACCACCACGUGAAGGCGAGCUUAGCCAACGCCAAGGAAUGGCUAUAUUUUCAAAAUGAAAACAUGUUUUAUGCGUACAUGACUUUCUAAUAGCCUUGGCGAACUCAGUUGGGAUAGCCCUCGGCCAAGGUAUCCUAGAUAACUGAGCAUGAUAAUAAUUUUUGGCAUGAGCCAAGCUUUUUAAGAAAUUCAUAAGCCAUAUUGAUUACUUGAUUUAAAUAAAUUGAUUUCAUUUGGUUGAAAUAAGUUGAAAAAUGAUAAAUUACAGUUUGAUGAAAUGUUUUAAUAGUCUCCUUUUACUCGCCUUUAGAUAUUUUAAAUGAUAUUUGUUUACUCACUGAAAUUUUAUAAUCUCACCACCCUCCUUUCCAUCCAUUUCAAGCAUCAGGAUAGUCGGUAGAUAGUUCAUUUCAUUAAGGAUUACAAUUGGACUGGCAUUCUCAAAAUAUGUAGGUUUAUCUCUUUAAAUACCUUUGGUCGUUCGUGGGCCCACGUGUCACUGUAAAUAUAAUUUUAUACUUUGGUUAUCUGUAUUACAAUAUAUAUGAAUUUAUUUUACUUUUUCGCUGUAAAAAUUAAUAAUGCAGUGUUCUAAAAAUAUUGUUUUAUGAGAAAAUUGAAUAUUUUAUUCUAUAUCUUUAUUAUAUUCAAAUAGUUAUAAUUUUAUUUUAAAUGAAAGUUUUAGAUGUUUAAAUUUAUUUUUGAUUAUGAAUUAUGUGUUUUAUACUUGCAUACUACAUUUGUAAUUGGUUUCAAAACUUUUGAGAAAAAAUUACCAAAAUGCCCAUGUGAGACAUAAAUAAUUUUUUUAUUGAUUUCAGUUGGAAAUAGCUUAAAUUCUUUUAGAACAUGAUAUUUGGUAACCGUUGCUCAUCAGGGAAAAAAGAAACUAAUAUUAAAGCCUUGCAAGGUUUUGGUUGACAAUCUGGGUAAUGAGUGUCGAUAGGGACAACGUGGCGGUUGUCACAAGCUAGAUAGGAGUUCUGGGUCGUGACACUUUCUAACGCAUUUAAUGAUACUACGAAGGUCACGAAGUCUCAUAUUCUAGUUGUGAAUGCUCCAAAUAGGAUUGUUGUUCUUGAAGGACAAGCUUAAUUAGAUCAAAAUGGCCCACACUUGAAGCGUGAAAGACCGAUAGAAAUAAAAGACAUUAUCCCUUGAAACGAAAGGGGAGGAAUUAAAAAUCCACUCCAAAAGAGCCUAGCAUUGAUCUUGCUCUAGAAGAGCCUAUUGGCCUUGAAGAUCACAAACCUAUGAAAAGAUCAUCAACCGAAGAAUACUAAGAUCUCUAUUACAUAUUGUAAUGAGAUUUGGGAUCGGAAUGAGAUGAUCAUCGAUGAUGUUUUUGCACUCUCAAAUGCUCAUGAGAUUAUGAACGAUGAUUAUGAACUAUGAUCUAUUAUCGAAUGUCGUCAAAGGCAAGAUUAGCCCAAGUGGGAGGCAGCAAUCCAGGCUGAAUUGGCUUCUCUAGCUAAACGAGAGGUUUUAUGACUUAUAGCUCGAACCUUCGAUAAUGUAAAGCUUGUUGGAUACAAGUGGGUCUUUGUUUGGAAAUGAAAUGAAAAAAAUGAGGUUGUGAGGUAUAAAGCUUGACUUGUAGCCCAAGGCUUCUCUAAGAGACUUAGGAUUGAUUAUGAUAAGAUGUACUCACCUGUGAUGGAUACGAUUACCUUUUGUAUCCUUAUUAGCCUAGCUAUUUCUGAAAAAUUGAAAUGCAUCUUAUGGACGUAUUGAUGGCAUAUCUAUAUGGUUCAUUAAACUCUGAUAUUUAUACGAAAAGUCCUGAGGAUUCAAAAUGCCUGAAGCAUACACUCUGCACAACUUAUUCUUAAUAAAGUUGCAAAGAUCUUUAUACAGGUUAAAGUAAUUCAGUCGCAUGUGGUAUCAAUGCUUAAGCGAGUACCUAAUUAAGGAAUGGUGCAAAAAUGAUCUUAUUUACCGAUGUGUGUUUAUUAAGAAAUUGGAAACCGGAUUUGCUAUGGUAGUAGUUUAUGUCGAUGAUAUGAAUUUGAUUGGAACUCUAGAAGAAUUAUCUAAAAUUGUCAAACAUUUGAAAAAGGAGUUUAAAGUGAAAGAUUUGGGUAAAACCAAACUUUGUCUUGGUCUAGAGCUUGAGAACAAAGCAACUAGAAUACUUGUCCAUCAGUCAACAUACACUGAGAGAUUGCUUAAACAUUUUAACAUGGACAAGGCUUACCCAUUGAGCACUUCUAUGGUUGUGAGGUCUUUUGAUUCCCAAAAGAACCCGUUUCGUCCUAAAGAACCCGAUGAGGAUAUACUUGGUCAUAAAGUACCAUAUCUCAAUGCAAUUGAGAUUUUGAUGAAUUUAGCACAAUGUAUGAGACUAGAUAUUGCUUUUGCGAUAAAUUUGUUAGCACAUUUUAGUUCUGAGCCAACUUGGAGACAUUGGAAUGGGAUAAAACAUAUCUUCCAUUUUCUCCAAAAAACCAUAAUAUUAUUCCAAGGAUUUCACUAACUCUAGUUUAGUUGGAUACGCUAAUGCGGGAUAUAAAUCUGAUUCGCAUAAGGCUUGCUUUCAAAUCGGUUAUUUAUUUUGCUAUAAUGGGACCGCCAUUUCUUGGCGCUCUACUAAGUAAAUACUAGUAGCUACAUCCUCCAACCACUCUAAGAUUAUAGCUUUAUAUGAAACUGGAAGAAAAUGUGUUUGGUUGAGAUCCAUUAUAAUGCAUGUUCAUAAUUCUUGUUGCUUAACACCAGUUACAAAUUCUCCCACCAGAAUUUAUGAAGAUAAUGCUGCUUGUAUUGCACAAGUCAGGGGAAGAUAUAUUAAAGGUGAUAGGACCAAGCAUAUCUCGUUGAAAUUGUUCUAUUCUAACAAACUUUAGGAAAGUAGACAAGUUGAUUUUAAACAAAUUUGCUCCACCAAUAAUCUUGUAGAUCUUUUUAUCAAGUCAUUGCCAACGUCAACAUUUGAAAAAUUAGUAUUUGGCAUUAGGAUGUGUUGAAAGAUUGAUUUGCCCCUGAAAUGGCAAAGUAUCAAUUACCCUAGAAGUGCCAAGCCCUAAAGCGGUAGACCCUAAAAAUGGCAAUAUGGCUCCAUUGAAGGGGAGCAAUUGUGGACUUAGUGCAUUGUACUCUUUUUCCCUUUUGUCCGAUUUUUUGUCCCAUUAGGUUUUUUCGACUUAAGUUUUUUAACAAGGCAGUAAUAGCACGACCAACUAGGUCGUCAUAGUGGUGUUCCAUCUAAAGAGGAGUGUUGUGGAAUAUGGGCAUAUCUUAUCAUAUUAGACCAAUUCAAAUUAUAGUAAAUUUGAUAAAUGAUAAAUAUAUUAUCCACAUUCUAGUUAUUUCAAGAUUCAUCUACAUGUGAAAAUUAUCUAAGUGAUAAUGUGGGAUUUAUCAAGAAGAUAAUAUAAUUUAGAGAUAUAUCUUAUUAAGAGAUUCUGAUAGCCAUAAAUCUAUUAGGGACUUCAAUUAUAAAUAAGGGAUCACCCUGGCCUUAUUUAUAGAAUAGCUAUUUUUCAUUCCAAGCAUUGCUUCAGUAAUAUAUAAAGAACAUUCUCUCAAUAUCUUUCUAUUCUUCGUGUUUCUAUUAUUUCUUUUACAACAUUAAAAAAAAUAAUCAAAAGGAGAGAAAAAGGGAAUCAAGGAAAGAAAGAAAUGGGUAAGGAAGAGAGGGGUCGAUCAAUAGCAAUCCACGUAGAUCAACAUUGAUUUGGCUUGGGUGGACCAGACUGACAGCAGCUACCUUUCAUUAUCCGCCUUGCUUUCUCCUUGUCUUUUCUUUUCCUUCCCUUUCCUUGCUUCCUAAUCUUUCUCUCUCUUUUGUUUUUCUAUUUUUUUUGAAAUUUUUUAUAUUUAUUUUUGUUGAAAUUUUUUAAUUCAAAAUUAAUAAAAUUAAAAAAUUUUUAAAAUAAAAAAUGAAAGAUAAUGUGGCUAUUUUAGACAUAUGACAUGUUUUGGCUGGGUGUUUUUAGGCACGUCAUUGAUGGAGUUAGUAAGGAUGCAACUUUCUUAAUGGAAUAAAAAUUGAAGUACCCAAUUACAAAUAUAUUUCUUUAAGUACCAAAUCAAUAGUUUAAUUCUAGUUUGGGUACCAAAUGUAUAAUUAACCUAUUUCAAAUUGCCUAUUUUCUUUAUUUUAAAAAAUUAUCUUUUGUCUUUUAGUAUAGGUUAUAACUAAUAAAUUAACAAAAUUAUUUAAUGAACACAUGUCUAUUACGUAAAUAUACUUGUCAAAUUGAAAGACUCAAUGCUUGGAUAAUAUUUUUUAUUUUUAUAUAAUUUACUUAUAAUUAGUUACCUAGAAAAAGAAGAAAAGAAAAAAAAUAUAAAUCACUCUCUAAUUGUUUUUCGUAAGAAAAUAAGAAACAACAUUGGUAAUAAAGAGGAAUAGGAAAUGCAUUGAAGAUUGUCAGAAAGAAAGCAGCUAAAUAGAUCAUGGAUGAUCUGGAAACAUGCACAGAUGCCAUUUUAUCAAGCCUUAACUAGUUACAUAUGGUAAUGAGGUAGGUAGGCAAUCGUCUGUCCAGUAAUAGGGGUAACCAAUGAUUUAACUUUCUAAAAGGAAGAAAUGUUUGAGACAUAGGUAUGAUCUUAAUUGUGUCAUUCAAAUAUGAGAUCCAAGUAUGAGAUUUGAGAACAAUAAGCAAUUGGGGAAAUUUUUUUUUAGCCCUUAAAAAUAACAUGUUUUUGUAAAUAAGCCUGUAGAUAAUUUUAACUGUUUUUAGUCAUGAGAAUAGAUUUUGGGACAAAAAUGCCCUUAAUGAGCCAUUUUCGUUGACGUGCACUCUCAAACAAGGGAAAAAUGAGAAAAUAAAUAUGCAAAGAAUUUGCGAACAUUUAAUUUUGUGCAAAACAUCUUUUUUUUUUUUUUUGCGAAGCUUGUGCAAAACAAAAUAAUGUUGCAUGAGAUGGUUUUUCAGAGAUUUGGGACAUGGCAUUCAGAUAAUAAGAGAAAAGUGAUAUUAAACCGAACGAGGAACCGGUCAUGAUGAAUCGAAAGCUUAGAGAAUGAUGUGAAACUAGAAAUCCCUGAUAUGGUGGUGAAUCGAAAGGAGAAAGAUGUGAAUCCAAAGCACGAAAUGGUCGUGCUACAACAGGCCAUAUGUGAGACGGCUGUGGUAGGGUAGGGUUUAGAGUUUGUGAAACGGCAUGUUGGGAAUGUGUGACACGACAUGGUGGGAAUGUGUGAUAUGGCUGUGACACAACAGGGUUUAGAGUUGUGACACGACAUGGUUGGAAUGUGUGACACGGCUGUGACAUGACAGGGUUUAGAGUUUGUGACACACCUAGUGGGAAUGUGUGACACGGCUAUGACACGCUAGCUUUUAGAGUUUGUGACACGCCAUGGAGGGAAUCCGUGACACGUCAAAGUUCAGAGUUGGUGACAUGCCAUGGAAGGAAUCUAUGACACGCCAGCGUUCAGAGUUCAUGACACACCAUGGAAGGAAUCUGUGACACACCAAUGUUCAAAGUUCGUGACACACCAUGAAGGGAAUCUGUGACACGCCAGUGUUCAGAGUUCGUGACACACCAUGGAGGGACUCUGUGACACGCUAGAGUUCAGAGUUCGUGACACGCCAUGGAAGGAAUCUGUGACACGCCAACAUUCAGAGUUUAUGACACGCCGUGGAGGGAGUCUGUGACACGACAGGGUUCAGAGUUUGUCAGACUUCAUGGAGAUUUGUGACAUGGCAGGGUUUAGAGUGUGUGACACGGCAUGGCAAUUGAUGGGUGACAUGACAUGGUUUGAAAAAGGAAAAAAAAUGGGUAAAUAACAAGGAAACUGAUUGGACUUAAACUGAAUGAAUUCAAUAAAUGAAUAUUUAUAGAGGAAAUUGUGAGGCCAUUUCAUUUUAAUUAAAUAUUUUCUAGAUAUUGUAAAUGUAUGUGCGAAGAGGUUCAUUCCUCAUUCCUCAUUCUUAAAGAUAACAGAGUGUUCGACUUUCUUCUUUGCAAGCUUGAUGACACCACAACAACAAUGUCGGUUAUCAGUGAAAAGGUUAGUCAGUCUGAAAAUAAAACUUUUAAAACUUUCUUUUAUUCGUUGAUUUUUUGCUGGGUUUGUGUGAUAUGUUCGUGUUUUUUCAAUCUUUUCCAAUUGUUAUGUUUAAAACUGUUUUUUUCCUGGUUUUAUGGUCGUAUGAAAGUUUUGAACUACAACAGAUAUGGCGUGUAGUGAGUAAACUGCUUUUUUGGGGUUUUUAACGUGUCACGACAUUGGUUAUUUUAGAGUAGUUCGUGUAACGAGUCAGUAAUUACACUGAUUAGCGUGUCACACACCACGAAUAUUUUGGGCUAGCUCGUGUAAGGACACAAUAAUUAUAGUGAUUAGUGUGUCAGCGUGGCGUGUUAUAACAUUUGACUUGAUGCGCAUGACGUAUUACAACAUUUUACGUUAUAUGCAUGGCGUGUUAAAACAUUUUACGUUAUAUGCAUGGCGUGUUACCAUAUUUUAUAUUAUAUGCAUGGUGUGUUACAACAUUUUACGUUAUAUGCAUGGCGUGUUACCACAUUUUACGUUAUAUGCAUGGGGUGCUACAACAUUUUACGUUAUAUGCAUGGCAUGUUACCACAUUUUACGUUAUAUGCAUGGUGUGUUACAACAUUUUACGUUGCAUGCAUGGUGUGUUACCACAUUUUACGUUAUAUGCAUGGCGUGUUACCACAUUAUGGGUUAACUCAUUCGUGCAUGUGUGCCAUGUUUUGCAGAUGCAGUCCAGACAAUAUGAGGAUCUUGAUAGUUUGCUUAUUGUGCCGAGGGAGAAGUGGGUUUUCAAUGUCGCUAUUAACACCCAUUGUAAGUGAUCGCUACUACAUUACAUCAAUAAAACCCUCCAAGAGAAAGAGGAGUAUGAUGCAGUGAAGCGUACGUGCUUCGGAAUGCUGCUAGACGUAUAUCCAUAAGGCUACUUCUCUGCUGGUCUCCUGCAUAACAUCAUGAUCUGUCGAAUCAUUGUGACAGAUUCAAUGGAGCAUGAGUUAUGGUUUGCCAUUGGGAAAACCAAGGAGCGCAUAUCAAAGUAGAAGUUCUUCCUUAUCACCGAACUAAAGUUUGGUCAAAUGUCAUAUGUGUUCACACGACCGUACGAGGUUGUUACUGACGAAAUUCAUGGGCGAUACUAGAAUGGGCAGCAGAGCGUUAAGCUGCAGGCCUUGCUUCAUACGUUCUGCGAAGGAAACUUUGAGUGACCGGGAGACACGACCAAUAUGGCACUCAUCUUGAUCACAAAUAACAUUUUAUUUGGUCAAGAUCACCAUAGACGAGUGAUGCCUUGGCUUUUGUUGUUGGUGGAGGACAUCGACGCUUAGAAUGUCUUCCCAUGGGGUCACUACGUUUGGAGGUUGACCUUAGAUUACCUUUUGAAGGGGUUCGAAGUGCCUUCCUCGAAUGUACAGAAGGAUCGUUUUUGGUACAACAUUUACGGAUUUGAGUGGGUGAUACAGGUACUGUCACGUAACUUUUUUCAUUUUCUUUUUGACAUAAUAAUUUAUGGUUGCAAUUGUUUAUCAUUUAUGGUCUGAUAAUGGUUACAUUUGACUUGCAGUUCUGGGCAAUGGAGGUAAUUCCGACCUUGCGAAAAAUAGUUGCCCCAUCUGCUUCGAAGGACAUCUACCCAUGCAUGUGCAGAUGGCAAUGCAACUAGAAGCCAAAAGACUUCUACAAGGCAGUUGAGAUGUUGGAGUCAUCUCAGCGGGUGAGUGAACAGUUACUAAUUUCUGCUGUGAAUUUGUAUAAUAAUUUUCCCUAAAAUUUAAUCAUAAUCGCUAUUUUGCAGUUAUGGGUAGUGGAGACCUUGGAGCUUACCCCGAAUGAGGCUAGUCGAGAUUAUUUUGUGGACAUUAAUGUGUCAUUAUUUGAGGGCCACCAAUACGUGCCAAUAGGGCACAUGGAGGAUCGAGAGGAUUGGGGCUUAGGUGCGAGGAAAAAGAGGAGAAACUUAAAGCACAAAAGAGCCACUGGUUCUGUGAAGUGGAGGUGCACAAUCGCUGCUAUCGUCGAUGAGCUGUCAAUCCCCGAGUUGAUGGAGGAAGGUGACAACCAUGGCAAUGGCAGUGAAAAGCCAAUAAGGACGAUUUUAAAGGUUUGUGUUCAACAAUUCAAUAUGUGAUUAUCGAAUAACAAAUCUGUGUUUGUAGUUGGACCAUGUGACGAUAGCUUCACAACCACCGAUAGGUCCUCUUUAGACUCACAGUGCUAACGAGGAGCCAAUAAGGAUGGUUAUAAUGGUUUGUUUUCAACAACUUCAUAUGUGAUUAUCGAAUAACAUAUCUGUGUCUGCAGUUGGACCAUACGAUGACAACUCCUCAACCACUGAGAGGUCAUCUUCAAACGCACAGUGCUAACGACCUGUCAAUAAGAUCGAUUCGAACAGUUUGUAUUCAACAUUUUCACAUAUGUUUAUCGAGUAACACAUUAAUUUCUAUUAUUGCAGUUAAGGGAGGCGACCACAGUUCCUCAACCACUAAUCGAUCCUGCUUAACCGCAAAAUGGUAACGAGCCACCAAUAAGAAUAUUAAAGUUCUAACGAGUAAUGUUCAACAAUUCCUUAUAUGAUUAUUGAAUAACACAAUAAUAUAGUUUAUUGCAGUUAACCCAUUUGACAAGAGUCAAUGAUAGAAUAGUCACGAAGCGUCAGCUGCGACGAAUCAUGCACCGGUAUAAAAAAGACAUGUCGGAGCUGAAGGUUUCAAUUCAGUCGUUGACUCUAGCAAUGCAAACGUUUGAGUACCAUGUCGUUGCUCGGAUUCUAAACGGCUUGAAAUUACAGAUACGUUAUUUUAUCUUCACUCAUAUAUUGGUCGUUUACAUUUAGUAAGUGUAGUUCUAUUUUUUGUUCUCAGUUUAUGGUUUGUGGUAUUAUAUGAGCUAACGAAUUUUCUCAUUUGUCUCAUUCUGUAGGGCGUUCCUUAAUCUCACGAUGCUGGUGAGGACCACGAUGAUGUUGAUAUUGGCACCAUGAUGAACUUGGUGUGCACAUUCACGAUGACGUCACUGGUGUUGACAAAGACCCUGUUUCUAAGGCCGAUCUAGUUAUCGAUGCAUCUGCGGGAGGGGAAAGGGACCUUCACUCAGUCGUGGGUAAAGGAAAGCAUCUUCCUCAUGCCAAUGCAUUAGUGGAGGUAGUAGUAGGAGGGGACCAUCUUCCUUAGAGCACUCCUGAAGCCAACAGCUUACGGUUGUCAUCAUCAAAGUCAUCUAAUGUCCAUCAUCGUGUAGCACAAAUUUCAGACCCAACUGAGCGGGCAAGGGUGAAAAUGGAGAGCAAAUACAGGGCAAGCCCACACGUCGACCCCUUAGUGAGCCGUCGGGAUGUAAAGAGCACAACGGUUGAAGCGUACGAAACUUUCAAAAAAGACGAGUGCACGAGGUAAGCUCAUAAAUAAUAUUGCAAAUAUUGUUUUUUAAUGAAGCAUUAAUCCACCAAGGCUUUUCAAACUCAUUAUGUUACAUAUGCAGGUGUAACGUUGGGAUCUUAGGGGAUCAAAGGGAUGACUUUUUCACAACAUUAGAGGAUCCCAAAAAAGAAAUGACUAGUGAACAUAUAGACGCAUUUCUCAGCAUACUUUGUAAGCAAAUGACAAGGUGAAGUCGAAGCUGUACACUACCCGUGCAUGCGUGGUUGACACGAUAUUCUUCGUAAGUAUAUUUGAAAAUUUUUCAAUUUUGAAAAUACUAAGUUUUUUAUUGCAUUAAGUGUAAGCUAAUGUAUACAUGCUUCACAAGACACUAUCCAUAUGCUACAUACCUCAUUUCCAACUAAAGAUGCUCGGUCGACUAUGGAAAUUCUAGAUGAGUUAUGGGCGUACGUGGAGGGUGAGAAGCUGACAUACGACAAAUAAUGGAAAGAUGUUGAUUUCAUCCUCGCACCUUGCAAUGUGGGUGGGCAUUGAGUGGUAGUGAAGAUCGACUUGGUGAGGUGGACUAUCAAAGUGGUGGACUCCGUAAGAACUUCGGAUGCUAAGGAUAACAGAGUGCAAGCAGCUUAAAUGACACCCCUUACGACAAUUAUGCCAAUUAUUUGCCACCAAGUUGGCUAUUUCAACAAAACACAGUGGAAGACACGGGAUUUGAUGCCGAUGCCAUUGGAAAUUCAUUUGCCAAAAGUUAAAGUGCAUCGACAGAUUGAUAGUGUCAGCUGCGGUAUGUUCAUGAUAGGGUACAUUAACGAUCUUUUGCAAUCGGAAUUGAUUAGAGAGUUAAGCAAAUAUGAUUGUAAAUAUGCGUCGCCAAUACUCUCAAAAAAAUUUUUCCAACAGUUGUGAGAGCAAACCCUGAACAUAUCGGCCCUUGUCUAUACAUUUUUUGAAUAUACAAUUAAUUUUAUUAAUUUUAAUAUUUGUACAUUUUAUACAUUAUUUUUUCUUUCUCAAUUCAAACACAGUGCCUUUAAAUUAUUUAAUAAUGCAACCACGUGGCGUGUUACAUAAUUGGGGCAUGACGUGUCACCCCUGAAAACUAAAACAAGUCAGCAUGUCACGCCAAGUAUCUAGUUCCAGUUAGCAUGUCACCACAUUUGGGGGGUGCCAUGUCACCCCAUAAUACAGCAAGAAGUCAGCGUGUCACCAUAGAAAUCUACAUGCACUCAAUGUGUCACGCUAACUAUCUGCUUCCACUCAGCGUGUCACCCCACAAUAUUGCAAGAAGUCAGCGUGUCACCACAGAAAUUUGUAUGCACUCAGCAUGUCACACCAACUAUCUGCUUCCACUCAACGUGUCACCACAAGAUGGGGUGUGCCGUGUCACCCCACAAUACUGUAAGAAGUCAGUGUGUCACCAUAGAAAUCUGUAUGCACUCAACGUGUCACAUCAACUAUCUGCUUCCACUCAGCUUGUCACCACAAGAUGGGCUGUGCCGUGUCACCCCACAAUAAUGCAAGAAGUCAACGUGUCACCAAAGAAAUCUGCAUGCACUCAACGUGUCAACUUAGGAUAAUAUAUUUUUUAAGAAUUUUCGUCCUUAUAUUUUAAUUUUAUUUUUAAAAUAUUUUAAUUUAAUAACAAUUAAUUAUGAUGAUUCAUAGAUGAAAUUUGAUUGGAUGAUCCAUAAUUUUUUAAAUUUUUUGGUCAAGCAUGUGUUUUAAUCUUAAAUUUCAUAUCAUAUGUUUUUAAUUAGUCCAAAAUUUUCUCUUUCUAGACUUGUAUCCUUUGAAGUAAACUUUUUUGUACAAUAUUAUUAUUAUUAUUUUGUUAAGUGAUUGGCUUAAAGUUUUAUAUGAAGGUAUUAAUAAGAUAAAAUAAACGUUGUAAUUAAAAAAUUACAAAAACAAAUUGAAUAUGAGGAUUUAGAAAGCUACUAAAGUUAGAUGAAUUAAUUUUAUAUCUCUUAAGAGAUUUGAUUGUAAGAAUAUAAAAGGUUAAAUCAAAUGAAAUAGAAAGGAGUUAAAUUAAAUCAUUAAUUGUUUAAUACAAGUCAUAAUAAAAUGUGAGAAAGGGGGUAACAGUAUAGGGACUUCGCAAGUCUAUUCAGUGUUCAAAACUACAGACAAAAUGAAAUGAAUAAUCAAAUAAUAUAUCUACAAAAUUAAUAAAAAAAAUAAAGACUCAUCUACAAGAGAAAACUAAGAAACACAAAAUCCAAAUAUGAAUGAAUGUAAGAUACUGCAAGAGAAAAUUGUGACAAAGGUAUUGCACAUGGGUUACACAUUUAGUUAGAUGACAAGCUGUCUUUAUCCACAAAACACCCUACAUUUUCAGACAUUGUCCUUCGUAUUGGACAGUUGUUGCGUGUGUGACCGGUUUGUCUACAACUUGAACAUGCUUUCGGUCGGCGCACUCGUGGAGGCACUGAUUGACUUGGAGAUGGUGCUGGAUUUGUGGAUGGAACUGCAAAUGGUGAUGGGCAAUUCUGUCUGUUAUGGCUGUACCUCUUAUAUUGCAAACAUCUCCAUGCUCAACUGCCUUCACUGGCCGAUGGACUCCUUUUCCUCUUAAGUCUUCCCGCUUGGCCUCGCUAAGGUGGUGGCAAGAUGACAAUUUGUUUCACAUGAGGGGGAUGUCCCACUCACUAGGAUGCCCUACCGGGCGAAUGGAUCCCGCAUAAGCCUCCACCAAAACGGUUGUCUUGUAGUAGUCAAUGUAGAAUUCAAUGGCUUCACAUUUGCAUUUAUUGAAAAAUACAAUGAACUCAAUGUUCAAGCAUAAUGCAAAUAUUAUGUCAAUUAGGGUUCAAAUAAGAAAUAAAGAUAUUCUGACCUUAUUGCUACAAUGGCAUGGCUGCGUGGCAGUAAAUCUGUUUGGAACUCACAAUAUGAACACAUCUUCGUGGAUAAGUUUACAAGUCAAUCCAUCUUCCUGUCUUUAACUUUGAACUCCACUCGAUUGAUAGGUUUAACCACAAAGCAAUGUGCAUCAUUGAAGCGUUUGCUCAACUGCCCAACAACCCAAGGGUUGAGGGGUGUGGUCACCUUGACAGCCUCUUCAUACCAGUCAUGGAACCAACACUAGAACAUGUCUUUGAUGAACUCAAUCAAAGCAAUGAUUGGCAUUUGCCUUGUAUGCUUCAAGCAUGAGUUAACAUAUUUUGCAAUGUUGGAUGUUAUCAUUUGGUAUCACCUUGCUGGUGAAUAGGCAAGUGCCCAUCUCUCAAGGCCUAUUCUCAUAAGGUCAGUGUGGGCUUCCGCGUGAAUCUGCUUGAGCUGGUUCAUAUGUCUAUUGAAAUCGAAAACCUUAUAGCAAUCUCAAGCAAGGGUGAAAAUCAUAGAAACGUGAUCGUGCUUGAACUUGUUUUUAAAAUUUUUCUUCAAGUGGUACUCGCAUAAACCGUGGUGCACUUUUGGGUAUGCAUUUUGGAUUGCUUUCUUAAUGCUGAGAUGCUGAUCAGAAAUGAACACAGUGUUUUCAAGACAACCAACCGUAUCACACAGCUUGUUAAGAAACCAUAUCCACGAGUCUUUGUCCUUAACAUGGCCGAUGCCAAACGUAAUUUGAUAUACGCACUCAUUCGCAUCUUUGCAUACAGCGACAAACAGAACACCCUUGAACUUGCCUUUCAGAUGUGUCGCAUCAAUUGCAACCGUAGGACGCAUUACAUCCCUAAACCCCCGAAUACAAGCCUCAUAUGCCCAGAAACAAUAUUUGAAUCUUUCUACCUCAUCAGUAGCCACUGUAGUGAUUAUGCUGGGAUUUUCUUGUUCCAACAUAUAAAAAUACGAGGGUAGUAGUUGAAAUGACUCCUUUGAGGGAUCGAAAACAAGCCUCUCCGCAUACUUUUUUGCGUGCCAGGCUUUACCAUAUAGGCAUUUCAAUCCCCACUAAACCCUCAUCUCACCAAUUAUGUCCCUAGGUCUCAAUGCUUCUCUAUUAGUCUGAAGCUUGUGUGACAUAAGUUCACCAAUUAUCUUCGCACUCGCGGUUGCAAAUCGCCUUUGCAAACCAUCGAUAGUACACAUGUGUACUUUGUGGAAUGUUCGAACUUGCCAAUAUUUUCCUCCUUUAGGUAACUUCGUUGCACGCACACUGAACUUGCAUGCCUUGUCCUUGCAACCAACCUCAUAACGAGCUUUACAUGACUAUUUUAUUCUUAUCCCAAAUUGCUCUUUUAGAGCUAACGUGCUCAAAGCUCGUUUCAACUCGAUUUUCAAGGAAAAUAUUCUUCCUUUGUAUAAGCGAUCAUUGGCACAUGUCAACUCCUCAGUUGUAAUUAUUUAUAAGGAGAGCCUUUCUGCACCCGAAAUUACCCAUGUACGAGAUAUCCCUGCAUUUUCUCUUUCUAGAUAACUGUCAUGGAGCAAUAUACCAGGGGAACGAAUCCCAUUCUCAUCAGCGAUGGGGCUAUUGUCUAUGGGGUCAUCACACUAAACAUUUCCUACAUCAACACCUCCAACAAGUUCCGUUUUGCCUUCAACAUUAUUACAAAUUAGAAUGUCACUGUCAUAAAGCUAGUCCUCAUCUGAACUCUAAUCAUGCCAUUCAUCAAGGCCAUUAUCUAAAUUGUCAUUAAAUCUAUCUUCACUGGCAGGGAACAAAUUCUCAUUUCUCUCAUCAGAUGCAGUAUUAUCCUCGAUCGUUUUAGUGUCACCCUCCAACAUCGCAGUGUUGUCCUCAAGUGUCGCAUUCUCAUUUGAAAAUGCCAUUACACUUUGUACAGUUUCACCCGAUCGUUGUAUUUGUUAGACACAAGUAACUAAUUGGUUCGAUGCACAUCUUGAUCGAAAUUGUAUAGCCAACUGUUCUGUGAAUGUCGUGAGUCUACCGGGUUGCAUAAACUCUUGUGCAUAUGUCAAUUGCCAUUGUUGUGGGUUACAGACUGAAUGUUGUUGUCACGAGCCCGAUGGGACGAUCCGAAACUCCCAUCGGGCCCGUGAUUGUUGUGGUAUAUGUGAAGCAUUGUAUAUCUCAUUUUGAUUAAGCUGAUUACCAUGUUGUUCAGCUUCUUCAUGUGACAUAACAUUUAUUUGGCGUUCCUUAAUGCUGACAUACACAGCCGGAAAAUUUCUCUGUUUGAGCAGAAUCAAUGCAACAUCCUCAUCGUCCUUGAUAAUUGGCCGCGAUAGCUUUCCGGGUGUACUGAUCAAUGCAUGUAACUCAAUCUUGUCAAUUUCUGAGUUUACCCUAAUAACAUCUUCAACCAGCUUCAUCAAUCCCACAAACGACAAAUCACUCCUAACCCCUCGCAUUCGUGACUCACCACCCUUGUAAAUGCCAUCCACCCUCUGACCACUGUGUCUUAUCACAAGUCGUACAAUUGAAACCCCACAGAAAUUUUGAAAACAAUAAUAAUUUGUCAAUCAUUUAACACAUUACAUGACAUGCCAUGUUCUAGAAUUUUUCAGUCAUGUUGUAACACGCCAUGCAUAUAACAUAAAAUGUUAUAACACGCCAUGAAUAUACCGUUAAAUUUUGUAACAUGUCAUGCAGAUAACGUAAAAUGUUGAUACACGCCAUGCAUAUAACGUAAAAUGUUGUAACAUGCCAAUGUUGACAUGCCAAUGACUACAAUUACUAUGUCCUUACAUGAACUGGCCUAAUAUACCCAUGGCAUGUGACACGUCAAUCAGUGUAAUUAUUGACUCGUAACACGAACUGCCCUAAAAUAACCAAUGUCAUGACACGUUAAAAUAAUGCUAACACAUGUUAUAGAUGCAUGGCGUGUAACAAUUUUGGGCAAUGUUUCUAAUCCAUGUUCUAAUUUACACCAAAUGUUUCAAAAAUUUAAGUGUUGCAGCAAUAACCCAAUAACAUACCUUGAUGUCAUCUUUGCUAUAGGGUUUGUUAAUCUACGACAAUAUGGCCAGAUGCCGAGAGAUAGACCACAACUCGAUGACGAUGGUGCUCAAUAGAGAGUUGACAGAGUUGAGACAGUUCAAAGAGUUGAGAGAGAAAGAUAAGCGAGCUCAAACAGCUGAGCAUUUAUUAUUUAUUUCUAUUUUCUCUCUAGCGGGAGAAAGAUAUCGGGACACUAAUUUGAAAUGAUGUUUUAAGGGCAUUUUGAUCUACUCAUGCUUUUUUUUGUUAGAAACAGAUAACUUUAUAUGGGUGGUUAUUUCUGAAAUCACUUUAUUAGGAGGUCCAUUUCUCACAAUUUCCUCUAACUAAGCAAUUUAUAAAGAUAUUUAAGAAAUAAGGCAUUUGCAAAAUGUGUGUAACUAAGGUUCAUGAAAAAUGAACCACACAAAGUUAGGGUAAGUUGUAGGGGCAAUUCUUCAUGGGGUUGUUUGUGUAGGGUAGGUAUUAAACAUAUUACCAUGAGCAAAAGUGUAUAAGAAAAAACAAGAAUAAGUUGUUGUCUGCAUACAUUUAUGAACAUUUCAGGGAUGAUAUAUUAUUGCAGCCAAGUUUGAAGAUUAGAGUUUUAAAAGAGUUAUGUAGAGAAAAGUUAGGAGCAUAUGUCACAAUGAGCACGUGUUAGAAGAAAAGAAAGAUUGUGAGCCGUGAGAAGAUAAAGUUGCAUAAGGGAUUAUGCUAGGUUGUGGGAUGAUGAAUAGAGUUAAAUUCAAGUGGAUAGAGAGAAUGAUGAAAGGAAGAAUAGUGUCUUUGAGGUUAUAUGUAUGUUUUAAAGCUUGUAUAAAAGGGUGGAUUGAAGGGUGUAAGCCUAUUCUAAGAGUGGAUGACUGCUUUAAAUGUAUUUGUAAUAGAGACAUAAUGGUGGCUAUAGGGAGGGAUAGAAAUAAUCAAAUGUUUUCAUUUGCUUAGGCAAAAGUGGAGGUGGAAUACAAGACCUAUGGAAUUGGUUACUUGAAAUUUGGAUGGAUGAUGUUAGGCAUAUAGAUUCUAAAGUAUUAAUGGUAGUCUCAAACAUGCAAAGGGUAUGUAAGAUUGCUAUAUGUUUAGGAUUUUAUUUACUGUAUUUAUAUUUGUUAGCUUUAAAUUCAUUCUUAUUUGAGAAGACAAAAGAAAAUGCUCAAAAUUUAUACAAUAAGUUUAUUCUAAAGUCCUGAUUCACUGUAAGCUUAAGAAACAUUCAAUAACCUUAAAAUAUUUAAUGAAAUUCAAUCAUGUAUUUUUUUUAAGUAUUUGAGAUCACAUUAAAAUGGGAAAAAUGGUUUUUAAAAAAAGAAGGCUCAAAGUAAGAAAUGUUUUAAUACAACAACUAAAAAGAUUAGUCGUAAGGGUUAGCAGAUUGAUCCCUUUGAGACAAAAGCAAGAGGAACAUCAACCAAGGCUAUAUGGAUUGUUCUCAAGGAUUAAAAGAUCAACCUUAAUUACUUAAAUGUGAGAUCCUUGACUUUAGCACAAAGGUAAAAUUGUAAACUUCCUUGAUGAGCUUGUAUAUUACUCAUUUGAAUGUUAAUGUUUCAAAGAGUUUCCUUGUAAACUCAUAAUUCAAAGGUUUUUAACUUUAUUUGGAAAUAAUAAGAGAAAGAUGAUUUAAAAAGGAUGAGUUCUUGGCAAGAAAAAUUUGUUUUAUUGCAAAAGUAUCAAUACCCAAGGGAAAGGAAUCAAUACUUAGUGGUUACAAUACCUUGGCAAGCAUUUUGUGAAAAAGGUACCGAUACCUUAAAAAGAGACGUAUUAAUACUUAAUGGUUAUGAUGCCUUGGAAAAGCAUUCUGUGUAGUAAGUGUCAAUACUUGCAUAAUAAUUAUGAAUACUUGUGGCGUGAAUUCCAAUAAAUAUAAAGGAAAAUAGAAAAAAAGGGUAGGUCGACCAUUUCACUUUCUCUCCCAAGGUUUUCCUUCCCCCUUCCUUCUCUUAACUUCCACGCUACAAAUCUCAUUAAUUUAACUUCGAUUCUAACUCCAAACUCAACUAAGGUAAGAGUCUAAGCCUUCAAGCCUUGCAAUGCUUAGAUUUUUCAAUUUGAAUUUUCUCUCUAAAGGAAUUUCACUUUUCCAACAUGUUAAGUUUUUCCCCAAUUGAAUUUUUGGAGUAAAGCUCAUCAAGGUAAGUAUAAAUUGGAAAGACAAGUGAAUUAUGUGAUGAAUUAUUAAUUUGAAGGAGAAUUUAGGUAAGAAAUUGGUUUGGGAGAAGUUAGUUAAGGAAUGUGAGGGUAGUUGAUUAAGUUAAGAAAUUUGUGUUGCGUUGAUUUUGUAAUUUGAUUGUUUUAAGUCCCAUUAAAGCUCCAAGGUCUAAUAGCUAAAGAAGCUUGGCCAAGUGUUGUUAGUUUAGGAGGUGGUAUCAAAUUGGUGAAUGGACUUGCAUUUAAAUUGUUUUGAUAAAAAUGCAUAAAGUAUUUGAAUGCAAUGUUUUGAGUAUGUUUGUUCUUGACCAUUUUAAAAUAUGAAUGGGAAUAAGCUUUUGAAAUUAUUGUCUAAUUGUUGUGAAUGAAAUGUGUUGAGUAUGAAAGAUUAGAUAUUAACAAAUUGUUAGCUUUAUUAGCUUUAAAAUGAUUAUAGUUUUGAAAUGACAAAAAUGAUCAAAAUUGCUUGAAUGAACUUGUUUAAAUGAUUUUUGAAGUUGGUUGAAUCAGUUUUUGAACUUAAUUUAUUAAUGUUACAAACUCUCACACACUUGUUUAAAUGUUUCCAUGUGAAAAGUUUCAAAAUUGUUUCAAAGAGUUUUGAAUUUUAAAUAAGUUUUAAACCUUCAUUGCAUUUGCUUUUGAAAUGUCUAAAUAUUUGGCAUCAAAUUAGGUUAAAAAAAGAAACAUUUUCUAUAUUUUAAGCUACAAAUAUUGAUACCAUGGUAUUGGGUAUUGUUACAUUUUACACAAAGUGCUUCUAGAUGCAAGGUAUGGAUACUUAUCUCAAAGGUAUGGAUACCUAUUUUAUAAGUAUCGUUACGUUGUGAAACGAUACCUUGACCAAAUGUAUCGAUAUCUAGUGAAAACUAUGGAGUGAAAAGUAUCUAUGCUUGAGGUCCAGAACUAGCUGUUAGACACGAAAUUCAAAAGAAAAACGACUAAUUUCUUUACUAAAUCAUCUCCAACGGCUCCAAAGUUUCUCCAACUAUAAAAAGGACUUCUCAAACACAUUUACAAGGUUAGAAGAUUGUAAAAAUACAAAAAAUAGUCAAGCAUCAAAUCUUAUGAAGAAAAAAAAAAAGACAAAGAAAGAAAAACCAAGUUAGAGCAAGCUAUUCACGUGUUUCCACUUAGCUUUUAAGUUAUCUUUGUGUUACAAAUUCUUUGUACUUUCAUUCCUAUCAUUUGUACACAUCUUUGUAUCAUUCAAACACUUCAAACCUUAUACUUACUUAGCAAAACCCACCUUAUAAAGGUAUAUUUGCUUAAAUCUCGUAAAAGAGAAAAAGGUUAUACCUUACUGUUCAAAAGGUAAUAUUUAGAGGCUAUACUUGAUCCUUGAAAGGCAUAGAGGUUAUACUUUAGCCUUCAAAAGGUAAUGUUUAAAGGUUGUGCUUGAAACUUGAAAAGGCAAUGAUUAUGCUUAAUCUUUGAAAAGCCAUGGUUAUGCUUGAACCUUUAAAAGGCAUUGUAUUGAAUUUUUUCAAUAAUGGAUUUAAACUCCUUAGCUUUCUAAGGGAGAGGAGAUAGGCACCUAUAGAGAAGGUCGAACCUUUAUAAAUUCUGUAUAUUUUCUCUCUACCUUUUACUCAUUAAACUUGUGCAUUUUAUUUUAAGAAGUUUGAAAAUUGUUUACAAUUUGUUUAUUCAUUAUUUUGUUUAUCAAAUUACUUUUGGCAUGUUUUAGAAUGAAAACAAAUUCAAGAAAAUUGAUUUUAACUUGUUUUCAUUGAAAAAGUUUUAGAUUCCCUUCAUUAGAAAUUUAAUUUAAGGACAAGAAUUUUUAGAAAUCAAAUUCACCCCUCUUAGAUAGUUUCACAUUAUUAUUGAGCUAGCAUUCCUAACAAUUGGCAUAAAUGUUUGGAUUAAAUUUUGUAGGUUUAAAAGCUUUUGAAUGAUCCUUGUUAGCUCCAAGACAUAGCCAUGAACUUUAUUGUAACAAUUCUUGGUGAAAGGCAAUCAAUUGAGGAACCUCUUCUAUUUAAUGGCGUCAACAAUUGUUAACGGUACAACUCAAUGCUAAAGUCAUGCACAUUCUCCUUUGUGCACUUGGAGAUAAAGAAUACAAUAGAGUUUUCAAGUGUGAAAGUGCCAAAGAUUUGCGGGAAAAAUUAGAAGAGUUGUAUAAGAAAAGAAAGAAGAAAGAGGAGUUGGAAGAGAAGCCUUGUGAAAGUGAAUGCUCAACAAGUGACAAGGCAAUUAGAGAUAAGAAAUCAAGUGAAAUUCAAUUCUCAAUCCAAUUCAAAUCAUGCCUCAUGGCUCUUGAAGAGCUUAUAGUAAACCCCUUACUUUGUGAACCCAUUUCAUGUUCAUUUGGUGAAUUGCAAGAUACCUUUGAAGAAUUAGCUUGUGAAUUUGAAAAAAAUGAAUUUUAAACACAAGAAAAUGAUUUCAAAACUUAUUGUUGAAAAUGAAUUUUUACUAAAGGCAAAAAUCAAAUUGGAAAAAGCGAAUGAAAAUUUGAAAACUGAUUUUGAUGCAUGAAAAAAGAAAAUUGAUACUUUGGAAAAAGAGAACUUAGAUGUAAAAAUGAAGUUUAAAGAUUUACUAAAUGGAAGACAAAAGGUUUUCAUAAAUUCCUCAUUUUCUAGAAUGACUAAAUGUCCUCAUUGCACAUUUCAUGGUCAUAAUUCAUUCACUUAUCCUAUUAAAAAAUAGGAUUAGACAAGUGUGGGUUCCACAAGGAAUUUUGUGUAAUGACACUAACUCUCGAGGAUCCGAAGCAAUGUCGAUACCAAAAUUCAAGUGAAAAGUGUCUAUUGUAGGUGUGCUAGAGCAAAAAGGAACAAAAGUUUAGAAGAUUGAAUGCUCUCUAGACACACAAUGAAAAAUGGAUCAUGUUUAUACCAAAAGUCAUUUAUUUGUUUAAUUGAGAAUUUUGGUUGUUUGUUCUUAUUUUCUUGGAUUGCGUUGAUUUACCUUGGUUUCUCAAGUUAGUUGCUUUUUUUAAUUGAGAAUUUGGUUGUCUAUUCUUACUUAAAUAUUAAGUGCAUAAUUCUUUAUCUAUUUUCCUAUAAGUUUUACUGAUAAAUCUUAAUUAUGCAAAAUUGAUUUAAUAUGGUACAUGUUAUAAAUUGCAUAAUCUUGAAGGAAGUAUGAGCCUAUGAGCCUAAAGAUUGAUUAUGUGCUUAUGUUUGAUUUUGAAUACUUAAUAAGUUUAAUGUAAAUAUAUUCUUUUGUUUUUUGAAAAUGAUUUCAUAUUAUCCUUUUUAGAAAAAUGAUUUUUGAGAAUGAUCUUGAACAUAAAUAGGUUUGAUGUUGAUGAUAUGAUGGUAAUAUGAGCUUACUUGUUUGAUUUGCACUCUUAUCUUUGAGUUCAAUAGAACAAGAAAAAUAAUGAGAAUAUUUAAUAGUACUUAUGAGAAUAAUAUCUUUGAUAAAAUUAUAAGAUGGUCUUAUAUUGAAAAACGUAUAAAGCCCAGUGGGUCAAUGGGCCCAAUUUCGUUACUUGUACGUUACAAAUUAGCCCAACUGACUUGCCUUGUUGACAAUGUACAUUUCAUGUUUUUAGAACAUUUAGUAUUCAAAGCCUAAUUGGUCAGUUAGCCCAAUAUGUCACAGUCUGCACUUUGCAUAUUUUUUGUCUUUAUAAAAUUCAAACACUACUUGAUAAACUAAAAUAUGUAAAAAAAUUAUGAUAAUAUAUAAAAGUUAUACACUAUUAGUGCACCGGAACACAUCACAUCAUUAACAAGUAAAAACAAAAGCUUAUUACGUCUUAAAAAUAAAUUUAAAAAAAUUUUAAUAAUUAAAUAAAAGAAUAAAAUAUGUUCAAAAUCUCACUGAAAUUUCUCUUCCACGCUCCUCUCCCUCCACCGGGAUAGCUAGAGUAUUGCCCUUUUAUCAAAAAUUUGCUUUAAUUAAAUUAUUUUUAUUAUUGUAUAAGCAUUGGAAAUGAAGGCAAGACUUAGGUUAUACUCCUUAGAUCAAGUUUGUGAAGUUUCUUAUGAAAAAUAAUCAAAUAAAAAUUAAAUUUGAAAUUUUAAACCAAUAUAGGAAAAGACCUUUUACAUAUAGGUCAAGUAUACAAAAUUUGAAAUAAUUUAAAACACGUUUUAGUAUCUUAUGUAAAUUGGCAUUUUUUUAAAAAAAUUCUGAUAAUUUUUACUAUUCAACAAAUAUUGACUAAAUUUCGUAUAAUAAUACUACUUUUAAUUAAUUUCUUACACAUUACUUUUUUAUUGCAUUCUAUUAAUUUAUUGAUUUGAGUUUUAUUUAAUUAUUUUGAAUGAAAAUUUUCACAAAUUUAAUGUAAGAAACUUUAUCUAAGUUAUCUCUUUAAAACGAAUAUAUGGAAUUGAAAUAGUAGAUAGAGAGAAUUUCUUUUUACCACAAAAUUAAUGUUUCUGCUAAAGAAAGAUGUCAAACAAGAAAAUGCUAGAAUAAAGUAAUGAUCUCUUAUGCUUCCUUGUACAUAAAAUUGGCCUUGUCAAUAUCCAACGUAACUAGGCGAGCAGCGGUUGAUUUUGAUCGGCUUUGGUUAUGGAGGGUAAACAAUCGACCUGCAUGAACCACUGAGGGAGGAAGUGAGAUACCAGAAAUUGACCAUACUCGGUCAGAUGAUCGAUUGGGGCUUUAAAAUUACAAUUCACCUUCACCAAAUUUUAAAUAAUGGGAGAAAGUCAGAGAGGGGGAGAUGAGCUCUAAAGGAGAAUUAAUGCUUUAGAAUACUUUACUUGAUUGCUACUCUUCUUAACAGCUAUUGGAUUUUCUUCAUACGAAUUGUUCUAUACAUGUCUGUCUAUAUGAACCGUGUGCAAACGACUAUCUUUCGUGUGUGGCCCAUAUCAUAAACUAAUUCUUCUUUAAGCUUGAUAGAUAAGAGACGGUAACUUCAAACAACACAAAAAAAGCUUGGAAACUCCAAGCGGAGUGGCACGACAGAUGAGCUCGAUGACAAUAGUAGAAAGAGAAAAUGGCCAAAUGGGGGAGCUUCAGCUUAGGGUUUCACAAGGGUAAGUAGGUAAUGACUUAGGGAGUUAGGGGGGGGGGGGGAGUUAAUGAGAAUAAAUAUGUAAUUUUCCCUAUAUAUAUAUAAUAAAAUAAAGCCAAAAGAAUUGAUUUUUCAUUCAGUGUUGGUAGGUAAGUUUCCGUACAGAUGAUCAAGUUGAUCUUUCGCUAAAAUUUGUAGAAAUAAAUAGAUCAACUAACCAAUGCUGAUCAAUCCAGCCGUUGUCAACGAAACAUGUCAGCAUCAGUCGAUUGGUCGGUUACCACUUAUCGCUGCUCACCCCGAAAUGGAACAAUCAUUUCAACUUGUGCAUAGCGGUCAUGAUAUUGAAUUGCUAUUGACAAAGAUGUCUAUUGUAUUUAUUAUCUUUUUGGGGUGUUGUUUGAUAAAGUUUUUGAAAAUUUUUUAAAAAUUUGUUUUAAUUUGUAACGUAUUUGAUUACUAAGUAUGAAAACCACUAAAAUGAAUAAUUUGUAAGGUAUCAUACCCAAGACUCGACCCAAUUCGAACCGGGCUUAAGGACCUGAUGGGUAGCUCGACUUGAAGAUAAUCAUAUAUCUAAUAUUUAUUUAAAAAUUAUAAAAAAUAUAGUUAAUAUUUAACUUUUAGUAACAUAUCAAAGAGUUUUUAUUACAGUACAAAUUCAAUACACAACAGAUUUAGCAAUAAAAAUUCAACACCUAUUUUUGUCAAUUAACUUGUCUAACAACCACUUGAAACAUAUUAAAAAUUUUCCAUUAGGCCAUUUUCAAGUUCCAAGUUUAAAAUGUUUUGAGUUAAGAACUCAUUUAUUUUCAAACCGGCUCAAAUUUGGGGUAGAUAAAUGUUCAGAAACAGUAAAUUCUCUUGCCAGUUGUACAUCUGAGGUCAUUGAUAAUUUAUUUAUUUUUCUUGUUACUAUAUAACUUAUCCAACAAAUAGAUUCUCUUUUCCCCUAAUUUAUUUAUUUUUUCCCUAAACACAAACGGAUCCCCUAAGAACAAUGCAAUCAGGAUUUAAGAUUCUUGUCUGUUCCCUUCCUUAAAUUCUAACAAACCUGCUCAGGGCAAUGUCUCCUCCAUGUGAUCCUACUUGUUUCAAUUACUUUUUGUAAAUGAAACGAGAAUAUGUCGGUGCAAAGAUAAGCAUACAUAUAACCACGCAUCACUCCCAACCUUUGCAUGUGAUUUCCAGAAAUUAUCUCAUUUAUUUGAGUAACUCAAAAUUAUAUGCAUACAAAAACUAUAUGUUGUAAAAACAGUAAGUUAAAAAUGUUGCUUCUUUCCAACAUAAUGCAACCGCUUUGUACUUAGUAUCAAAUGGCAAAUGAAGAAUGAAAAAUUUGAUUGAUAUUGACAACAAUAAUUGAAGGACCAGCAGAAAAAAAUUAAUUAGGAGAUAUGAACGAACGUAAUAAUAAAAGAAGCACUACAACAACGUGGAAUGAGAAGAUAUUGUUAUUAAAAUGAGGGAUGGUAUUGGAUCCCGAGAAGAUAGGUUUUUGGUUUGGGCCCCAAGAAUAAAGAGAUUCCUCUCCCUCCUUAAUAUAAUCCAAAAUCUUUUUGCCAUGUUGUUGUUUUGAUUGGUUAAGAAGUCAUAUUCCGAAUCUGAUGCAAUGAAUGUGGGAACUGAAGUGGAUGCAACAGGUGUUUGGCUAUUUUUUAGAAUGCUGCCUUUUAGAAUCUUCUCCUCUCGUCGGGUGGCUACCUCUACCAUGAUUUCUGCCCUCCUUUAUACUUUUUUUUUUAUUAAUUGCUUGGUAAUUUGAUAGCUUGAUUAUUAGGACCUCAUCCUAUCAAAGCUACAAAACUAAUAGUUGAUGUGUUUGUCUUGAUUCCCAUGAGGUUGCUCUUUGUGUGGUUUAUAAUAAGGGAUGUCUCAACUAAGAACACAUUUGGAGCUGUGUUUGAUUGCCAACUUAAUGUCAAACUAAAUAAAUUUUGUGAUAAAAAUCCCGGUUGUUAAUAAAUUUUGCUACUCGAUCACAAAAUAUUUUCUGUUAAAAAUUCUUGGUUGUCAAAAUUAAUAGUUCACUCAAUACAUUUCAAGUUUUUUUGUUUUUGCAAACUAAUGCUUAAUAGUUUGACAAUUAACUAAUUAAAAGAAAAAGAAAUUGAUUUAAAUAAUAAGAUACGUGCAUUCCUACACUCACAAAUAUAUAUUUCAAUCAUCUUAAUUGAUAUUGGCUAUAAUUAGCGAGGUUAUGGAGAGUGCCCAAGAUUUUUUUUUAUUUAAAAUAAUUAUUGAUUUAAAUAUUUUAUAAUUGAUUUAAAAUUUCUAUUAUUCUAAACAAUAUAUGAAGAAUUCAAGCUUUCAAUCGAAUUGCCCACAAUUCAAUUAUUUUAUAGAUUCUAAAUUUAAUUUAAAUUAUAAAUACACAUGAACUUUUGACUCAAUAGUUAGAGAUAACCAAAUAUGCAAGCUGAUGAAGGAAUUACAAGAUCUUUAGUGUCUCAAUUUAUGUUAGAAUAUUUGCAUUUUGAUGAUCUAAACAUAUGUCCCAUCAAAGUAAAUGGGUUCACUUAUGCUCAACGCACUGAUUAAUGGGUGGCAAGAGACAGUUACCAACUUUAUCCUUUGAAAAAGUUUAUGCUCAAAUUAAGUUCUGAUAAGAUUAGUACAAAACUAACAACUAGUGCAUUAGUGGGCUUAAAUACUUUGGAGUCGAAAAGGAGUUAAGAGUUUGACUUGGAUGAUAUUUGAGGGCAGCACCAAUGAAUGGUAUAGCUAGCUAUACCCGUGUUGUGACCAAAUAGGAAUAAAUAAUCUUCAAAAAAGGAAGAAUCAAUACUAAAGUGGGUGAAUGGAUUAAUUACUAAAUUGGCUUAGGUGGAAAUCGUAAUCAAGUAGUGGGAAACUUUUACCCAUAAAAACAUGACAUGCUUAUCUGCAAAUAAGACACCGAGUCAAUUGCUUGUUUAAUCAGCAACCUACAAAGUGAAAUGAGCUUAUCUCCAUCGAAGUCAAAUCACAAAGUGAACACUAGAUUUUCUCCACUUGGAUAAACAGAACAGUUUUAAACGAGAGGGACCAAAACCAGUUUCCCUAUUCUCAAUUUUUUCAAAGUCCUUGCUUGGAAAAGAUUUUUAUGGAUGCAAAACCAUUAGACAUCAACAGCCAAAGCCCAGGGACUCAUUUUGAUGGAUACCAACAAGUUUUGAAUGUGACUCUUGUCUCUUAAUUUGUGUAUCAUUAGAAUUAGAUCAUGACAGCACUUGAUUAGGCUCAUUUUCAAGCAACCAACAGGAUGGGAACUAACGACAUUGGUGGGUUUUAUACUAUUGGAAGUAUUAAUUUGGAUUAUGGCAAAAGCAAAAUUGAAAACAACAAAAGUUUGACUUUAUUUUUUAUUAUUUAUUUUGACAGAAAUCCUAAGGUAGAGACAAAGUGCCCCAGUCCCAAGUUAACCUCGAUAAAAAGUCGCAAGUCAAAAUCACACAUUAUCAAACCAGCGAGGAACGACCAUCCCAAUCGAGCUAAUUUGGCAUGGUGGGAUACUAGAUGUUGGAACUUUGAUAAUAUCUAUCAAAGAGGCUUUGAUAUUGGUUGUGUACAGCUGGGGAAACGUUAGAAUAAAAGGGAAAUGGCAGAUAAGUGGGAUUCCAAUCAUGGCUUUAUUUAUUGGGGACGUAUCACUUGCAGCCAAUGUAACCAUUCAUUAUUGUUUUGUCCUACUACUUGUAAUUUUCCUCAUUCCGAAUGUAUGCAGGCAGAAGCCUUUUACGUUUAUAUAUAUGUUUCCUUUUAUCUUAUCCCCUGUCCUCGUCAACCAAUAGUUAUAACCUACAAAUAUCAAGUUCCAAGUUUAAAAUUUCUCUUCUAAAUUAUUGAUAUUUAAUAAAUACAGAAAGUUAGAACAUUUUGCCCAAUCCUUUUUUGUCAUUAGGCUAGAUCUAACAAUUUUGUGCAUGAUAAGAGAAGAUAUGAGAUUAAAUAGGUUUGGGUUUAACUUUAAUGUGCUUCGUGUCUAAUCGUGUCUGACAUGUUUAAGACACAAAAAUUUUCGUUAUCUUAACAUGUCAAACACAAGUAACACAUUUAAACACGUUUAAUUAAUCAUAUUAAUCGUGUUUAAACAUGUUUAUGUGACACGUUUAUCAAUUUAUUAAAAAUUAAUAAUCAAAGACUAUUUUAGCCUAUCUUAAAUAAUUUUAAACAAUUAUUUUAAUAAGUUUUUUUAAAUUUUAUAAAGAUAAUAAUGUAAUUAUAAAUAAUUGUUUUGUUAUAAUUUUUUUAUUUAAAUUUAAAAUCAAUAAUUAUAACAAAAAUUAUAAGAAAACAAUUAUUUAAAAUUACAUUAUUAUCCUUAUAAAAUUUAAAAGACUUAUUAAAAUAAUUGUUUAAAAUUAUUUAAGUAAGGCUAUAAUUUUAAUUAUAAUUUUGUUAUAAUUAUUGAUUUUAAAUUUAUAUAACAAAAUUAUAUUUAAUUAUAAAUAUUUUUAUUUAAUCAUGUUAAACGUGUAAAUCAUAUUAUUAAUCGUGUCGUGUGGUACAUUGACAUGUUUAAUAAAUAUGUUAAUCGUGUCGUGUUGUGUUACACGAUUAUUAAACGUAUAUGUGUAUGUAUUUCAGAUUUAAGAUAUAAAUAUUAUUCGUGUCAUGUUCGUGUUUAACCUUAACAUGUUUCGUAUCUAAUCGUGUUUGACACAUUUAAAACACGAAAAUACGAAUUACCAGGUCUACAUUAGGCAGUGAAGGUGAGUUCAAAUAAAAAGAAAAUAAACAUUUUCUUUUCUUUUUGACUAAAUACCCAAAUAAGUCUUUGAACUAUCUUUAUGAAGUCAAUCAAAUCUCUAUCUUUUGAUUGUGUUCAAAUAAGUAUUGAACUUUUAUUUUGACUCAAAUAAACCUCUCUAACUUUAUAUGUGGCACUUUUUAUGCCACAUGGUAGAUGACAUAGCAUAAAAUUGCUAAUUCAGAUUUUUUUUUUACCCAUCCAUGUGUCCAAAAAAUAAUGAUUAAGGAUUUGAAAAAAAAAAUUAAAAGAAAAAACUAAUUACUUUCUCUCCUAAUCUAGAACAAAGUUUUGAGUUUAAACAAAUUAAAUCAUCUAAGGGUUUAAACCAAAACUUACUAAGAGCCUAUUUGGUCUAGUUUUUUUUAGUUUAAAAGCUAUUAUGGAGCUCUUAAAAAAAAUAAUAGCUUUUAAAAUUAAACUAAAACUAUUUGAUAAGCGGUUGAAUAAAAUAAAUUAUAUAAGCUCUAAUUUUAGUUAAAAUUAUCAUAAAAGAUAUUCAUGCCAUCUUCAAUCACUUAAUAAAUCAUAGCGGAACAAGUUUGCUUCAAGUUUAUAUACGAUUUCAAAUGUUCAAAUUAAAAAAAUCAAUAAAGAAAUGGAAAAACUCUCAAACUUAUAUAGUAGUAAUACUAUUAGAUUUUUAUUUAUUUAGCAAGCAAUUGGAUCAUAAUGUUUCAAUUCCCAAAAAAGAAGAGAAAGAAAAAACAGUGUAUUUGACAUUAAAAUCUUUUUUGGUGAAGAAGAGAAAACCUUUAAAUAGCAUCUGAAUGCAGCUUUGAAUUUUGAGUUUUCUUUUCUCUUAAUCUUUGUAAGAACAAAAAAUUCUAAAUUUUGCUAUUAUGUUGUUGGGCCUUUUGUUUUUUUUUUUCAAAUAAUCUUUGUAGAGAGAGGUAGAGAAGAGAGAGAUUACGAUUUGCUUUGGAGAAUGAAAAUUCGCAAAGGGACGGAGAGGAAAGAGAGAUUGAUUGAAAGAAUGGUAUUUUCUGAAAGAAAAGAAGAGAAAACCCCUCCUUGGAGCUGUUCUUUAAGUUCUUUUUUUUUUUAAUUUUUGUUCUUUAAAAAAUACUAUUUUUUAAAAAACUUUUCAAAAAUCAUGUUUGGCACAUACUAAAUCAUCUGUGACUAUCCAAAGAAACAAAAUUCUAUUGGAAGAAGUAAGUUGCAACACCAGUUCAUGGAGAAGAAGUAAGUUCCUUUUUUAUAUUUUGCAAGAAUUAAAGGCAUUGUUCUAUAUAUGAGAUGUCAUGGAGAUUUAAUGGGCUGAUUAGGAUCUUUAGUUAAUUUGUUAAAAAAAGGUCUCUAAAGAAUUAGGAGUAAUGUUGUUUUGCUGAGAUUGAGAAAUUAAUUGUACGUCAAGUCCCAUAUUCUUAGUGGGAUGGUCAUUGGUGGAUUUGUUGAGAACCACUUUAUGCUUAUUAAAAGGCUCCCAUUAAUUUCCGGGUUAUGUUAAAUUGCAGUGAGAAUAAAAUUUGUUAAGAAAAAUUGUUUCCCUUAGGGAUUUUAAUGCUUUGUUGCUUUUCUUGAUGAUAUAUUUUUUUGGUCAUUUUUUGGGGUUUCCAGUGUAGCUCCUUUUAUUUGUUUUUUGGGUUUUUAUUGUUUCUUUGUUGCUGCUCUAGUUUGCUACAUCUUGUGUGAUUUUGAUUUUCCUUUUUUUUCUGCAGCUUUGUUUUGUCUUGAAGUGGAGUCUGUUCAACGGUGAUAUAGAAAUGGCUAUGUUGAUGGGAAGAAUUGGAAAUUCAAGAAUUUAUUGAAAAAAGGAAAAGAAAAAUUAGGAUGAAAAUUAAGUAAGCAAAAUUGAAAUUUGAAAAAAAAAAAAGGGCGAAGUACUUGAAAUUGGAAAGGGAUUGAGAGGGAGGAGAUGAAGUACCUAAUUGCCUUCUUUUUUUGGGGUUAAAAAACCUUAUUGAAUGUUAUAAACAACAGUAAUAAGGAUUCAUAUAAAGCAAUUAGUUUUUUUUUUUAAUUUUUUUGCAAAUCAUUAACCAAUAAUUUUUAAACAUGUGGACAGGUAAAAUAAGAAAAACACAAAUCCUAAUUUGCAAUUUUAUGCCAAGUCAUAUGCCAUGUGGUAGUGGCGUUAUCAAAAUGACAUAUCAACCUACCACGUGGUAGAUGAAGAGACAUAAAAAGUGCCACUUGUACCAUUGACUAACUAACUAAUAGAAGUUAGUCGAUGCUUAGUUAAAUGAGCUUAUUUGACCCAAAAUUAAAGUUUAAGGACUUAUUUGAAUGCAACAAAAGGAUAAAGGCUUGAUUGACCUUUUGGAGAUAGUUUAGGGGCUUAUUUGAGUAUUCAACCUUUCUUUUUCAUUUGGAAAAAUUUUAAUAUUUUGAUUAUAUUUUAUUGAAAUUUUAUAUAUUCUUUUUGAAGGAAUGAAAAAUUUGUAUUGUCUAAUCCAAUGAGGGAAACAAACACUAACUACAUUUUUAAUCAAUAGCUUCCUAGCAUUAUCAGGUGGACUAUUAUAAACUAAAAAGUUCUCAUCAAUAGAGAAACCUUCGUUGGCCAUGAAGUCAGCAACUCUAUUUCCUUCCCUAUAGAUAUGACAAACCUAGAUGCUCCAUUACUAUUGGAGAAGACUGUGGAUGGCUUGAAUUAGGUCUAAGUUGGAGCAUGGAUGACUUAAUUGGGAUGUAAUAGCUUGUACAACUAAUUUGCUAUCUACUUGAAGAUCUACCUAUCAAAAGCCUAACUCCCAAGCAUACUUUAGUCCUCGAAAUAUUCCCUAAAGUUUUACUCAAUAAGCAGUACAUUUUCUAAGCCUCAUUGCAUAUGCACCUUUCCCCUAGCUAGUUGGAUGCCUUAACACACCAUUGGCCACUGCUUGAUUAGAGGAUUUUCGAUAUGCUCCAUCAAAGUUUAAAACAGUCUAACCUAAAGGAAAACCAAUCCAACCUAUUAAUACUUUUUUCUGCUCAUUGAGUGUAGUUCUCUCGUUUCCGAAGUACAUUGAAUCAUCAUUAUGUAUCGCAACAGCCAAGCUGCAAAUUAAUGCCAAACACCCUUCAUUAGAUAUGAUUUUGUUUUCAAAUAUAUGGGAAUUCCUUCAUUUUUAAAGGAACUAACAUGUCACCCCAAAAAUGGUAGCCCAUGAUGCACUAGUAUUUGUUUUGUUAUGUCUACUUAAAUUAAAAGAUAGUCAGUCCAACGUGGAAAGAUCAUAAAAGAAAUUAUCUACAUUUGAUGGUAUAAGUCUUAACCAAACUGCUUUAGCAAGGGGAUUGCUAAGCACGUGGAGAAUGGUCUCAUCUUCUAUUUGGCAGUGUAUGCAUGUUGAGUUAAUAAAAAGAUGUAUACGAUAUCUUUCAUUGUUUGUAAGAAUGCAAUUGUGCAAACAUUGCAGCUAGAACAUGCAGAUCCUUUCUGAUCUCUUCCAUUUCCAAGCUAAAGCCAUUGAUUUGAACCAUCAUUUAAGUUUAGACUUUUUAGCUCUCUUAAAUAAUCGUAUGUCGAGGAUAUUGUAAAUUGUUUAGACAAAGAUAGAGCCCAACACGUGUUGCGAUUUAAUAGGUUUUAGCAGUAAACAAAUAAAGGUAGGAAGAGUAGAGAAUGAAGGAUCUGAAAAAACAAUUAGUGAGCUAAAAAACAGAGGAACUCUCACAUUCAUCUAUUCAUUUUCACCUUUAUAUAUUGAGUAAUUAACUAGAAAUGACCAACAAAUUAACAACCGUAUAGAAUCUCAAAGAAAAAGAAUAAAAUUGGUUGGUUGUCACUGAAAUCCAUGUAUUGGUUUCAGUGCCAGGCAACGGCUACAAACAGGAGAGAAAACACCUAGUUUAACAACCAGCAGACAUGAAAAAUGACACUCACAAGCUGUGUUUAACACAGUAAAACAAGAAACAACAUAUGCUAAAGUCGUAUUACAUAAACAGAAAGUAAACAUAAAUGAAAUGACACAAGGCUUGGCAUAUUUACUGCUAAAGUGAGAAAAAGACAUCGUACUACUCAUCCCUCUUCUUCCUCUUCUUUCUUCAGCCUUUGACUCUUCCCGCCAAGUCUGCUCCUUGAAUUUCCAGAAUUGUGAUCAUUUUCCAACAGACCCCUUUGAUCACAAAUUUGGUAAACACCCAAACAAGACCUCAAGAAUUCAAAUCUGUCUUUGCACAAACCUUUAGUCAGAAUAUUAGCAAAUUGUUGAUUAGUUGGACAGUAAUGAAUAUUAAUUUCAUUGUCUUUUACUGCCUCUCUAAGAGCAUGAUAUUUAACCUUUAUGUGCUUGGUUCGACCAUGUUGAACAGGGUUCUUUGCAAUACCUAUGGUUGAUUGUUGUUAACCUUAAGCACUGUGCCCUUAGUCUGAGGAAAUCUCAAGUCAACUAAUAUAUUCCUAAGCCACUGGAUAUGAUUUGCAGCAGCUGAAAUAGCAAUGUACUCAGCCUCAGCUAAGGAUUAAGCCACCAAUUCCUGCUUUUUUGAAUUCCAAGAAAACAUACAACUACCAAAUGAAAAACAAAAUCCCCUAGUGCUCUUUGAAUCAUUAAGUGACCCUGCCCAGUCAUUGUCUAUAUAUCCUUGAAGUUCACCAUUGUCAAACUUACUAUACUUAAUUCCAUAGUUCACCGUACCUUUGACAUAUCUCAACACCCUCUUAGCUACUUUGAAGUGUGUUUCAGAUGGUGACUGCAUGAACCUCGACAGCAAGCUAGUUGAAAACAUAAUGUCAGGCCUUGUAGCUGCUAGAUACAGUAGUGACCCUAUUAUACUUCUAUAGACUAGAUCAUUAGCCUCAUCUGCUCCAUCAUUCUUAAUCAGUUUAUCCCCUACAGCUAAUGGUGUAUAAACUGGUUUACAAGAUUCCAUCUUAAACUUCCUUAACAAAUCUCUGGCAUACUUAGCCUAGUGAAUCAUGAUCAACGCAUCAGUUUGAAUAAUUUCCAUACCAAGGAAGUAUCUCAUGAGCCUUAGAUCAGUCAUUUCAAAUUCAGUCAUAAUUUAAGCUUUGAAUUUCUCUAGGUAUACUGCAUCAGGCCCUGUUAACAAAAGAUCAUCCGCAUAAAUAGCUACUAUAUACAUCACUAAGUCAUCAGAUUUCUUCACAUAAAGAGUAGGUUCUGUCAUGCUUCUAAUUAAGCCUUGAGCUCUAAGAUAGUUAUCCAACCUUUUAUACUAGACUUUAGGUGCUUGUUUUAAACCAUAUAAAGCUUUAAUAAGCUUACAAACCUUUCCUUCAGCUCCUUGCGUCACAUAGCCUUCAGGUUGCUCUAUAUAAAUAUCUUUAUAUAACAUUCCAUUAAGAAAAGCAUAUUUCACAUACAGGUGAUUGAUCUUCCAUCCUUCUUUUACAGUUAGAGCAGCUAGCAAUCUUAUAGUGUCAUGGCGAGCCACAAGAGCAAAAGUUUCAAAGUAGUCUGUUCCAUAAGUCUGUGCAUAACCCUUUACCACAAAUCUGGCUUUAAAUUUGUUUACAAAAACAUCAGGAUUGAGUUUGGUUCUGUAAAUCCACUUAACUCCAAUAACUGGAUAAUCACUUGGUCUAUUAACUAGACACCAAGUUCCAUUCUUCUCGAUCAUGUUCAACUCAGCAUCCAUUGCUUCAUUCUAGUUUGCAUCUGCAGUUGCCUCUUUAUAGCUAAUAGGAUUUACAAUUACUACAUUGCAUCUGCUGUAUAUGUCCUGAAGGAUUCUGGUUCCUCUAACAGCUAAAGACUCAUCCUCAAUAUCUUCCUUAUCAUCAGACACACUUUGCACUAGACCAGUAGACAGAUUCAAGUUACCAAGACCUUCAAUUAUAGCUUUGUCCCAAUUCCAAGUUGAAUUUUCAUCACACUUUAUAUCUCUACUGAACAUCACCUUUUUACUCACCACAUUGUACAAUUUAUAUCCUUUGAUGACAUCACCGUACCCAAUCAGAAUAGUAACAACACUCUUCUCAUCUAGCUUGGAUCUUCUCUCAUCUGGCACUUUAGCAUAGCAAAUAGAACCAAAUACCUUCAAGUGUGAUACUGAGGGCUUUUUGUCAAACCAACAUUCAAAAGGGGUCUUCUGAUGCAAAGUUCUAGUCUGACUUCUGUUCAGAAUGUAAUUAGCUGUGUUAAUAGCUUCUGCCCAAAACAUCUUAGGCAAAUUCUUCUGAAACAGUAGACAUCUGCCCAUUUCCAUGAGAGUUCUAUUUUUCCUUUUAGCAAUUUCAUUCUGCUGAGGAGAAUAUGUAACUAUCAAUUGGUGCAUAACCUCUAGCUUGGACAGAAAACCUUCAAAUUUAGCUGAGGUAAAUUCUGUACCAUUAUCACUUCAUAGAGUUUUAAUGGUUGACUUAGCUUGAUUCUCAACAAUGUUUCUGAACCUCACAAAGUUGCUAAAGGCCUUCUGAUUUGAUUUUAAGGAAAUAAAUUCAGCAAAACCUAGUCCAAUCAUCAAUGAACAGAAGAUAAUACUUACUGCCCCCAAGUGAACUAGUCUUGAUAGGACCUCCAAUGUCUGUAUGAACCAGUUGAAGCUUCCUAGUUGCUUUUCUCUCAUUUGGAAAAGGCAAUCUGCACUGCUUACCAUAUUGACAGAUUCUACAAACCAUAUCAAGUCUUGUAAUUUCAGGCAGGCCUUCAACCAGCUUUUUAGUUGCCAUGUCUUGUAGGGAUUUGUAGUUGAUGUGCCCUAACCUUUUGUGCCACAGCUUAGAGUCAGGCACUACACUGAGGAAGGCCCUUUGAUCUGUAAGUUUCCAGUUAAUGGGAUAACAUUUAUUUCUCAUCUCCACUAUUAACAUUUCCUUACCCUUAGGAUCAAAGAUAGUGCAGAAUUUAUCUUUGAACAAGAGUGCAUAGUGAUUUUCAGUCAGCUGCCCUACACUCAAUAGAUUCUGACUUGCAUCAGAAACAAAAUAAACAUCAGGAAUAUACCUGUUGCCAUCUUGAGUCUCCAUAACAAUUAUUCCUAUGCCUAAGAUCUUCAUGAAUGAACCAUCACCAAUCUCAACUCUAGAUCUGUAGCUUCUGUUGAUAGUUGUUAAUUGUUUUAUAUCUUCUAUCAGAUGGUUAGAGCAAGCACUGUCUAUUAGCCACACAUUUUUCUUUGCUGAUCUCCCUACUUCCUGAACCAUGAAUAGUACUUCAUCUGAGCUUUCAUUGUUCUCAGCAACUGCAGCUUUUUCAUGCCCACGAGUCUCUUUGUUUUUACAUACUCUUUCCACGUGGCCAAGCUGAUUAUAGGACCUACAUUUUACAUAGGCCUGUACUAGCAAAACUUAGGUGAAUGAGUAGUCUUCUUAUAAUGAGAACAUGGUGGAUACUUAGUCUUCUGUUCUCCAGUCUUCUCUUCCACUGUUUUCUUCCUUUUUUCUUUCUUCUCAAAUUCAUCUUUUUCAAGCUAUUACCUCUAAUCUUCAAACUUUUGUUUUGGCAACCAAGGCACUAUUGAGAACAUUUUUCUACUUGAAUGCUUUUCUUUGUUCAAGAGCUUCUAAGGCGUUCACAAACUCUUUCAAAGUAAUCUUCUCCAUAUCCUUAGAAUCAAUUAAUGAGGAAAUUUUGGAUUCAUACUUCUUUGGAAGACUGACAAUCAUCUUUUGAACUAACCUGUCCUCAGUUAUAACUUUGCCUAAUAAUCUUAACUGAUUCACAAAUGUCAACAUUUUACCAAAAAACUCCCUAAUCGAUUCAUCCUCCUCCAUUGUUAGCAUUUCAAAUUGUCUAAACAGAUUCAAUGUUUGAAUCUGCCUAGUCCUAUCACUGCCAAAAAAUUCAUCUCUUAAGUGUUCCCAUACAUCCUUAGGAUUGUCUAAAUGCAUAAUCCUAGUGAAGAUUUCAUCAGACACAGUAGAAUGUAAAGAUGAUAAAGCUUUAUACCUCUUGGCUUUGUCUACUUCAAAUUGUCAAAUCUGAGCUAAGGUGGGAUUGACAUGCCUUUGAGUCGGCUUCUCUCUAGUCUCCACAACCUCCCAGAUACUCAAUGCCUUGAGGUACGCCUUCAUCUUCACUGACCAGAUUGCAUAGUUCUCACCAUUGAACAAAUGGGAGAGAAAAUGUAAUGCCCCGUAUCCUCGUAUAGUAGUCAAUGUAAUCGUAUCGGUAAGACAAAGGGCUAAUUGGUACGAAAUAAUUAUGUGCACGAUUGGUUAAUUGAAGUUAAAUAAAAUAAAUAAAUAAAUAAAUAAUGAAUGAAUGAAUAAAAAAAUAAUAAAAUAAAAGAAAGAAUAAAGGGAGAUAAGAUGAAUAAUGAGAAAGAAUAAAGAAAUGAGACAUGUAAGAAAUAAGUGGGUAGCGGCCCAUGUGCACAUGAAAGAACUAAAAUAUAUUGUUAGCUUUAAAGUAUGUGAAAACAUGUAGGGGGCCGACCUCACGAAGCCAUGAAGAGAGAAGAAAGAGCCAAAAAGUGGAUAAGGAUGGCUGGAAAGAAUAAGGAGAAAAAGGGAGAAAGAGUUGGACUUUGAGGAAAAAUAAAGAAAGAAAAAGAAAAGUCAAAGCAUUAAAUCAUGUGCACAACAAGUGGGGGGUCGACCACUUGAACAAGAAGAAAGAAAAGAGAGAGUGGGCUAGAACGAAAAAGGGAGAAAAGACAAGAAAGAAUGGAAAAAGAAAGAAAGGAAAAAGAGAAAGAGAGAGAGAAAGAAUAAAAAGAGUUGAAAGAAAGAGAAAUAAGAAAGAGCUGGUACCCUCGGUUGGCAAAGAAGGAAAGAAAAUCUUCCAAGCCGAGGAGAAAAGAAAGAGAAAUAAAAAAAGAAAAGAGAAGAAGAAAAAAAGAGAAAAAGGGGAAAAUCGCCGACCAAGGAAGGAAAGGAAGAAAGAAGAGAGAAAAGAGAGAAAGAAAGGUGAGGCUCAGUUGGAAAGAAAAAGAGAAGGAAAUUCGGCCAAGAGAAAUAAAAGAGGAAGAAAGAAGAAUAAUAGGAAAAAAAAAGAAAGAAAAAAGAAAAUAUAUGUAGAAGACGAGAGAGACAAGAGUUUAAUAUUUUUUUUAGUUUCGAUUUGGGUAUUUUCUAGAGGGAAAAGGUUUGAUCAUUUGGAGCUGGUAGAGAAAGAGAGAGCUUGGGUUCUUUAGGUAGUAGUGAGGGGAUCCAGUUUUGGCAAACAAAAAGAGAGAAAGCUGGGUUUUUGUGGUGACCGAUUUGUGAGUAAAGAAGAAAGAGUUAGUUGCUGCCGGUUUGUGAGUAAGGGAGAAAGAGCUGGUGCUGUCCAUUGGUGUUGGGAAGUUGCCAUACAAGGAUCCGAACAGUAUAUUCCCAAAACAAACCGUGGGUCUAAUGGAGACUUGGGCCAACCUAGCCCAAUUUGGUAAAAUUGGUUUACUCUGCUCCAUGGGUUUAUUGUAAAAUUAGACUGUUUAGGGGCUAGCCCAUCUUAUUUAACUAAACUUUGGUUAUUUGGUGAUAUGAAGUAAAUUUAAGUUGCUUAGAAAGGUUGAAGUAGGCACUUAAUAUCAUUAAUAAGUUGUCGGUGUUUGUAAUCUAAAGAAUUACGUGAGCAAAGGAUAUAAUUAAUUUUAGUAAAAAUGUAUUAAGAUGUGAGUUAGUUGAAUGUGGAUUUAUGAUAGAAUGAGAAAGAGAAGUAGAAUUGAUGCACUAAAUAUAUUGAGUUGGAUUAUUGCUAAGAAGUGCUAAAGUAAAGAUAGUGCACUAUAGUGGUGUGCCGGAAGAAGUAACGCGCAACUGACAAGUAGAAAUAGCGAUGUAGUAAUCCCGCUAUUGUGAGGUGAAUGGGUGCUGAAUUUCAAAAACUAUAUCUCGAUAAAUAUGUUAUAUAUGUUAUAUUUGAUGGUUGACGAAAUUGUGAAAAGCAUGAGUUGGUAGAAAAUCCUAGGUUGUUUGUGAUUACGAUCAAGGGUUUUAAAUUCAUUUUUUUAUACUAUACAUAAGUAUAUAUCUACAAGGUUUUAAUUACAGGAAAAUAAACCUUUCAAUGGCUUUCGCUUCAAAAUCAUACCUUGCAAGUUUGUGUGAUGUUUAGGCUAAUGGCCUUUUGUAUUGAUUCAUAGAAUUUGAUGAUAAAUUAUCUACUUCAUUUAGCAUGCUGAUUUGGUAAAUAUACCAUGCUUUGAGAUAAAAUAUGCACAACAUUGGUUUGUGAUUAUAUUGUGUACAAACUAUUAUGUUUUGCAAAUGCAUUAAAUUGCAAUGAUUUUCAUUUGAACGUGAUAGAGAUAUGCUGGGUAGGACCUGUUACCACACCAGGUCAAGUGUGGUCUUUGUGCAUAAAGUAGUAAUUGUUGAUUAUUGAUAUUUGAUUGUAAAAAAAGGGGGACCUGAAGCCCUGAUUUAUAUUAGGUGGCGUGGGUAGUUCCCACGAGUAGGUGAAGGGGGACCUGAAGCCCUGAUUUAUAUAUGGUGGCAUGGGUAGUUCCCACGAGUAGGUAAAAAGGGAGAUUUGAAGCCCCGAUUUAUAUAUAGUGGCGUGGGUAGUUCCCACAAGUAAGUAAAAAGGGAGACUUGAAUCCCUGAUUUAUAUAUGAUGGUGUGAGAAGUUCCCACGAGUAGGUGAUGAUAUCUGAGAGAGUAAGCCUAAGAGCUAUACUAAACCUACCCGAGGAUGAUGCUCACUUGUGGAUUUUUAUUAUGCAAUGCAUGGCAUUAACACUUGAAAUUUACUAUUGAAUGGCAAGUGAAAUUUACAUAUUCAUUGGUGAUCGGUUAUUUUGCAUUUUUAUGUUUGAGACUUUUCAUUUUACACUUGCCAUUUGAUUUAUUGUUGACUGGAUAUCAAAGUUGAAAGAUUUUCUAGUACCAUAAAUACAACCGUUUUAUAUUUUUUUAUUGGUGAUUUAUUUCUUUUAAGACUUGCAAGGUAUAAAAAAUAAAAAUCUCUCAGUUUAAUGGAGUGUGUUUCCUACGCCUACUCUUGGAUUUAUAAACAUUCCACCUUUAUGGUUGUUUCCCUUCCUUGCUUGCUCACGGGGUCGAUAAUGAUCAUUGAGUCUAUGAGACUCACACCCCUCUUAUUUCCCUUUUUGCAAAUAGGGAUUGGCAUAACGUGUAAUCAUCGAUACGUGCGAUCUACUGCAGAUAGGUAAAGGCACCAUAGCAUUUUAUCCCGAGUCAUUCUGCUGUUAGAGGUCGAGUUAUAGCUCUUUGUUCAUUAACUUGUAAAUGGAUAUUGGUGUUGAUAUAAGUAAAUAAUUGAAGAUUGUGGAUUUCAAAGUGUAAAUUUGUGAUUAAAUGAUUUAAAGCUUGAAUCGAUUAUUAUGUUUAUGGUUCAAGUUAUGAUAUAAAAGUAUUGUUUUAAGUAUUAAUAUGGAAUGGUGAUGGUAUGUAGUGAACUAAGGGGCAUUUUGAGAAAGGCUUGUUCGGGACUUGGCGGGUCUUUCCCAAAGGUCUCAAAUGCUGGUAGCGACCGAAGAGGUGUUGUUACAGAAAACACUUGGCUUAACAACCAGCAUACAUCCAAAACGACACUCACAAACUGUGUUUAACACAGUAAAACAAGAAACGACAUAUGCUAAAGUCGUAUUACAUAAACAGAAAGUAAACAUAAAUGAAACGACACAAGACUUGGCGUAUUGACUGCUGAAGUGAGAAAAUGACACCGUACUACUCAUCCAUCUUCUUCCUCUUGCUUCUUCAGCCUCUAACUCUUCCUGCCAAGUCUGCUCCUUGAAUUUCCAAAAUUGUGAUCAUUUUCCAACAACACGACAUGUCUAGUGAUGAAAAUAACUAUGGUGUAAUCGUUUUCGAUAAUAAAGUUAGCUCUUUAAUAGGAACAUAAUUACUUAAGCUAUUGAAGUCCCAUUCCCCAUUUGGCAUUACAAACUCCUUUACAGAGCUAUGAUAUUCAAAAAUUAUACCUCUCGAUUUGGUAGCUUCUACUAAAGGUUUUUCACUUACCUGUGUGUCCAUCUAAAAGCGAGUUUUAUGACCAUCACUUAUGGCCCAUCGAAAUUCUUCUUAAAACCAUCCCAUAGAGAACUAAUUAAUGACGAAAAAACAGAAGAACCCACUCUUUGUAUUUUAUUCGAACAUGUAUACUUCCCAAAGCUAUACUUUGCCCUAAGUGUAUGAACUUAAAGAGCUUGCAAUUUGGAUAUAAUGUGCUAACAUGCCUUAAGCAAAAAGGCCUUGUUUAUUAUCACAAUUGGUGGAUUCCCAGUUCUCCUUCGUCUUUCGAUUUACAUACUUCAUUCUAAUGCAUGAGGUGAAUUUUUCAAGAAAUUUUGUCUCCUCCCUAGAGAAAUUUAUAGUAAAAUGCUAUUAUUCUCUUACAUACCACCACAGGAAUAGCACCUGUCUACAUAGUAUAAUAAAGGAUUGUGGUUAAUACAGAUUUCACCAGAGUGAGUCUACUUACAAAGGAUAAAAAGGAGGCCUUCCAAAUAUUUUAUUUGUUGUAGACCUUUUCUUCUAAAUAUUGGUAAAGGUGGUUUCCUUUACGUCCAUGUGGUAAUGGUACCCCUAAAUAUUUGUCCAUAUUUUCUGAAUAUUUAAACCUAAAGUAUUCGACUAAAGCAUUUACAAGACUUGGAUACGUAUUUCUAGAGCAAAAAAAGAAGGAUUUUUCAACACUAACUGUCUCAAUUGAGCAAUUGUUGAAAUCAUCCAAGACUACCUUAAUAACUUCCAUUUGAGAAACAAAAGCCUCCGUAAAUAAAAUUAAAUCAUUUAUAAAGAAAAGGUGGGUAAGAGAAGAACCUCAUCUACUUAAUUUGAUAAGUUUCCACAAACCUUGAGCCACUGAAAUUUUAAUUCCAUGUGCCACCCACUGUAUACACAGCACAAAAAUAUAUGGUGACAAAAGAUCACCUUGCUACACCCCUCGGGAUGGGAUGAAACUAUUUGACAAAAUUCCAUUCCACAAAACUUGAGAGCUAAAGCUACCCCAAGUACAAUCAAUAAUAUUAAUUAUACACUUAAGUAGUUUGGCAUCUAUUAAAGUGUCAUGAAUAAAUUCCCAUCGUAGUCAAUCAUAUGCUUUUUCCAGAUCUAUCUUGAUCAUCAUCCAUCCCACUUUUCCUUAUUUUCUACAAAAAGAAUGCAUAACUUUUUUUUUUAUGAUGAUAUUAUUUGUAAUGUGUUUUCUUGGAAUGAAGCUAGCAUGGGUCUCAUCUAUUAGAUGGCACAUAUAUGGCGUCAAACACUUAGCAAUAACCUUCAUGAGAACUGUGAAAACUACCAGUAACAAACUGAUUGGUCUAAAUUAUGAAAUAAAUUAUAGAGAUUUAGUUUUCGGGGAUUAAAGUAAUGAUGGACUUACAUUGUUCGUUACUAAUCUCUACUCCAGCAAAAACAUUACGAAUAUAAUCAAUAACACCUUGUCCCACUUUGCUCUACUAUAAUUGAAAGAAAAGAGUUGAAAAGCCAUUUGCCCUUGAAGCUUUAAGUGAUUUCAUUUCAAACAGCACAUCUUGUUCUUUUUUUGUCUUCUACUGAUCUAGUUAUAAAUUUAAUAGCUACAUGAUCCAAUAUUAUGAAUAAAUCACGGAUUAAGUAAUAAGGGAUUGGCCUUUUCAUCUUUGGAAUAUAGCUUCUUGAAAAACUCCUUGGCUUGUUUUCAUAGAGUUGUCUGAUCGUCAUACCAUUGUUCAUCUACAACACGAAGAUGUAUUAGUUGAGCUUUGCAUCUCUUUCAUGUUGUUUUGAGAUUAAAGUAAUGAGUAUUACGAUCUCUAACCUCAACUAAUCAAUUUUAGAUUUUUGCAUAUAGAAGAUCUUUUCUUGAUGAAUCACUGUCUCAUGCUGAAGGCGUAAACAUAUUCCUAAUCCCUAAGUUACCAAAAUGGACAUGUUCAAGAGGUUUCUUAAUACCACAAAUCCAUACUAGUAAUCUUUUCUUUCUAUAAAAAAAUGUUACCUAAUAUGGUUUUAUUCCAUUGUUUAGCCUUUUAAGAAAAUUCAGCUAAUGCAUCUUGAAUACCCCUCGAGCCAUCUUAGAAAUGUUGAACAAACCUGCCAAAGUCUACAUGAGUUAACCAAGCUACUUGAAAGUGAAAAUUGUUAUUGCCAAGAAUAGUUCUUUUAUCUCCCAAUUUGAGUAGCAUGGGUCUAUGAUCUGAGCCAAAUUUCGGUAAAUUCUAAAUAGUAGCCUCUUGAAAAAAAAAACACCAACUAGUAUUGCUAAUAGCCCUGUCCAGCAUUUUCUAAACUAAGCCUCUUGUCUUGAACUACCUGAAUUACAUUUUCUGUUUUACCACCUAUUACUUCCAAACAACUACUCCCUUCCUCAAAUUGCCAAUCUAAUUGGCCUAGGACUUUUUGUAAGACAUUAUGUUUCUUGGAUAUCAUGAGAUGAUAAGGCAAUAUAGUGAAUCCUACUUUGAAUCCACAAGGAUUCUUGGCUUAAAUCCGUUGACUUACACUUAGAAUCAAGCUCACUCUGAUAAGUUACAAUUCCACCAACAACAGCAUUUCCUUUGGAAACAUAAUCUGCCUCAUCUUUUUCUUUUAGGAUUGAAAAUCGAUAGCCUUGUUAAACAUAUUUUCUAAUGGUUGGAUUUCGUAUUGUGCUUUGUUUCAUUGCUCCACUCCGUGACCUUUUACGUGAGACUCACAUCAAGGUCAAAAGGGAGAUGAAUUUCACUGAGGCUUCUCCAACUGACCUUCACUCUAUUUAGCUUCAUUUGGUUUAGUCAUUUUCUUAUUACAAUUUUCCUUUGUGUGACCAUGAAACCCAUAUUUGAAACAAACCCUAGGAAGCCCUUCGUAUUCAAUCUUCUAUGAUUUUCCAUUGAGGAAAAAACUAGGUAAUAGUGGCAUUGAAAGAUCAAGCUCAAUUGCUACUUGAGCAAAUUUCCAUUGUUUUUUGAUUAUGUGUUGUAAUAAAUCUUUAAUAGUUUCCUUAAUAAAGCUGCUAUUUAACAAAGCACUUAUUUGUGGAAUAGAUGAAAAGGCAUCAUUAGAAAUCUAACCCAAGUUGCAAUGGUAGAUAAAUCCUAUGACUUUCUAGAAAAGGUAGGAGUCAAUGGCCUCACCAUUAAGUAAUGACCUUGGAUUAUCCAAGGACCAUCCAACAGAGCCCUAAAGUAGUCUUUUUCCUCCAUCAACCUCACUAAAUAGUUUUCUUCAUCAAGGUCAACAAUUGUGAAUUUACCCUGGAAAACCAUAGAGAUACAACACUAUCACAAAGCAGUUUAUAGGAGAUAAGAUGCCUUAGAAGUCAUACUACAAUUGAUCUCUGCCAUCGUUUUGCCAACUCUGCUUGCUCCCUAUAAGAGAUCUUAAUAGAUGGAAUCUUAUGAAUUGUUUCAACCUAAAAGUCAUUUGCUUUAAGACUUUGGCUGCUGAAAGUUUCAAUUUCAUUGUCAUCCCCUUUCUCAUUUUCAUCCCUUAGGUCACAGUUCAACUCCAUAUUACCAUAAAAAAAUAACUCUUCUCCAUUUGAUGCCAAGAAGGCUUCUUUAAAAGAAGGAUUGUGGUGAAUCGCCAUCGGAUCCCCAUCAGAAACGUCUUCCCAUAUCCUUACCUUUUUGUGAAUGCUUGUUAGAUUUAAAAUAAUUAUGGUUUUGAUUCUGACAAAAUGAACAAAUUUGCUUGAACAUUAUUUGAGUAAUCCUUGACAAUUUCUUGAUAUGAUUUAACUCUCAUACAUUUGUUCUUACAUAGACACAAGCUUGACUCUUGAAGUUAUUGAGCUAUAUAUAUAAACUUGUAUGACUUAGGUGUAUGAGUGCUAUGAUUCUCAUUCAUUAAAGUUUGAUUUAAAGAUUAAAGGAAAAUCUUGAUGCACUCAUUAAGGGGGAGUUUUGAAUAUCUUGUUUAAUGAUGAAAAAGAAAAAAAAAGAGAAGGAAGACUAAGUUAGAUAGAGUUAAAUAGGUCUUCAUGUUUAAUUUAUGUGUAUGAUACUCAAUUUUGAUUUUGUUGAAUAUUAUGUAAAGAAAAGUAGAUGCAUUGACUAAGGGGGAGCGCCUCAUUAUGCAUAAAGAUUUGAAGUAUUCAUAUUGAAUAUAGACAUUGAAUUCUUAAUCUUGGAGUGUUUUGUGAUCAUCAAAAGUAAAAGAUAGAGAAUGUUGACUCUAUAUGUUUUUGAUGAUAGCAAAAUAUUCCCAUUCAUUGAUGUCUAAUUAUAUUAUUUAAGUGUGCAGGAGAAAGCUAAAAUCAUUAAUAUAUUUGUUAUUUGUAAGCAAGUCAAGAUGCUUGUUCAGUUGCAAGAUGGGUUAAUUGAUUAAACAAGCAAAGAAGAAAGAGCUACAAUUAAGUCAUAAAACAGAAGCCUUUUAGUCAGAUGAUGAUGAGAGUUAGUCAGCUAAAAUUUAAAAAUGAAGUUGGCUGGCUUAAGAGGAUUGAGAGAUAGAGAAGACUUAGUCGACCAAGAACUAAGUUAGUCGACUAAGAGCCUACUGCUGGAAAUUUGGACUUCAAGAUAGAAACAACUUAAUCGACUAAGAAGGAAGUUAGUCGACUAAGUGCUCACUGCCAGAAACUGGGAUCAGAAGACAAAAAUGACUUAGUUGACUAAGAGCGCAAUUAGUCAACUAAGAUCAUUCUAUCAGAAAAUUUAAAUUGAAUACUAGAAGACAAAAUAACGGCUAGUUUUUGUCUCCAACGGCCAGAAUUGAUUUUGGAAGUAUUUAAAGCCUCUCAAACAGUCAAAAACAAGAGAAAGAAGCCAUCCAUAGUGAUUUUGAGCUUAGAAGACCAAAAACCUUCUCUUUACACUUAUAUUUCACUCCCAUCCUUUGAAAAAGUGUUUGAGCUUAACUUUGUACAUCUUAGAUCAGUUAGGUGAUCAAUUGUACUUCAUCUUUUCUUCAUUUCUUGAUUACUUAGAGUGAGCAAGGCAAUCUAAGGGAUUUAUUCAAGCUUGGAUUGCUUGAUUGAGUGUAUAGGUUCUAACUUAGCCUUGAAAAGUUAGUUGUUGGGUUUUGGUUGAUCCCUUGAAAAACCAUUGUUGUAGGUUGUGGUUGAGCCUUUGAAAAACGACUUUGGGUUUUGGUUGAGCCCGUGAAAAACCAUUGUGAAAGGUUGUGGUUGAGCUUUGAAAAACCACUUUGGGUUUUGGUUGAUCCUGGUAAAAGCCAUUGUGAAAGAUUUUGACUAAGUCUGGUAAAAGCCAUUGUAAAGCUUGGUGAAAGCUUGUGAAUUUCAUCGUUUUUAGUAGAUUGAUUGGAAAAUCCUUGGUUGAACAAUCAAGGUAAUGGAUGUAGGUCUUUAACCGAACCACUAUAAAUCGUUGAGUAUUGUCUCCUUUGUUUUAUUUUUCAUUUUCAUUCUUUCUAAAAUUGUUUCUUCAUCUUGCAUCAAAUUUCCAAUCAUUGAUAUUCAAUUUGCUCCCAAUUCGAAAUCAAGUUUAGUAAGAGCCAAAAAGUGCUAUUCACCCCCCCUCUAACACAUUUAUUUGAAACCAACAAUGCUAUUGUCCAAAAUAGCUGGGGGUGAAUUUCUCGAGAAAAAACCCUUAGUUGCCAUUUCUCUUGAAAUUUUAUUUUAUUAAUUUAUAAAGUUUUCAAUAUUAUUAGAAUUAAAAAGUAAUGAAAAAUCAUUCCAUAUAUAUAAAUAGAAUUCUUAUUCACAAAUUAGAUAAUUUUAUUAAUAUUUAUAAUGAAAAUAAUAUUUUUAAUGAAAAUCAUUGCAAUUAGAAUUUUUAUAAAUUUUUUAAUAUUAAUAAUAAAAAUAUUGAAAAUAAUAAUUUUAAAAUAUAAUGAAUAAAUAUGACCAUUGUCGGGAAAAUUUUUCAAUAUCCACACUUAUAUGUAUUAUAAAUUAUUUCUAUCAUUGAUGCAAAUUGAAUUGAAAUGGAGAUUAAAUAUACACUUAAAUUUUUUGGUUUCAACUUUAAGUUUAAAUAGCUCAAUGAAAUUUAUUAAUAAAAAAAUAAGUGUGUGUAAUAAAUUGUCAAAAAUAUUUUAAAAAUCAAAUGAGUGUAUAGUACCAACAAAAAAAAGACGGAUUUAGAGAGUAUGAAAAAUUCACUAUAUCUUCCACAUAGGAAUAGUAUGAAAAAAGUUCUAAAUGAUAAAGAUAUAUAUUUGAUGCGCUUUCAAUUUAAAAUUUAAUACACUAUUAUUUAACCAUAGAUUGUCACUUCAUAAAUGUGCAAAGAUAAAAAUAUAAAAAUCUUUCAAAAUAAAUAUUUUAAAAAUUAUGAAUAUUUAUUUUUAAGAUUCUCAAUUCUUAAAUUUAUUUAUUAACAAAAAACGGUAUUUAAUUAAAUAGUAAUAUAUAAAAUUUAUUCACUAACAAUUUUUUAAAUAUAAAUGCAAAAAAUAAUUGACAAAGCAAUAAGCGGAUUAGGUCAAUGUUUUGAAUUAAAAUAUCAAAUAAUCUUAGCAAACAAGGAGUACAGAUAAAUUAGUUGCACAAAUCAAAUGGUAAAAUAAUCUCAUCAAAGUCUUCGCACCAUGCAACUUUUAUUUUUUUUCAAGAAAAGGCUUGUUACACCAAAGUUGUAGCAUUUAUUUCAUUUUGGACGUGGCAUUCAUAGCUGAUAAGAAAGGCUAAUUGAAUAAUAGAGUCCAUGUGAAAGAAGUUUUGUACUUUGUCACGUUUUGUUUUUAAUUUUAGCUUUUAUUUGCACAUGAAUCAUAAUUAAUGAUAAGGACAAAAGCUUUUAUUUAUUCCUUGCAAAUAAAUAAAUAAAAUCAAACAUAUAUAUUUUUAUAUAUAUAAAAGAUUUUGUAUGAAGGAUGGUUAAAGAGAAAUCAUACAUGGUUAUGGAUCGGGUCAAUGAUUCGAUUUGGAGUAAAAAAUUAGUCAGUUUUGAAAUAAAAUUAAAUUAUAACAUAAAAUUUCAUUAAUAAUUUAAAUAUAAAAAAAGGAGAAAAAAAGUUUUGGAUGUGGCAUUCAUAACUAAUAAGAAAGGCCAUUUGCAUAAUAGAGUCCAUGUGAAAGAAGUUUUGUACUUUGCCACGUCUUGUUUUCAAUUUUAGCUUUUAUUUGCACAAGAAUCACAGUUAAUGAUAAGGACAGAAACUUCUAUCUAUUCCUUGCAAAUAAAUAAAUAAAAUCACACACACACACACACACACAAGAUUUUGUAUGAGAGAUGGUUAAAAAGUAAUCAUACAAGCUCAUGGAUCGAGGUCAAUAAUUCAAUUCAAAGCAAAAAUUUAAUCAAUUUUGAAAUAAAAUUAAAUUAUAACAUAAAAUUUCAUUAACAAUUUAAAACAAAAAGAAAAAAAAGGGUUUAGUAUACGUAUAAAGGAGAAAAAAAAUUUAAGCCUAAAAGGAAUUAAACCUAAGCUUUUGAAGGUUAACUUAAGUUUCUUACCACUACUUCAAACGAACUCCUUCAACUCAAAAUUUGAGCCUAGAAGGAAUUACACUCAUUUGAUUUAUGCAAGCAUUUGAUUUGUUUGGAAAUAAAAAACAAUUUUGAAGGGUGGCGACUGCCACCUCUCUCCUUCCGCCCUUAUAUAUAUAUGUGUGUGUGUGUGUGUGUGAUUAUAAACCAUCAUUAACAUUGUCAAAAACCAUAUUGAUUUGUUCGGUUCAAAAGAUACUUGAGAAUGAGUUGUUGCAAUAAAUUAAAGCUCUCUAUCUCUAAACAUAUUAAGAACCAUUAAAAUUAGACAUGUGUAUUUUUAGAAAAGACAAAAUAUCCAAAUUCAAUAAGUUUCGACUCACCUAAAUUCAUUAGGGACUGAUUUUUUUUUAUAGUAUUAUGAGUAGAGAAAUUAUAUAUUUAGAAUUAUGUGUGUAUAGGGAGAUUAUAUUAUAGAAGGGAUUCUAAAUUAUCUAAGAGAGAAUCAAGUUAAUAAUAUUUUAAUCGUAUUGUAAUUUAACAAAAUUAAACUAAUUUAGCUUAUAAAUUAUACACUUACUAUAAUUAUGUUAACAUCCAUCAAACUUAAGGUGGUACGGUAGAUGCCAAUUUGUGUUUGGGAACUAACUUUUGAAAUUGACUAAGAAGAUGACUCUUGGUAAAGACAUAAACAAGACUAGGAAGAUGACUUUUGGUUAAGACAUAAACAGUGUGAUUUGAAAAAGACACAAAAGUGAGAUAAAGAGUCCCUUGAAUCACAUGAUGAUGCAUAAAAUGACAAUCAAUCUUAAUAUGCUUGGUGUGCUUAUGAAACAUACCAUUGUGAGCAAUCUAAAUAACACUACGAUUAUCACAGUGAAGGAUAGUGGUAUAAGAUUGGACAAUGAAGCCAAAGUAAUUUUGAAGUAGCAUUUGCAAAAACAUGAUAUUAAGACUCCAUGUUGAAUAGAUAGUUAUAACUAUUUCUUGCUUCACUAAGAAAUGAGUGAAUAGCUCAAAAAGAAACAAUAAUUAGUGGUUGAACAACAAUAUGUAGGAUCACUUGCCUAGUCAGCGUUAGAAUAUCCAAAUAAAAUUAGAAGAAAAGUGUGUAGAGAAAUAUAGUUUGUAAAAGAGUGUGCCUUUAAUAUAGCAGAGUAAUGAGAUGUAAAGAAACAUCCAUAAAUUGGUUAACUAAAUAAGCAACACAAGCUAUAUUACGUUGAGCCAUUGUGAGAUACACUAGACUCCCAACCAAUUGGUGAUAUAAAGUAGGGUCAGUAAAAGGAGUAUCGUCUAUCAGAGUAAAUUUAGCAUUACAUUCCAAAAGAGUAGAGACAAUUUUGGUACCAAUAAUACUAGCUCCAAAAAGCAUGUCAAAGGAAUAUUUAACUUAAGAGAGACAGUUACCAUCAGAGUUGAAGGAAACUUCAUGUCACAACCUAAAUCCAGUCCAUGAUCGACGUAAGGCCUUAAUAGGCGAGGCCCACCAGAUCUAAGCAAGCCUUAUAAACAAACCAAUAUAAAUAUAUCACAUAUAAUUUUAAUAUUGUUGGUCCCAAUUAUGGUGAAUAGCACAAAUCGGCUCUAAACAAGAUGAGAAACUAAUUUUCAAAAUAAAGAAAAUAAAAUAUAGUAGACAAUGCGUAGGCAUUUAGAGUGGCUCGGUCUAAGACCUACAUCCACUACAUUGAUUAUCCAACCAAGGAUUUUUCAAACAUAUCCACUAAGAACCAGUGAAAUUCACAAGCUUUCACCAAGUUUUACAAUGGCUUUUACCAGACUCAGUCAAAACCUUUUACACUAGUUUUUCCUAGGCUCAACUAUAACCCAACACCUAACUUUUCAAGGCUAAGUUAGAACCUUAACACAUUCAAGCAAACCUAGCUUGAAACAACCACUUAGAGUGACUCCUUCACUCUAAGAAUACAAGAAGAGAAGUAAAAGAAAGUACCUAUGAUUACAGGUUGAUCUAAAUGGUACGAGGUUAAGUGCAGAAUACAAAUACAAAAGAGCGUUUAAGUGCAGAAAGGUGUAGAGAAGAUUUUCUGGUUUUUCAGCUCUUAAUGACUCAAAUCUCUUCCAAAACUUCCAAAAACUAAUUUUUAACCAUUGGAAGACCCUUUUAUACUUGAAGAAACAACUCUGAUGGCAGUUUGGCAAUUUAUGGCCAUUGAAAACAGUUGAGAGUAGGUUCUAGCAGUUAAUUUAUCUUCUAGUGCUCUAGUUCAAAAUGCAGACAAAGAGCUCUUAGUCGACUAACUUUCUUCUUGUUCGACUAAGUUGGUUCUGUCUUCUGGUCGCAGAUUCUGGUAGAGAGCAUUUAGUCGACUAACUCAUUUCUUGGUCGACUAAGUUGGUUUUAUCUUGAAGUCCAGAUUUUGGCAGUGGCUUCUUAGUCGACUAACUCUCAUCUUGGUCUACUAAGUCGGUUCUGUUUCUCAAAAUUCUUCAGCCCGCCAUUUCUCCAAUUUGAAUUUUAGCCAACUAACAUUCUUCAUUAUUCAACUAAGGAGCUUCCUUCUUGUUGAUCAAUCAUGUCCCCUUAUUCUCAUGAUUUUUGACAUAUACUUUUGAAGAAUAGAUUUAUUAUUUUUAUACAUUAUCUGUCCUGCACACUUAGGUAAAGAUGUUAGACAGAAAUGAAAUGAGAAUGUUUUAUUAUCAUCAAAAACUAAUGGAGCCAACAAUCUCUCCCUUUUUGAUAAUGACAAAACAUUCCUUGAUUAACAACACAGUGUCCUUUAAUUCUUUUUAAUUUCUAUAAAAAAUGAAGAUUUCUCCCCCUAAGUGAGUACUCCCCCUUAGUGUGUGCAUAUUUUGCUCAUUCAUUCCAGCAAAUAUUAUUCAUGUUGUGUAGAAAUUGACACUAUACGUUCAGAAUAUAUAUGUGCAAAAAUAUAAGGUGAUUUACAGCAAAUGAAUGCUGACAGAUUAUCAUCAAAAUUUUACAAUGUCUGUCAGCAGCAUAUUGUUAUCAGAUUUUGUCUAUAUCAUUCAUCAUUCAAUUGAUAUAUUAUACACAGCAUCCAUAUCCAUUCACAAACAUAAUUUAUAGUAAAAAUCAGUAUACAAUCCCAACAUCAGUGCAGUAUCAGACUUUUAUCAACAGUAGUCAAAAUACCAUUAACAGCAAAAUAUCAACAAAUAUUAAAUUAUCAACAUCAAAAUGCCAUAAACAUAUCAGCAUCUAUUUUUCACACAAACAUAUAAGUAACAAAAUUAAAUUCAAGUGUUCAGAUGCCAUCAUGGCACAAACAGCAAGAAAACAAAAAGUAACAGCUGAUAUUCCUAAAUUACCCCUAGUACAUUUCUGCUUUUUUUCUUUCCUAAAUUCCUAGUACCUCCAUCCUAACACAAUUUUUUCUAUUAAUUUUUUGGUUCCUUCUCCCUCUAAGGUUCUGCAUUGUUUCUCCCCCUUUUUGUCAUCAUCAACUCCUAAGCAUUUUUUGAAAAGGAUGAGGGAGAUGGCUCAUUAGUGCCGUAUUGGAAGUCUAAGGGUUGAGGAAAGGAUAUUGAAGGUAAUUCUUAGGAAAGGGGAUCAGGUAAAGGUGUGUCAGACACUUCUAAUGGUUCUUGAGGAGAAGAAACAGGUGCUAGCUUGGUCUUUUCUGCCAAUUUGGAGGACUUUCUUCUUUUGAAGAAUGCUAUUUUUGUUGCCAUUGUUUUCUUCCCUUUGGUAGGUGGUUUUGUCUUUGUUUGUGGUGCUAUAGUGACUUUUUGUUUCCCUUUUCCAUAUUUUGCUUUCAUUCUAGGGGCUAGUGCAAAUGUAUCUUGCUAAGCUUCUACAUUGGCAGCUUUCUUUUCAGCCUAUUCUUCCUUAACCAUUUGGUGGAAGAUAUCCAUAAUGGAUACCUCUUCUGAAUUUGGAGGAGAGGGCUAUUGUUUCUCAAGUUCUGAAGGAGCAUUUUCAUCUGGUGAACCUAGCAAUUCUAUUCCUUGUUCUGAUUUAUCUUUGCUUUGGUGUUCAAGUGAGAGGACCUUAGCUGGUUGAUCAACACCAGGGUGAGAGUUCUCUAUCUGAAGAACAGGGUCUGCAGUUCUGUAAGUGGAUCCUUCAACUUGAACACCACGACUUGCACCAUGAGGAGCAGACCCUUUUGCUUGCAAAGCUGAACCCUCAACACCUUGUUGUGCUGGUGCAAUACUUUCUGUUUCAGAGGAAUCUGCAACAGUAGGUUCUGAUGGCAUUUUUUCUUUUCCUUUUAGUUCAUUUUUCAAUUCAGUAAUUUUUUCUUCAAUUUUCUAUAAUCCAGCUACUUGGUCAAUGAGCUUUCCAUCAAUUCUCAUAAGGGGAUUGAAGAUUACCUCAUACGAGAACUGGGAUGGUACUCCCUCUGGUUGAGUAGGUAGGGUGGAUUCUUUUCCUAGACCAGCCUUGGGGGUUUUAAUGAAUCUUUCUCCAUCAAGUUUAUACCCCAUUUUGGACAAACUACCAAAGUAAAUGGCUUAGUCUUUGGUCUUUACCAUGUCCAGUUCAUAUCUAUUGGCCCAGACUCCAUUUUUCUGCACUGAGGAUGUGAUAAUAUUUCCAUAAGGCGGAUUAAUUUUCUCAAGCUUGCAUGCUCCUCUCAUCUUUUCAAUCAUGAAUCUACCUAGGUUCAGAACAACCCGAUUAAAAGCAUGUACCAUCAGCCAAAGAUCUUGAAGGCUGAUGUAGCUUAAACUCCCACUUCUCCCAUGGAUAUUUGCUGCAACAAAGUAGUGUAGAAUUCUUAUCUGGGGACUGGUUAUCAAACCAGCAUUGCUUUUUGAUGAGUAUUUCUCCUUUCUCCUAGUAAUGAUUUCCCACAAAAAGGAUGGGUCAUAUUUUUUUGGGAAUUCAAACUCUCCCUCCUCACAUUCAACUUUCAGCAAAUUACCAAGAUCAUCAACAAUAACCACAAAUUCUUUACCAUUCAAAAUAACAUUUAGUUCAUUUUCAAUGAAGUCAUUAGAAUCAUCUAAUUCUUCUUCUCCUAAUGCUAUACUAGCAUAAAAUUCUUUCACCAGGCUGGCAUUGUAGGAUCUAUUCUUAAAUGUGCUAUACUCUUUUAGUUUCAAUUCAUCAAAAUAAUCUGAUAAACUAGUUUGAAUUUUUGGAUUUUCACCAAAACUUUCCUAAUCAAUGAACUUCCCGCAAGUAAUAGAAGUAUUCUCUAUUUUUCUAAACCUUUCUUCAUGCAUUUUAUUCCUAAAUUUGGAAGACAAGGUAGUACCUUUCUUGGGCGUUGCACCCUUGUCCUUCUUCUUCUUUUCUGAUUUCUGUUUCUUUUCUUUCUGUAAUCUUCCUGAUUUUUUAGCCAUUGAAGUAGACCCAAGUUUCUAUUUCUUCUUCUGCAAUUCUGCUUCUGACAUUUCUUCCACUGGCCUUUUUCCUUUCUUCUUUUCAAUAAUUUGUUUGCUUUGAGAUGUUUUUGCCAUUUCGAUUUAAGAGAUUUUUUAUAAGGGUUUUGAGGUUUUAAGUGGCAAGGGCUUCAGUUAUAUAAAAGUCAGUUUCAGAGGAGAAAAUGUAGAAGAGAUGGGUUUCAGUUUUCAGAUGAUCGAUUUUCAGGGGAGAGAGAAAUUGUCGACAGUUUUAAUUUCCUCUUAGAAAACUAUACGCCUCCCCCUUAAAUAUAGCCUCAUUUCAUUUGCUUAAAAUUCAAAAAUUCCCUUUAAAUUAAUUUUUGGCUUGAGCGGCAUUUCUUCUUUAUUUUUGUUUCUCGGUGGGCAGUUUCUUCCAAUUAUUUUAUUCCUCUUGCCCUCAUUUUAACUGAGUCUUAUUAUUUAAUGCUACCACAACACUCUUAAUUUACUAAGAUUCACCUUAGUCGACUAAAUGCAUUCUGUUUUGUGUGGAUGAACCAAAAAUUUUCUCACAACUCCUGCAGACUAAUCAUUCCUAAAUUCCUUCUAAUUUCACAGAAUCUAUCUUCAUUUAGAGGUUUGGUAACAAUAUAUGCUAAUUGAUGCAAAGUAUUCACAAAUUCAAUCUUAAUAUUACCUUUCACUACAUGGUCUCUAACAAAAUGGUGCCUAAUCUCAAUAUGCUUGGUCCUAGAAUGCUGCACAAGAUUUUUAGAUAUAUUGAUUGCACUUGUGUUAUCACAAAAGAUUGAUACAUUAUGAACUUUAAUUCUGAAAUCUCUUAAUUGUUGUUUGAUCCACAAAAUCUGAGCACAACAACUACCUAGAGAAAUAUACUCUGCUUCAGCUAUUGAAAGUGCUACAGAGUUUGGUUUCUUACUUGACCAGGAUACUAGCAAACUUCCUAGAAAUUGGCAUGUUCCACUAGUAAUUUUUCUAUCAGUUUUGCUUCCUGCAAAGUCUGCAUCCGAAUAGCCUACAAGAUCAAAUGAUGAUUCUCUAAAAUACCACAAUUCUAAGGUUUGUGUUUCUAAGAGGUAUCUAAAAAUUCUCUUAACAGUUGUUAAGUGUGAUUCUUUAGGCUGUGAUUGAAAUCUAGCACACAAACACAUAUUAAACUAAAUAUCUGGUCUGUUUGCUGUCAAGUAGAGUAGUGAACCAAUCAUACCUCUAUAGAGCUUUUGAUCUAUAUUAUUUCCUUUUUCAUCUUGAUCAAGCCUGGUGGAUGGACUCAUUGGUGUGUAGAUUGCUUUCAGCUUCAGCAUAUCAAACUUUUUGAGCAUAUCUUGAGUGUAUCUUUCUUGGUUGAUAAAGAUUUCUUGUAAAACUCGACCCUAUAAACACAUUUCAUGACAUACAUGCACUGAGUAGCAUGUUAUUACGCUAGGAAAGUCCUAAGAAUAGAUGAAACAUAGUAUUGUACCUAACGGUACAUUUGAGUUGAUUUAACCUCGAACUAGUUCAAAUAGGAAUCGUAGGAUGAAAUUUAAUAUUUUACAGUUCAAGAAUGACUAAAAAUGAUUGUUCGGAGUUCGAGGGUUCAUUUGGGAUAAAAUUAAAAAUUUUGAUGUUCAGGGGUAAAAUCGUAAUUUUACCACUUGCGGACAAAAUUUGAGAUUUUGAGAGAAUUUAGAUCAAAUUUGACAAAUUGGGGAAUGGUAUGAGUAUAAGGGAUGAAAAAUAUGUCUAUGGGCAAUUUUUCAGUUUUUUGGGUAAAAAUGUAAUUUUUUACUUUUAUGGGGGCAAAAGUGUAAAUUUCAAAAAUUACUCCACCAAGACUUUGGAUAAGUCUGAGAAUUUUAUCUAAGCUAUGGAUAUGUGGGACAAGUGUAUGGUGAAAAUUUGGAAACAAAUGGAUGAAAUUUUAAAAACGGACCAAUGGGAAAGUGACACAUGGCAUUUUUUNNNNNNNNNNNNNNNNNNNNNNNNNNNNNNNNNNNNNNNNNNNNNNNNNNNNNNNNNNNNNNNNNNNNNNNNNNNNNNNNNNNNNNNNNNNNNNNNNNNNNNNNNNNNNNNNNNNNNNNNNNNNNNNNNNNNNNNNNNNNNNNNNNNNNNNNNNNNNNNNNNNNNNNNNNNNNNNNNNNNNNNNNNNNNNNNNNNNNNNNNNNNNNNNNNNNNNNNNNNNNNNNNNNNNNNNNNNNNNNNNNNNNNNNNNNNNNNNNNNNNNNNNNNNNNNNNNNNNNNNNNNNNNNNNNNNNNNNNNNNNNNNNNNNNNNNNNNNNNNNNNNNNNNNNNNNNNNNNNNNNNNNNNNNNNNNNNNNNNNNNNNNNNNNNNNNNNNNNNNNNNNNNNNNNNNNNNNNNNNNNNNNNNNNNNNNNNNNNNNNNNNNNNNNNNNNNNNNNNNNNNNNNNNNNNNNNNNNNNNNNNNNNNNNNNNNNNNNNNNNNNNNNNNNNNNNNNNNNNNNNNNNNNNNNNNNNNNNNNNNNNNNNNNNNNNNNNNNNNNNNNNNNNNNNNNNNNNNNNNNNNNNNNNNNNNNNNNNNNNNNNNNNNNNNNNNNNNNNNNNNNNNNNNNNNNNNNNNNNNNNNNNNNNNNNNNNNNNNNNNNNNNNNNNNNNNNNNNAUUAGCAAUUUAACGGGUAAAGUGCCAAAAAUAGGUUAAUACCGCGUUUAAGCCGUUUUAGGCUAUUGCAUUUCAUACCAUGCAUUAGUAUAGGAUUUAAGUCAAUUAUAUAGAGAUUUAACAUCAAUGUGAUGAAUUGGGUAAAUUUUACAAUGUGUUUAGGAGGAGAGCCUUCCGAUAAAGGGAAGGAAGUCGUACCCGACGAACAAUGAUCGCGGCACCUAAAAAUCAGUUAAUUUGUACAAACGGUGAGUAAACCUAUUAUUAUUGUAAAUUAUCUAAAGUUUAUUUUUAAAUGCUCUUCAUGGAUUUUAUGAAAUGAAAAUGAGAUUAAAAUGGGAUUUUUUAUGUUUUAGAAAUAAAUGUGACAAAUAAAAAUAUAUUGUGUUGAUUAUGAAAUUGAGUAAUUGGAGGCUGCCAAUUAUUUUGAAAUAUAUAUUUUCCUAUGAAUGGCUUAUGAUAUACGAGUAUAUGUGGCUAUAUGUUAUAAUUGUAUUGGGAAUUUAUGUAAGCUGUCUUUUACUAUGCAGACUGGGUAAAUAAAUAAAAGCCACGUUAUACUAUCGAAAUUUUAUUAAAAUUGGUGGGUUUAGUCACUGUAGUGACGGGUUUUCGUGGACUACCUAUUAGAGGGGCACGGUAAACCCGGUUAUAUAGUUACUCCGGUAGUAGAGGCGAGGAGGGUAACUCCCGGGGUAGUGUUAGAGCUCACUUCACGUCGAGCCCCCAUGUGAAUAUGUAACUCGACCAACGCCAUGGAACGGCUUGUUUUAAAAAUAAAAAUGUGUUUCAUAUGUAAAUAUCAUAACUACCUUGGCGGACUCGGUUAGAUGCCUCGGCUAAGGUAUCCCCGAGGAUUAGUUUUGGCUUGAGCCUUGUUUUAAUAAAAGUCAUAAGCCUUAACAACUAUUUUGGUAAAUUACAACUAUUUUAGGGUUUAAGGAAUAAAUUGAAAACCUUAUGAAAUGGUUUGUAAUUUGUGUUUAAACUUGCCUCCAUGUUACUUGCCUUUAGAUAUUUAUGAUAAUGUCUGUUUACUCAUUGGGAUUGCAAAAUCUCACCCACCUCAUUUCCAAACAUUUCAGGUCUGUGAUAGCUUGUAGAUAUCCUAUUUUGUCGAGGAUUCCAGUUGACAUCUCUACCUCACAGACAGUAGGUUACUAUCACCAAUACUUGGUGUAUUCAUGGGCCACUUGUCAUUAUAAUUAUUAUUAUACAUUAUAACUUUGUAAAUUAUUGCAUGUAUGAAUUUAUUUUACUUACACGUGUUUCUAUAAAUAUUGUUUUAUAUAAAAAUGCUAUAUUUUUGUCUUUUGAUUUACUUGAGCCGAAAACGACUGGUAAUUGUUUAAAACAGAAUGUUUAAAAAUGAUUGCUCACAGAAAAGGCAAGAAACUGAUAUGUAAGCCUUGUGGGGUUCCGAUUGGCAUUCCGGGCAAUGAGUGUCAAUCGGGACAUCACGACGGUUGUCAUGUGCCCGAGGGAGGUUCCGGGUCGUGACAUUUCUUCCUCAUUUUGCUUAAUUUGAAGACCAAGAAAGUACUUUAACUCUCCCAUCAUGCUCAUCUCAAAAUCACCCUGCAUUUCUUUAGCAAAGUUCUUGCAUAAAGCCUCAUUAGUUGCACCAAAUACAAUGUCAUCCACAUAUAUUUGUACAACAAUUAAAUCAUUUAAGUAUAUUUUAAUGAAUAAUGUAGUAUCAAUGCUGCCUUUAACAUAACCUUUUUCAACUAAAAAAUUUGAAAGCCUCUCAUACCAAGCUUUAGGAGCUUGUUUUAAUCCAUACAAGACUUUAUGAAGUUUGAAAACAUGAUCAGGUUUUUCAAAAUCUUCAAAACUGGGUGGUUGUUCAAAUUAUACUUCCUUUUGAAUGAAUCCAUUUAAAAAUGCACUUUUUACAUCCAUUUGGUACAAUUUGAAAUUCAUGAAGCAUGCAAAAGCUAACAACAAUCUUAUGGCUUCAAUUCUAGCAAUCGGUGCAAAGGUUUCAUCAUAGUCUAUUCCUUCCUCUUGGUUAUAUCCUUGGGCUACUAACCUAGCUUUAUUUCCAACUAUAUUUCCUUGCUCAUCUACCUUAUUUCUAAACACCCAUUUUGUGCCAACAAUAGGGUGAUUUGAAGGUCUAGGUACUUGUGACCAUACAUGAUUUCUUUUGAAUUUGUAAAGUUCUUCUUGCAUGGCCAUUAUCCAACUUUCCUCAUUUUUAGCUUUUUUAAAGUUUUUAGGUUCAAUUUGAGAUAUGAAAGCUGAAAACUCACAAGUCUCUCUUGUUUCUCUCCUAGUUCUAACUCCUUGAGAAAUGUCACAUAUGAUUUGAUCUUAUGGAUGGUCUCUUACAAGUCUUCAACUCUUUGAAAGGUCAUUAUGCUGAUUUUCUGUUCUUUGUAAAUUUUCUAGAGGUGGAGUUUCAUUUUCUCUUCUAGGUGAGCUUUCUUCAUUAUUCUUAUUAUUCUCUAAGCUCAUUUCUUCCAUUUAUUUUUCUAGGAUUUCUACAUCAUUAUCAUCAACAUGAAUUUCCUUUUGUAAAGCAUUGGACUCAUCAAAAACUACAUGGAUCGAUUCUUCAACAUUUAGAGUCCUUUUGUUAAAAACUCUAUAAGCCUUGGAGUUUAAUGCAUAUCCUAAAAAUAUUGCUUCAUUACUCUUUGCAUCAAACUUUUCUAAGGGCUGUUUUUCAUUGUUCAAUACAAAACGUUUACAACCAAAACUCAUAAGGUGAGAAAUAUUUGGUUUCCUAUCCUUGCAGAGUUCAUAUGGUGUCUUAGAUAUCAUGGGUUUUAUUGAGACUCUAUUAAGUAUAUAAGCUGUUGUGUUCACUGCCUCAGCCCAAAAAUAUUUUGGUAGGUUAUUCUCACAUAGCAUAGCCCUAGCCAUUUCCUUAAAGGUUUGAUUUUUCCUCUGUACAACUCCAUUUUGCUAGGGUGUUCUAAGUGCAGAGAAAUUGUGAUCCAACCCCUUUUGAUUGCAAAAUUUCUCAAAUUCAUCACUUUCAAAUUCUCCUCCAUGAUCACUCCUUAUGCUAACUAUGGCUAGUCCUUUUUCAUUCUUUACUUUCCUACAAUGACUUAUAAAAGUUGAUAGAGCAUCAUUCUUAUGAGCAAGAAAAUAAACCCAAGUGUACCUAGAGUAGUCAUCAACUAUUACAAAGCCAUAAGAUUUUUCUCCUAAACUAGUUGUGCUUAUUGGACCAAAUAGAUCAAUGUGUAAUAAUUCUUAGUCUUGAAGGAUGUUCUAACUUGCUUUCCUAGUUGGCAAGCAUCACAUAUUUUGUCACUUUCAAAUUUUAUGUCUGACAGUCCAACAACUAGAUUUUUCUUGAUUAGUUUUGACAUAGUAUGCAUGCUUACAUGUCUUAAUCUCCUAUGCCAUAACCAGCUAUCAUUUUCAGCAUUUGCAACAAGACAUAUUUCACUAUUUAUUUCAAGAUCCUCAAGAAAAACAACAUACAUAAAUAUUUUUCCUAUAAAUGACACAUUGUUUGUACAUAUGUCUAUUACUUCACACUUAUUUGAAUCAAAACAUACUUUAAAUCCUUUGUCACAUAAUUGACUAAUACUCAAUAAAUUAUGCUUCAAACCCUUAACCAAUAACACAUGACUAAUUUGAGUUUGGGAGUUCUUACCAACCGUACCUAUCCCAUGAAUUCUACCUUUUGAGUCAUCACCAAAAGAUACGGUACCUCCCUUCCUCUUAUCUAGCUGAGCAAACAUCAUUUCAUCUCCUAUCAUAUGCCGUAAGCAGUCACUGUCCAUAUACCAAGUGUCACGACUCGAAACCACCUUCGAGUCCGUGACAACCGCCACGAUGUCCCGAUAGACACUCAUCUUUCGAGUACCCUAUCAAAACCUCGCAAGGCUCUUGUAUCAGUUCCUCACCUACCUUGUGAUUUACUGUUACAAAAAUCAUGUUUUAAAGCAAUACAGAUCAUUUUUUUUCCGUCCAAAAACAAUAAAAUUUUAAUUUCUGCCUCACAGGGGCGUUUUUGUCAUUUUCGUUAAAAAUUUCGAGACAGGUUAAAAUGUAAUAAUUAGGUGAAAAACGCAUAUUUCAUACUUAGAAAUAAGUUUUGAUAUCUACAACGUUCAUUUAAAAGCAAAUUGUUGACAAUUAGUACUAUUCAAAAAUAAUAAAUAAAAUAUUCUAUUUUCUCAUAAAAUAAAUUUCUAUAGAAAUAUUCAUAAAUAAUUUUUUCGCACAUGAAAGUAAAGUAAAAAUUGUAUGAAUAGAAAUACAUAUAACCAAAAUAUAAGAUUUGAUCUGCAAUGACACGUGGGCCCCAAUUGACCAAGAAGAUGUAAGACUGUGAACUGUUACUUUCUAUAAUGCAGUUUCAAGCUUAGUUCUUGUCCUACUCGAGUAUCUACAAACUGUCUUGAGCCUGAAAAAUGUAUAGGAAGAAGGGGUAAGAUUUUGUAAUCCCAGUGAGUAAACAGUACCAUCUAAAGUAUCUAAAGCCGAGUAAAUGGAGAUAAUAAAAUAUCCCAUCCCAAUAUGCAUUUCAUAACUUAGAAAUUUAUUCCAUCCCAUGAAAACAAUUAUAAUUCAAUUAAAAUGAUUUUCAAGGCUUAUGUUUCUCAUAAAAUUUGGCUCAUGCCAAAACUCCUCAUCGGGGAUACUUGAUCGUCAUCAAAGCAUCCACUCGAGUCCGCCAAGGUUGUUAAAAUAACUUAUUCAUAUAAAACAGUCGUCCCUUGGCGUUGGCUGAAUCUCACUUUCACGUGGUGGUAAAGCGUGAAGUGGACUCAAACCCCUCCACAAGAGUUACCCUACGCGCCUCUCUCACAGAGGUAAAAUAAAUUAGCAGAGUUUACCGUGCCCUUCUAAUAGGAUGGUCCACGGAAACCCGCCACUGCAGUGUAGGUCAGCCCCACCAUAAUCAUAAAAUAGUUUAACAACAUAACAAGGUAAUUUUUUUAUAACAACUAAUUUGCACGGCAAACCACAAUUCAUGUAAUUUCAAUACAAUAAACCAACCAAGCAUGCUCACACUAUCAUAAGCCAUUUGAAUUAAAAAUACAAUUCAUACUUAACAACCACAGUCUCCAUGUACUCUAUUUAAAAAAAAUAACAUUCAUCAUUAAUUUCAAACAAUUUAUAAAACCAUUUUAUAAAAACACAUUUAUUUAUAAAACACGAAAUUUAUCCUUUUUAAAUCCAUUUUUCAUAAAAUUUAUAAAAUUUCAUAAAAACNNNNNNNNNNNNNNNNNNNNNNNNNNNNNNNNNNNNNNNNNNNNNNNNNNNNNNNNNNNNNNNNNNNNNNNNNNNNNNNNNNNNNNNNNNNNNNNNNNNNNNNNNNNNNNNNNNNNNNNNNNNNNNNNNNNNNNNNNNNNNNNNNNNNNNNNNNNNNNNNNNNNNNNNNNNNNNNNNNNNNNNNNNNNNNNNNNNNNNNNNNNNNNNNNNNNNNNNNNNNNNNNNNNNNNNNNNNNNNNNNNNNNNNNNNNNNNNNNNNNNNNNNNNNNNNNNNNNNNNNNNNNNNNNNNNNNNNNNNNNNNNNNNNNNNNNNNNNNNNNNNNNNNNNNNNNNNNNNNNNNNNNNNNNNNNNNNNNNNNNNNNNNNNNNNNNNNNNNNNNNNNNNNNNNNNNNNNNNNNNNNNNNNNNNNNNNNNNNNNNNNNNNNNNNNNNNNNNNNNNNNNNNNNNNNNNNNNNNNNNNNNNNNNNNNNNNNNNNNNNNNNNNNNNNNNNNNNNNNNNNNNNNNNNNNNNNNNNNNNNNNNNNNNNNNNNNNNNNNNNNNNNNNNNNNNNNNNNNNNNNNNNNNNNNNNNNNNNNNNNNNNNNNNNNNNNNNNNNNNNNNNNNNNNNNNNNNNNNNNNNNNNNNNNNNNNNCAGAAUUGAAAUCAUCCUCAAAUCACAUGAUUCAACCAUGGAAAAUGAUGGGAAAUGCAUGGGAAAGGUAAAGCACAAGACAAAUUUAAGAAAUGUUACCUUUUUUCACUUGAUUUUUGAAUUUCCACCUAUUUUCCCUUUAAAUUUCUUGGCUAGGGUUUUAUUUUCUCCUUUCUCUCUCUUGUUUCUUGCUUGGCCAAAUGUUGAAGAAGAAGAAUGGGUUAUGGGCUUAUUUUUUUUAUGCCUUUUUGUUAGUUUAAUGAAAUAAUAUUAUUUUAUUUAUAUUUUGAAUAUUUUAUUAAUUCAUUUUUUUUCUAGCCAUCCACUUGUCCUACUUUUUCCACCAUGCAUUCCCUUUGACUUAUCCAAAUCUUAAGUGAAAUUUUCAGAUUUUUCCAAAGUUUUGGUGGAGUAAAUUUUUCAAAAUUACACUUUUGCCCUAAAAAUUGAAAAUUUGCCAUAGUGCAUAAUUUUCACUCCUCAUACUCAUUUCACACUCCAAAUAAUUAAAUUUGAUCAAAAUCCUUUCAAAAAUUAAAUUUUUGAUUAUGGGUGGUAAAAUUAUCAUUUUGCCCAUAUACUCUAAAAAUACCGAAAACUCAUAUUUUUCAUUGCUAAAUCUUCAAAUUGUACUUCAAUACUCAUGUCAUACUCAAACAUGUCAAAUGGGGCUAAGAAAAUCUUUUCUAAAAAUUCCCAUUUUGAGUCAUCCUUGGACUGUGAAAUUCUCAAUUUCAUCUUUAAGAUCUCGAUUUUAUCUUGUUCGAUGUUUAAUCGACUUAACUGUACUUCUAGGGGCAAUAUCGUCUUUUGUCAAUUUUUUGGCUUUCUCAACAUACAAAUAUUCUAUCGAGUAUGUGAAUGACACCGUAAUUACUUUAUAGAGCAGGGUUUGACACCAAGGCUGUUUUUUCUUGAGUUAAGCUCUUGAACAUGUCUCCUGUAAGUGCAGCUCAACCUACAAAAUAAAAUUUUAGUUUUUCUUUAUAAGUACCCAUACUUUAAUGGGUCCUUGAGUGUUAGUUGCAAUAUAGGAUCCUUUAGGGACCCAAAUUUUUCUAACUUUCUACAAGUUACUUUUCUUAAAGCAGUCAUAUGAAAUAUGCCCAUAUUUUCCACAACUAUAACAUUUAGGUGCAGCACUAUGGGAAUUUUUUCUAAAAUAUGUGUUCCAACUUUAUGUUUCUCUUUUUGAACAUUUGAGAGUUGUGUUUUCAUCAAGUGUUUUUGGUAAAGCUUCUGAUUUAUUUUCCAACUCUAGCUUUAAAACUUUAAAAUCUGUUUUAAGUGUUCUAACUCAACUUGCAGGAAAUUUAUUUACUCAAAAACAGAAUUGAACUCUUAACUCACCUUUUCCAAAUCAUUUUCAAGAGAUGUAGCCUUUUUUUUUAGAUUCUUAUAUUUUGAAAAAAGUUGUUCAAAUUCAUCAUAGAAGCUGUCAUACUCAUCUUGUAAAUCAUCAAUGGAAAUAUCACAAGGGGAUGAAGAUACCUCGGUAUCAUCAUCUUGUGCCAUCAGAUAGAGGUUUACUCUUUCUUCAGAUUUUUCAUCUUUAACUUCAGAGCUUGAUGUGUCACUGUCCGACCAUGCAACUGCCACCAUUGUUUUCUUGGAUUUUUUGUUUUUCUUUGGAGUCUCAUCUUUCAACAAUGGACACUUGGACUUGAAGUGGCUAGGUUUCUUGCACUUGUAGCAGAUCAGCUCCUCAUUUUUGUUAGAGUCACUUUUGUUUUUGAUUUUUCAUGAAGCACCUUGAUCUUUUCUAAAUCCUCUUCCAGCUAGUCUCAGGUUUCUUCUGCCCAUAAGCUUUCUGAAUUUUCUUGCAACUAGAGCUAACUCUUCAUCAUCAUCACAAGUCUCAAGGAUGCUGACUUUAAGUACAAUGCUUUUUUUUUUCCUUUAUUUCCUUCCUAUCUUCUUCCUCUUCCUCUUUAAGCUCCAGCUCAUGAGUAAGGAGAGAACCACAAAUCUCAUCUAAGGUAAUGACAUUUAGGUCCUUGGCCUAUUGGAUUGUAGUCACUUUAGGCUUUUAAUUUUUUGGUAGGCUUCUAAGAAGUCUUUUAACUAUUUCAUGCUCGGGUAUUGGUUUGCCUAGCUGACUCAAUUUAUUUGUAAUAUUUGUGAAUCUAUCUAGCAUGCUGGUGAUGUCUUCACCAGGCUCCAUUUUGAACAUUUCAUAGUUAUGUGUCAAGGAGGCUAUUUUGGACUCCUUGACUUGAGAAGUCCCUUCAUGGAUUAUUCUAAGUUUAUCCCAGACUUGUUUAGUUGUUGUACAGCUUGAGACUUUGUUGAAUUCAGUGGGCGUCAAGGCAUAAUGCAAUGUAUUGAUGGCCUUAAAAUUUGUUUGGACUUUCUUAGUUUCAGCGUUGGUCCAUUCAAACCUUGGCUUAGGCAUCAAUUCAUUAGUUACAACAUUCAAAGUAAAGGGAAUAAAGGGUCCAUCAGUUAUGUCAUUCCACAUUUCAUAAUCUAUAGCUCUAAUGUAAAUUGACAUCUUAGUGCUCCAAUAAGGAUAGUUAGAGCCAUCAAACAGAGGUGGUCUGUUUGUUGAUUGUCCUUCAGCAACUAUGAAUUUUUAGAGAGUCAUUUGGGUCCUCCCAAAGGGUGUUAGACCUUAAGAACAGGGAACUAGCUUUGAUACCACUUGUUGUCCCAAUUAUAUGUGCUAGACGGGGGGUGACUAGCACAAAUCGGCUCUUGACAAAAUGAGGAACUACUUUUCAGAACAAAGAAAAUAAAAACAGAGUAGACAAUGCGCAUGAAUUUAGAGUGGUUCGGUCCAAGACCUGCAUCCACUACCUUGAUUAUCCAACAAAAGAUUUUCCAAACAAUUCCACUAAGAACCGGUGAAAUUCACAAGCUUUCACCAAGCUUUAUAAUGGCUUUUACUAGGCUCAACCAAAACCUUUUACAUUAGUUUUUCUUGGGCUCAACUAUAACCCAACACCUAACUUUUCAAGGCUAAGUUAAAACUUUAACACAUUCAAGCAAACCUAGCUUGAAACAACCGCUUGGAGUGACUUUCUCACUCUAAGAAUACAAGAAGAAAAGUAAAUGAAAGUACCUAUGAUCACAGGUUGAUCUAAAUGGUACAAGGUUGAAUGCAGAAUACAAAUACAAAAGAUAGGCAUUUAAGUGCAGAAAGGUGCAGAGAAGAUUUUCUGGUUUUUUACCUCUUAAUGACUCAAAUCUUUUCCAAAACUUUCAAAAACUAAUUUCUAACCGUUGGAAGACCCUUUUAUACUUGAAGAAAUAGCUUUGAUGGCAAUUUGGCAGUUUAUGGCCGUUGAAAAUAGUUAAGAGUAGGUUCUAGUCGUUAAUCUGUCUUCUAGUGCUCUGGUUCAAAUUGCAGACAAAGAGCUCUUAGUCGAUUAACUUUCUUUUUAGUCGACUAAGUUGGUUUUAUCUUCUGGUCUUAGAUUCUGGCAAAGAGCAUUUAGUCGACUAACUCAUUUCUUGGUCGACUAAGUUGGUUCUGUCUUGAAGUCCAGAUUUUGGUAGUAGCUUCUUAGUCGACUACCUCUCAUCUUGGUCGACUAGGUCAAUUCUAUUUCUCAAAAUUCUUCAGCCUGCCAUUUCUUCAAUUUGAAUUUUAGCCAACCAACAUUCUUCAUUAUUCAACUAAAGAGCUUCCUUCUUGUUGAUCAAUCAUGUCUCCUUAUUCUCAUGAUUUUUGACAUAUACUUUUGAAGAAUAGAUUUAUUAUUUUUAUACAUUAUCUGUCCUGCACACUUAGGUAAAGAUGUUAGACACAAAUGAAAUGGGAAUGUUUUAUUAUCAUCAAAAACUAAUGGAGCCAACAAAUAUGAUAAAUCAUUCAACAUAUUCAUAUAUGUAACCAUAUAAAUAUAUAUAUAAGUCAUACCAUAGACAAACAUUUUCAUAAUACUCCAUUAUCAAUUAAAAAUGUCCAACAUUGACAUUCCAAUGCACAUCUCUUGUGUUCAACAUAUCCAUAUUAACAUAUUCAAUUACAAUGUUCAUGACUAGGUGUAUGCCGACAUCGUUAAUACAAAAUAAUUACUCGAUCUGGAUAGUGGAAUGGACUCAAGGAUAGCUAAUGGCAUUUACCGAAUACCUUUAGUAAAACCUACCAAGGUGUAGUUGGAGAGCCUUCCAAUAAUGAAGAGGCGAUCACUCUAUUAAUUUGAAAACACAACAUAAAUUUGAAAGGGUGAGUAUAAAACUCAGUGAGUAGAUACGAGGAGGGGAGACAAGCUAAUGUACAAGUGUUUAAUAUAAAAACUAUUACAACUAAAUCAUGUAAGUUUGUAUCAUGAAAGUGUCAUUUAAACAAGUUGCAAUGAAUGUAAAUACUCUUAGAUUUAGCAUUUGGAAUGGCAAAAUGUUUGUAUGUGAAAUAUAGUUUAAACAAAUUUUUUUCAAAAGAGAAAUUUGGAAUAAUUUAAUUUUCAUGCAAUGAAAUUUAUUAAUGUGUUCUAAUUAUAUUGUAGUACUUUUUUUGAGACUGGAGUGAUCCCAACUAUUACUAGAAUAAUCAAGAGUCAUUUUAGUGGUCCUUGGUUUACAUGGAAGGUUGUUUCGAUCGAUAUGAAAAACUGGAUGUGGUGAAAAUUCGAUGUACCAUUUUGUCUUUUCACUAAAAUAUAACUUGUUAUUGAUAAUUUAUAUAUAGUUCAUUUCAACCCUACUAUAUUAGUAUUUUUUUUUGUAAGAGUCCUUUACCUAGGCUUUAUAGAUGCUUUAAUAGUUCGGAAGAUAUAAGAGAAAAUUUGCAAAGAUAGCUUAAAAGGUCCAGUAGGGGACGAGCAUAUUAAUGGAAAUAAUAAGGUCAAGGUUUUAGACAUCAUCCAAACCAAAGGGAUGUCCCAUGCUUGGAUCAUUACAAAAGUCUACGAUGCCCUCAUCAAUAAUGUAUGGGGCACUAAUAAAUGCAACAUCGAUCAUACAAGGCCAAAAGGAAUCAUCUAACAAAUAAAGAAGGCAACAUAAUGAAACACACAAGCGGUUCCUUACCUUUUUAUAUACAUGCAAAGAAAAUAGUACGUGUUCUUAGUUCGCAUUAAUAUAUUUGCAUAUGAAUUGUUAUGAUUUGGAUGUUGUUGUCAUUGUGUUGUUGAAGAAUGUGAAUACAAAAGUUGUGAUUUCAAGUAAGUAAACAUGUUGUAGUGUUGUGAAUAUUAUAUAUAUAUGAUGUGUUUGUUGUUCUUAUGAUUGUGUUGUCAUUGUUGUGUGAUUGUUGGGAUAUAUUGUUCAGUUGUUGUGUUGGUAUAUAUAAAAUAUUGUUGUUGUGAUUGUAUGUUGAUGAUUAUGUUCUCUGUUGCGAUGCAGAGACCGGUUGUUGUUGUCAUUAUGUUGUGAAUGUUAGAAUUUAUUAUUCGAUUGUUGUGUUAGUAUAUAUAAAAGGUUGUUGUGAUGAUUGUUGUGUUUUGAUUUUUGUCUUGUUGUGAUUACAUUUAGAGGUGAUGCAGAGAUCGAUUACAUUCUUCGAGCUAUUCAACAGCACCCAUAAGCGAAUGAAGAAUAGUAGAGAGUUUGUGGGCAAUAAGUCUAAGACUGUUAUUGUAAAUAAUAAAAAUGAAGCGUUUUAUUUCAUUUUAUAAUUUUAUGUCUUAAAAAAAAUCAUCAUUGUCCACUAUGUUAUUUAAAAAUUAAAUUACUAAUUCCAUUAAUUUUAUUUUUAUAGGAAAUAUAUGUUUUUGUAUUAUUGUAAAAGUAUAGUCAAGAGUCAUCGUUUCAGUCAGAGUUCAAUCUGCAAACAUGGUCAAACUCUAUUGGAGGGGAGAAUAACACCCGAACCCACAUCUACGGGUUUGUCACCAAGGUGACGGCUGUAUUACAACUUGAUGCAGCUUAAUAUCUGAGUCUGCUUGUGGUCCAACCCCUAUUGGCAAUGUUGCGACCAUUACCCCUCCCCUUCCUAUACAGGAUCUUGAUGACUAUGAUGAAUUGAAAGAAGAUGUCUUCAGUACAAAGAACAGCUUUUUAAAAACGAAGUCGAACAUCACAUGGAUCUUCCUUUAUGUGAUGUCGACAACCCAUUUCAAGUCUUAAUCACAAUAGCCGAGCCCUUCUAAUAUUUAAAAGAGGCAACUAAAGGACGAUGGCAUUGAAUAGCUUGUAUGUUUUUGUGGUUUGCUUAUAAUACAAAUAAUACAAUUUUUAAUUUUUUUAAUUUUAAUAUAUAUUCAUUNNNNNNNNNNNCUUUUUUUUUAAAUAUUUGAAAUUUUUUUUAUUAAUAUUUAUUUUUAUUUUUGUUUUUCAUUUGAAAUGACAAUAGGGAAUCAAUUUAUUUCAAUUUUCAUAAAUUUUUUUUAUAUUUCACACCAAUAUUGACAAAAUUAUUGACAAAUCUUAUACAUUAUUAAUAGAUUUGGGCUCAAUUUUACCAAUGAAAUAAUUGUAAUAUCUACAGAAUAAAGGACAACACCUAACAAAACCUACCAAAAUUUGUAUUGCUCAACUCUGUUGGUGAAUCAUUGGUAAUUUUGUUAGAAAAUUACCAAUGAAAUUUGUGGAUGGAUUCUACCAAACACCAAUAAGGCCUAUUACCGACGAAGUUACCUAUACUGAUCAAGGUAUUUUCCACUAAAUAUUAGGCUAUUUAACUUACCAGUAGAGUUUUAGCCUUUACAGAUGAAAUUUUCUAUUGGUAAAGUUCAUAUAUUUUGUAAUGAAUUUUGAUCAUGGUAGCAUAUUUAAUGUAAAUUUAAGGCUCAUAUUUUUGUUUCAUAAAAUAGAUCCAAAUAAAAUGAAUUAUCAAUAAAAUUAACAAAAUAUUUGAUAACCAUUGACAAAUGAAAUGGAGAAAUAUCCUAAUGUUAGAGUGAACUAGCCUAAAAGGGGAAUAAAAAGUGAAAAUACUAUUACUAAGUGAAAAAGUUGAUUUUUUAGCAAGUUAAUAAUGCAAACAAUGAAAAUAUUCAAAUUUUAUAGAUCUUAACAAUCCACGAGAAACUAAAAGACGAAGUUUACUAGCUGAAGAUUUCACUAAUACAAGGAUGAAAUAGAUGUAGUGGCAACUAAUAUAUGUUUUACAAAAAUAUGGAGGGAGAUGAGUUGAAAUAUUCUUCCCACCUUACAGCCCAUCUCAAGAAUAUUCCAUGUUUACUAAUCCUGUACUUGACAACCAGAGGAAAAGAAAAGAACAAUGAAGCUUAAAUAACAUAACUGACCUACAAAAAUAAGAUUAAUGCUAAAGUAGGAACAUAAUAGGUAUCAGGAAGACUGAGAUAGAAUAAAAAAAACAUAUCUAAUAUGAGUGAUAUUUAUUUUUGUAACAUUAACAGUAUAGAUAGGAAGAAGAGACGAAUUAGAUAUUUUAGUAGAUAAGAUAUAAGUAUUAUGAGUCAUAUGAUUAUAACAAGUAGACUCAAAGAGCCAAAAUUAAUUACCCGAAGUAAUAGAGAAGGUAGUGUGAGAAGAAUAAUUGAAAGAGACAACCUUGUUUAGUAGAGCCUCAAUAUCACUUAUAGUGGGAGUAGUAUUUUCCUCAAAUGCAACAGUGACAAGUGAUGAAGAUCUACAUGUUGAGAAAUCUCCCUUAGAUUUAUAAGUUAGGUCUUGAUGUGUGCAUAGGAUAGUUUUAAAUAAUAUGCCUAAUCUUAUGACAAUUCUUGCAUUCAAUCAAAGGACAAUUAAAAAAUUGUGACCUCUUUGUCGAUAAUUCUUACAAAACUUAACUCCAUCUUUCUGAUUUGAUGACUUGGGAUAACAUAACAGCAAGACCAAUAUUAGUUUAUGGAGAUUUAUCCAAGCCAAGACGUGUCUUCUCAAAACUAAUUUUUCAAUAGCAAUAUCUAUUGUAUGAAGUGGAUUUCGGUGUAGCAAUGAAAACUUGGCAACUUCAUAUUUUGAAUAAAGCAUAAGAAUCAAAAUAAGAUAAGGAUGAUCCUUAAUGUUUCUAACCUGAGUCAAGUGAUUCUUAAUAGGUUGAACUUAGGCCAAAAAACCAUUCACUAAUUGGUCAGAUUGUCAUUUUAGACUGUAAAGAGUAGUUCAUAAUUGAUAAUAGUGAGCAAGCCUAAAAAUUUUAGACCUGAUGGCAAGAAAAUAUAAAAUCUCCUUUGCUGUCUUAAAAUCAACAAACUAAACAUGAAUAUUUAAAGCAAAUGUGUUAUAAAACCAAGUUAUGGUAUAAUGAUUUUGCCAUUUCAAUCUUUAAUUCAUUCUGCAAGCUUGGUAACAGUUUCUUCAACUAGUAGGUUGAACAAUGUCUCCAGUGACAAUGCAUCAAAGUUUGCAUCCAAUUAGAAAACAGCUUAUACCUUGGACUCAUAAAUUGUAAUUAUUUCCUACCAAAACAGUUUCAAUUAACCUAAAAACUUCAAAAUUUUCCAUCUAACAGUCAAUAUUAGCAUAAACAAAGGUCAAAAUUGAAAUUAAGAUGUCAAAAUUAGCAAAAAUAGCAUCCUCACAAAAAUGUUGACGUGUUAGAUGAUGCACAUGGUAAUUGAUGUGGUAGAUGAUGUAGUAAGACACGUGGCAAACAUGUUAACGGGGAAAACACGUGGUAGAUAAAUGAUGACAAAACACGCGGUAGAUGACAUGGUAAGGCACAUGUUAAAUAGAUGACAUGGUAGAAGAUUAGUGGAUGAGUUGGCAAGGCACAUAGCAAACAGAAAGCAUGGAGAAACAUUACUAGAUGACGUGUCAAGACAAGUGGUAGGUUGUGUGCUAUCGUAAAUGGAUGAGAUGGACUAAUGACGUCAAGGUAGGGUAAUUGGCCUAUGGCGUGUAAGGAAAGAGCUUUUGAUGUGGAGGGCACAUGUUGAUGCAUGGGAGCAUGUGCAAAUUCUGAGAACCAGACCCUUCAUUAAGACAUGUUAGCAUGCCAUGUCAAAAGCUAUGUGGACAAAAAAUGUUAGUUAUCGUUGGAAUUAACAUCAGUUAUAUUUUCGUUAAUCUCAAGGACUUAAUUGAUUCAAAAUAAAAAAAUUAAAAAUACAUUUAGAUGCAAUAAAAGGUUAGGAGCUUUUUUGAAUAGUCACAUAUAGUUCAUGGACUUUUUUUUUAAGUGUUUAGCCUGUUUUAAAUUUUAAUUUUUUGUACCACAUUCUUGUUUUAAAUUUAUUAAUUAACCAAUUGUGUUAAUUUGAUAUUGAUUACAAAAAAAAGUGAAAUUAUUUAUUACAUUUGAAUUUACAAAAAGUAUUUAUAAUUUAUAUAACUUGAAUCUACUUGAAUUGGAAAAAAUAAAACCCAAAACGAUAUAAAUUGAAAAUGACCUGAAUUCAAAAUAAUCUAAAAUUCAAGAUGAGUUAAAUUUGAAACAAAUCAAAUUCAAAAUGGUGCGGUGAUCCAAAUCUAAAAUAAAAUUAAAUCCUAAAUAACUCGAAUCCUCUGGACCCACAAGAACUGCCCAAUUACCAUCUCCAAUUUUAGUUGGACUUGCUAACAAUAAGAUGGAAAAUGUUUGAAUGACUUGUGUGGGAAUGGUAUAAAACUUUGUGAUGAUGAUUGAUGGUGAGAGUGUGGCGAAACAGGGAAGGGGUGUGAAGAAAUGGGGCCCACAAUCUUGCGGCUUGUGCCUCUCAAAGGCUACAACGCGUGCUCAUCCUCAAUCAAACCGUCAACCAUGCGAUUCAGAACUUACUUGAAGCUGCCGUCACUUCUUUGGGUCCCUUUUCUCCACCAAUUCGUAAUUUUCUACUUUCUUAGAUUGUUUAUUAGUUGUUAGUAUCAAAUUAAGAGAAGAGCAUCAAUACAUUGGCAUUGAUCAUGUGUCCUUUCCUCCCUCUUUCGUGGGAUUCACAAAUUCCUUUCUGCUUCUCCUAACUACACCGGCCCCUUAGCUCUUUCUAUCUUCACAUUUUUAAUAUUAUUCGAUUCUCAUAAUUCAUCAUGCCGCCAUAGUCUCUCUUUAUCCCCUUUGCUUUAUCUAAACUUUGUCUUUGCACUUGUGAUAAUAAUGGAUCCUAAUUAUCAUUCAAUAUCCAAAUUAAUUUGGGUUUGAAAGCGAUUUAAGUUGGAGUUGCUUAAUUUGUUUUUGUGAUCGCUAAUGCAAUUGAUUUUGUUGAUGUUGAAAUCUUUUGAUUGGUCAACAUUAAUCAAGUUGCAUCAAAUUUUGUAACUUUUAAUUUGAUUUGAUUGAUUUAAAAAUGGGAAUAAUGUAAAAGAAACUGAAUUGGAGUCAUAGGCAAAUAAAAAUGGCAGGUUCCAAUGUCAAUAUGACCUCUAUCACCCCUUAGGUUUGACAUGUUGAUGCAAAAUAAUGAGUAAAUCAGAUUCUGCAUAGUAGCAUGUAACCAUAAAUGCCCAAUGAUCUUUCUACAAGUAGAGUCAAAGUCUACCAUUAUUUUUAUUUAAAUGAGCUCAUAUGCAUUGAAACACGGGAAUCAUAAGUGCCCAAUGAUCUUUGAAGGAGUAGGCAACUACUGAAGAGGGCUUCAUGGUACAGCGAGAACUGUGCACGAGUCAAGCUUUCCAAUGUGCUCCUUAUCGUAUCUGAAAACCUACCAAUCAAUCAGUGAAGCAAACAGUACUAGUGAGACAUUUUACUAUGUGGAAAGAGUUUCAAAAACAGACGUGAAAGGGACUAGAUUCUCAAGGAAAAUUUGUCCAGAGAACAGCGUUUUCCAUGAGAAGCCCACCUCAGGAAGGGAAAAAAAAAAUCUCAUAGGAAAUGACACCAUCUUCCAAGAAAGAGGGAGGGACGGGGAAUUCUCCUUCUCUCCAUAUCCUUAUUUUGUUUGAGAGCACUGCCAUUUAUCCAGGCUUCAAAAUCUUUAUUAAAUUUGUCUAAUUAAUGACAAUAUAUAUAUAUAUAUAUAUAUACACGUGGUACAUCGAAGUGAGAUGAGUAGGUUUAGGAUGAAUAUGUCUCAUUAGCCUUGCAUGUGGCCAACUCACAUGGCUAAACCACCCAUGUUUGAUUGACCUCUUAAUUUGAUUAAUAGUUUCAGUUUUAAUUUGCCUUUCCCCUCUUAAAUUUAUAAAACACAUCUAUUUAUCAUAGUCUCCUAGGAUCACCAUUCAUUAAUUAAAUUGACAAUCCCAUCAUGAGAUCUUCGAAGUAAGAGUAUUUAUCACGGUUAUCUGAAUCUUGGUUUCCUUUUUAUUCCUUUUACGAUGUCUUCCCACUCUCCAUGUGACAGGUUAAUUUAAUGAUUAAUUAAUGGUGAUUUGGUCAAUCAAUAACUGAUGAUUUAACCCUAAAUCUAAGUUAAAAGUCUAAGUUCAUGAGAGCCUUUUUAAAGCUUUAUUUAGUUGAUAUUUUUGUUGGUUUUUUUUAAAAUUUUUUUUGACUAAACAAAAAUAAUAAAAUAUCAAUCAAAAGAGACUUUAACCGAUAGGUUACAAUAAAAUGUAGACACUAAUUUACUUUAUCCUUCCAAAUCCCAACUGACCUAGUUCUAGGCUACAACGAGCUGUUGGAACUGGAAAUCAAACAUUUCCCACCUACAACAGAACUGUCAUCAACAGUCUCAUUGCGGCACUAGAGUUGAAUUACCUUGUCAAAGAUGAGGAGGUUCAAAGCGUAGCCAAGGCUCCUGAACAAGUACGCCAAACUUGCCAAAAUUCUGAAAGCAUCAUCUCUCAGGGGAAAACUCAAAAGGGAUAAGACCUUGAAGAAGCACCAAGUAGCUGCUUUUGUGGACCCAGCGUGCUGGGCAGCUUCAUUCAGCUACCACUUUUACCAGAACUGCAAGUGUGCUAAAAAUUGGCAAUAAGUUAGGUAAGUGGUCCCUUUGAAAUAGUUAAAAGAUGUUGAACACAAAAACAUUUGUCAGCUAUCUUCCCUUUUGAGACCUAUCCCGAUUCAAUUCACCUCCUUUUACUAAACUACGUACUAAGAUUAACUGGGUUUUCACAAAAUUAUACAAAUCCCAUUUUAUAGCCAUAUACAAGAAAUUUAAGAAAGAUAAAAGAUUCGAAUUUGAAAUGUUUAAUAUACAUAUAGAUGAACACUUUGUCGAGGUCACGCAAUUUUACGCGCCAGCAGAUUGGGUGGUAUGGACUGGCUCAUGUGUAUGCAUAAAAAUGCGUGCGAGUCAUAUUAUAGAUUUAUCAGCAAUGGAGGAAGAGAGCAAAAAGGCAUGUUACCGUAGGAUUUUUAGUGGAGAAACAAACAAGUAGAAGACAAGGUGAGGCAUGCUCAAGAAUAUAGAAAAAUGUAAAAGCAAUCAUGUAAUAUAAUAACCUGAAAGCAUGUGGAUGUGUGUGGUUGUGAUUUCUCAGGAUCAGAAUUUGAGAGUUUGAAGGAUUUGGGAGAUAUAUAUAUAUUUAAUUUACAUAGGGACAGGUAAGUUUUUGAACCUUCAGCUUUUGGAAGAAAGAGAAGUAUGGGAAGUUUCCCUUUUCCCCAUCUCAAAUCUCUAUGUGCUUGAUUUUUGUUUAAAUGAUCUAUCAUCAAUCCCUCGAACAUUUUAUCUAGUACAUCUUAAUCAUGAUUGUGUAGUGUGAGUUUUCAAAGAACUUUUUGGUGUCUGUUCUUACAAGGAGGAAUUCAGACAUAACAAGAGGGUAAUGAUAAGGCUUAAUUGGAUUUUCGAGGACAUGUGCCUAACUUAUCAUUGUUACUUACCGUUAAGGGACAUACAUAAGCGUUUAAGCAUCCAAUUUAUUUUUAUUAGGAGAAAGAGGAGUCAAAUUCGACUUUUUAAAAGAAAAAUACAUUUAAUUGUCCUUAAACCUAUCUUUCUUCAAGUGUAGUACAUCCAAUUACAUAAGAAGAGAUUUUCUUAAUUUUGAGAAAAAUGGCAUACAUAUUUAGAAUUUAAGUCCCUCAUAAUUGUAAUUUAGAGGAAAGGCAAUGGUCUGCAAUGGAAGGACAUGUACAAUAGUAAUUGUAAACUUUUGACCAUUUUUGUGUCACUGCUAUAUUUCUGCCAUGGAAGGACAUGUGCAAUAGUAAUUUAAAGCUGCAACGGCCAAGAGAACGUACAAGUAUGUAAAUGGAAUCCUAAUAUCUGAGUUUGAACUCAGAUAAAAUCUCAAUCACAACAGGGGAUUAGAUAUGGUUGAUCAGAGCGCACACACACACACUAUAUAUAUAUAUAUAUAUAUAUAUAUAGAAUAAUGAAAUGGGAANACACACACACACUAUAUAUAUAUAUAUAUAUAUAUAUAUAGAAUAAUGAAAUGGGAAUCAUUGAAUUUCCAUAAAUAAGAAUAAAAGGAAACCAAGAAAAAAGCAUGAUAAAAAGGAUAAAUAUUAACUUGGUACUGUUCAAAGAAAGAAAGAAGCAUCCGCUUUACAUAUCAUUCAUGCAUAUCUUGAUUUCCUGCAAAGACUUGUCUGGAAUAUCUUGUUCACAGGCAUACAUUUGCUUAUAUUUGGGAGUGUCAUUUGUUUCUAUUAUAAUAAUACUGUGGCCCCAUUCUUUGAUCUUCCUUCACAAUACAGUUUGCAACUCAAAUAUACAAUACAAUACAAUAGAAUACCAUAUGUUCAAUACAAUCAUAUAUAAUAUUAUAUUCAGCCUUCUCCCUCUCUCUUUCUCUCUCUCUCUCUCUCUCUGAAAAUAAUAUUACAACACACAAACACAUUGCUAGUCCAGCUUUUUUCUUGCCUCCUUCUUUCACAGCCUGUCAAGCUUGAAUUAUUAACACCAUGAUUAUAUUUUUUUAGUAAGAGCGCUCCUAGUUGUUUCUUUAAGGAAAGUGAACACCUGGUCCAUGGCAUAACAAGAGAUAAUUUUGCUGGUGCCUGCUCAGUUGUUUUCCGAUUUCGCCACAGUUAUACUACUUAGAUAGCUCCGUCCAUUUUCACCAAAAAAAUUAGUCAUGGUUGUUGCCCUUUGAGGUGAUUAGUUCCUUUUCUUCGGUAUUCCUGACUUUUGCUUAUCGACAAUAUUGACUUAUGGAUGAAAAGAGAUGCUUGAGUGAGAAAUAUGUUCAAUGAACCUCUUUGUAGAGAACCACAAUCCGGCAACUUUUUCUUGCAGGUAAAAUUAGCCUGGAACAUAACGCUCUUCUUCCAAUAUGCCUUUUGAUUGAAGGAGAGUUUUGCUGUUAGUGUUCUUGUGUAAAUCUUUAUUGGGUUAGCUGAUGCCAAUUAUGGUUGUCUUUGUUUCAGUUUUUGAGUAUUGUAUAAAAAUUUUUCUAUGCAUAUGCGUAGUGAUUCUCUCAUAUGCUUAAAAGUGAAAGAGAAGGUCUUUUUCUUUAUAAUAAUUUGCAGUUGAAACACUACAGAAGCUUGUAUCCUCAUUGUUCUUCAACUGCAAAUUACUGUAUAAACUGAAUCUCUCUUUCAUACCUGUUUACUGUUGAAUUAUGUAAUAAUUGUUAUUGCCUUUUAGGUCUUUGUGCUAAGUUUGAACACAUAUUAACCUCAUCUCUAGUGAGAUUUCAUCAUGUAUGCAAAUCAAACCAAAAAAAAGAAAGAAAAAGAAGUGGACAUUUUUUGAGAACAACUUCUUGAAGAUGAAGACCACUGUUAGGGCUAGUGAUGGAAGCACCAGAGAGAGAGACCCACAAUCCAUUUUUGGUCGCUUUAUUGCCCACAUCCCAUUUCCUUUUUCUUCCUUCUUCAUUGUCUGAGUACUGUUCAGGAACACUUUGAGAGCUCCCCAAUGCAAGUCUGAACAAUUUCCAGCGUACCCCCUUCUCUCAUUGCUGGCAAAAAGAAAAAAAAAAAAGAAGAAAAAAAAUUAAAGCAACUUUUUUCAUGUGCGGGAGCCAGCCUUCCUACAUAUGGCCUGCAUUUGGUACCCCAAAAGGGAACCACAAAAGUUUCGGUCCAUACAUACUUAGGAUAUAGUAUAUGCAGGACCAACUGUAGUGAAUUUUGAAGAACGAGUUCCCCGUCCCCCACCCCCGCUUUCUAGAUGCAAGGAUUUGUUCGUUGCAACUGGCAAGGUUGGAGAUGACUCAAGAUUUAUCAGAUCUUUCCACUAUUUAGUCUUUGGUGCUCAGAUGUCACUUUGGACUCGUAGACUUGGGGUCAACUAGACUCUGUCUCCACCUCCGUGUAGUGGCUUUUCAUGAAUCACACACCCACCCCAUUUAAAAGAGGAUAUAAAGAAGAGACAAGGAAAAAAGUCGUAAGAAAAAGCAAAGAAAAAAAGGUUCCUAGGAACAUUGUUGUCUCGUAUGAUUUUUUGCUACUUCUGGUGGCAGCUUUGCGCACUGUAUUUCCAAAGGGGUUAUUUCUGUGUGUUUUCUCGUAAUUGGAUAAUAGGUUUGUAUUUACUGCCUAAAAUAAGUUUAAUGUUUAAACCAAAUUUCAGGCAUGGGAACCAAACUUGAGUGUGCGGUAAAUCCGUUAGCAACUUCACAAAACAGCAACAGCUGCAGCUUUACUGUGCAUUUCGUGGAUGACUAUUUCCGAACAAGAACGCUGAAGGAGAAUUGUCAAAAGAUUGGAUUGGAAAGGUCUGGCAGCUGCAUGGACAGGAUGCUGGAAAGGCACAACAUGGAGUCCAUCAGAAAGACGAUGGAGAUGCAUGAAGAUACCUUCAAACACCAGGUAUGGGGAGACAUUAACUUCUGUUCCGAACUCUAAUUAAUAUUUGCAUUGGCAUUUUCUGAAAUUAAAGAAUUUCUCUCUUUUCUUAAAUAAAUGUAAAGAUGACCAUUCUGCAGAGGUUAUGAUUACCAAUGUGUCAGAGAAAAUGCAAAUAUUUGACACUGCUAGCAAUUCCGAUUCUUCAAUAAUUGAAUAAUUUGACAUCAAGAUCCCCAUAUGUACCAAAUAUUAGUUUCCAGCUAAAUUGCAGACACAGUGUUUCUUUCCAUCAUUCAAGAUGUUUCCAUACAUUAUCUCUCCAUAAUUUGCAGAUGCAUGAUAAUUUAAGAACCAUUCUGCUCACCCUUCAGCAAACCUAUCUCUCAAAAGUGAACAUCACAAACAGUCAAGGAAGUUUAUCACUUGAACGUGAUGGUCCAAAAUAAGAAAAUAACAAAAAACUGGGAAUUGCAGGUACGAGAACUUCACCGGCUGUAUAGUGUCCAAAAGAUGCUGAUGGAUGAGGUGAAGAAAGAAAUCAAGCAAAAUAGAUUUUGGACUACUCCUAUGACUAGCUUUGAUGUUAACCAAUCUCACUUCAUUAACCAGCAGCAGUUGACAGCGCAAACGACUUGUGGGUACAAUUUCCAUGUUCAAGGUGAUCCAAGCUCAAGGGAGAGGAGCGGCAGUUGCUCUGGUGACACCAUGAAAGUUGCAAGGGGCUUUGAUCUCGAGAGGCCAGCUGAGGAAGACAUCUCGGCUGAAGUCAGCGCCGUUGAUCAUGAAGACCAAGUAGGGCGUAGCUCCCUCAUGCACUCCAGAAUCAACCAGAUGAGAAUCGAAGGCUCCGAUGAAGAUAGUGAAGUUGAACUGACACUAAGCAUUGGAGGCAGCUCAAGCAAGAAGACACCAACGAACUCCAAGCCUCAUAGCCAAGAAUUAGGAUGUAAUAAUUCUCAGUCAAUUCAUAAGGAAACUAGGGAGCUUCAUUCUUCGGCUUCGUUUAAAUCAGAGAGGCGAGAGGAUUGCAGUGGCCCCAACACUCCAAUGAGCAGUUCUAGCGCAACAUUCGAUCAGGACAGGAAACGACCACAUUGGCUUUUCCAAGGUUUAAGCAUAAACAGGACUUGAAACCGUUGAACAAACAAAUUUUUUUUUUAACUUAAUUUGUAUGUGUGUAUCCUUUCCAACUCCGCAUGGACCCUUGAUCAAAUUUACGUGGUUCAUGACUUGAGAUCAUUCCUAAUUUUUACUUUUUCCGACUUUAACCUAAUAAUAAAUACAAUUCGAGGCACCCAUGUUUGGGGUGUAAAUUGCUAGUUGUAAAUAGGCCAUCCACAGCAUUUCUUGAACAACUUGCCAAUUCAUUGGCUUGUUAUUGUGUUUUUGUUCGAUUUGGCAUUUACUGAGAGUGGGUAAGAAUCUGCUCAAAUUUCCACGCAUGUCUCUGCUUCACAACUAUGCAAAUAGUUCAUUUGGCUGUACCGUCCAAGGUUUUCGGGCAACCAAGGCUGCUGGAAUGUUCUUCUGCCUAUUCGUGUCGCUAUCCUCUCUAUGAGUCUACUAAUAAAUUUACUCCUCACAUAAAUUAGACCACCGAGUAAAAGAUUAUUAAUUUCAAACAAAGUUCUAACAGUAGAAUUGAAAUGAUUAGCAACAUUGAUCACAUAUAACAGUUCAAGUCCAAGGGGAGGGUUACUGAUCUUUGUAUUGUCUAAAAGGAAAAAAAAAUGAAAAAACGAAAGAAAAAACUGUCGGUCUAACAACUCUGUGUGUGUUUGUACUAUUUACCUUUAAAAUUCAAUAAAUCUGUACAACUGUAUGGUCCCGAAUAUCUUAUGGGGUUUGCACAAAGGAAAUCUGAUUCUGUUGCGAAAGAACGUAACAUCAUGGGAAACAAAAUCUUGGUACAAAAUUUGGUUAUUUGAGUUUGUAUCGACAUGCCAGUUUCAAGAUGGUAAUCAGUGGUCUUAGUUGUCAAGCAUUGGAUCUUCGUUAACGGCAGGUAGGCAAAUGAUCUAUAUUCAUUUCAUCUGGCAUGUUCAAGCAGAAUAAGCGUGAAUGACUCACCGCCCAUCUUAUCGGGCAAUGAUUUAUCAUGGGUUAAAUUAAAAACAAAUAAGAGAAAACUUGAACUAAAACUUAUUAAAAUGAUUAUUAAAGUAAUGACAAGAAAUAACUAAACAGUUAUAAUAUUCUAUCAAAAAAUUUUGGCAUUGAGGAUAUGUUUGUCAUUAUAGGUUCAUGUUAAUAUUGCCAUUGUACUUCAAUUAUUUUGUUCAUGCACUGAUCCCAAAGCCGAUUUACAUAGCCAAUCCCUACACAACAAUAAAGGAGAGUAACUAGGAAAUUUUCUCAGUACAAUACAAUUUAAGCAAUGUAUAAACAAAUCAUUAGCAUAAUGUAAUCAUAGACCUUGCUGUCAAACAAGCCUAAGAAUGCUCCUAAGCAUCAAAUCAAAAUAAAAUCUCAAAGCAUACAUUUCUAUGCAAAAAUAAAAAAUAAACCCUCAAACAUGCAUUCUAAGCAACAAACUAUAAAUAAUUUAUAAAUAACAUGCAUUAGGAUAAUAAUAUCCAUAAUGAAUCAUAAAAAUCAGAAUAAGGAAAGAAAUAUAAAAUCCUUAAAAAUUAAGAAAAGUCCAAAAAUUAGCAAGAUUAGCUUAUAAAACAUAUUUCACCAAUUUUUUAUCAAAUAAAACAUAAAAUAUCAAAAUAAAAUCACAAGGCAUGCGAAUCUAAUCAAGUAAUGAUAAAACCAGAAUUCAAAUAAUGUUUUAAACAUCAAUAAUUAAAAUUUCAGAACUAAAAUCAAUUAUAAAAAUAAAAAAAUAGUUUUAAUGUUAGAAUAUUCUAUUAAGUGGGCUUCAAUUAAUCGAUGACUUUAUGCUUUAUUAAAACAAGUUGACAAUUUAGUCUAAUAUAAAACAUGUGUAGACACCCCAUUUUAUCUGUUGGUUUUAAUAGUAUUCCUUCUAUUUCAUUUGUUUUUAUUGAGAGAUGGGUCUACUUUUUGUUGAAUUUUUCUCUCUUUGACCAAAAAGCUUGGUUUACAAAUUCUUCUCCAUGUUUCAAAUGUGUAUACAACAGCUACACAAUGACUUCUCUGUUCUCGUUAUUAUGGAGCGGCUACUAGAGUCCUCCAUGAUUAAUUUUAUGUUCCAAAAUCCUUAGGCCUUUUUAAUGGUGCCUCAAGAAGUGUGUUUUUUUUUUUUUGUAGUUUUCUGACUUACUGAAAAACUGAUGUUUCUUUCUCUCUAGAAAAAUUUCAAUACGUUUAUUCAUUAUAUAAAGAUAAAUAUAUCUCUAUUUUAUUGGGAUAGAAAGAUAAAAUAUCUUUGUAUCUUAACUGACUUGGGAACUUUAUCCCUGUGGAUAAUUACAUGAUAAUCCAUAUUUAAAUUUAAACAAAUUAAAUUCAAAUUUAUAUUCUAUCCCAAUUAUCUGAUAAACGUUUUUCCAAUUAUUUAAUUAAGAAAUAUCAGAGCAAUAUCUAAUAUUAAUUAAUUAUUUAUUUAUUAAUUGUCAUAAAUAAUUAACAUAGUUGUAAGCCAUAUGGACGCACCACAUUUAAAUGCAACAUCUCCCACUUGUACACAUUGGCAUCAACGUGUGCAACUCUCAAUCUAAUUCCUCCUGCAUCCACUAUCAUACAAGGAAAAUGGAACGUGCGACCAACAAGAAAAAGGUACUGGUGAGACGUGAGAUAUUAGGUUACCAUUUUACUAACAUAACACCGCUUGAGUUCUUGACAUACCCCAAAUCAUCCUAAUCACACAAGAUUUUGCAUCUUUGAUCCCUCAUACACAUAAGAGUUAUGCAGAAUCUCUUUAUGUGUCUAAACUCAUGAUUUUAUCUAACAACCAAUGUUUUACAACCACUCGGCAAUGAGUUAUAUACCAUGUAUGUUAGGUGUUUAAUAACUUUUACUUGGAUACUCAUGCCAAUCCAUUAAGAUUUGAGUACUUUUUUAGUCAUGUUUCACUAGAUCACAUCAUUCUUGAACCUUGAAUAUCAUGCUAAAGUAGCAACCCAAAAUCUCAAUUUUAUAUUAUAGAUCCAAGUUCCUUAGGGCUUACACAGUGAUGAAACAAGAAUCUAUUUAAUCACUCCCUUCGAUCCGUCGACUAAUAGCUCAUACAAUAUGAAAUGUAUGCUAUGGUGGAUUUUCCACUUAGAGUUUGUCACGUCAAAACAAUCAUAUAGAUCUCGGUCCAAUCCCUACAAAAAGGAUUGAAUUGAAUCUCCUAAGAUUUAAUUCAGUUAUGACUGGCUUCAUAGAGUGUGGGUAAUGUCCAUGUUCGACUUUUACCAGCCUUAUCGUGACUCUAAGUCAAGGUGACACUGCUAACAUCUUUGCUUACAUCUCAUGUGACAAGGAGAUCACAAAACACUUGGUACCUUGUGAUUAUUUAAGUCUCAUCCCACAUGCUACUACAGCGUUGGGGUGAUUACCUCAUGUGAAAAGAAUAAUCUAGAAAGCCAAGUGACAAGAAUUAUCUGUUUGUGUAGAAGUCUUAGUAAGCAAUAUACCAAGAGGGGGGAUGAAUUGGUAUUUAAAAUUUCUUUUAAAAACUAAAUAUAAAAAUCAAAACUUUGGAGACCAAAAAUUUCUUCUUGUAUCAAAAACAAAGUGUAUGAUUUUCAUAAACAAGUUUUCAAUAAUGAAUUGAAAAGAACAAGUAACAAAUCAAGAUAAAAUUUUUCUUCAGUUAAAUUCAACCAAGGCAUAAAUAAUGAAUUAAGGUAAAAUAUUUUUCUAAGCUAAAUGCAAGCAAUAAAUCACAAUGUGGAAAGAUUAAAAGCAAGACACAAGAUUUUUAUAGUAGUUCAACUUUCUCUAGUGCCUACAUCUACUAUCUUAAAACACCAAGGAAUUUCAAAUCCAUUAAGGGAAUUGAGCUUUUUAUGGGAUCAAGUGGAACCCUCACAAUAGCUUUUUAUGGGAUCAAGCGAAACCCUUGAUAAUUCUACUUAAUAGAGUUAUUUUGUCACAUUUUGAGUACUAAAUUGGCUAAUUUCUUGUGAUAUAGGUUCAGAAUUAGGUGUUUUUAGUUGUUUUUUUUAGUUUAGUUUAAAUCACGUCGGUUUGUUUUAAUUUAAGUUGUUUUAUUUAGUUUUAUAUUAAAUUGCUUUUAGUUUAGUUAGUAUUGAAUUAGUUUUAUGUGUUUGUAGGUGUACAAAUGAAAAGGCUUAAAUUGAUGAAGAAGAGUGCAAGAAUGGCCGAUGCUUCUCUCGUACAUGUGUUAUUAUUUUGAGCAUAAUUUUCAUUCUAGAGGUUCAAUUGAUGUGAUUCUUGAGUCAUUAGAAAGCUAAGAGAUAGGGCUACAAAUUUCAUGUUUACCAUUUUGCCUAGUUUAGCGUUUGAUUGCCAUGAUGAGAAAGUGAUAUGAAAUUUGCUCCCUAGUCUUCCUCGUUUUGUUAUAUUAAAAAGAAAAUUAAGCAACAAAAGAAGAUCGGAUUGGAUUGAAAAGCCGAGUGUAAGGUAAAAGUAGACCAGUGAAAAAUGACAAACCUUCAUCCUAUUAUAGCAUCAUACACAACUAGAGAACUAAGUGCAGAAUAUAAAGACAGGGAAUAAAACAUAACUAGUGGAAAAAGUAGAACUAAUAACUCAACAAAAUAGAAAAAUAACCAUUAAAAAAGGCAUAAACAAGAGAACAUUAAUGUAAACAAGUUGCGAAUUAACAUAAUUAGCUGUUCACAAGAAUAAAAUAGUGUAAAGUACAAGACAAUCCAAAAUUGGUCGCUAGUGACAAGUUAACAUCAUUACGUAAAAUCCGAAAGAGACAAUGCAAGACAAUGUCAAUGAUUGAUAAUGAUGAAAAUGGCAUGACAAUGUGGCCAUCGAAUCCAAGCAAAGUAGAAGGAUCUGAGAGUAGGUAAUGUCCCAUGUGAGAAGCUGAAGAGGGUGGUGGAAAGUGAGCUUGGAAUUGCUCCUUAAGUAGUUGCUAGUAAUAAAGUAACUCUCAGUUUUGAGCCUCCAAGGCAUCCAACCUGUUAACCACACGAGCAUCCAUAGAUUCCAUAAAAGAUAAUAUGCGAAAAUAGGCUUGCUUAUUGUCAAAGGCAGUGGACAUAGGUGGAAAGCUAGGGCCAACACUAAGGAUUAUGAACUUGCACUAAGCUCAGCAAAUGUGUCCUCAUUUCCUUCAUUCUUAACAAUAUUAGGUUCGUAGAUGGUUGUUUUUCAAACCCAAGGGUGGUUGACAUACACAAAUCCAAGUUUGUUGAUGGCAUGCUCAUUGAUUUUCGUGUGCACCACAUGAUGUUUUGGUGGGUCACACUUAGUGUUGAUGCCCAUGGAGUCAAUGACGGCACUAAUAGCCAGGCCAUAGAGAAGUGUCUUUCUAGACUUAUUUAUAGUUUUUAACAUAUCAUCAAGUAUGAACUUGACUAGGUUGACACGGUGCUUGGAUUUAAUACGAAUCCUCACUCUUGACGAUGGAGUAAUUUGUGUCAUGAGGAAGAAAAGUAUGAGACAUUAUAAGGUGAAAAAUAUGAUCAUAAAAGGAGAGACUCUUGAUACUAGUCAUAUUAUUGUCAUUAGUGGGAGGGUAGGUGUACACAGUGGACAAAAUCUUAUUGGAUAGGACCCCCUCGACAUAGCCUAGAUCCCUUUGACGGAUAUCAUAGUUUAAGACAAAAUUUAGGGUGUGUUAGGCGACCACGAUUUUCUUUCCCAUGACAUAGAUGUAGAAGCUAUCAGUGUGUUUUAUGGGUUCGCUAUCCUCGUAGUCUUGAAAUUUUGUGAUUGCAUUAAAGUAAAACACCCUAACUAAAUCGACAUAGUAAAUUCAGUUCAUUGACAGGUAAUUGAGCCAUCCUAGUUCUCGAAAAUUACCAAGAUAUGGAAAAUUAAUAUUUUUGAGAUAGUUAAAGUUGAUUACCUAUCUCGGCUUGACAUCUCACUUGGUGUAAUCUUUGUCGAAUUUGCUCUUUAGGGAAGGGAAAAAAGUUCUGCUUGAAAGAACUGAUGUCGUUGCGUGGUGUUGGUGGUGGUUGGAAAGAGGUGAAAGCAUCUGGGAUUGAGACUUGGUGGCAGGAGGUGGUGGAUUUAGUGUGUUUGGGUCUAGAGGCCAUUAGAGUGUUGAUUUUGUGAAAAAAAGAACUGGUAGAAAUAGUCAAAAAUGGCGAGGAGGACUUGUACUAGGACCAAUUUUGCCAAAAAAUCAAGGAAUUUUCAAAUAUUCAAGAAAAGAGAACCUAGGGUUUCAAAAUGGGAAUUUUGGGAUUUUGGGUCAAAUGUAGUGUUUUGGGGGAAAAAAUGGUGUUUUGAUCAAUAAAAAGUGGUUAGAAAUGAUUUAAUCAGACCAGAUAUGAAAAAGAACAAAAAAGGCUUGAGGUGUUGAGAGAAUUUGGAAGAAUGAGAGUCGGAAAAUGGGGAGAGAAUGAGUUGACAGACUCAUGAAACCCUAGAAUGUAUUGAUACAUGUACUCGUGUAUUACCACAUUCGUGGCAGAAUGUUUUGCUUUUAGUUACUGGAUGAAAUGUCUCGAUACAUUGUAUGAUGUAUCGACACAUGUUCUUGCAUGUAUUGAUGCAUAUGCCCAUGUAUCGAUACAUGUAACAUAGGAUUUUAAUUUUGACUACUGGACGAAUUGUAUCGAUACAAGGACAAAUGUAUCAGUACAUGUUCUUGAAUGUAUUGAUACAUGGGUUAACGUAUCAAUACAUUUACUUCUAUAGCCUUGAACAAAUUGAUUUUGGAUUAAAAAAAAUCAUGAUUUGGUCCAGACACUUGGUAUAACCAAAAUGAUGUGAGUUGUUGAUUUGAAAACAAAGUUUGGAACCAAUGCAAGUGAAAUUUGGACAUUAAAUCAGGAUUUUGGAAAUAAGAUUUGACUCCCUCAGCACUCUCCUGCAAACCUUGAGAAUUAGAUGGUUAUGGCAUGAAUGCAGAGGAAUGGAUAUGGAUGUGUUUACAUAUUUAACUGAAUAACAAUCAUACAUAAGAGUGUCAUAGACAUGCAGGUUUGAAUAGACACAAAGAAGAUUCAAGUUUCAUGCAUGAAGUCAUUUCAAACAUCAUCCGUAACUAGGAGCAAGAGAAACACUAUGCAUGUUAAUGGCAAUAUAGGUGCAAAAUAUGGAUGUAUACAUGCUUGUCAUAUCUAACAGUAGGCAAAAAUAGUAAUCAAAGGUAGCCACCAACUAGAGUUUUUUUUUAUAUGUAAUGGAUUUAUAAGACCUAAUUCACUUCUAAUUUGGUAGAAUCGUUCCCUAUCAAGUGCUUUUGUGAAAAUGUCAGCCAAUUGAUCAUUUGUACCUACAAAUUCAAGGACAAUAUCUUUUCUUUGAACAUGAUCUCUAAUAAAGUGAUGCCUUAUUUGCAUAUGUUUAGUCUUAGAGUGAUGAUGGGAUUUUUUGUGAGGUUUAUGGCACUAGUAUUGUCACAUUUUUUGGGAAUUCUUUCCAUAGCUAGUCCAUAGUCUUUUAAUUAUUGUUUCAUCCAUAUCACUCGAGCACAACAACUUUCGAUAGCCACAUAUUCAACUUCGGUAGUGGAUUGGGCUACACUAUUUUGUUUCUUUAAAAACCAUGAGAUCAACAUACUACCUAAAAAUUGACAUGUACUUGAUGUGUUCUUUCUAUCUAUUGUACAGCCACCAAAAUCAACAUUCGAGUAUGAGUGGAGAUCAAAAGUGGAAUUCUUUGGAUACCAUAUUUCUAGGUUAGAUGUGUCUUUCAAAUAUCUAAGAAUUCUUUUGACAACACUUAACUGUGGUUCUCUAGGAGAUGAUUGAAACCUAGCGCAUAGACUAAUGCUAAAGCUUAUGUUCAGUCUACUAGUAGUGGGAUAAAGCAAGGAACUAAUCAUAGAUCUAUAGAGUUUUUGGUCAACGAGCAUACCUUUUUCAUCCUUAUCAAGCAUUAUUGAAGUACUCAUAGGUGUGUGAUAUGUUCUUGUGCUAUCCAUACCAAACUUUUUGAGCAUAUCUUUUAUAUACUUGGCUUAACUUAUGAAUCUACCAUCUUCUUUUUGUUUAAUUUGUAAUCCAAGAAAAUAAUUUAGCUCACCCAUCAUGCUCAUCUCAAAUUUUUCUUGCAUAUUCUUAGCAAACUCUUGUCAAAGAACCUCAUUAGUAGCAUAAAAAAUAAUAUUAUCAACAUAAACUUGCAUAAUUAAAAUGUCAUUACCUUUGCUUUUGAUAAAAAUAGUUUUAUCAAUCUUCCCUCUAUUAAAAUCAUUUUUGAUUAAGAAUUUGAUAAUGUUUCAUACCAACCUCUGAGAGCUUGUUUUAAACCAUACAAGGCUUUUCUUGAUCUAAAGACAUGAUUUGGAAAGGUUGGACUUUCAAAGUUAAGAGGUUAUUCAACAUAUACUUCCUCAUUAAUUAAUUCAUUUAGAAAAGUACUCCUAACAUCGAUAUAUCUUAAAGUUCAUAUAGCACACAAAGACUAAUAACAUUCUAAUUACCUCUAGUCUAGUUACUGGAGCAUAAGUUCAAUCAUACUCUAUUCCUUCUUCUUGACUAUAUCCUUUGGCAACUAACCUAGCAUUGUCUCUAGUUAUAGUUCCAUUUUUAUCCAUUUUAUUUCUAAAGACCCAUUUCGUCCCUACAAUUGGGUAGUCACUUGGCCUAGGAACUAAUUCCCAUACUUGACAUCUUUCAAAUUGAUUUAAUUCUUCUUGCAUGGCUACUAUCCAAUAGUCAUCAUUUAAAGCUUCAUCAAUGUUCUUAGGUUUAAUUUGUGAGAUAAAAGUAACAUAUUCACAAAUAUUUUGAACUUUAGCUUUAGUUCUUACCCCUUGAUUUGGAUCACCAAUGAUUUUUCUUUCAUUAACCUUUUUUCUUACCAUUGGAUAUCUAGGCUCACAUUCUUUAAUCAUUGGUUUAAUGUUUUGCUCUUCCUUUUGUGGUGCCUCUUCACUUGUUUUUGGAUCUUUCAAUGUUUAGUUCAAGUUCUUUAAUUUGUUCUUGAAAGAUACCUACAUCAUCAACACAAUUUUCCUUUAUAGAAGAGGGGUUAGAAUUAUCAAAUAAUACAUGAAUAGAUUUUUCAACAACUAAUGUCCUCCUAUUGAGUACUUUAUAAGCUUUGAAAGUCAAAGAAUAUCCUAGAAAAUUUUCUUCAUCACUUUUAGCAUCAAAUUUACCAAGGUUAUCUUUUCCAUUGUUUAAUACAUAACAUUUACAACCAAACGAAUGAAAGUAAACAAUGUUGGGUUUCUUUCCUUUAUAAAGUUCAUAGGGAGUUUUCUUCAAAGUUGGCCUAACCAUUACUUUAUUUAUGAUAUAAAAUGAAGUAUUAAUGGCUUUGGCUAAAAGUAUCUAGGUAAAUUAUUUUUGCAUAGCAUGGUUCUAGCCAUUUCUUCUAGAGUCUUAUUUUUUCUUUCCACUACUCCAUUUUAUUGUGGAGUCCUAAGAGCUAAAAAAUUAUGGAUAUACCCAUUUUCUUCGCAAAGUUACUCAAAACUUAGGUUCUUUGUUAUUUUGUACCCUUGCUCAUUUUCAACUAUUUUGUAAAAGGAAGUGAAGAUUUUUAAAGCUUCAUCCUUGUGAGCAAGAAAGAAAACCCAAAAGAAUCUAGUAUAGUCAUCCACAAUUACUAAUCCAUAAUUUUUUCAACCUAAGCUAGUGGUCUCAGUUGGUCCAAAAAGAUCUAUGUGAAGCAAUUGUAAGGCGCUAAUAGUGGUUACAUCCUUUUUGGAUUUAAAUGAGCUUUUCUUAUGUUUGCCUUUAGCAUAAGCAUCACAAAGUUGAUCAUUUUCAAAGUUUUGCUUAGGAAGCCUUAUCACAAGAUCUAGAGAUAGUAGUUUUGAAAUUGUGUUCAUGCUAGCAUGUCUUAGUUUCCUAUGCCAUAGCCAACUAUCCUCAUUUUUUUUAGCCAUAAAACAUAUAUUGUUAGAAGAUAAGUCAUCCAAGAAAACAACAUAUGUAUUACCUUAUCUAUGUCCAACAAAUAAAGUUUCAUUUAUUUUAACAUCAACAACAUGACAAAUUAAUGAUUCAAAUAUAACUCUAAAACCUUAUUCACAAAGUUGACUCACACUUAACAAAUUAUGUUUAAGACCACUUACAAAUAAGGUAUUUCGAUUUGAGAGGAGGAAUUUUGAUCAAUGGUACCAAUACCUUCAAUGUGACUUUUUGAGUUGUCACCAAAGUUUACAUUUACUCCUUUCUUUGGUCUUAAUUAUUUGAAGAAUUCCUUAGUUUUGGUCAUGUGUCUAGAGCAUCCACUAUUAAGAUACCAUUUUCCUUUUUCUUGUGUUCUUGACUUUAAGCAAGUGCGCUCUUCUUACAAAGAACAAAUUCAAACAUUUGACUUUGGUACCCAAAUUUUCUUAGGUCCAUAUGAGUUAGUGUCUUCGGUUCCUUUUGGAACCCACUCCAAUUUUACCACCUUACCAUGUGGAGGUUUGGUUCUUUUUGGAACCCAUACACUUUUGAUUUUCUUACCUCUAAAAGUGGUAGUUCUCAAAGGAUAAGAAUGUGUUGAAUGUCAUACUUUAUGACAAUAAAUGCAUUAGGUGAAUAAGCCAAGUUUUUCACUUUCUUUAACAAAGAAAUUUUUAAAAUGAGUUUCUUUUUUAGUACCAUCAUAGCCUAUUCCUUUUUUGUCAAAGAAAGCUCUUUGUGUUUCUAACAUGUCUUUUAAUUUUUGUUAACUCAUGUUGAAUUUUGAAAAAGUAGCUGUUGUUGAUUUCUCACACAAGUGCACAUAUCGUUAACAAGUAAUAUAGUAAUGAAGCAGAGUGUCGUUCCCACAAAGAUUUGUUUAAUUCUUACUGUUAACUAUUAAAAUUAUAACACCCUAAUUUUAUCCAAACAAUUAAAAUAAAAAAGAAAACUUAAAACUAAUAAACUAAAACUAAAAUUAAAUAGUAAAUAAAACUCACUUAACUACCAGACCUAAGAUUAUGAUAUCCCUUAAUACUUCAUCUGAUUAUUGUCUCUCUCUCUCUUUUAACUCAGUUUAAUGGAUUAAGUUGCUAACCUAGAGUCUUAAAUUAUUUACAAGUCUUUGUCAAGUAUCUCAUAAAAAUACCUCUCCCAAUUAAUUUACUAUAUAUCUAUGCAAAUUAAAUUGAAGAAAAACUCAUUAAGUUCAUGCUUUAAUCCUGGCUACAUAUGGCUUAUAAGUGUGUGUCUACCCUAUAUGCAAAUCAAACCACCUAAUCAACUAAGUGUAUUCGAUCAUAUGUUAUUAUAUUCAAGGUCUACCUAAGUCUCCUUCGUCAAGGUUUAACCUAGGUUUCUAAUUCAAAGCAUUAAGAAUAAAAUAAAAAAAACAACUUAAAUCUAUCAAACAUAAGUAAAAGAGAGAUAAAUAAUUUAGACUACAUAUUGAGUUCAAUCAUAAUCUUAGAUUAACAAUUUAGCUCCCCAUCAAGUCAUACGUCAUUAUCAAAUAAAGUUUAAAAAAUAAAAACAAACUAAGAAAAUAAAAGAAUAAUAAAAAAGAUAAAACUCAAGAAUUAUAAUCUUGAUCUUCCAAGUCUUCUUGAAUCCUUCACAUUCUUCUUAGCUUCAAUGACUAUGUGGCUUGAUUCUUAACUAUCAAUCUGGUGUUUCGUUCUCUUCUUUUUUUAAAGUUUUUCGAAAGGUUGUUUUUAUAGUCUUUUGAAGUUAGGCCAAGUUGGUGAAGAAAAAAGUCAAUUCCAAUAAGGAUUUCCUCAUCAGACUAUGCGGGUCAUGACUUUAAACAAUUAAUUAAUAGAAAUCAUAACUGUUCUUGUCGCGACCCGAAACCUCAUUCGGGCCCAUGACAACCGCUGCGACGUCUCGAUUUAUACUUAUUACCCAAAAUGCCAAUCGGAACCCCGCAAGGCUUACGUAUUAGUUUCUUUCCUUUCUUGUGAGUAAUCAUUGUUAAACAUUCCGUUUUAAACAAUUACCAGUCGUUUUCGGCUCAAGUAAAUCAAAAACAAAAUUAUUUUAAAAAGAUUUAUAAACAAAUAUUACUAUUCAAAAUAUUGAUUAAAAUAUAGCAUUUUUAUAUAAAACAAUAUUUAUAAAAACACGUGUAAGUAAAAUAAAUUCAUACAUACAAUAAUUUACAAAGUUAUAAUGUACAAAAAUAAUUACAAUGACAAGUGACCCAUAAAUACACCAAGUGUUGGUGAUAGUAACCUACUGUCUAUAAAAUAGAGGGGUCAACUGGAAUCCUCGGCAAAAUUGAGUAUCUACAAGCUACCACAGUCCUGAAAUAUUUGGAAAGGAGGUGGGUGAGAUUUUGCAAUCCCAAUUAGUAAAUAGACAUUAUUAUAAAUAUCUAAAGGCGAGUAAAAUGGAGGCUAGUUUAAACAACAAAUCACAAACCAUUUCAUAAGGUUUUUAAUUUAUUUCUUAAACCAUAAAAUAUUUGUAAUUUACCAAAACAGUUGUUAAGGAUCAUGACUUUUAUUAUAAACAGGGCUCAAGCCAAAAACUAGUCCUCGGGGAUACCUUAGCCGAGGCAUCUAACCGAGUCCACCAAGGUUGUUAAGAUAUUUACAUGUUAAACACAUGUUAGUUUUGAAAACAAGCCGUUCCUUGGAGUUGGCCAAGUUACACAUUCACGUGGGGGUUCGACGUGAAGUGAGCUCUAACACUACCUUGGGAGUUACCCUCCUCGCCUCUACAACCGGAGUAACUAUAUAAUCGAGUUCAUCGUGCCCCUCUAAUAGGCAGUCCACGGAAACCCGUCACUGCAGUGACUAAACCCAUCAACUUUAAUAAAAUUUCGAUAGUAUAACGUGGCUUUUAUUUAUUUACCCAGCUUGCGUAGUAAAAGACAGCUUACAUAUUUCCAAUGCAAUUAUAAAAUAUAGCCACACAUACUCAUAUAUCAUAAGCCAUUCAUAGGAAAAUAUAUUUUUCAAAACAAUUGGCAGCCUCCAAUUACUCAAUUUCAUGAUAAAAGGUUUCUUAUUUCAGAUAAUCAACACAAUAUAUUUAUUUGUCACAUUUAUUUCUAAAACAUCAAAAGUCCCAUUUUAAUCUCAUUUUUGUUUCAUAAAAUACAUAAAGAGCAUUUAAAAAUAAACUCUAGAUAAUUUACAAUAAUAAUAGGUUUACUCACAGUUUUUGAAAACUAAAUUCGGGUACUCCAACUAUUACUCCUCGGGUGCGAUUUCUUUGCCCUUGCCAAAGGAUUUGCCACCUUGACAAAUUGCACAAUUAAGAGGUUUACUACCUUGGUACUAAACCAAAAUAAACUAAUUUAUACUACUAAUGCAUGAUAUGAAGUGCAAAAUGUCUAAAUUUUGCCUAAACGCGGUAUUAGCCUAUUUCGGUAUUUUACCCGAUAAAUCGAUAUACGCGUCCGUUUAAACUCCAAAUUAAUUUUUUUCAGUUUCUAUACCUCAAUUGCACCCAAAUUGACUUAAUGUCUCUCAGUGUGGUGCAAAUUAUCAGUCUCGAUAGGAAAUUACAAAAAUACCCCUAGUGGGUAAAAAUUCGUAUUUUUGCUCCGAAAAUUCACAUUAUUUUUCUAGGCUCAUAAUUCAUCAUUAUUCAUCAUAAUUCCUCAAAUAAACAUCAAGAUCAGCAGCCAAUAUUUCCCUAGAAUAUUUGGCAUAAUGGGUUUCAAUGGGAGAAAAUUAUUUCUCUAGCUUAUUUUUGCUAUAUUUCAAUAUAACCUAACUAAAAUCACUUAAUUCAAUUAAAAUCAACCAAAACUCAAGCUCAAAACUCAUCCAUGGAGGUUUGGCCAGCAUGGGUGUCCAUACCCACUUUCUAAUUUUGCAUGGAAAUGAGAAAAAAAUGCAUGGGUAGUGAAAAUCACAAGGAAAAUCAAUGAAAUUUACCUUUUUAAUGCUUGAUUUCUUGAUUUCUCUUGAUUUUCCCCAAAUUUUUCAGCUAGGGUUCUUAUUUCUUUUCCCCCUUUUCUCUCCUGGUUUGGACAGCUUGAAGAAGAUGAGAAUUCUGGAAUUUUGACCUUUUUAAAGGCUAAAAUAAUAUAAUAUUAUUUUAUUCAUUUUUUUAAUGUUUUAUUAAUUCCUUAGAUUCUAGUCAUCCAUUUGUUUCCAAAUUUUCACCAUACACUUGUCCCACAUAUCCAUAGCUUAGAUAAAAUUCUUAGACUUAUCCAAAGUCUUGGUGGAGUAAUUUUUUUUGAAAUUUACACUUUUGCCCCUGUAAAAGUCAAAAAUUACAUUUUUGCCCCAAAAACUGAAAAAAUUACCCAUAAACAUAUUUUUCAUCCCUUAUACUCAUACCAUUCUCCAAUUUGUCAAAUUUGAUUUAAAUUCUCUCAAAAUCUCAAAUUUUGUCCACAUGUGGUAAAAUUAUGAUUUUACCCCUACACUCCAUAAAUCACCGGAAUUAAACUUUUUCACUUCCUAUCAUUAAAUUAUACUCCAAAUAGUUAAUCUUGGUAAAAAAUUUCACUCCAUGAUCAAAUUAUUAUCUUAGGUGGGAAAAUGACGAUUUUGUCCCUAAACAUCAAAAUUUUCAAUUUUUUCCCAAAUGAACCCUCGAACUUCGAACAAUCAUUUUUAGUCAUUCCUGGACUGUAAAAUAUUAAAUUUCAUCUUACGAUUCCUAUUUGAACUAGUUCGAGGUUAAAUCAACUCAAGUGUACUGUUAGGUAUAAUACCAGAUUUUGUCUAUUCUUAGGGACUUUUCUAGCGUAAUAACAUGAUACUCAGUGCAUGUAUGUCAUGACAUGUGUUUAUAGGGUCGGGUUUUACAGUUCUAGGACUGUUGCAGUGUAUCAACUUCGACAAGAGUUUUAAUUACAUUCCAAACUAAACUGGCAAAGUGGUAAACAUCAAAGUUGUAUAUUAUUCUCUUAUCUUUCCAAUGAUUUAAGAAUCAUCUCAUUUGGAGUUCUGUAGGGAGAGUUAUGGUCAAAAUACCAAAAUAUAUGGAGUGCAAGUUUGCACUUUGAAAUUACUUUCCUUCUUCCAUUAAAAUUAUUCUUUCAUCAAACACCUACAAAAGCACAAAUAAAUCAAUAACAACCUAUCUUAACCACAUUAACACCAAAUUAAGCAUAAAAUUAACUAAGAUUAGAUUGACUCACUUAAAUUAACUAAUUUAAAAUAAUUAAAUAAAACCUACUAAUCUCUAUACAUUGCUACAAGAAUUAAGCUAAAUUACUAUUAAAAUUAAGCUCAAAUAACUGUAUAUUAGAGAGUUAUCAGUAGCAUGCAAAUUCUCAUUCUUCUUUUCAGCUCAUUUCUCUCAAUUUCUUAGUCUUUGACUAUAUUUUUUAGUUUCAUUUUUGUCUUGACUAAGAACUCAUUUUUUACUUUAAGCUUGGAUAUGAUGCUCUUGUAUUUCAAUGUCUUUUCUUCAAAUAAAAAAAAAGUCAUCAUAUGCAUUUUGUAGUUCAUCAAAUGAGUAUGAGUCUUGAUCUAAAGUGCAUGAACUAGAAUCAUGAGAGGUAGAGCAUACCUUGGAGUCUUCAAGUGCCAUGAAGCAAAGGUUGGCAACUUUUUCUUCUUCAUCUUGAGAGUCAUCACUAUCACUCCAAGUGGCAACUGUGGCUUUUUUCUUGAAGUUCUUUAGGGCACUCUUCUUGUUUGGACAUUCAUAUUUAAUGUGUCCCGAUUUUUUGCAUUCAUAACAUAUCUAGUGGUAUUUGCUAUAUUUUCUUUUGGCAUAUCUCUUUUAGAAAGUCUCCAACCUCUAUAGUUUCUUCUCAUGAAUUUACUAAACCUUUUGGCUAACAUGGCUAUAUCCUUAUCUUCAUCACUCUUAUCUUUUGUGUUCUUCUCAUUUUCUUCAAUUGUGGAUUUUAAGGCUAUCCUAUUCUUCUUAAUGUCUUAUUUCUUUUCAUCAUCUAGAGCACUUUCAUGUUUUAAGGUCAUCUCAUAGGUGAGUAGGGAUCUUAUAAGUUCUUCUAGUUUAAAAUCAUUUAGGUUUCUUGCUUCCUCUAUAGCUAUCACUUUCAGUCUCUAUGAUUUGGGAAGACUAUAAAGUAUCUUUUUGACUAAUUGAGCAUUUGGGAAGUCUUUACCUAAGGCCUUUAAUCCUCUAACUAUGUUUGUGAAUCUUUCAUACAUUUGAUUUAUUAUCUCACUUUCUUUCAUCUUCAAUAGCUCAUAAUCAUGCGAGAUAAGUCCUAUUUUAGAUUCCUUCACUUGAUUUGUUCCCUCAUAAGUUGUUUCUAGGGUAUCCCAAAUUUGUUUAGCAGUCUUACUUAUGGAUACUUUAUUCAAUUCAUUAGCACUUAGAGAACAAAGAAGUGUAUUGAAGGCCUUGCAAUUUUUUUUGUAUUAACUUUUUUUCUUUGUCAUCCCAUUCUGUCCUAGUUCUUACAAUUUUCUCUCCACUUACUUCUUUAGUGGGAACAUAAGGAUCAUCUAAAAUGACAUUCCAAACAUCAAGAUCUACUGAUUGAAUAAAAAUCUCCAUUUGUUUCUUCUAAUAAGGAUAGUUUGUACCUGAGAAGAAUGGAAGUCUUUGAGUUGAAUGUCUUUCACCAAAAACAGCUGAGGUGGAUUCUAUCUUGAUGUGUUGAGCUUUGCUUUCAGAUCACUCAAGGUUGUUAGACCUACAAAAUUAAACACUAGCUUUGAUAAUAAUUGUUAGUGCAUUAAGCUUAAUGUGAUUUAAUCAAAGAAAAGGGUGAAUUGGAUUAUUUUUGUAAUUCUUUAAAUCUUUUUUUUUUAUUUUUGAGAAAAUGAGGUUCUACUAGACCAAAUUUCCACUUUGAAGAUGAUCAAGACAAAUGAUUUCUUGUAAGUUAAGAGAGUUUGAAAAGCACAAAUGAAAUUAAAGAGAUAAGAAGGAAGGAAAAUCAACAUAACAAUUUUAUAGAGGUUCGACCUCCUUGCCUACGUCCUCUCCCUUAAGUUUAUUAAGGAUUUUAAAACCACCAUUGAAUCAAGUUUGAUACAAUGCCUUUUGUGGAUUAAGCACAACCUUACAGUGCCUUUUAUGGUUAAAGCAAACCACUUUACCUUUUCAAUUAGUUAAGGUAUAACACUCAAAUCAAUAAAGAAACAAAUAAAAAUGCAGUUGAGAUGUCUCUGAAAAACUAAAUAGCAAAUUAAGUACAAUUUUUGGUGAGAAAUGAAAUGAGCAAUAAAGGUACUUUUGAUGGUACAACUUGAAGACUUAAAUGCAAGAAGAGUAUAAAGAGUUGUUAAAUUUUAGUUGAAAUCUUCUUUUGAAGUUGUGUUUUAAAAUCUUUCAACCUUCGUAAAUGCUGAAGGAGCUUGUAUUUAUACUUGUUGAGGCUUCAAAGGUAGCUGGGAGUGCAUUUAAUGUGAAAAUAACAGUUUUUCUCUUCAUUCAAAGCUCCAAUGGUCAUAUUGUCUCGAUACAUAUGUGAAUGUAUCAAUACAUUACCUUUUUUAUUUUUGAAUUCCUGCUAUGAUAUAUCGUCUAUCGAUACAUUUGCCAAUGUAUCAAUACAUUUGAACUUGCUUGCAAUGGUUUUGACAUUUUGUAUAAAAUGUAUCGAUACAUUUGCCAAUGUAUCGAUACAUUUGAGACAGUAAGUAUUCCGUUGAAAGUGUAUCAAUACAUUUAACUAAUGUAUUGAUACUUUUGAGGCAAUGAGCAUUCUGUUGCAUUUCUAUCGAUACAUUUGAGAAUGUACCGAUAGAUUGAGUUUAACUUUUUGAAUUUUGACUUAUCUCAAAAGCAUGUAUUGAUUCAUGAAGAACAUGUAUCGAUAGAUUUAUGCCAGAAUGCAUUUUUGAAAGUGCUUUGUCCUUGUUUUUCUUGUCAAACUCAUUUGAAAGUGUUAAGGGAUGUCUAAACUUGAUAUUCCAAUAAUUAAAUGAAUUUUGAUCAUUUUCUUUUAUCAUUUCAAAAUACGGGGAUUGAUUUGAAAGCUAUAGAGUUAACACAAACCAUGUCCAAUAGGGUCUGGUUUCUCUUCACAAACACUUUAUUAUGUUGUGGAGUACUAGGUGGAGUCCAUUGUGACAGAAUCCUAUGUUUUGUCAGAUAAUCCAAAAACUCCUAGUUAAGAUAUUAUCUUCCUCAAUCUGAUUUAAGAGUGAAAAUACUUUUUCCAUUUUUUUCUCAACCUCAGCCUUAAACUCUUUAAACUUUUCAAGAGCUUCAGAAUUAUACUUUAUUAGGUACACAUAACCAAAUCUAGAAUGGUCAUUUAUAAAUAAAAUGAAAUAUGAAUAACCUCCUCUAGUUGGUGUGUUUAAAGGUCCACAUACAUUUGAAUCGAUUAGCCCUAGGAGUACACUUGCUCUUUCACCAUUUCUAGUAAAGGAAGUCUUAGUCAUCUUACAAAAGAGACAAUAUUCACAAGUUCCAUAUGAUUCAUAAUCAAAUGGAUUUAGAAACUCUUGUUUAAGCAAUUUGGCUAUCCUUGUCUCAUUGAUAUGACCAAGUCUACAAUGCCAAAUGUAAGUUUGACUUUGAUUAUCUUUUCUUACUUUCUUAACAUCUAUAUUGAGCAUUGGGCUAUCAAGAUCCAUAACAUAAAGUCCUAUAUGACAUGUUGCGGAUCCAUAAAAGAUAUCAUUAGAAUGACAAUGCAACGAUUGUCCUUCAUACUAAAUUUGAAAUCGUCAUUUUUAGCGACGUAUGAAACCGAAAUGAUGUUUCUAGUUAAUGUUAGUACAUAGUAGCAUUCUUUUAGCUCUAGUAUUAUGCCCAAAGGUAAAAAGAGAUCACAAAUCCCAACGGCAAUUUACCACAUCCCAUUUUUAGGACAUGACUGGCUCAUGGACCUAUAUGGGUAUGACCCACUAGGCCCAAGCAAGCUUUGACUAACAGUGCAUGGGCUUGUCAUCCAUCACAUUCAUUUACAUUUCAUUCACAAAUACAUUACCACAUCAUUACGGAACUUCUUGACUUAAUGUGUGGAAUCUCAUCCAUGCAUACAUAGAAUAUACAAGUAAAUCAACACUCUUACAUCAUUAUGGAACUUCUCAACUUAACGUGUGUUCUAUAUUUCAUGCAAAAUUCAAUAUUUACUAUUUUAUUAUUUGUGGUUUGGCACACAUCCCAUGCCCAUAUCGCUAUAGUCCUUUCGCCAUAGUCUCAACAUUCUCAUAUGCAUCCAUUUCCAAGGAAAAACACAAUAUUCACAAUGACUAACAAAUAAGAGUAUAUAAAUACUUAUUACAUAACUAAAUCCCAUUCAAGUAUUAACAUUUAAAAGACUUGACUCUACAAGUUGCACAAUAGUGACACUAGAGGGCUAGAAAAAAGGCUCUAUCACACUUACCAAGUAUGAGCUGGGAUACUACUCCUUAAGUUGCUUAGCCAAGCAAGCUACCAAUCUGUAAAACAAAAUAGGGAAAAAUAAUGUGUGAGUCACAAGGACUUUAUGAGUGGAUAUGGGGAAAGGGAUAAGCCAAGGGGGAAUAAUUUUGUAAUAAACCAUAAAUUUCUAAAUAACAUGAUAAACAUACAAAUCCUUUCAACAGUCAUGAAUGCAUUUGAUAACGUUAAAUGCAUAAAAAUAAUGUCCAUAUACAAGCUCAACUUUCAAACAUUUGAAGGAGAUAACAGAAGGUAAACCUUAACCCUUCAAACUUAACAACAAACAUUCAAAUCAGGAAUGUGUUAUUCAUUUAACAACUCAUCUCAUUAUUUCCAUCUAAACACAAUAAUUAUCAAUCAACAAACACAAGCGUCACAAUACUCAAUAUGCAAACAACACGUAAAUACAUGCCAUAGCAAAUUAUGGAAGAAUGGGAACUUUCGCGUAACUCAUCCUUGUGGUAUUCUCUCCCCCACAUCGAGAUUCAUAAAGAGGGGAAAAGUGGUACGGUGCCCAACGUAGCCCUGUGUUAUUCUUACCUCCACACUGGGACUAGUGUGAGACCUUGUCAAGCUCGAUUAAAAGAUGGUAUUGUACCGAGUGGUACAACUAAGUUAAAUCGAGCCUUGAACUAGUUCAAAUAGAAAUUCUAAGAGGAAUUUGAAAACUUUCAAACCCACAAAAUGGCUUAGAAUAGUGAUUCGGAGUUCAAGGUCCAGUUUAGAGUCCAUUAGGAAAAUUGACCGAUUAGGGAUAAAACGGUCAUUUUACCAUUUGAUGAUUAAAUGGAGAUUUCUAGCCAAGAUUUGAUCACAUUUGACCACGAAUAAUUAUAUGAAAUAUAAUUAUGAUUAUCUGAGUAUAAAAUGAUGUUUAGUAGUGAAAAUUUAUGAUUCUCGGUAUUUUUAGAGCACAAGGGCAAAAUGGUAAUUUUGCCACUAGAGGACUAAACGAGAAUUUUUAUAAAACAAUUUUUGCCCCAUUUGGUUAAUAUUGAUCAAUAUUAGUGUUAUUUGAGGUUGAAAAGUAGAAAUAAUGUGAUUCCGGUACAUUUCAAAGUAUAGGGGCAAAAUCGUAAUUUUUUCACCUCGGGGGCAAAUCGGUAAAUUUUUCACCCCAGCACUUGUCAAGACCAAGGGAUUUUAAUUGUGGUAGGAUUGGAUAAAUACCAGAAUAUUUGUGGUGGAAAAUUAAGAAGAAAAAGUCAAAAAGUUAAAAAUUGGGCCAAUAAGCAUGUGACACAUGGCAUGCUUGAUUAUUUUAUUAUUUUCUAUAGAAAUCAGCCCAUUAAAUCCCCAAUUCCCUCACCAUAUUCGGCCUAGGCAUCCAGCAACAAGAAAAAAGGAAGAACAAAAGGAAAAACAAGAAAACCUAGGUGGAAAUUCAAAGAAAAAGUGAAGAAAUCAAGGAAACAAGCUAGGUAAGUUAGAAUUUCUUUAAUUCUCCUUGAUACCUAGCUUACCCAUGCUUUUGUUCUUGAUUUCCAUGGUUGAAUAUUGAGUUAUCAUGAUGAAUUCAAUUCUGAAAAAUGGGUAUGGAAGAGGAAUUGUUGUUGGAAUAAUUUGAUUUUAGACUAUGUUAGUGUUUAGGGAUAGUUAAGCAUGGUUAUGAACAAAAACACAAAAGAAAUAUUCAAUUUCUCUAGGGUUCCUUGUUGGUCGAACCAUGAGGGCUGAAUAUCAAUGGGGGAUUGUUUUUAUUUCAAGGAAAAUGGCUUGGAAAAUGAUGAAUUAAGGUGAAACGGUUAUGUAGAAAAAUUUUUGGUGCUAGUGCACCAAAUGACCGAAUUUUUCUAUAAGGAACUGUGAGGGUUCUAAUGCUGAAUUUGGCUUUAUUUAAAUGGUAUGUGGUAAAUUAAGGUAUUAGAGGAGAAAUGGAUUAAUUUGGAGUGAAAUUGGAUGCAUUGGCCAAUUUAUCGGAUGAAAAAUCGACUUAGGCCAAUACCGGGUCUAGAUGGCUACCCGUGCAUUUUUCAUUUCAUAUCAUAUAUAUAUCGAGCCUGAAAUAGCUUAUGACUGUUAGACACAAUUUAAUUGGAAUAUGUGUCAUGGAUUAUGGCUAGGUGGUGAGCCAUUGGAUACGGGUAAAGGACUGUACCCGCGGACUGAAAAUAGGAGUAUUUCUACUCCUAAUACCGGUGAGUGGACUUGCAUUUCAAACUUGUUUUGGGGAAUAUGAAAGAUUCUAUCCAACUUGUCUUAGAAAAUGUACCUUGGGAACAAGCUUUUAGUAAAAUGAUUUUAUAUUGUGAAAAUGUGUUAUACAAUGGUUUAUGUGUUAUCACAAUAUGAUAAAAUGCAUGAUAUGCAUUAGACGCUUCUUUACAUGUUGAUUUGAACUCGGCUAUGUGCGAGUAGGAGUGCACAUAAGCCGUUGCUGACUCGACUAUGUGCGAGUAAGAGUGCACAUAAGCCGUUGCUGACCCGGCUAUGUGUGAGUGGGAGUGCACAUAAGCCAUCGUUGCCUCCGUAGCGAAGGGGGGGAUGCUCCGUGAUCUCCCACCCCUAGUGACAAACGUGGUAUCAGAGCAAAGGGAAAGAUAACCCUAUUCUUGGGAACUCUCGCAUAUGAUCUGUGGCGAAGUAUGACUCUCCGCCCAGGAGCUUGGGAGAGGAGGGAAGGGACUGCUCCGUUGCUUCGUGAUCCGGAGUGAAGUGCACCUCUUGUCGAGUGCUCUGAUAGGUACCAUGGGAACUCUCGCAUGUGAACAGGGGUGAACCAUGAAUCUCCACCCAAGGGCUUAUAGAGGAUGGGUGCUUCGUGAUCUCCCACCCUAUGAGUGCUUUGAUAGGUACUCGUUGUUGCCUCCGUAGCGAAGGAGGGGGAUGCUUCGUGAUCUCCCACCCCUUAGUGACAAUAGUAUAAGUCGUUGCAUAUGAGAUGAUGAUGAUGGGAUGGUGUGCAUGAUGAUGAUGAUGGGAUGGUAUGCAUGUUGAUGAUGGGUAUAUGGUUGUAAAUGCAAAUAUGUAAGCAUUUGUUUUGUUGAAAUUUGGAAGUUUACAUGUGUUACAUGUUGCUAUUGUUAUUUUAGCAAGAUGACUUGUUUUAAGGGAAAAAGGAGACUUUUUCCUUGAUGUUCUGGUUCUCACUGCAGCGAGAAUGAAGUUCGCUACAGUGAGAAACUUUCUGUCCAUUUUGCUAACUUGUGGGUUUUUGCCAUAUUUCCCAUUUCUUUGGUAGCAUCGUUGAGCAUGGAUUUUUGUAAAGUGAUUUACUUAUGUGGGGUUUACAUGAGGGGUUUAAAGGAGCUAAAACAAUUGCAUGGUUUUGAGAAAAUGAAUGCAUCAUGAUUUCGAUAAACAUUCCUUAUGGUAUGCUUGUUCCCUUCUUGUUCACUCACUGAGUAUUGUACUCACGUUUUAUAAAAAAAAAUUCAUGUUUUCAGAUCAGGUGACUGUUGGACCCUAGAUCGAGGAGUCCCUGUAGUGCAUCUCUUGGGUAUGUGUCUGGCAUUCGAUAGUAAUCCCUUUUAUUGUAAAUGUCUCCGCUGGAAGUCAUGGGUCCUUUUGUAUUGUGAAUAUAAACUAACAAUGUGAAUAUGUGUAUGCAAUGUAAAUUGCUAAAUACAUGACUGGUAUAGUGCAUGUAUAUUAUUAUCGAUAAUGCCAUUGUGUUUUGGCUAUGUUCACACCCGGGAAAAAGUGUGUGUAUGCAUGAUAUGAUAAAUUUGUUAAGCAAAGGUAAAUGGAUAGGCUUGCUUGGGCUUAGUGAGCUAUGCUCAUUGAGCUCAUGCGUCGGUCAUGGCCCGAAAAAUUGGGUUGUGACAACUAGAGCCAAUCACAACAAAAUCAUCGAAAGUAGACACCUACUCAAUCCACUUUACAACAAAACCAUGGGAAGUGGAGACCUACUCAAUCCACUUUACCAAAAAUCUUGGGAAGUGGAGACAUACUCAAUCCACAUUAGAACAAAAUCAUGGGAAUGUGGAGACUUUCUCAAUCCACAUUCAUAGCACUCAUAUGCAAGAACAAUUCAAUCAAUCACAAUCAUUAUCUCAACUAAUAUCUCGUACUUGAUAAUUCUAUUAUAUAGAGUUAUUUUGACACAUUUUGGGGGCUUAAGUUGCUAGAUCUUUGAGAUUUUAGAUUCGAUUGUAGCAUUUUAAGUGUUUUUCUAGUUUAAGUUUGAUUACAUGUAGUUAAUUUAAGUCAUUUUAGUUAUUUAUGUAUUUUGUUUUAAAUUACUUUAAGAGUAGUUAUUGCUGGUUUUUCUUAUUGCUUUUGUAGAAAAUUUGAUAAAAAAGGCUCAUUUGAUGAAAAUUCGUGCAAGUAUGGUGAUGGCUUUAUUUGUAUAUAUUUCGGUAUUUUGACCAUAUCAAUCUAUACAGAACUUCAAAUGAAGUGAUUCUUAGACCAAUACAACGUUAAGAGCAAGGGCUACAACUUUCAUGUUUUCAACGUUGCCCAGUUCGGAUCGCACCAUGGUCAAAAUGUUUGUCUAAGUUGGAGCACUGCAGUAGUAUGCAUGGACUGAACAUGAUGUGGUAUUGGUAGCAUAUCUUUCACUCCAGAAGUCCAAUUGAUGUGAUUCUUGAGCCAUUCGAAAGUUGAAAGAUAGGGAUAAAACUUUUAUGUUUAUUACUUUUCACAGUUUAGAUCCUAUCAAGGUGAAAAUCGAGUUUGACAAUGCUCGAUGGAUGCAGUUCUGCACAAGGCAGCGAGGUGACUAAGGUGGUGGUGUUGAGCUAUUCAUGGCCACGGUGCUGAAGGAACCACUGCUACAGCACAGGAAAUUUGUGGCUACGACACUGAGCUUGAGAGGGGCAUCAUACAAAAACUUGAGAGCAAGGUGUUGCGGCAUUGAAGAAGUAGUACCGUGGAACUAACAAAGUCUGUCACGGUGUCGCGGGGCUACCCCGAUUUUCUACAAAUAAAAAUUUGAUGGGAUUUUGGAAAUUAGGUUAUUUGGAGCUUGUUUAAGGGACCUUUUUCUAAGGUUUUAAGGGGGAGGCAGCAAGCAACUAUUUUGGAGAGAAGGGGCUAGGAACAAAGAAAGCAAACAAGAGAAUUUGAGAGAGAAUUGAGAUUGCAAAGUGUCAAUAAUUAGUUUAUUUCUCUCUUUUGUGUUAUUCUUAUUUUAUUAUUUUGAAUUCAUGGCUAAAUUUCUUUGGGCAUUAUUUUUAUUAGAUAUUAUGAGAUAAAUUAUCUUACUAGGAUUGUGGUGGAUUUCAACAUGUAAUCUGAAUAUUUGUUUCUCUUUUAUUUACUAUGAAUGGGUAUGGUUUUUAUUAUUCAAAUAUGUUCCUAAUACUUUUGAUUGCUUGGACAAUAGUUAAUUGAUUUGUGAAUCUAAUUGAGACUUGACAGAGAAAUUUUAGAUUGGACUACGGUUUGAAUAGUGUAUGUUCAUGUCGCUUAGGUGAUCUGAUUCAGGUAGAUACACGCCAAUUUCCAUUUAUAGCCAAAUUAGAACACUAGCUAAAUUAACCUUAUUCAAUUGAUUUCUAUAGACAUAUAGUGACCCAAUUAAGUUAGGUAUUUGUGGAAGCAUCUCGACGGAGACUUGUACAUAGCUUUGGAUUAUAGGUUAGUAAAACCAGUCAUGAAUGUAAAUAAUAAGAGAAGCUGAUAUCAGAUGAAGUGUUGAAUAAACCCAUAAUCCUUGGUUUUAAUAUAUUACCUUUCUCUAGUAAUUUUAAUUUUUGUUAGUUAAUUUAAUGCUUGUUUUAAUUUUGUUUUAAUUAAUUUUUUGAAAAUUUUAGUUACUUAAAUAAUAUUAAUUUGUCAUAAAUUUUAGUGCUUAGUAAAGAUUUAGUAAUAAAUCUCCAUGAGAAUGAUACUCUACUUCAUCACUAUAUUACUUGUUCAAUACGUAUACUUGUGUGUGCAAAAUUGACAACAAGUUUUUGGCACCAUUGCCGAGGAUUUUGUUUUCUUUGUUAUUUGCUAAUUUUAAAAUUUUUCAGAUUAUUCUUAAUUUAAGUUUUAUUUCUAUGUUUUGCAGUUGUGUUCAGCUGUUGUAUGAGAAGAGCAAACAACUUAGAGACUAUCCCCGUGUGAUCUAGAAAUUAAGUGAACAUUUUGCAGACUUUGAAGAGAGAAUCAACAAGGUGUUGCUAUAAUAAAUACAAUCGCUGAUUAAUAGGUGAACAGCAAAUCCAAAAGUGGGUAAUAGCUGACAAUCAUUGUUUAAGGGAUUAUGUUAUUCCUUUGGUACAAGCAAUUCCAUCAAGCAUCCGUAAGACAACUAUUCAAGCAAACAAUUUUGAGAUCAAGUCGACUAUUAUCACCAUGAUUCAAACCUUAGUUCAAUUUGGGGGCCUUCCAAAUGAUGAUCCUAAUGGCCAUCUAUCAAACUUCUUGGAGAUUUAUGAGACUUUCAAACAUAAUGGCAUCCUAGAUGAUGCAAUUCAUUUUAGGCUUUUUCCUUUCUCAUUGAGAAAUAAAACUAAAGCAUUGUUAAAUGUGCUCUCUAUUGGCUCAAUAACAACAUGGGAUGAUCUUGCUUGGAAGUUCCUUGCUAAGUUCUUUCCUCUGGCUAAGACAACGAAAAUGAGGAAUGAUAUCACAUCAUUCAUGUAGCAAGAUUCUGAAUCACUGUACGACGCAUGGGAAAGAUACAAAGAAUGACUUCGGCGUUGUCCUUAUCAUGGUCUUCCAAAAUGGCUUCAAGUGCAAACUUUCUACUAUGGUAUGAGUGGGUAGGUUCGAACCACCAUUGAUGUUGCUGCGAGAGGAGCAUUCAUGGCUAAAUCAAUUGAUGGGGCAUACGAUUUGUUGGAGGAUAUGGCCGCAAACAAAAACCAGUGGCCAACAGAGUGAGUAAUGCAUAAGAGAGUAGCUAGAAUUCAUGAUGUAAAUGCUUGUUCGGCAUUAUCCGCUCAAGUAGUUGUUUUAAAUAAAACUCUAGAAUCUUUUUGUACUAAUAGUGUGGAAAGUCCUUUUGUAGCUUGUGAGUAUUGUGGAGAUAAUUAUGCAAGUCAUCAAUGUCGAAGCUCAACAAAGACAGUGCUAUUUAUGGGUAAUAGACAACAGAAUAACCCUUACUUUAACACUUACAACCUAGGGUGGAGGAAUCAUCCCAAUUUCUCUUGGGCUAAUAAUCAAGGUUCAUCCUCAACUCCAAGGCCAAAUGCACCUCUAGGAUUUCACCAAUAAGCCGGCGCACCUAUUUAAGAAAAAAUCCAGUUGUGGAAAAUUUGCUAAAGCAGUACAUGACACAGAAUGAUAGCAUUAUACAAAGUUAAAUAGCUCUCAUUCAGUGUCAAGCAGCAUUAAUUCGAAACCUUGAGACUUAGGUUGGUCAACUUGCCAAUUUAUUAAACAACCGACCUUAAAGAACAUUGCCUAGUGAUAAAGAGGUGAAUUCAAGGGGAAAAGGUAAGGAACAAGUUAUGGCAAUCACCUUGAGGAGAAGAAAAGAGGUUGACAAUAGUUGUAGGCAAGUUAAUCUUCAAGAUAAGUUUAUUGAGAAUGAAAUGUUGAUUGAGGCAGUUUACAAGCAAAUUCAAGAGAAGGAAGCAAAGGCAACUUUACCACGACCACCUUUUCUUCAACGCCUUCAGAAACAAAAGCUUGAUAAGCAUUUAUAAAAAUUUCUUGAGGUAUUCAAAAAGCUUCGCAUUAACAUUCUUUUUGUAGAAGCUUUAGAGCAAAUGCCAUUAUAUGUGAAGUUUCUGAAAGACAUAUUGACAAAGAAGACGAAAUUGGAAGACUUUGAGACAAUUACACUCACUGAGGAGUGUAACGCAAUAAUCCAAAACAAGCUUCCACCAAAGCUUAAGGACCCAGGGAGUUUUUCCAUCCUUUACUCAAUUGGUAAUUUUAAUUUUUCAAAAGCUCUGUGUGAUUUAGGUGCUGGUGUCUUAAUUAUGCCUUUGUCUGUUGCUAGGAGAAUUGAACUGAGGAGAUUCAACCCACUACAAUCACCUUGCAACUAACUGACAGAGCGAUAAGGCACCCUUGUGGGGUGAUAGAGGAUGUCUUGCUUAAAGUUGGGAAGCUGUUCAUUCCAAUAGAUGUCAUAGAAUUUGAGAUGGAGGAGGAUCAAGAAGUUCUGAUCAUACUAGGACGUCCAUUCUUAGCCACUGUAAGUGCACUAAUAGAUGUAAAGGAAGACAGAAUAACUUUCAGAGUUGGAGAAAAGGUGGUUGCAUUUACUAUUUUCAAUGCAGCUAAAAGUCUUUCAACCAUAGCUCAUUGUUAAAGAGUGGACUUAGCUGAUAAAGGUAAAGGUAAUCCUACUCCACACCCUAUAAGUAAGCAUGCAUCAAUUCUAGAAUCAAAGCCACUACCACCACAGCUCAAAAUUAAAUAGUGUUUUGAUGAGCAUGAUUGAUAGCUCUAUGAUAUAGAGUUAUCUGGGCUUAAUUUUGAUAGUAAUUUAGCUUAGUUCUUGUAAUAAUGCAUAAAAAUUAAUAAGUUUCAUUUAAUUAUUUUAAAUUAGUUAUUUUAGGUGAGUCAAUCCAAUCUUAGUUAAUUUAUUGCUUAAGUUGGUGUUAAUAUGGUUAAGAUAGCUUGUUAUUGAUUUAUUUGUGCUUUUGUAGGUGUUUGAAAAAAGAAUUUUAGUAAAAAAAGGAGAGCAAUUUUGAGGUGCAAAUUUUUACUGUAUAUGUUUUGGUAUUUUAGCCAUAACGUUUUCUACAGAACUUCAAAUGAAGUGAUUCUUUGACCAUUGGAAAGGUAAGAGAAAAUGCUACAACUUUCAUGUUUUCCACUUCACCCAGAUCGGCCUGAAAGGUGGUAAAAAAUCUUAUCAAAUUUGGCAUACUGUAGUAGUCCUAGAGCAAUUACGAUUUCUGUCAAUUAAUUAGGCAAGGCUACGACUUACAUAGUCUGAUGAGGAAAUCCCAACUGAAAUUGACUUCUUUCUUCAACCAACUUAUCCUAACUUCAAAGCCUAUAAAAACAACCUUUCGGAGGACUUAAAGAAAGGGAGAAGGAAAAACACCAGAUUAACAGCUGAGAGUCAAGCCACAUAGUCAUUGAAGGUAAGAAGAAUUUGAAGGAUUCAAGGAGAUUUAGAGAUCAAGAAUACAAUUCUUGAGUUUUUCUAUAUUUUCUUUUAUUCUUUUAUUUUCUUGGUUUUGUUUUUAAUGUUUAGAUUUUAUUUGAUGAUAAUGUGUGACUUGAUGGGGAACUAAAUUAUUAAUCUAAGAUUAUGAUUGAACUUAAUAUGUAGUUUGAAUUAUUUAUCUCUCUUUUGCUUAUGUUUAAUGGAUUUAAGUAAUUUAUUUUAUUCUGUUCUUAAUGCUUUUAAUUACCUGAUCACCAAUUAGAUUGAAUUGGAAAAUUAGGUUAAACCUUGACAAAGGAGAUUUAGGUAGACCUUGCAUAAAAUAGAGUAUAAUCGAAUGCACUUAGUUGAUUAGGUGAUUUGAUUUGCAUAUAAGGUAGACAUACACUUAUAAACCAUACGUAGCCAGGAUUAGAGCACAAACUCAAUAAAUCUUUCUUUAAUUUAAUUAGCAUAAAUAUAUAGUAAAUUAAUUGAGAAAGGUAUUUUUAUGAGAAACUCGACAAAGACUAGUAAAUAAUUUAGGACUCUAGGUUAGCAACUUAAUCCAUUAAACUGAGUUAAGAGAGAGAGAAAAUAAUCAGAUGAAGUGUUGAGGGAUAUCAUAAUCUUAGGCUUGAUAGUUAAGUUAGGUUUAUUUACUAUUUAAUUUUAGUUUUAGUUAAUUAAAAACUUUUUGUUGAUUUCUCAGCAAGUGCAUGUAUCGUUAACAAGUAAUAUAGUAAUGAAUAGAGUAUCGUUCCCACGGAGAAUUGUUUUAAUUCUUACUAUUAACUACUAAAAUUAUAACACCCUAAUUUUAUCCAAACAAUUAAAAUAAAAAAAAUUAAAACUAAUAAACUGAAACUAAAAUUAAAUAGUAAAUAAAACUAACUUAACUACUAAACCUAAGAUUAUGAUAUCCCUCAACAUUCAUCUGAUUAUUGUCUCUCUCUUUCUUAACUCAGUUGAAUGGAUUAAGUUGCUAGCCUAGAGUCCUAAAUUAUUUACAAGUUGCUAUCGAGUUGCUCAUAAAAAUACCUUUUCCAAUUAAUUUACUAUAUGUCUAUGCAAAUUAAAUUGAAGAAAGAUUCAUUAAGUUUGUGCUCGAAUCCUGGCUACGUAUGGUUUAUAAGUGUAUGUCUGGCCUAUAUGCAAAUCAAAUCACCUAAUCAACUAAGUGCAUUUGAUCAUACGCUAUUCUAUUCAAAAUCUACCUAAAUUUCCUUCGUCAAGGUUUAACCUAGGUUUCUAAUUUAAUCUCAUUGGUGAUCGAGCAAUUAGAAGCAUUAAGAACAAAAUAAAAUAAACGACUUAAAUCCAUCAAACAUAAGCAAAAGAGAGAUAAAUAAUCCAGGCUACAUAUUGAGUUCAAUCAUAAUCUUAGAUUAACAAUUUAGUUUCCUAUCAAGUCACACAUUAUUAUCAAAUAAAAUCUAAAUAUUAAAAACAAAACCAAGAAAAUAAGAAAAUAAAAGAAAAUAUAGAAAAACUCAAGAAUUGUAUUCUUGAUCUCCAAAUCUCCUUGAAUCCUUCAAAUUCUUCUUAGCUUCAAUGACUCUGUGGCUUGACUCUCAGCUAUUAAUCUGAUGUUUUUCGUUAUCCCCUUCUUUAAGUCCUCCAAAAGGUUGUUUCUAUAGGCUUUGAUGUUAGGCUAAGUUGGGUGAAGAAAGAAGUCAAUUUCAGCUGGGAUUUCCUCAUAAGAUUAUGUAAAUCGCAGCCUUGCCCAAUUAAUUAACAUAAAUUGUAAUUGCUCUAGGAUUGCUACAGUGUGUCAACUUCGACAAGAUUUUUGACCACUUUCUAGGCCAAUCUAAGUGAAGUGGCAGACAUAAAAGUUGUAGCUUUUUCUCUUAUCUUUCCAAUGGUCAAGAAUCGCUUCAUUUGAAGCAAUUUGGAAAAAGUGAUGACCAAAAUACCUUAACAUAUACAGUAAAAGUCUGCACCUCAAAAUUACUCUCUUUUUUUUACUAAAAUUCUUCUUUCAAACACCUACAAAAGCACAAAUAAAUCAAUAACAACCUAUCUUAACCAUAUUACACCAAAUUAAGCAUAAAAUUAACUAAGAUUGGAUUGACUCACCUAAAAUAACUAAUUUAAAAUAAUUAAAUAAAACCUACUAACUUCUAUGCAUUACUAUAAGAACUAAGCUAAAUUACUAUCGAAAUUAAGCCCAAAUAAGUCUAUAUCAUAGAAUUAUCACACACCCAAACUUUAUAUUUUGCUAGUCCUCGAGCAAAACAUAGAAAAAAACCUAACUUACGAAAAUCAAAUUCAGUUAAUGAAAACUAAAAUAAAUAUGGUUACUACUACUACUAGUACUACUACUAUUACUAUUACUACAGCUACUAGAGAUAAAGUACACCAACUCAAUGAUUCCUUAUCAUUUCCUCAAAAGUGUGUUUAUCAAUCAUUAACCUAAGGAAAAAUAUAGGCCUAAUUCAAAUUCAUGUUUCAAUUCUAAUGCAAGCACAUUCUCGAAUCAAUUUUCAUAUAUGUGUGUGAAAUCUUUUACCAAGAAUAUCAUGACAUCUGGAUGAGUUUAUGCCAACACAAAUUUCAAAUCAGUACUAGAUUUCCAUAGGUUUACUUUUCAUCUCUCUCUCCACUAAUGUAGACCAAUACAAAGCUAGGGAUCAAUAGGACUUUAAUAGGCUUGUAAUGUAUGGCUAGGGUCUAGGUAGGAUAAAGGAUAUUAAUGUGGCUCAAAUCACCCUAAGCACAUAAUUAUUCUAGGAUCUAUCUAUAAAGCUCUAUUUUCCUUUUCCAAGUAGACAUUUUCUUCCACAUUUAAACCUUUUUUUUCAGCAUAUUUUUUUUUUCACAAUUUCACACCCCCAAACUUAUUUUCUUUGUAUUGUAGGUAGUGGGGUUAUCUUUCAUAUUUUGAAUUUUUUUCUCAUAUCAACAUCACCUUUCCACCUUUUCAACAUUUAGCUCAAUCUAUAUUUCCUAAAACAAUAUACAUGCUUAGGAGUGAAGGUCACAAAAUUGGAAAUUUAAUUUUAAGGCUAGGCUCAAUUAUUAUGUAGUUAAACAUAGAAAAGGGAAAUUAGGCUCAAAAGGGGUAUACUAGGUAUAAAGAUUUAACAAGGUUGGCUUUUUAGGCUCAAACGGUCCAAAAAUGGCCUAAAUCAUCUCCUUAACUAAGUAUUGCCUAAGUGUGAGACCUCAACCCUUAUAGGCUCAUAACUACGCAUAGACGCAAUAACACGAGUAAGGGAUAGUUUCGUCAUUUUCUCUAAAAAGCUCCGAAAAGAAGGUUUUAUGAUAUUUUAAGAUCUAAACAGGCAUAAAACCGAAUAAAUAAUGUGUAAUGAUGAAAACAUGAAGAAAACUAGAGGUGGUAAUAUUUUUCACAAUAGGGGCAAAAUGGUCAUUUUGCACCUCGAGUCAAAAUUUUAAGUUUUCGUAAACCCUAAUAGUUUAGAUCAUUGUGGACCUUGUCUCAGUGUCAAAAGAAUAAAAAGAUUGCACAAAGGAUUAGAGAAGAACAAGUUAACUUGCUAAAGGGCAUUUUCAUAAUUUUCAAAGGAAUUGGAUAACUUUGAGCUAUAAAUAUCUUCUCCUUCCAGCAGCUUUUUCAAUUUUCAGCAGCUUCUUCUUCUUCUUCCUUCCAUCUCACAUUUGUUUCCCCUUCCAUGAAAGCAUGGUAUGAAAACUUCAUAACUUUCUCUCUCUAGCUCUAAAUUUCAUGCCUUUGUGCACCUUUUCAUGGAACCCUUGUGCUUUUUCACUCUUUUACUUCAAAAACCUUGAAAAAAAUCCCACUUUCAUACUUUCUCUCACCAACUAGGUGUUUAGAGAGAGAAACAGAGAGAAAGCUCCCAUAAUAGCUUAGAAAAAUUUAUUGGAAAGAAUUUCAAAGUUACAAGCUACCAAGGUGAGUAGUGAAUUAGAAUUUAUUUUUAGUGUUGGGAAUGAUUAGUCAGUAGACUUGUGAAUGUUUAUAAUUGAGGUUAUCCACUCAUUUUAGAGUGAUUAGGCUAGUGAAAAUAGAUGGCCAUUUAAAUGGUAAUUGAAAGGUAGCUAAGAGAAAGCUUUAGAUUUUAUAAGUAUGUGAAUUAACAAAUAGGUGAUGCUAAUGUGAUGAAAGGUUCCAAUGAAGCCCCAUCAUCCCAUUUGGACAAUUAGGGAAGCUAGGAUCGGCUAAAGGCUCAAAUAAUACCGGUGAGUGAAUUGCACUUUAAAAUCAUUUUGGGAAUAUGACUGUUUUGUACGUAGCAUUUGAAUGAUUUUAUACAACUUUUCUUAAAAACGAGUGCUUUAGGAACAAGCCUUUGAUAAUUGACUUUAUGUUGUGACAUGUGGUUGUUAUGGAUUCGUGCACUAUUACAUUAUGUUGGUAUAUAUAUAUAUAUAUAUAUAUUGUGCAUGAUGGUUCAUAUUGUGUAAUGAUUAUAACCGUGUGUGUGCACUAUGUGGGGGGAUGCACAUGCCGGUGAUGGCAUGGUGAGGGAGGUGGGUGAUGAUAGUGCGCGUAUGCACAAUGUGGGGGGAUGCACAUGAUGACUUCGGUUAUGUGCACGAUGUGGGGGGAUGCACAUGAGCUGGGUGUGGUGAUGGUGAUAUUGGUGGUUAUCUAUGUAUUCAUGUAUAUCUAUGUUUAUGAAAUAAAAGCUUAUGAAUAUGGCAUAUGAUUUAAAUGCAUGUGAAACUUGACAUGUUGAACUUUGGGAAAUUAUAUGUGUUUUACGUUGUUUUUGUCAUUUUAGCAAGAUGGUCUUUUCUUGAGGAAAUGGGAAAUUUUUGCUAGUGCCCUGCUUAUCGCUGUAGCGAGAUUCAUUCUCGCUGCAGCGAGAAACUCUCAGGUUUCGAGGGUUUCACCAGACAUGGUUCUCGUUGCAGAGAAAAAGUUUGUGUUUUAUGGCUUGAAUCUCACUACAGCGAAAAACUUUCUGUUUCGCUUAGUAUCUUGAUCGAUUGCUGCGUUAUUUUCCACUUCUUUGGUACCAUAAUUGAGCAUGGACCCUUUACAUUAGGUGAUUUAAUCAAUUGGGGUUUUUCUGAGGGGUUAUGAUAAGCACUAAGUUAAAUUGCAUUGUUUUAAAAUAAGUGUAUCAUGAUUUUCAAAAUGUUCCUAUUGAUUGCUUGUUCCCUUCCUUAUUCACUCACUGGGUUUAUACUCACCGUGUUCAACGUCAUGUUUUCAAAUCAGGAGGCAGCCGGUAACUAGGAAAGGUGCCUUUGUAGACUCGACUCCUGGUAGGUGUCUCGACAUUCAGUAGCUAUACAUUUGUCGAGUUUCUCCGCUGGACAUCGAGUAUCCUUUUGACAUGUAUAGACAAAUCUGAUGUUAAUUAUUAGAAUACAUACUGUAGACAAUAUGUGUAUAUUUUAAUGAGUAAUGCCAGUAUGAGUUGGCAAUGGUUUUCAUCAUUUCGAAUUGAGAUUUUGAAUUAUGACUUUAGUAACUUGUGGGAUGAAAUGAUAACAAGGUAAUAUAAGUAGGCUUGCUUAGGCUUAGUGGACUACGUCCAUUGGGCCCAUGUGCUGGUCAUGGCCCAGAAUUUGGGUCAUGACAGACUUGGUAUCAGAGCCCUAGGUUGUCUAGGUCUUAAGACUUUUCUUUUGUUGGUCUAGCGGAGAGUCGGGUCUUUAUGUGGAAACUUUGGUGGUGAAGUGUGAACCGCGACACAUUUUACAACUAAAGGAUCGCAUAAAUUCCCCAUCUUAGAAACUACCUUUUUUCCUUAAGUACGAUUAUAAAAUAUGUUUAAUAACAGGUGUUUGCUCUUGUCUAGAUAAGAAUGCCACCUAAGACACGAGCCUCUUCACGAAGAAUGGAAGAGCAAAAUGCUCCUACUGAGAUGGUAGAUAGGCCACGGGCAUCCAGCCUGAAAGGCCGAGGUAGACAUGGCAGAGCCACUAGGCCGGUGAAGGUAGAUAUGUCCAUGAGUAGACGAGAGGAAGGACAGUCUACAGGUGAUGUAGAUAGACAACCAGUUGGGGGCAUUACCAUUAAGGAUUUGGCGACAGGCCUACAAGGAGUCAACGGUUCGUAGAGAUGAUGACGACCUAUAUGGAUGGUAUACAAAGGAUAGUAGAAGAGAGACCUACAACACAAGAAUCCCUUAGCUCCCAAGGACAGGCCGGUCUCCAACAUCAUGAGGUCGAGAGGGGUCAUCUAGAGAUUUCUCUUCCAGAUUUUCUCAAGCUUAAGCCUCCAUCAUUUUCAGGAUCUAAUGCCUCGAAAAAUCCCCAAAUCUUGUUAAAUAAGAUGGAGAAAAUUUGUAAAGCCUUGGGAUGUUCUAGUGCCCGAUCAGUUGAGUUAGCCACCUUUCGAUUAGAGGACGUGGCAUAAGAGUGGUAUAGCUCUUUGUGUAGAGGUAGACCAACGGAUACAGCGCCGUUGACUUGGAGUGAGUUCAGUACAACCUUUCUAGAUCGAUUCUUACCACUCAAUGUACGUAAUGCUAGAGCUAGGGAGUUUAAGACUUUGGUACAGACCUCGAGUAUGACGGUGUCAGAAUACGACAUCAAAUUCAUGUAACUAUCUCGGUAUGCUUCUUACCUCGUUUCUACUAAGGAGAUGAAAAUUCAAAGGUUUGUGGAUGGGUUAGUAGAGCCAUUGUUUAGGGCUGUGGCAUCUCGAUAUUUCAAUACCUACUCUAUAGUGGUAGAUUGUGCUUAGCGGAUCGAGAUGAGGACCAGUGAGAGUAAGGCUAUGAGAGAUAGAGCAAAAAGGGCCAAGACAGAAGGUUAUCAAGGUCGUAGAGAUUUCAGCAGUGGUGGUUCGUCUUCUAGCAGUCAAGGUCCACAACGGGACUCACGAUUACCCCAAAGGGGGAGUGACUCACCUAGUGCUAGUAUUGAGGCGGGACAAAGAACCUUUAGUGGAGGAAGGUAGCAAGAUUCUAGACAGGGAAGUCAAGCUAUCCACCCUUAUGAUACUUGUGGGAGACGACAUAGUGGAUGAUGCUUACGUAAUGAAAGAGUUUGUUAUUGGUGUGGUCAACUUGGACAUAUUAGGAGGAAUUGUCCGAUGGCUCAUCAAUCAUGAGAUUCUGCUCAUGGUUUCACCCAGCCAGCUUCAUCUGCUCCUUCAAUUGCCUUUUUAUCCGGUCGAGAGGCUAGUGGAUUAAAAGGUAGAGAUGUUGUUACUUCUUCUCAGGGCAGGCCAUCUGGGUUCGGACAUCAGAGUUUUGUUGGGAGAGGCCAAGCGAGGGUAUAUGCUUUAACACCCCAGGUGGCCCAAACAUUCAAUGCAGUGGUCUCAAGUACUCUUUUUGUUAGUAAUAUGAAUGCUCGGGUAUUGUUUGAUCCUGGUGCUACCCAUUCUUUUAUCUCUCCAUGUUUUGCAUCUCGUUUGGGUAAAGAUGGUGUUAGGAGAGAAAAACAAUUAGUAGUGUCUACUCCUUUAAAUAGGGUAUUUAUGGCUGAAUGGGAAUAUGAGUCCUGUGUAGUUCGAGUCAAGGAUAAGGACACAUCGUUGAAUCUAGUGGUGUUAAACACCUUAGACUUUGAUGUGAUCUUGGAAAUGGAUUGGCUAUCACCCUGCCAUGCAAGUGUGGAUUGUUAUCACAAAUUGGUGAGAUUUGAUUUUCCUGGUGAACCCUCAUUUAGUAUUCAGAGGGAUAAGAGUAAUGCUCUAACCAAUUUGAUAUCGGCCAUGGCUACUAGACAAUUAUUAAGACAGAGUUAUUUAGGUUACUUGGCUGUGGUAAGGGAUACUCAGGCGAAGGUUGGAGAUAUAAGCCAAGUGUCGGUGGUGAAUGAGUUCAUGGAUGUAUUUCGCGAGGAAUUACCAGGUUUGCCUCCUGAGCAGGAGAUUGAAUUUUGCAUAGAUAUGGUUCCCGACACUAGACCUAUAUCCAUACCCCCAUAUAGAAUGGCACUUGCAGAGCUUAAAGAGCUUAAGGAUCAGUUAGAAGAUUUGUUGGACAAAGGCUUUAUUCGUCCUAGUGUCUCACCAUGGGGAGCACCGGUGUUAUUUGUAAAGAAAAAAGAUGGGUCACUUAGGCUGUGCAUUAAUUACCGAUAACUUAAUAAAGUGAUGGUGAAGAAUAAGUAUCCUCUUCCAAGAAUAGAUGAUUUAUUUGAUUAACUACAAGGAGCACAAUGUUUCUCUGAGAUAGAUCUGCGAUCUAGGUACCAUCAGCUGAGGAUUCGAAAUGAAGACGUACCCAAAACUGCAUUUCGAACAAGAUAUGGGCACUAUGAGUUCUUGGUGAUGUCAUUUGGACUUACGAAUGCCCCUACGGCUUUUAUGGAUUUGAUGAACCGAGUGUUCAAGCCCUAUUUAGACAAGUUCGUGGUGGUGUUUAUUGAUGACAUCUUGAUCUACUGAAAGAGCCGAAAAGAGCAUGAGCAUCAUCUUAAGAUAAUGCUUCAAACUUUGAGAGAACAUCAAUUGUAUGCCAAGUUCUCCAAGUGUGAGUUUUGGCUUGAAAGCGUUGCAUUCUGGGGACAUGUGGCAUCUAAGGAUGGGGUACAAGUUGAUCCAAAGAAAGUUGAGGCAGUGGAAAAGUGGCCAAGGCCAACAUCAGUUACGGAGAUCAGAAGCUUUUUGGGUUUGGCUAACUAUUAUCGUCGUUUUGUGAAGGACUUCUCCAAAAUAGCUGCCCCUCUAACUAAGCUGACACGUAAAGAUACAAAAUUUGAGUGGUCCGAUGCUUGUGAGAAUAGCUUUGAGAAGCUUAAGACCUGUCUCACCAUAGCUCAAGUAUUAAGUCUAUCACAAGGCAUAGAGGGUUAUACGGUAUUCUGUGAUGCAUCGCGAGUUGGUUUAAGGUGUGUAUUAAUACAGCAAGGGAAGGUGAUUGCGUAUGCAUCAAGGCAACUUAAAAGGCAUGAGCAGAAUUACCCCGCACAUGAUUUGGAGAUGGCAACAAUCGUGUUUGCCUUAAAGAUUUGGAGAUAUUAUUUAUAUGGUUAGACUUGUGAGAUAUAUACGGACCACAAAAGUUUAAAGUAUAUAUUUCAGCAAAGGGAUCUUAACUUGCAGCAACGUAGGUGGAUGAAGUUAUAAAGGAUUAUGACUGUACUAUUCUUUACCAUCCCGAUAAGGCAAAUGUGGUGGCAGAUGCCUUGAGUCGAAAAUCGAUGGGAAACUUGGUAAAUAUCUCCACAGAUAGGAGAUUCCUGAUUAGAGAGAUCCAUAGCUUAGGAGAUAUGGGUGUGCAUUUAAAAGUUUCAAAGGCGAAUGCAUUGCUAGCACAUUUUAGAGUGAGGCCUAUUUUAAUGGAUCGGAUUAAAGAAACACAAAGCAAGGAUAAGUUCGUAGCUAAGGCCUUAGAGGACCCUCAAGGAAGGAAAGGAAAACUAUUUACUAAAGGCACAGAUGGAGUAUUGAGGUAUGGAACUAGACUUUAUGUGCCUGAUAGUGAUGGGUUGAGGAGAGAAAUAUUGGAAGAAGCUCACAUGGCAACCUAUGUAGUACAUCUAGGGGCUACAAAGAUGUAUCAAGAUUUAAAACAAGUAUAUUGGUGGGAAGGACUCAAGAAAGAUGUAGCUGAGUUCGUCUCUAAGUGCCUGGUUUGUCAGCAGGUUAAGGCCGAGCAUCAAAGGCCUGCAGGGCUACUACAGCCAUUACUAGUGCCCGAGUGGAAAUGGGAGCAUAUUGCAAUGGACUUUGGAAUGGGCUUGCCUCAAACUAGUGGAGGCUACAACUCAAUUUGGAUAGUAGUAGACCGGUUAACAAAAUCAGCUCAUUUUCUUCCAAUUAAGACUAUUUACAAUGCUGCCCAGUAUGCUCGAGUUUAUGUGGAUGAGAUAAUACGAUUGCAUGGUAUCCCUAUUUCUAUAGUGUCUGACAGAAGAGCACAGUUCACCAGUAGGUUCUGGGGAAAGUUGCAGGAAGUGUUGGGCACUAAGUUGGAUUUCAGCACAACUUUCCAUCAGCAAACCGAUGGCCAGUGUGAACAGACAAUUCAGACAUUGGGGUCAGGUGGGAUUGAUAUUUACCCUUAGUGGAGUUUGCCUACAACAACAGUUUCCAAACUAGCAUCCAAAUGGCACCAUUUGAAGCAUUAUAUGGAAGGAGGUGCAAGUCACCUAUUGAAUGGCUAGAAGUGGGAGAAAAAGAAACUCUUGUGGCCUGAGUUGGUGCAGGACGCCACCGAGAAAAUGCGCAUGAUUCAUCAAAGGAUGUUAACAGCACAAAGUAGACAAAAGUCCUAUGUUGAUAACAGACAGAGGGACUUGGAGUUUCAAGUGAGAGAUCAUGUCUUUUUGAAGGUCUCACCAAUGAAAGGGAUAAUGAGGUUUGGCAAGAAGGGAAAGUUGAACCCUUGAUAUAUAGGACCCUUUGAGAUCUUAGAAAGGGUUGGAGCAAUGGCUUAUCGUUUGGCAUUAUCACCAGACCUUUCGAAUAUUCACCUCGUGUUUCAUGUGUCAAUGCUUAGAAAGUAUAACCUGGAUCCAUCUCAUGUAAUACGAUAUGAAACCAUCCAGUUGCAAGCUGAUUUAACCUAUGAGGAGCAACUAGUAUCCUUGAUAGGCAAGUCAAAAAGCUUCGUUCAAAAGAUGUAGCCUCAGUAAAAGUAUUAUGGUAAAAUCAUACCAGUGAAGAGGUAACGUGGGAAGCCGAGGAGGAGAUGCGGACAAAGUAUCCCGACCUCUUUAAUGCUUAGAGGUACGCUACCUUAUAGUUGAAUUUAAAUUCAGGGACCGAAUUUCUUUAAGUGGGGGAGAAUGUGAGACCUCAACCCUUAUAGGCUCAUAACUAUGCAUAGACAUAAUAACACGAGCUAGGGGUAGUUUUGUCAUUUUCUCUAAAAAGCUCCCAGAAGAAUGUCUUAUGAUAUUUUAAGAUCUAAAUAGGCAUAAGACCGAAUAAAUAAUGUGUAAUGAUGAAAACACAAAGAAAACUAAAGGUGACAAUAUUUUUCACGAUAAGGGCAAAAUGGUCAUUUUGCACAUCGAGUCAAAAUUUUAAGUUUUCGUAAACCCAAGUAGGUUAGAUCAUUGUGGACCUUGUCCUAGUGUCAAAAGAAUAAAAAGAUUGCACAAAGGAUUGGAGAAGAACAAGUUAACUUGCUAAAGGGCAUUUUCAUAAUUUUUAAGGGAAUUGGAUAAGUUUAAGCUAUAAAUAUCUUCUCCUUCCAGCAGCUUCUUCAAUUUUCAGCAACUUCUUCUUCUUCCUCCUUCCAUCUCAUGUUUGUUUCCCCCUCCAUGGAAGCAUGGUAUGAAAACUUCAUAACUUUCUCUCUCUAGCUCUAAUUUUCAUUCAUUUGUGCACCUUUUCAUGGAACCCUUGUGCUCUUUCACUCUUUUACUUCAAAACCCUUGAAAAAAAUCUCACUUUCAUACUUUCUCUCACUAGCUAGGUGUUUAGAGAGAGAAAAAGAGAGAAAACUCUCAUAAUAGCUUGGAAAAAUUUAUUGGAAAGAAUUUCAAAGUUACAAGCUACCAAGGUGAGUAGUGAAUUAUAAAUUAUUUUUAGUGUUGUGAAUGAUUAGUAAGUGGACUUGUGAAUCUUUGUAGUUGAGGUUAUCCACUCAUUUUAGAGUGAUUAGGGUAGUGAAUGGCAAAAAGAAGCUAGCUAAGAGAAAGCUCUAAACUUUAUAAGUAUAUAAAUUGACAAAUUGGUGAUGCUAAUGUGAUGAUAGGUUCCAAGGAAGCCCCAUCAUCCCAUUUGGACAAUUAGGGAAGUUAGGAUUGACUAAAGGCUCAAAUAAUACUGGUGAGUGAAUUGCAUUUCAAAAUCGUUUUAGGACUGUGACUGUUUUGUACAAAGCAUUUGAAUGAUUUUAUACAACUUUUCUUAAAAACAAGUGCUUUGGGAACAAACCUUUGAUAAUUGACUUUAUGUUGUGACAUGUGGUUAUUAUUGAUUCGUGCACUACUACAUUAUGUUGGUAUAUAUAUAUAUAAAUAUAUAUGUUGUGCAUGAUGGUUCAUAUUGUGUGAUGAUUAUAACCGUGUGUGUGCACGAUGUGGGGGGAUGCACAUGCUGGUGAUGGCGUGGUGAGGGAGGUGGAUGAUGAUAGUGCCCGUAUGCAUGAUGUGGGGGGAUGUACACGAUGGCACUGACUGUGCACGAUGUGGGGGGAUGCACACGAUGACUCCGACUAUGUGCACAAUAUGGAGGGAUGCACAUGAGCUAGGUGUGAUGGUGGUGAUAUUGGUGGUUAUCUAUGUAUUCAUGUAUAUCUAUGUUUAUGAAAUAAAAGCUUAUGAAUAUGGCGUAUGAUUUAAAUGCAUGUGAAACUUGACAUGUUGAACUUUGGGAAAUUAUAUGUGUUUUAUGUUGUUUUUGUCAUUUCAGUAGGAUGGCCUUUUCUUGAGGAAAUGGGAAAUUUUUGCUGGUGCCCUGUUUAUCGCUGCAGCGAGAAACUCUCGGGUUUCGAGGGUUUCACCAAACAUGGUUCUCGCUGAGGCGAGAAAGUUUAUGUUUUAUGGCUUGAAUCUCGUUGUAGCGAAAAACUUUCUAUUUCGCUUAGUAUCUUGAUCGAUUGCUGCGCUAUUUUCCACUUCUUUAGUACCAUAGUUGAGCAUGGACCCUUUACAUUAAGUGAUUUAAUCAAUUGGGGUUUUCCUGAGGGGUUAUGAUAAGCACUAAGUUAAAUUGCAUUGUUUUAAAAUAAGUGCAUCAUGAAUUUCAAAAUUUUCCUAUUGAUUGCUUGUUCCCUUCCUUGUUCACUCACUGGGUUUAUUCUCACCAUUUUCAACUUCAUGUUUUCAGAUCAGGAGGCAGUCGGUAACUAGGUCGAGGUGCUUUUGUAGACUCGACUCUUGGUAGGUGUCUUGGCAUUCAGCAGCUAUACAUUUAUCGAGUUUCUCCGCUGGACAUCGAGUAUCCUUUUGACAUGUAUAGACAAAUCUGAUGUUAAUUAUUAGAAUACAUACUGUAGACAAUAUGUGUAUAUUUUAAUGAGUAAUGCCAAUACGAGUUGGCAAUGGUUUUCAUCAUUUCGAAUUGAGAUUUUGAAUUAUGACUUUAGUAACUUAUGGGAUGAAAUGAUAACCAAGUAAUAUAAGUAGGCUUGCUUGGGCUUAGUGGACUACGUCCAUUGGGCCCAUGCGCCAGUCAUGGCCUAGAAUUUGGGUUGUGACACUAAGAUUUUGCCUCGAGAGAAAAUCAAGCAAAUUCUAGAAUUCAUGACAUAAUCUAAAAUUCACAUCAAUAUAAACCUUCUCUAAAUAUUCAUAAUAAUUCAAAGUGACAGAUAUAGUGCUCAAAAUUGUGAAAAUCACAUCCUAACAAUGAUACUUAACAAAAGAUUUAUCAUGAAUCCAAACAAAAACCUUAUUCACCGAAAGUUAAGAAUUUAAGACAACUAGUUUUCAUCAUUGGAUAGAGGAAUCAUAGAAAAACUUGGCAUAACUUUACUCUAGAUUCCUAAAAUUCAAACAAGAAAUAAAUUCAUUUACCAACUAAUCCUAAAUUAUUUAUAAAAAUAAACACGCAUGCAAAUAAAAUUAGAUCUAAAACUUCCACAAAAUAUUCAUCACCAGAAAAAUAAAAUCACCCCCUCCCAAACUUAAACUAAACAUUGUCCUCAAUGUUAGAAAAAAUAAAGGAAAGGUAAAGAAUACUCCCUUGAUGAUUGGAUAAAUAUGGAAAAUCUUUAAUCCUCCUCCUUGUUCUUAUUAUCACCUUUCUCAUUUUUUUAUUUUGUUUUGUUUUUUUAACAUGUACCUGCAAAAUAAAAAAGAGUGUUAAUAAUUCAAUAAUUAAAUAAAUAAAGAUAAAUAAAAGAAAGUAAGUUAGAGUGCUUGGGUUGCCUCCCAAGAAACGCUUCUUCAUAGUCACUAGCUUGAUUUUGGUUAAGGUUUGAGUUUUCAUGGAAAAAGCUUGAGGUAUGAAAGUUACUUCCUCCUAAGAUGAGGUUGUAGUGCCUUUAACUCAAGAUUUGAUGCUUGCCUAGCCCAAUGUGGUGGAAUAGGUUGACUUUUAUCUAACUUUUCAAAUUGAGUUCUUCUUGAAUAAUGCACUUUUGCUAUAACCUCCUUAGGUAACUCACUAACUGUAUCUACAAAAAGAAUGGGAGGCACAUUUGGCUUGACUCGUGGUGAUGUAGAUAUUUCCUCUUUUUGCUUAAUUUCUUCAUCUUGAACUUGAUUGUUGGAAGUAUUUCCUUGAUCUACUUUAUCUCCAUCAUCUUGAAGUCUAUUAUUGAUGGCAUUAGCUAGUUGACCCACUUGUGUCUCAAGAUUUUAGAUUGAUUCUACUUGACUUUGAAUGAUGGCAUCAGUCCUUGUCAUGAAGUCAUCAGUCUUUGUCAUGAAGGCAUUAGUCUGUAUCAUGAAUUGCAUGAACAUAUCCUCUAUUGAAGGCUUUUUCUCUAGCAUAGGAGCUCUAACUUGUAACUGAAAACCAUUAUAGAAAAUAAGCUGUGAUGAAUAUGUAGGACCAUGAUCAUUACUCCAUGAAAAAUUUUCGCUAUUCCAUCCUGAGUUGUAAUUGUUAGAGUAUCAUUUAUUUUGUUGCCCAUCAAAGCUUUCAUCAAAUUGCAUUGAUUCGUAAUAGGAUGGACAACAAUCACUUGAAUGCCUAUCUCUACAAAACUCGCAUGUAACAAAAAAACUUUGAAAAACAUUAUCACCCCAACGUUAAUUUUUUGAGAAAAAACAUCUACUUAAGUGGCUAAAACACUGAUUGCAUCCAAUGCAUAAUCACUAGCAACCCUCAUAAGCACAAAUUGUUCAGAUGGCCACUGAUAGUUCAUCACCUCAAUCAAAAGUAUCUAAAAAUAAAAAGAAAGUUUGAAGUAAGAUUAGAAAUGCUUGGUAUUAAUAUUAACAAGAAAGAAUUAAAAAUCAAUUCCAUGGCAACGAUGCCAAAAAUUUGUUAACAAUAUGUGCACUAGCGUGAGAAAUCAACAACGAUGAUCCUCCAUCCUCAAUUAGUCUUGAUUUUAAGGUGGGACAACUAGUGUUAUUGACCAAAUCAGUUAAGCUCCUUCCAUGGAAACAAAAAUCAAAGUGGUCAGGUCCGUAUAAAGUGGUUAAGGUCUAUCAGUGUGGUGUAGUAGAUAUUUAUAGUGAAGUUACUAGAACAUUUAGAGUGAAUGGGUAGCUUCUCCAGCAGUACUUGGGAGGUGAAUUGGAUCGUCGAAUAUCCACAAGUACUUUCGUCGACAGCAAAAAAAAGGUAUCAUAGUCAAGCUAGUGACUAUAAAGAAGCGUUUCUUAGGAGGCAACCCAAGCUAUAUUUUUUAAAGUUUAGUUGUUAUUUUAGUUAGUUAUUAUUUUUUUUUUUAAAUAAGUAGCUAUAACCUCUCACAGUUUGCUUUGUUGAGUCUGCAGGUUUGGAAAGCAUGAAGGUAAGGAGGGUGAAAAUUAGAGCUUUCAAUGCAUUGUCACCAUUGAUAGGGGAGUUACUUUUUCUUAUUCUUUUUAGCUUUUCACAUUGAGGGCAAUGUGCAAUUUAAGUUUGGGGGAGGAUUUUAUUGUUAUUAGUUUUUGUGAUAUUUUUAGGUUAGCUUAUUUUCAUCAAUUUUUUUUAAUUUUAUGAAUGUUUUAAAAACUUGAACUAGAUUUAAUUGUGUCAAUUUCUUUUAAUUUACCUAUCCAAUGAUGAGAACCUCGUUAUAUUCUUAUCUUGAUUCUUUGAAACAUGUGAAUACUGUUUGAGUAUUAUGUAAAUUCUUAUGUUAAGCUUAUUGUUAAGAUGAAAUUUCUACAAUUUGAGUAUUAUAUCUUUUGCUUAGAUUCAUUGUACAAAUUUAGAGAAGGUUUGUGUGAAUAUGAAUUUUUGAAUUAUAUACCAAGUUCUAGAAUUUUUUUGAUUCUCUGUUGAGGUGAAAUUCUAAGCUAUACUUUGUUAAGGAGAUUAUUUAUGCCAUUUUUGAACCGAUUGAGCCUUUUGUAGCAUUCUUUGACAUAAUUUAUCCUUAGUUUUCCCCUUUGUGCCUAAUGACACAUUUUCAUUGUCUAAACAUUUAAUUUUUAACCUAAACCCUUGUAUAGAUAUUUCCAAAAAACUUUUUGCACCUUUCAUACCUAAGUGCAUAAGUCAAUUUAGGAAACGUUAUGAGCUAGAUAGUAAACAAGGUAGUAAAGAUGAAAAAUAUAGAAAAGUUUAAAAAUAUGAUUGUAUUGAUCUCACUACCCAAUAUAAGAAAUAAGCUUGGGGGUAUGAAGUUGAGAAAAGAAAAAAGGAAAGAAAGAAUGAAGUGUUGAACAAAAGAAAAAGGUUGAUGAAAGAAGGGUACAUUAGAUGAAGGAAAACAAAGCUUUGAAUAGGUCCUAGAUUGACUAUGUGCUUAGGGUGAUUUGAGCUAUUCAUUAUCCCAUAUCCCACCUUAACCCUAGCCAUACAUUAUAAGCUAAUUAAAGUCUUGUUGAUCUUUAAUUUAGUGUUAGUCUACAUUAGUGGAGAGAGAGAUGAAAAGCAAACUUAUGGAAUUUAAUUACUAAUUUAUAUUUUGCAUGAAUAUAAACUUAUCUGGAUUGUACAAUGUUCUAUGUGAAAAAAUUGUACACACACUAGAUUUCACUUAAUGAUAGGCUUGCAUUUAAGUUGAGACUUGAACUUGAAUAAUAUUGUGUGUUGCCUAGAGUUAUGAAUAUGGAUUAACUUUUGAGGACACUAAAGGUGAUUAAUCAAAUGGUGUAAUUGAAUUCAAGUUAAAUAUUUUCAUGUUUAAGUUAUUGCAUGUUGUUUUAUGUUUCAGUCGAGGACUAGAAAAAUCAUAAGUUUGGGGGUUUGAUAACUUUAUUAUAUCAAGUUAUUUUAACACAUUUUAAAGGCUUAAGUAGCUAGAUCUUUGAGAUUUUAGGUUCAAUUAUAGCAUUUAGGUGUUUUUCUAGUUUAAGUUUGAUUACAUGUUGAGUAGUUAAUUUAAGUUAUUUUAGUUAAAUUUUAUAUUAUUUUGUUUUAAAUUACUUUAAGAGUAGUUAUUUCUAGUUUCUCUUAUUGCUUUUGUAGAAAAUUUGAUGAAAAAUGCUCAUUUGAUGAAAAUCCGUGCAAGUAUGGUGAUGGCUUUAUUUGUAUAUGUUUUGGUAUUUUGACCAUAUCUCUCUAUACAGAAUUCCAAAUGAAGUGAUUCUUAGACCACUAGAACGCUAUGAGGAAUGGCUACAAUUUUUAUUUUACUACUUUGCCCAGUUCUAAUAAGAUUAAGGUCAAAAUAUUUGUCUAAGUUGGAGCACUGCAGUAGUAUGCAUGGACUGAACAUGAUGUGGUAUUGGGAGCAUAUCUUUAACUGAAAAAGUCUAAUUGACGUGAUUUUUAGGCCAUUGGAAAGCUAAAAGAUAGGGUGAAAACUUUCAUGUUUAUCACUUUCCCUAGUUUGAUCCUAUCAUGGUGAAAAUCAUGUUUGACGAUGCUCAAUAGAUGCAAUUCUACACAAGGUAGUAGGGCAACUGAGGCCAUGAUGCUAAGCUACUCAUGGCCACGAUGUUGAGCUUGAAAAGAGCAUCAUACAAAAACUCAAGAACAUGGUUCCGCAGCAUUGAAGAAGUAGCGCCGUGGCACUACCAAAGUCUGUCACUGUGCCAUGGCGCCAACAAAUUAUGGCCAUAGCACUACCCCGAUUUUCCAAAAAUAAAAAUUUAAUGGGAUUUUGGAAAUUAGGUUACUUGGAGCCUAUUUAAGGAAUCUUUUUCUAAGGUUUUGAGAUGGAGGCAACAAUCAACUAUUCUGGAGAAAAGGAGCCAAGAACAAAGCAAGAAAACAAGAGAAUUGAGAUUACAUAGCUUCAAUAAUUAGUUUGUUUCUCUCUUUUGUGUUAUUCUUGUUUUCUUGUUUUGAAUUCAUGGCUAAAUAUCUUUGAAUAUUGUUUUUACUGGAUAUUAUGAGCUAAAUUAUCUUUUUAGGACUGUGGUGAAUUUCAACAUGUAAUCUGAAUGUUUGUUUCUCUUUUAUUUACUAUGAAUGGGUAUAGUUUUGCUUAUUCCAAACUGUUAUUGAUGCUUUUGAUUGCCUGGCCAAUAAUUAAUUGAUAUAUGAAUCUAAUUGAGACUUGAUAGAGAGAUUUUAUAUUGGACAAUAGUUUGAAUAGUGUAUGUUCACGUCACUUAAGUGAUUUGAUUUGCGAUUCGGGUAGACAUACACCAAUUGCCAUACAUAGCCAAAUUAGACCACUAGCUUAAUGAACCUUAUUUAAGUGAUUCCUAUUGACAUAUAGUAACCCAAUUAAUUUAGGUAUUUUUGCAAACAUCUCGACGGAAACUUGUACAUAGUUUUGGACUUUAGGUCAAUAAAACUACCCAAGAAUGUAAAUAAUAAGAGAAACUGGUAUAAGAUGAAGUGAUGAAUGAACCCAUAAUCCUAGGUUUUAAUAUAUUAUAUUUCUCCAGGAAUUUUAAUUUCUGCUAGUUAAUUUAGUGCUUAUUUUAAUUUUGUUUUAAUUAAUUUUUUGAAAACUUUAGUUACUUAAAUAAGAUUAAUUUGUCAUAAAUUUUAGUACUUAGUAAAGAUUUAUGAACAAAUCUCUAUGGCAACAAUACUCUACUUCAUCGAUAUAUUACUUAUUAGAUACGUAUACUUAAGUGUGAAAAAUUGACAACAGUAUCCACACUAGCCGUCAAAGAACUUGAGGGAAUUGCUCAAAACAUUAAAAGCUCUUGUCCCCCCUUAUCGAAAACUACUACAUAGUAGGAUAUUGAAUUAUACAUAAUAGUUUUGAAAACCAUUUCAAAACAUUUUCUUGUCCACAACCAUAUUUUUCCUUAGUCAAAUAUUUAUGGCAACAAUGCUCAUAACAAAUCCAUUAAAUCACGCAAUCAUGCUUUCAACUUUACAUGCUCAAAUAGUUUUGAAAGUGGUACACCCAGUCACCUCAAAAGUUGAUUUCUACCAAGUACUCGAAAGUCUACUUCAAUGAAAUUUUUCAAGUUUCAAUAGUUCCUAUAUACCCAAAUAAAUAUUUUUCGUUAAUACUUAGUUUAGGAAAUGCAUAAUAAUCGUUCUAUGCUAUUUCAAACUAUUUGGGUUCACCUAAACUAAUUUUCUAGACUUAAUCUACAGCUCAUCAAAAUACCCAUUUGUACAAACCCAUAAAAUCAAUAUUCUGACUUUAGGUGAGCUAUAACAAGCGAGAAAAUCCACCCAAAUCCUCUAGUUCAUAGACAUCAAUAAUUCUACAACAAUAAACAAUAUUUUCAAAAUAAAAAAUCCAAGGUUUAAAGAUUCAAGAGUGGGAAAAAUCUCAUUUUUCAUUUAAAACCCAAAACCAAGCUCAAAUUUUUAAAAAAUGGUGAUUUUCAGAUAAAAUGGGUUGGAAAAGCUUAAGAGCUAGGGUUUUAUCCUUAAAAUACGGCUAAUGGUUGCCAACUCUCAGAAAAUGUGGUGUAUUUAUAAGCUAGGGUGUGAAAAUAUGUUUUCACCCUUUUUUUUUUAAAUCGAAUAAAUGUAUCUAUACAUUGGCUCAUGUACGAAUACAUUAUGAACAUGUAUCGAUACAUUUGAGACAAAAUGCAGUUUCUGAAAUAGAUUACCUUUAAAACUUGCCCAACUUAUUUAUAUUAAAUAUCUUAAGUAAAGAGAGAGUAAAAGGGAUAUUUACUUAAAUGGUAUUUAAUGUAAAUAAGCAAACAACCCCCCAUUUGAAUUCAAUAAAAAUAUCAAAAAAAUCAAAAUCUAAAUUUUGGUUUCAAAAACAAAAUCGAAUUGAAAUUAAAUUUGCAACUCUUGUUUACCAUAGCAAAUGUACACAAAAAAUUAUGAAAAAUUCAUUUUUGGUCAUCUAAAAAUUAAGGGAAUCAUUACUGUCAUUUUUUAUUUUCAAAAGAUUGCUCUAUAAAAAUCACAAAUUUUGACCCCUCCCAUACGUAGAAAAUUUUCUGCUUUAAAAGUGACAGAUAACAUAAAAUGUCAGUGAAUUCUUUUGAAGGGUAAAACUAAGUUUCAUAGUCAAAAUAUGCAAUCUAAAUGCUCACCUAAGGAUUUCCUAACUUAUCCUUUUACUUCAGGUUGGAUUUCACACAAUUGCUACAAUUAUUACCCACUCUUAGGACUACUUCAUUUUUAUCAAGCCUUCUACUAUCCCCUAAAGCCUUUAUGUUAGUGCAAAAAUGCAAUCCACAUCUAGAAUCUAUUAUUCAAAAUUUAGGAUUGGCAACAGAAAGGUUAAGCUCAAUCAUGUUUAAUUUUAUCUUUUUACUUGUCAAGAUUGCACCCUUCCAUUUAUUAAGAACUUUUCUCAAAGUGAUAUACCAGUCCAAAAGUUUUGGGUUGAUUACAUCAAGUGUGCUAAGCAAAGUAGAGAUUAUUAUUAUACCAAUCCUAACAGUCUAUAAAUAUAAAUAAAGUAAUUAUAUUAGUCUUUCAUGUUCUUAACCAAUUUAAGGCGAGGAAUUAAAUCAUGCAUUGGUUCUCCCACUAAUUUUUUUGCAAUAAUAGCCUUCCACUAUAACACAAAAACUCUACUAGGCAUUUCUAGUGAGCUAAAACCUUUUUUAACUUAUUGCAACCUUGACUGACGCAACAAAUCACAAUAAGCCUAAUUGGGUAGAUAACAUAACUUAUUGAUUGCAUUUCUAAGCAACUCUUAAAUUUAUUAGGUGACAACUCCUUGUCUAAAUGCAUCAUAUGCAUUUUGCCUAACUUUGCCUCUAAUACCAUGUAGUCAAGUGUGAGACUUUCGAACGACACAGUAUUAGUUGAGUAAGACCCAUGUAUAGCUCAAAUGUACUUGUCUAAAAGUUUGAGCUUGAGGGACUCAACAAACCUCCAAUUAAACGAGCAGCCUUGUUAUCUUGCUAUAUGGUGGAAGGCAACUUGAUCAUGUUGUGCAUGUGAUGCAAUAUUUUAAUGAGGGUUUUGUUGUUGUAAUUAAGGUCUCAUCAUACAUAGCAUGCAUAGCAUUUAUAUAUCACAUGCCAACUACAUAGGAUGAUUAUGGACUUUACCUAAUCUAGCUUCCUUGAGCCAUCAAUGGAAAUUAGUUUGGUCAAAUCCUAGGGGAUUACAUACAAAUAUCACCAUAUCUUGUAGUCUUGUAAUCUCUAUGUCUCCUUGAUGCCUUCGUCCUUCAUUCUUGGAAUUACAAAAUUUUCUUCCUAAUCUAAUUUUAUGAAUUCUAAUUACAUAUUUGUAAAGAAACCUUAAGUUACAUUUAAGGGGAGUAAGAUGAGGAGAGAAUUUUACAACUCUUGAAUAAAAUAGAGGAAUGGCAUGGAACACACUCCCUAUUUAUAAAAUAAAUACCAAAUGCAUUCAACCAUAACCAUCCAUAACACAUUAUAGUAGUGUAAGUCUAUAAUCAUCCUCAUACAUUCAUAUUCAUGUAAUGAACAUAUAAAACUUAUGUUUAGUUCAAAUUGAAGAUCUUAUAUGUCAUUUGGCAAUAAUAUCACUCAUCCUUUGAAAAUAUAAAUCCAAAUAAUUUGAUGUCUUAAUCCCAUAACAAGUCUUGUGCUAAUUUAGAAUUCCUAGUUCUACUAUGAGUUCAAUUGAGUAUAGACUUAGUAAUCCUAAACCUUUAAGGACUAUCAAUUUAAAUUUGACCCUUAUUCUCAAUAGGAGUCUUAAUCAUAUUAGAAAUUUAAUAUUCACAAGGAAUCAUAAUCCAAUUAGGCUUUCUAAUCUUAUUUGAAAAUUUAAUCCUUGUUGUCCUCAAUUUUACAAUACUAGUCCAAUUAGAAUUAGAUGUUUAUGGCCAAGAGUCCUAUUUCUUUGCCAAUUUGAUUUUAAAAUCUAAUUUAAGGCAAUCCUAAACUCUUUAGGAUAUAUUCCAUUACAAUUAGGAGUCUAAAUCCAAGUCAUAACCGAAUUAUUAUAACUCCUAAUUAUAGAGAAGAAAUCGCAUAAGCUAUUACAAUUUUAUUGAGUCUGCAUUACCUUUGCUGUCUCAAAUUCUUUGGAGCUCCAUCCUCAAUUGUUUGCUGCAAUUUUGGCAUCAAUUCAGAGGUAUCUCAUGCCCCAAACAUCAUGCUAGAAACCUCUCAAAACCUUAGCAAAUUUGGAGUACAAACAACCAUGAUUUUGCAAGAGUCCAUGUCACACAAGAAUAACAUUCCAGCAAUCUGUUUGUGCAGAAACAUCAUCAGGUCACCACCCAAACGAGGUGAUUAGAUGCUGUAAAUUUUCAAAGGUUGAGAUCAUUCUCUUGACCUUCUACCCUUAAAAAAUCACGCACAAACUCCUUUCCUAAGUCCCUCAAAAGAAUUUCCAAAGCAGAUCACAUUAUGCUGCAAGAUUUUUCAGAUUUAAAUUUUCUUAAAACAAACCUAUAAAAUCUUUAAGGACUUAUUAUAUCUAGGUUUUAAAUCCAUAAAUCAAGACUUUAAACGCCUUUUGAAACAUAAAUCAGAUUUUAAAAAUCCAUUCAGAAUUUUUCUAAAAAGUUUUUUCAAAUUUUGCAUCAAAUAGACAUAUAAACAAAAACAGUUUUUGUAAUCUUCAACAACUAAACAUAAAACUAGAUUAAAUCAAUUAAAUGAGGCUUUGAUACCACUGAAGGGGAUUCGAAUCAUGCUAAGAUGGAUCAUAUGUAGCAGAAUAUUAAAAUUUUAAUCCCCUAAGCCAUGGAUCAAUUUAAUUGAAACUAAUCUAGAAAAACCACAUAAGAAAGAUUUCGACAUAGUUGAUAGUUUGAUGUUUGCUUUCUUUGGUGGAGUCCUCUUUGGGUUUUUGGUUUUUGACUUUUGUACACCAACUAGGACUUAUCAAACCAUAAUUGUACAAUUGUCUUGCCUCUAAUGGUGAUCGAUAUAUUGAUUUGUCAAAAUCUCUUCAUUAGGGUGUGUGAAUCCCUAAGUCAAAGUUUAUGCUACUAAGAUCUCAACUUUAAGCACCUUUGUGUUUCUCUCUUUUUGGCUAUAAUCCUAUCUCAACAGAUAAGAAAAUAAUAUAGAACUAUUAUGUACAUUCAAGAGGCGGCUAAAGGAUUCUCUUAUAGAGUGAUAGAGUGAAUUGACCUAUUUCAUAUCCAACAAAGAUUAGAAGAUGUUUUGGGCUAGUUGGGCCUUUGUUUAAUACUCUAUAAAAUCAUAUUUGAUUUAGCCCAGUAAUUAAUCAAAUUAAGCCUUUAUAAAUCAAUUAGAUCACAUCCAAUUAAACUCAAAUUAAUUUUGAUAAUUCAGGUUAUGUGUGUGACCCAUUAAGAGUCCAAUAUGUUGGCAAUAAAUAUAAAUUAAUUCAAUUAAGAAUUUAUAUUUAUAUUUAUAUUUAUAGAUCAUGAGUGACAUCUAGCAAUACAUCAUGACCACCUAAAUGUCAAGAGAGUCAAUAUGAUUUGACUAACCUUUUGGUGUAUAGUAUUUCAAUGUAAUUUAAACCUUUGUCAUAUAUCCCAGAUAGAUAGAAAGUUUGGCUCGAUGUCGACCUUCUAACUUAUCCAUAUUAGUCUUGCAGCUUCCAUAUUGACCUAUUAAGAUUGCCUGGCCCAAGGACUUUUAGUCAAUAUAAGCCAAGAGUAAAUGAGAUAUGUCCCCUUUAAAUCACUUGAGGUGAUGAAUCAUUUCUGGACUAUUCAUUCAUCUUUGCAUGCUUCAUGUCAUACCCAAAAGCGCCCUAUUUAGGCAUCUGGUCGACUCUAGACCCGUAGUGGUGAAAUCAAAGCAUGACAAUUCACAUACAAAUGAUCUGGCAUCACAAGUCGAUGGGUUACUUACACUACUAACACAUGAAGGUAUUUCCAUAGACACUUGAGUGGAAUACCAAAUGGAACUCUUAUAGUAGUUCAUGUUCAAUGAACUUGUUCCUUAACAAGCACCCACAUACUAUCCCUAAGUAUUUCACAUACUUCAACCUAUGAGAUUAGUUGUUUACUUCCAAAGUAAGGAAGCUUAGCAUGUACCAAUCUUUGAGCAUUGUCAAUGUCCUUAUUCUUGACAAUAUAAUGACCAAGAACAUAUUUAGGGACAAGGCUUUGAUGCAUAAGAAUCUCAUAACUAUAACCUUUAAAAUUUCUUUGCAAGGCCAUUAUGUUUCAACGACUUUAUCUACACAAGUCUCUCAUAACUCUUUAUAAAUAUAUUAAUGGCUAAAGGAAUACCUCAUACAGUAUAUAAAAUAUCCAUAAUGUAUUUAACAUGAAAUAUGACUAAUUAAUGUAGUGUUUUACAAGCAUAAAUCGAUUAGCUUGUGGGGCUUACAUUGACCCAAAUCAUGGUAAAAAUCAUGUUGAAAGAUGUUAGACUACUGCAGUUGAGUAUGUUGAUAUGAUGGCAUAUGACUACAUAUGACGACAUUUGCUUUAAAGUUUUUGUGAAAAGAAUGUUGAUGUGAAGCUUUUUGAAUACCUCAAGAAACUUUUGGAAGUGCUUAUCAAGCUUUUGUUUUUUAAAGUGUUGGGGAAAAGGUCAUGGUGGUAAGGUUGCUUUUGCUUCCUUCUCUUGAAUUUUCUUGUCAAUUGUCUCAAUCAUUAUUUCAUUCUCAACAAGCUUAUCUUGAAGUUUAGCUUGCCUAAUACUACUUUUAACCUCUUUUUCGCUCCUCAGGGUGAUUGUCAUAACUUGUUCCUUACCUUCUCUCCUAGGAUUCAUUUUUGUAUCAUAGGGUAAGGUCCCUUGAGCUUUAUUGUUUAGUAAGUUGGCAAGUUAACCAUCUUAAAUCUCGAGGUUUUGUAGUGGUGUUGCUUGACUUUGGUUAAUGCUAUUAGUUUGUGUCAUGUAUUGACUUAGCAAAUCCUCCACAGCUGGCUUCUUUAUAAGAAUUAGGCACUCUUGCUUGCUGUUGGAAUCCCGAAGGUGCAUUCAGCUUUGAAGUUGAGGAUGAUCCUUCAUUAUUGGCCUAAAAAAAAUUUGGAUGGUUUCUUCACCCUAGAUUGUAAGUGUUAGAGUAAAGGUUAUUCUACUGUUUAUUCCCCACAAAUUGCAUUAUUUUUGUCAAACUUAGACACUGAUAACUUGCAUGAUCAUCUUCACAAUACUCACAAGCUACAAAUGGACUUUGAAUUGUCAAUACCAAAAGAUUCAAUUGUCUUAGUUAGAGUUGUUACUUGUGCAGAUAAUUUGAAAAGGCAUCCACACCAUAAACUCCACCUACUCUCUUAUGAAUGGAUCACUUUGAUGGCCACUGGUAGUUGUUUACAGCCAUAUCUUCUAAUAAAUCAUAUGCCUUAUCAAUUGAUUUAGCCAUUAAAGCUCAUUUUGUAGUGGCAUUAAUGGUAAUUUGAGCAUGACCACUUAAACCAUUAUAGAAUGUUUACACUUGCAGCCACUUUAGAAGACCAUGAUGAAGGUAACGCCGAAGUAAUUCUUUGUAUUUUCCCAAGCCUCAUACAACAAUUCAAAAUCUUGCUGCAUGAAUGAUGUGAUAUCAUUUCUCAUUUUCACUGUCUUAGCUUGAGGAAAGAACUUAGCAAGGAACUUUUGAGCAAGAUCAGCCCAUGUUGUUAUUGAUCUAAAAGUGUAGCGAAUUCAACUAUAUUGUAGCUUUAUCCCUCAAUGAUAAAAUAAAAAGCCUUAAAUGAGUUGCAUCAUUUGUGACAUCAUUAUGUUUCAAAGUAUCACAUAUCUCCAAGAAGUUUGAUAUAUGGCCAUUUAGAUCAUCAUUUGGUAAACCCCCAAACUAGACUGAAGUUUGAAUUAUGGUGAUGAUGGCCAGCUUGAUCUUUAAAUGGUUGGCUUGAAUAGCCAGCCCUCGAACGCUUGAUGGAAUCACUUGCAUUAAUGGGACAGCAUAAUUCCUUGAGCAAUGAUUUUCUACUACUACUCGCUCUUAGAUUUGUUGUUCAUCCUGUCGAUCAGCCAUUGUAUUUAUUUGAGCAAAACCUUGUUGAUUUUCUCGUCAAAGUCUGCAGAAUGUUCUUUUAAUUAUGGAUCACUAGGUACAAUUUCCAAGCUUUUGGCUUUUCUCAUACAACGACGAAAUGAACUUGUGAAACAAAGAAAUAAAACUUAAAUUAAGAGUAAUUUGUGGAAUUUUAAUAUUAGCAAAUAAUAAAAAAAUCCCCAGCAACAGCGACAAAAACUUGUUGUUGAAUGAUAAUUUUGCCACAUUUUGAUUAUAAAAAAUAUCUAAGUCCUUGUGUUUUAAAGUAAUUUUAGGUAGCCUUUAUGCUUUUCGUUAUUAAGUUUAAUACAUGUUGGAAUGGUUUAAUUUUAGUAAUUUUAGCUCAUAUUUAUGUUAAAAGUCCUAAUUUGAUCCAUCAUUGAUUUAGUCCUUGUUUUGAAGGUGUGCAAGUGCAUAAAAUUUCAUGAAGGUGAACCGAGCAAGGAUGAUUAAGUGUGGAAUUUCCUAAACAUGUUAUGGUAUUUUGACCAUAACUCUCUCCAAAGAACUCCAAAUGAGGUCAUUCUUAAAGCACUAGAAAGCUAAGAGGAAGAGCUACAACUUUAGUCUUUAUCAUUUUUUCAAGGUCUAAUUGGAUCAUGGUAAAACUCCCUAUCAACAUUAAAAUACUGUAGUAGUUUGCAUAGAUUAAAUAUGAUGUGGUAUUUUGACGAUUUCUUUCAAUUAAGAAGUCCAAAUGUUGUGAUUCUUAGACCAUUGGAAAUCUAAGAGACAGUAUUACAACUUUUAUGUUACACUUUGCCUAGUUCAACCUAAAAGAAGGUAAAAAUAACAUCAUAAGAUGAAACAGUGUAGGAAAGACAACAUAAGAGAGGAACGCCAUAGUGCCACCCAAAAGUAGGGCACUAUGGUGCCCAAGAGACAAGGCCGCGAUGCCUAACAAGUUACCAAAAUCUAUUUUUGAUAAGAAUUCGGAAACUAGAACAUUUGAAGCCUAUUCAAAAGGCUUUUUGCAGAGGUUUUGAAAAGAGGAGGUAGCAAGCAAUUUCUCUAGAGAAAAAGAGUCAAAAACAAAGCAAGAAAGCAAGAAAAUUUUAAAGAGAAUCAAGAUCACAAAGCUUCAACUAUUAGUUUUCUCUCUCUACUUUUGUGUUUUUCUUAUUUUUUUUGACUUGGAUUAAUGACUAAUUUUCUUUGGAUGAAAUUUUUAUUAGAUAUUAUGAGUUAAACUAUUUUUUUAGGAUUGUGUUGGAUAUCAACAUAUAAUCUGAAUAUUUGUUUCUCUUUUAUUUACUAUGAAUGGGUAUAGUUUUGCUUAUUCAAAUUUGUUCUUAAUGUUUUUUAUUGUCUAGCCAAUAAUUAAUUGAUUUGUGAAUCUAAUUGAGACACAACAAAGAGAUUUUAGAUUGGACUAAGAUUUGAAUAGUGUAUGUUCAUGUCACUUAGGUGAUCUAAUUUGCGUUUCGGGUAGACAUACGCCAAUUGGCAUACAUAGCCAAAUUAGAACACUAGCUUAAUGACCUUUUUUAAUUGAUUCCUAUAGACAUAUAGUGACUCAAUUAAGUUAGGUAUUUGUGCAAGUAUCUCGACUGAGACUUGUACGUAGCUUUGGAUUCUAGCUUUAUGCAAGUAUCAAACUUUUAGUUAUAGUAGCUACCUAUAUGGUUAAUACAGUGAUGGCAUCCACUUGAAGAACUCCAGCUACUCUACUAUGUGUAGAUUGCUCCAUUGGCCAUUAGUAGUUGUUCGAUGCCAUCUCUUCUAAUAGGUCAUAUGUGUCAUCAAUGGACUUCACCAUGAGAGCUCCUUCAGCAACAACAUCAAUAGUGGUUCCUACUUGACCACUCAAACCAUUGUAAAAUGUUUGGACUCAAAGCCAUUUUGGAAGGCCAUGAUAAGAACAUCGCCUAAGUAGGUCCUUGUGUCUCUCCUAGGCUUCAUAUAGCGAUUCACCAUCAAAUUGUGUAAACAAAGUAAUAUUAUUUCUCAUAUUUGUUGUCUUUGCCGAAAGAAAGAAUUUAGUAAGGAAUUUCUGAGCAAGGUCAUCCCAGGUUGUAAUUGAACCAAUAGGCAACAAGUUUAACCACACCUUUACUUUGUCUCGCAACAAGAAUGUGAAUAAUCUCAAUCGGAUGGCAUCAUCUGUGACCUUUUUGUGUUUAAAUGUGUAACAUAUCUCUAAGAAAUUAGAUAUGUGAGCAUUUGGGUCAUCAUUUGGUAGACCCCCAAACGAGAUUGAUGUUUGGAUCAUAGGGAUGAUGGUCAGCUUGAUCUCGAAAUUAUUUGCUUGAAUGGUUGGCCUUCUGAUGCUUGAUGGAAUACAUUGGACUAAAGGAACGGCACAGUCCUUCAACAAUUAAUUUUCUUCAACUACCGUCUCUUGGACUUGUCACUCACUUAAUUGUUCAGCCAUUGUAUUGAGGAAACAGAACCAUGUUGACUUUCUCAUCUCAAUCUUCAAAAUGUCCUUUUGAUCUCUAAGUUGCACGAGAUAAUUUCUAAGUUUCUUGCUAUAGGCAUAUAAUGUUGAAAUGCACCUGAAAAAAUCAAAGAAAAGAAAAUCUUGGUUUUAAAAAAAUUUGUUUAAUUUAAUAUCAGUAAAGAUAAAUAGGAAAACAAAUCCCUGACAACGACACCAAAAACUUGAUGUCGGUUCAAUACAUGCAAAAGCACAUGGUUGUACAAGUAAUAUAAAGGUAAGUUCAGUAUUGUUUCCCAUAGAGAUUUGCACCUAUACCUACUAAGUAUUAAAUUUAUAGAAAAGUUUAUUCUAUCCAAGCACUUGAUUAUGAAUUAUUGAUUAAGUUAAAAGUAAUUUGUAAAAUUAACUAAAUGAGGAAGAAUAAAAUUUCACUAAGAAAAAUAUUAAUUCAAAAGCCUAAGAUUAUGGUGUCUCUGAAUAUUUCAUUUGAAUCUAAUCAUUCUCCUUAACUUAGAUUAAUGGGGUACAAGUAGAGCUGUCAACAUAGGUUAGCCCAGCCUAGCCCAGCCCAAGCCCUUGUGGGUUAAGAAAAUAUAGGUUGGGCCAAGUCAACCCAUUUUUUAUAUAGGCCAUCAAAACCUUAACCCAGCCCACCCUUUGCUAGCCCAUGGGCUAGGUUGGGCCAGCCUAUUUCUUUUUUUUUUCAAAAAAAUUUUAUUUUUGUAAUUUUAUUUAAUAAAUUUUCUAUUAAUAAAAUUAUUCUAUGAUUUAAUUCAUAAAUUAAAAUUAUUAAUUUGAUAAGUAAAGAUUAAACACAUUAAAAUGUAUAAAAUAAGCAAUACUAUUGGUAACUAAAUUAUUAAUUUUAAAUAGUUAAAUAUAUAAAAUUAUUAAAUUAAUUAAAAUUAUUAAUUUUUUCUAGGGCCAUAGGGCUGGCUCGUCCCAGCCAACUGAUUUGAUGGGCUAGCUCAUUUAGGCCCAAUUCUAAUAUGGGCCUAAAUUUUCAAACCCAACCCACCCCAUAUUUAAUAAAAAAUGAGCCAAUCUAAUGGGCCAGGCCCAUUAUGACGAUAUAGGUACAAGGCUAUCCUAGAAUCCAUAUUCUAUACAAGUCUUUAUCAAGUUCAUGCGCACAUAGCUUCUCAUAGCUAAUUCCAUAUGUCUAUGUAAAUUAAUUAGAAAAGGUUCAUUCUGUUCGUGUUCUAAUUUGGUUGCCUAAGGUAUUUAGGUAUAUGUCUAUUCUAAAUACUAAACUAUCACCUAACUCCAAAGUGAAUUGAACAUAGGCUAUUCAAAACUAUGAUUUAUUCUAAACUCCCUCUGUCUAGUUACAUUUAGAGACCUAAUGCACUUCAAGUAAGGAUCAUGCAGUGAAAAGCAAUAAGCAUAGGAUUGAAUAAACCAUGCAACAUCCAUUGAUACUAAGCAAAGAGAAAUCAUAUAUUCAAACUACAUAAUGAAGUAAACCAUAAUCCUAGAAAACAAAUUUAGCUCAUUAUCAUUUCUGCAGCAAACAUAACCAUUUCAAAAGAAAAUAUCAUUUCCACAGCAAAAGAACAAGGAAGAAAUGAAGAACUAAAAAGCAUAACAAAGCCUUUUUCAAUUCUCGAUCUUUGGUUGUCUUCAAUUUCUUUCGUUUCUCUUGUUGGAGAGCUUUUUUCUUUUCUCUCAAAAACUAUCAUUUGUUCACUGUAAGUCCUCUCUUAAUCAGUUAUUGAAAAUCACAUAUUUUUAGCCUCCAAAAAACCUUCAAAAUUCAAUUCAUGAUUGGCUGAAAUCACUUAAUCCACAUUAGAGUGCAGCGGUGCUCCACCCUUAUUUCUUUUUAGUCUUCUUCAGUCGGGGACUGCAGCCCUCCUCUUUGGCCGCCCCAACACUAGCCUCUCGAGAGUUUGUAUGGAAAUAGUGAUGGUCCCUUAGGUGCUGCAGCCUUGAGUACUUCUUGGCCGUGGUACUGCUUUUUGUAGACCCUUGGCGUAGAAACUACUUCAGUAACUCAUCUUGAAAUGUGAUUUUCUCCUAUCUCGAGGUUGAUUUAGGAAGAGUGGUAAACAUGAACGUUGUAGGUCUACCUCUUAUCUUUUUUAUUGUCUAAGAAUCACAUUGAUUGAAUCUUUUUAUCUUGAGUUAUGUCCAAAUUACUGCAACAUAUUUAGCUAAAAUUUGAGUUUAGUCUUUAUUGCGUAAUUCAAUACCAUUUAGCUUUAUACACUUUUAUGCACUUGAACACCUACCAAAACAAGGACUAAAUCAAUAUUGGCUUAAGUUGAGAAAUUCAACAUUAAAAUGAAUUGAAAUUAAGUGAAUUUAACUACUUCAACAUAUCUUAAACUAAAUAACCAAAACACAUAAAAACUAACUCAAACUAACAGACGUUCAUAAGGACUUAGCUAAUUCAGCAUCCAAAAUGUGAUUAAAUAACUCUAUAUCAUAGGAUUAUCAAGUACACGAUCGCGGGGCUAAGGAAGUAGCACCAUGACUAUGCAAGAAAGGCCACAACACUACAGCAUCACAAAAAUGAUAAGCAUUAUACAAUUCCUAUGUACACGGCGCUGCGAUGCCAAAAAAGGCAACGCCACAACGCCAAAGAGGGCAAUGCUGCAACAUCACACAAUUUUCCAAAAUUAAAACUCUUGACGAGGAUUUUGAAAAACAGGUUCUUUUGAGCUUAUUUAAUGGACCUUUUUCAAAGGUUUUAAGGGAGGAUGGCAAGCAACUAUUCUAGAGAAAAUGACCCAAAAACAAAGCAAGAAAGCAAGAGAUAUAAAGAGAGAAUCAAGAUCAAAAGCUUCAAUCAUUAGUUUCUUUCUCUACUUUUGUGUUUCUCUUAUUUUCUUUGAUUUGGAUUAAUGCCUAAUUUUCUUUAGAUGAUUUUUUAUUUAGAUAUUAUGAACUAAUUUGUUUUUCUAGGAUUCUGGCAGAUUUUAACAUGUAAUCUGAAUAUUAGUGUCUCUUUUAUUUAUUAUGAAUGGGUAUAGUUUUGCUUAUUCAAAUUUGAUCUUAAUGCUUUUGAUGGUUUCGCCAACAAUUAACUAAUUUAUGAAUCUAAUUGACACUCGAUAGAAAGAUUUUAGAUUUGGCUAAGGUUUGAAUGGUGAAUGUUCACGUAACUUAGAUGAUCUGGUUCAGGAUAAGGGUAGACAUAUGCCAAUUGUCAUAUAUAGCUAAAUUAGAAUACUAACUUAAUAAACCUUAUUUAAUUGAUUGCUAUAGGCAUAUAGCGACCCAAUUAAGUUAGGUAUUUGUGCACGCAUCUAGACAAAGACUUGUGCAUAGCUUUGAAUUCUAGGUUAGCAAAACCAUCUAUGAAUAUAAAUAAUAAGAAAAGCUGAUAUUAGAUAAAGUGUUGAAUGAACCCAUUGUUCUAGGUUUUAGUCUAUUGCUUUUCUCAGGUGAAUUUUUAGUUUCUAUUAAUUCAUUUAGUGUAUAUUUAAUUUAGUUUUAAUUAGUUUUCUAAAAAUUCGAGUUAUUUGAAUAAGAUUAGUUUGUUAUAAUUUUGGUACUUAAUGAAGAUUUAGGAAAAAAUUCUUAUGGGAUACGAUUCAAGACUUACUGUUUAUAUUACUUGUUCGAUAUGUAUAGUUACGUGUGCAACAUCGACAACAAACACAUACUUGUAAGCUUUCAAACAAUGCAUAUUCAGCUAAGAAAAAAAAGAGUGAAAAUACCUUGAGAUGUUAUUUGAAUAUAGGAACAAGCAAGGAAGAAAUAGUUGAAGAGAAGCGCCAAAAAGCUAAGGGAACCUCAAGACACAAAUUAAGAGUCGAUCUUAGAGAAGCUCAAAUCAGUCCAAAGGUAUAAAGAGUGCAAAACUUGAAGAUUAUAAAGCCAUAGUCGACCCUGAAAUGUCUAUAGUCAACCUUGUUCCAAAAAGCUCAAGAAAAUCAAGUUUUGAAUAGACAUAGUUGACCUAGGCCCAAGUAUAGUCGACCCUGACAAGUCAAAAGCAUGAAAAAGUUGACUUUAUGUAGACAUAGUCGACUGUAAAGGAGGCAUAGUCGACAAUAGAAGCUUAGAUUUGCAAACAACACGCUCUCAAAAGAUAAAUCAAAUAGAGGAAGGUUAUACUCGACUAUGGAGCCCUAAUUUAAGAAAUCUGAAUAACAUAGUCAACCCUAGGAGCGUUGUAGUCAACCCUUAAGCUUCAGCAACAAUCAAAUUUGAUUCAAACUUGUGUCUAACAACUCUGAACUUCACCUCAGCUAUAAUAGCCGCAUUUAAGCUAUAUGGAAGCAAGAAAUGACCUGAACCAAAGCUUCAAACCCUAAAGAGACCUUUAAAAGCUUAUCUUCACUCUCUAGCAUCUUUUUAGUCUUCCACAAAGAUUUGAAGAGCCAUAUAUGUGCUUCAUUAAAGUUGAAAUUUCUUCUUUCACUACACACAAGCUUAGAGUCUUAGUAUUCAACUUUUGUAAAUGCAUUUUCUUGCUGAAAUUUGUCUCAAUUGUAAAGGUUCUAGCUUAGCCUUGAAAAGCUAUUUGUGAGGGUUUAUGGUUGAGCCUUUAAAAACCAUUGUUGGUGGGUUAUCGCUUGAUCCCAUUAAAAAGCAAGAAUCUCUCUAUGGAUUGUGCGAGGCUUAUCGCUUGAUCUUGUGAAAAAGCUAUUGUAAGGGUUAUUACUUGAUCCUAUUAAAAAGAAAAAAAUCCCCUUUGUGGAUUGUGUGAGGAUUAUCACUAUGUCUCGUUAAAAAGCAAGAAUCCUUGAUAGUGGAUUAAAAUUCCUUCAUUACAAAGAAAAUGAAUGUAGGCAUCGAAAAAGCCAAACCACUAUAAAUUCUUUGUGUUUUUUAUUAAUUUUCUGUAUUAUUAUUUAUUGCUCAUAUUUUUCUUAGAAAAAUAGUUUUUAAUAUUGAUUUAUUGUUCUACACUUAGGAAAAUAUUUUUCCCUUUACCUUUCAUAGUUAACAUUUAACUUAGGAAAAAUAUUUUAUUUUAGUAUAUUAAUUUUAUGUUUAGCAAAAAUUUUUUUGAAAACUUGUUUUUGAUACUAGAAAAUAUUUUUUGGUGAAAAAGGUUUUAUUUUAAUACUUAGAUUUUCAAAUAAACUUUCAUAUACCAAUUCACCCCCCUCUUAGUAUAUUCCCUUUGUUAGACUUCUACACUAAUAAUUUGUAUCAGAGCUUGGUCUCAAAUUUUGUAGGUCUAACUGCUUUUGAGAUAUCCUUUGUAGAAACUUAAAUCGACAAAAUAAAGGUGACAACAACUAUACUUGGUGAAGGGCAUUCAAUCCAAAGGCCACCCCUUUUUGUAAGUAAGUUCUACCCUUAUUAAAAGAAACUUAUGGAAAUGUUUAUUAAAUUUAUGGAGUUAGAUGUUUGGAAUGUCAUAUCAGAUGGUCCACAUGUUCCAAGUAAGGAGGUAGAUGGCAAAGUAGUCAUUAAGUCUAUGGAAGAAUGGGAUGAUAAAGAUAAGAAAUUAAUUCAAAUAAAUUGCAAAACUUGUAAUACUCUUCUUUGUGUCUUAGGAACUAGUGAGUUUAAUAAAGUGUCUAUGUGUGAAAAUGCAAAACAAAUUUGGGACACCUUAGAAACCACUUAUGAAGGCACCAUCCAAGUCAAGGAAUCCAAGAUUGGAUUACUUACACAUGAUUAUAAGCUUUUUAGGAUAAAAGAGGGUGCGUCAAUUAAUGACAUGCUUGAAAGAUUCAUUAAUAUUGUAGGAGGUUUAAAAAUCUUAGGAAAAGAUUUCCCAAGUGCACAACUUGUAAAGAAAAUCAUUUAUAGCUUACCAAAAUCUAUAAUGAAUUGGUAAGUAUAUUUGAAGACUUAAUUCUCACAUUUCAAGAUCUUAGCUUUAGCCAUAAAGAAGAAAUUUCUAAGCUCAAGAUAAAAAAUGAAUCAUUAAUGGAAGAAAACAUUCAAUUAAAAAUUGAUGUUGAGACACUUCAAAGAAAUUAGGAAAUUAAAGAAUAUUGUUAAAGGAAAAGAAAAAGUUAUUAAAAGUAAAAAGUCUCAUAAAUUUGUCAAUUUUUUAGUGCAUUCAUUAUUAAAAUCAUUCCCAUUGAUAUUCAUUUUAUGAACACAUUUUUUGAGAUUAACCCUGAAGGAUCCAAAGCAAAUUUGCAUACCAUAUUUUAAGUGAAAAUGAGUUUAGUACAUGUGAAACCCAAGGAAGAACAAACUCAAGAUUAAACACAAAAUAAAUAUGGGUAAUAUCUAUUUCCUUACUCUUUUUAAUUUUGAAGAAUGCUUGAUUGAUGAAAUUCUAUUGAUUAUGAAUUAGUUGUUGAGCAUUGAGUGUUGUUCAUGUUGCAUUUGCAUGAAAAUAUAUGAUUGAGUGUUGAUUGUGCAAAAUUGUUGAUUACAAGGAAUGUGAGCAUGGAAUUCAUUUACACUUAAACAUAAAUGAUUUGAUGAGGAUGAUAAGAUUAUGAUUUAAGUAUAACAAGAUUUCACUACUUAAAUUGAUUUCUGAUGAGUGCAUCAAAUAUAUAUAUUUAACGAGAGAUUAAAUACCUAAUUAGUCUAAGUUAGACUAGAUUUAGGAUCAGAUUUAGGUGUUUUUAUUUUUUAUAUUAAUUUAUUUUAAUUUAUGUUUAAAUGUUUAUUUUAAGUUAAUAAUGUUAGUUUUAUGUUAUUUAUAUUUAUUUUAAUGUUUUUGUAGGAGUAGAAUCAAAAAUAAUUUCAAUUGGUGAAGAAGGGUGCAUAAUGGACUAGUGCUCUGUAUGCAUAUGUUCUUGUUGUUCAAGCAUAUCUCCCACCACAGAAGUCCAAAUGACAUGAUUUUUAGACAAUUAGAAAGCUAAGAUGCAAGGCUACAACUUUGAUGUUUACCAUUUUGCCCAGUUCUAAUCGAAAAGUGGUCAAAAUCUUUGUCGAAGCGAAAGUACUACACCAAAUGAAGAAAAUUGAGUAGAACCUUUGAAAGCCAUGGUUCUGGAAAAUGAGAGCCGCAGCUCUCACCGUAUUUUCAAAAAAUAACAAGCUUAUGAAAUUUUGGAAGCAAGGGCUUUUGGAGGCUAUUUAAGGGGCCUUUUUCAGAGGUUUUUGGGAAAGAGGCAUCAAGCAAUUUCUCUAGAGAAAAAGAGACAAAAACAAAGCAAGAAAGCAAGAGAAUUGGAGGGAGAAUCAAGAUCACAAAGCUUCAACUAUUAGUCUUCUCUCUCUACUUUUGUGUUUUUCUUAUUUUCUUUGACUUGGAUUAAUGGCUAAUUUUCUUUGGAUGAAGUUUUUAUUAGAUAUUAUGAACUAAACUAUUUUUCUAGGAUUGCAAUUGAACUCACAUGUAAUCGAAAUUUUUAAUCUCUUUCUUGCUUAUCUUUAAUGGGAUUAGAAAUGUUUAUUCCAAUUUGUUCUUAAUACUUUUAAUUGCCUAGCCACCAAUUAAAUUGAUUUAGGAACAUAAACAAACUUGGGAAAGGGAGUCUAGUGUAAACUAAAAUUGGGAUAGCAUAUAAUCAUAUUAAUUGAUUUGCAUAUGGGAUAAGGAUAUACCUAUAGGCCAUAUGUAGUCAGAUUAAAGCUUGAACUUAAUGAGUAUGUUUUAAUUUCAAUUCACAUAGGAAUAUAGUGUUUUGGUUAAAAUAGAUAUUUUUAUGAGAUGAGUCGGGAGACCCUUAUAAAUAAUUUAGGACUCUAGGUUAGCAAUUCAACCCAUUGAAAUAAGUUAAGGAAGAGAGGUAAAACUUAGAUGAAGUGUGAGGGAUAUUGUAAUCCUAGGCUUGUUUGAUUUGAUAUUUACUCAAGUUAUUAUUAUUGUGAUUUUUCUUGUUGAUUUAAAUUUUAGUUAAUCAAUUAAUUUUGAGUGUUUAGAUAAGAUUAAUUUGUUUUAAUUUUAGUACUUAGUAAAAUUUUAGAUCAAUUCUCUGUGAGAUCGAUACUCUGCUUACUUAUUUACUAUCUAUUCGAUAUAUAUACUUACGUAGUAGAAUUUUAACUGACAAGUUUUUGGCGCCAUUGCUGGGGAAUUGUUUCUAGAAUUUUUACUAAUACUAAUACCAAGCAAAUUUAGUCUUGAUUUAAAUUUUUUUUAUUUUAUUUUCAAGUACUUUUGGUUGAGGUGAUGAAUUAUUGUAACUAUCAAUGGACAUCUAAACAAUUUGUGCCUAGGAGGGUUGCUAGUAAUUAUGAAUUGGCUAUUAGAGCUUUGGCAGCCGAAGUAGAUGCUUUGUCUCAAAAAAUUGACACUUGGGGUGUUAAUGUUUUUCAAUGUCCUUUUGUGGCAUGUGAGCUUUGUGGAGAUAGGCAUUCAAGUGAUUGUUGUCCAACUUAUUAUGAAUCAAUGCAAUUUAAUGGAAACUUCAAUGGGCAGCAAAACAAUUCAUACCCCAAUAAUUACAACUCAAGGUGGAAUCACCAAAACUUUUCUUGAAGAAAUGAUCAGGGUCUUACAUAUUCAUCACAACCUAUUUUCCAUAAUGGUUUUUGGUAGCAAGUUAGAGCUCUUGUCCCUAAAAGGAAGCCUACCUUAGAAGAUGUUCUCAUGCAAUUCAUGACAAAGAAUAAUGCCAUCAUUCAAAGUCAAGGAGAAUCAAUCCGAAAUCUUGAGACUCAAUUAGGCCAACUUGCUAAUUACAUCAACAAUAGGCCUCAAGAAAUUUUACCAAAGAACAUUGAGCCUAAUCCUAGAAGAGAAGAAUCUGGUAAGCAUCUUGAUGAGGUAAAUGGCAAGAAUGUGGUAAAUGAUGAAGAUAAAGUUGAUCAAGGAAAUACUUCUAGCAAUCAAGUUCAAGAUGAAAAAACUAACGAAGAGGAAGAAGUAUCUACACUACCAUAAGUCAAGCCAUAUGUGCCUCUCAUUCCUUUUCUAGAUACAGUUGAUAAGUCACCUAAAAAGGUUGUUGAUAUGGAAAGUCCAAAGAAACUCCUUGAAGUUUGUUUGGUUUAAGAUGCAACAACCAAGGACCAAAAUGAAGAACUUACAAAUGUUACAUAUGUUUUAAAGGCUGCACUAAAAGUGUUGGCUCCAUUAGUUUUUUAUGAUAAUAAAACAUUCUCACUCAUUUAUGUCUAACCAUACUACUUGAGUGUGCAGUAUGAAAAUGUAUGUCAACGAUAAAUUAAUCACUCAAAAGCAAAUAUCAAAACUCAUACAAAUAAGGAGCUACAAUUGAGCCACAAAACAAAAGCCUCUUUGUCAGAUAACUAAGGGAGUUAGUCAACUAAAAUUCAAAAAUGAAGUUAGAUGGGUUCAGAGACAAAAAUGACUUAAUCGACUAAGAAGCAUUGUUAGUCGACUAAGAGCUCACUACCAGAAACUAAGAUCAGAAAUAGAGACGACUUAAUCGACUAAGAAGCAUUGUUAGUUGACUAAGAACUCACUGCCAGAAACUGGAAUCAGAACACAGAGAUGACUUAAUCGACUAAGAAGUAUGUUAGUCGACUAAGAGCACUCUGUCAGAAAAUUUGAAUUUGAAUACUAGAAGACAAAUUAACGGCUAGAAUGACUCCAAACUAUUUUCCAAUGGUCAGAAACUAUCAAACAUCUAUCAGAGUUGAUUUUUCAAGUAUAUAAGGCACUCUCAACGGCUAAGAACAAGAUUAGAUGCUUCCAAGAUCAAAAAAAGCUCAAAAAUAGAAAAAACUCUCUGCAUACUAUCACAGCCCAAUUCUCAAGCCAUGACCGGUGCAAGGGCCCAAUGGGCUUAACCCACUAAGCCCAAGCAAGCCUAUUUAUAUAAUCUUAUACAUUAAUCCACGUUUCGUUAAAAUUCAAAAUUUGUAGUGUUCAAGUAUAGCUCCUUUGAAAACAAUUCAUAAAACCCAAUCAUGCAUUCAUAAUGGCAUCAUUAACCAUUAUAUACAUAUAUAGAUUAACAAAUGAAUCUUAAUAUUUCACAUCAAGUAUUCAUAUAUACAUAAUUAGACCUUGACCGUCAACGUAGUGACUCUGGGCACGGUUGCUAACAUCUAAUGUCAUGGUAAACCUACCGAGCAAUGGAUAGGGAGGAGCACCUCGUCUUAGGAUCUAAUCACCUUUAACUCAGGAAACCUAAAACAUGAAGUUUAAAAACGUGAGUACAAACUCAGUGAGUGAACAUAGGAAGGGAACGAGCAACGUUAAGGAAAGUUUAGAAAUCAUGAUGCACUUAGUUCAAAAAACAAUGCAAUUUAGUUUAACUCUUAUUAAAACCCCUCAUUUCUAACCCUUGGUUGUUCAAUCACUUGAUGAUGAAGGAUCCAUGAACCACAAAAAGUUAAAGAGUGAAAACUUUUGUAGAAUUCAAGCAAGUCAAGCAUAAUAGAUUGAUUCUCGCUGUAGUGAAAAGGCAUUCUCUCUGUAGCGAAAAGGCAUUCUCGCUGAAACGAAAUUCUGGCCAGAUAAAAUCUAAGGGGUUUUCACUACCACAAGGAAGAUCCAUUCAUGCCACAUUGUACAUUAAAUUGAAUACAUUGACAAUAAUCAAGUUUCUCAUUAUUCAUUUCAAUCACAUAUUAUAAUCAUAAACUUUCUAUCACAUAUACAUAUAUAAAAAUGUACACCACCCCACUUCAUUCAUCGUCAUGUGCACUCCCUACUCGCUCAUAGCUAGGUCAUCAUCGGUUUAUGCGCACUCCCUACUCGCACAUAGCCGGGUCAUCAUCGGCUUAUGCGCACUCCCUACUCGCACAUAGCUGGGUCAUCAUCAUCACACAAAGGAGCAUCCAAAGCAUAAUACACAUAUCAAUAUAAUGUGAUAACUCAUGAACUAUUCAUAUUGCACAUUUCACAAGAUAGAAACAUUUCAUCAAGGGCUUGUUCCCUAAGUAUAUUUUUGAAGCAAAAACAAAUAAAACUUUCAAAUGAUUUAUUUAAACAUGUGGACACUCUCCAAAACUUUUUUUUUGAAAUGCAAUUUCACUCACCCAGCAACAACGAGAUAUUAAGUCGCUAUUUGUUCGGAGGUGUCUCUAGCUAUUCCUACUUGCCGAUCGCUUGUUAUUUCCUCCGACGCCCCACUAUAGUGCACUACCUUUACUUUGACACUCCCUAGCAACAAUCCAACUCAACAUAUUUAAUUAUACACGCAUAUGGUAGCACUUAAAUCAAUUAGUCCUUAAUCUAAUUCACAUUUUUCAUCCUCAUCAUUCAUUUAUUAUUACUAUUACCAUUAUUAUUUUAAAACUAACUAAAUCUAUUAUUGAUUUUCUUAUUAUUGAUAUUUACCUUCAUACAUUGUACUUACACUAGUUUCAUAUUAAAUAUUAUUUAACAAUUCUAUAACAUUUAUACCAAAUAAUUCAACUUAUUCUAUAUCAUUCUAUCACACAUUCAAACCAAUGAAUUGGACUAAACCUAAACAACAUACUUCAUAAUGGAUCCAUAAAGAAAAGGCUUGAUUUUAAAUUUUACCUCACUUAGGCUUAGAUGCUAAUCCAAGUAAAAUAUUGUAGCCCACCAGACCUUCCUUGCCAAAUGUAUUGUUGGAGGCCCAAAGGAAUAAUUAUUAUUAUUUAUUUAUUAUUUUUUUCUUUUCUUACACUCACAAGCCAGCCACAAUUUUCUCCUCUCUCUCUCUCUCACUGUCGACAGUAAUUUUCUGCUCCUUUCAACCACAAAAAUCAGCAGCCAAAGCUACUUAUCUCAGCCUCAAAGAUCAGCAGCCAAAGUUGCUUAUUUCACCCUUAAAAUCGGCAACCAAAACCUCAAAAAUCAGCAACCAAAGUUGCUCCUUUCAGCCUUCAAAAUCAGCAGCCAAAGUUGCUCAUCUCACCCUCAAAAUCGACAACUCAAGCCUUUGUUUACUCCCUCACAAACCCACCAGAACCAGCCCUUGUUUUCUCUCUCAAAAUUUGUAGCAAAACUUUUUCUUUUCCCUCUCAAAAUUUGCAACAAAACUCUUUCUUUUUCCCUCUAAAAAAUUGUAGCACAAAGCCUCUCUCUUUCUCCCUUGGCCGGUGGCUUUCCCCUUUCUCUUUUUCUCUCUUUCUUCUUCGGCUUUCCCUUUGCUCUCUCACAACUGACUUCUCUCUUUCUUCUUUUCCUUUCUCCUUUCUUCCAACCAACCUUACUUAUUUUCUUUCUAAGGGCACGAUUUCCUUGCCAAAACAAAGCCAAUUUCCUUAUUAUUGGUGUGGCGGAUAAAAGGAAGGAAAAAAGCAAUGAGUGUGAUGAUGUUUCUAGAAAUAUUUUGGGAUAAGAACAAAAUAAAGUAAAAUAAAAAAGUUGGCUUCAAGUGGCCAGCCAUAUGAAUGAAAAAGAAGAAGUCAAAAAGUGAGGUAAAAGCUUGUUCAUUUAGUCAAGUAAUACAUAGUAAAUUUUUUUGUCUUUUCCUUUCUUUCUCUUUUUUUUUUUUGUACAUAAACCUUACAUUUCCAACAAUCUUACAUAGAUGGCCGGCCAUGAGAAACAAAAAGAAGAGUCAAAGCUUCCUUUGGAAGCUUUGACCAAGCUUUGUAAAAAUAUUACCCUUUUGCCUUUUAAGGUUCUCAUCCUUUUAAUUAAGUCCUCCCAAAAUCUUUAAAUCUCCAAUUUCCUUCUAUUAUCUUCUUUUACAUAUGCACAAACGAAAUAUAAAGUUUGUACCCCAACAUAGUGUCUCCAUAAUAUUUAAAAUAUUUAUUUACCCGCGCUAUCUUUCUUUAAUAAAAACAUGCGGGCCCCAUUAAUAUCAUUUUUCUCCUAAAUUUUCUUGUUCUUCUUCUCCCUCACUUAGAUUUACCAUAUACUCCUCUUUCAUGGAAAAUUUCGACACUGCAUAAAAUAUUAAUAUUUUAAUAUUAUUUUAUUUCAAAAAUUUUCCUCUCGCCUCCUUUUGUCUCCUUGGUACCCAAAAUACCUUAUUAUGCCUCAUUUUACUUCCGAAUCACUUGUUAUCUCACAAAUUAUUUCUCGAUAAAAAUAUUAUUAUUUUAUUAUUAUUUCCUCGCAUGCAGAAUAUUUUAUCCAAAACUAUUUCUUUCAUCUUUCAUCACUUUUAAACAUUAUAAUUAACCUCAAUUGGCAUCCGAUAAGUUUUAUUACUCACUAUAUCAAAGUACAAGAUAUUACACAUACUUUCUACACUUCACUCUAAUCCUUGUAAUAGAGUUAAGCACUUUAUCUUGUACCAUUCAGAUUAGGUUAGUGAUCAUAGGUACUCCUUUAUUUCUGUUCUCGUUGAUUACUUAAAGUGUGCAAGUCACUCUAAGUGGACUGAUCAAGCUUGGGUUAGCUUGAUUGGGUGUAUAGGUUCUAACUCAACCUAAAAAAAGUUAGUUUUAGGUUUUGGUUGAUCCUGGGAAAAACCAUUGUUAAAAGUUGUGGCUGAGCCUAUGAAAAGCCAUUGUAAAACCUCUGUGGAAGCUUGGGAAUUCCACCGUUUAUAGUGAUUUAGUAUGAAAAAUCCUUAGUUGGAAGAUCAAGGUAGUGGAUGUAGGUCUUUGACUAAACCACUAUAAAUCUUUGUGUAUUUUCUGCUCUGUUUUAUUUUUUAUUUUCAUUCUUUCUUAAAUCAUUCCUUCAUCUUGCAUCAAAUUUCUCAUCAUUGACCUUUAAUUUGCCCCAAAUUAGAAACCAAGUUUAGUGAGAGCCAAAAAGUGCUAUUCACCCCCCUCUGACAUAUUUAUUUAAGACCAACAAGUGGUAUUAGAGCCUAUCCCUCUUUCUCAAGGCUUAACAUCCUAAAGGAGAUCCUAAUGGCUCUUCAAAAUUAGUAGUUGUUAAGGAACAGUCCACAAACAGACUACCUCUGUUUAAUGGCUCAAAUUACCCCUAUUGGAGCACUAAAAUGUCAAUCUAUAUAAAGGUAAUAAAUUAUGAGAUGUGGGAUGUCAUCACGGAUGAACCCUUCAUUCCUUCAACCAUAAAUGUAUGACCAGUGAAAUGAUUCCUAAGCCAAAGUCUAAUUGGACUGAAGUUGAAACCAAAAAGGUCUAGACAAAUUUGAAGGCAAUAAACACUUUGCAUUGUGCUUUAACUCCUACUGAGUUUAAUAAAGUGUCAAGCUGUACCACUGCCAAACAAGUGUGGGACAAACUUAGAGUUAUCCAUGAAGGGACUUCACAAGUCAAGGAGUCCAAAAUAGCUCUUCUAACUCAUAAUUAUGAAAUGUUCAAAAUGGAACCUGGUGAGGACAUCACCAGCAUGCUUGAUAGGUUCACAAACAUUACCCAUAAACUUAGUCAGUUAGGCAAGCCGUUUCCUAAACAUGAACUAGUAAAAAGACUUCUUAGAAGCCUCCCUACAACUUGGAAGCCAAAAGUGACUGCCAUUAGAGAAGCUAAGGAUUUAAAUGUCAUCACACUUGAUGAAAUAUGCAAGUUUUUUCUUACUCAUGGGCUAGAGCUGAAAGAAGAAGAAAAAGAAAACAAAAGAAAAGCAAAAGAAAAUAAGACAAGCAUUGCCUUAAAAGCAAGUACUCUUGAAGAAGAAUUGGAUAACUUAUCAUGUGAAAAUGAUGAAGAAUUAGCUAUGGUAGCAAGAAGAUUCAGAAAACUUAUGGGACAAAGAGAUAGGAGGCUGGCUAAGAAAGGUUAUAGAAGAGAACAAAGUUCUUCAUGGAAAAAUAGAAGUAAAAAUGAAUCUAAUAAGAAGGAAGAUGUCAUUUGUUAUGAAUGCAAAAAGCCUGGACACUUCAGAUCAAAAUGCCUCAUGUUGAAGGAGGAAACUCCCAAGAAAAAUAGAAAAUCAAAGAAGGCUAUGGUGAUGGCAACUUGGUCGGAUAGUGAUGUUUCAAGUUCAGAUGUUGAAGAAGAGAAAGUAGAGGAAAAAGCAAACUUAUGUUUGAUGGCCAGAGAUGAUGAAUCUGAGGUAUCUUUUGCUCCUUGUGAUAUUUCAAUUGAUGAAAUUCAAGAAGAAUAUGAAUGCCUCUAUGAUGAAUUUGAAAAGCUGGCAUCAAAAUAUAAAGCUUUAACAAGAAAGACUACAUCUUUUUAAAAUUAUUUGGAAAAGAUAAGACAUGAGUUCAACUAUGUUUUUGAACAAAGAAAUUUUCUUCAAACUGAAUUAGAAUAUUCAAAAACAAAUUUUAAAGUUCUGAAAUUGGAAUUGGAUAACAGAACUGAAGUUUUACAAAAAGCAACUGAUGAAAAUACUGUUCUUAAGAGUUUGAAAAAGGAAACAUCAAGAAGAAACACAUACUUUAAGAAAAAUUAUGAUAGUUUCUCAUCUAGAUGUUAUGUUUGUGAUAAACUUGGUCAUCUAUCUUAUGACUGUUAUAGAAGAAAAAGCACGCAGAAAACAAUAAAGAUUUGGGUUCCAAAAGGAUCCUAUGUAGUAGCUAACCUUCAAGGACCCAUCAAGGCAUGGGUACCGGUUAAGAAAAACUGAAAAUUUGUCUUGUAGGUUGAGCCAAACCGAAAAGACAUAUGUUUAAGAGUUCAAUUGAAAGAGAAGCAACCAUGGUACAUGGAUAGUGGCUGUUCAAGACAUAUGACUGGAAACUAAAUGUUGUUUGCUCAGUUGGAUAAGAAAAAGGGAGGUACUGUAUCUUUUGGAGAUGAUUCAAAAGGCAGAAUUUAUGGUAUAGGAACUGUUGGUAAGAACUCUCAUGCUCAAAUUAAUCAUGUGCUAUUUGUUAAAGGAUUAAAGCACAAUCUCUUAAGCAAGAGUCAACUAUGUGACAAAGGGUUUAACGUAUGUUUUUAUUCACAUAAAUGUGAAGUCAUAGAUAUUAGUACUAACAAAAUUUCAUUCAUAGGAAAAAGAAUAAAAAACAUGUAUGUCAUAUUUCUUGAAGAUCUUGAAUUAAAUUGUGAAACAUGUAUUAUGGCAAAUGAUGGAAAUGAUAGCUAGUUAUGGCAUAAAAGACUUAGACAUGUAAGCAUGCAUACCAUCUCAAAAUUGAUGAGAAAAAAUCUAGUUAUAGGAUUGCUUGAACUUAAAUUUGACAAUGAUCAGAUUUAUGAUGCUUGUCAAUUAGGUAAACAAGUUAGAACUUCCUUCAAAACCAAGAAGAUUAUUUCAACCUUUAGACCUCUUAAAUUGCUGCACAUUGAUUUAUUUAGUCUAAUCAACAUAACUAGUCUAGGAGGCAAAUCAUAUGGUUUUGUGAUAGUUGAUGACUACUCUAGUUACACUUGGGUCUACUUCCUUGCUCAUAAAAAUGAUGCAUUACUUGCAUUUGCAAAUCAUUGUAAGAAGGUUCAAAAUGAAAAAGGAUUUGUCAUUGUUAGUAUUAGAAGUGAUCAUGGAGGUGAGUUUGAAGAAGAUGAUUUUGAAAAUUUUUGUAAUGAAAUGGGGUUAGAUCACAAAUUUUUUGCACCUAGAACACCUCAACAUAAUGGGGUUGUAGAAAGGAAGAUUCAAACUUUAAAAGAAAUGGCUCGAACCAUGCUGUGUGAAAACAAUCUAUCAAAAUAUUUUUGGGCAGAAGCUGUCAAUACAGUAGCCUACAUUCUUAAUAGAGUUUUUAUAAGGGCCAUGAUUUCUAAAACCCUUUAUGAAUUGUACAAAGGUACAAAACCAAACAUUUCUCAAUUUAGAAGUUUUGGCUGCAAAUGUUUUGUAUUGCAUAAUGGAAAAUAUUCUGUUGGAAAGUUUGAUGCUAAGAGUGAUGAGGUAAUAUUUUUAGGAUAAGCAUUAAACUCAAAAGCUUAUAGAGUUUUUAACAAAAGAACUUUAACCGUUGAAGAGUCUAUCCAUGUAGUUUUUUGUGAAUCUAAUGCCUUGCAAAAGGAAGUUCUUGCAGAUGAAAAUGAUGCAGAAGACUUUGAAAGAUAAAUGGAAAAAAUGAGUCUAGAAAACAAGAAAAACAGUGAAGAAAACUCCCUCGGAAGAGAAGCAAAACCUCCAUCCCUAGAAAAUCUGCAAAGGACUGAAAGUCAACAAAAUGAUCUUCUAAAGAGCUAUAAGUAUAUCAAAGAUCAUCCAUAAGAGCAGAUCAUUGGUGAUAUUUCACAAUGAGUCAAAACCAAGAGAGGAAUUAGAGAAACAUGUGAAUUCACAGCUUUUAUCUCACAAAUCGAGCCUAAAAGUUUUGAAAAGGCAGAAAAAGAGAAAAACUGGAUAGUGGCCAUGCAAGAAGAACUUGAACAAUUUGAAAGAAACCGUAUAUUGACACUGGUUUCUAGGCCACUCAAUCACCUAAUUGUUGGCACAAAAUGGGUGUUCAGAAAUAAGGUAGAUGAGCAAGGUAAUGUUAUCAGAAACAAAGCUAGUCUAAUGGCUCAAGGAUAUAACCAAGAAAAAGGCAUUGACUAUGAUGAAACAUUUGCUCCUGUUGCUAGAAUAGAAGCCAUAAGAUUAUGGCUUGCAUUUGCAAGUUUCAUGAACUUCAAAUUAUUUCAAAUGGAUGUGAAAAGUACAUUUUUAAAUGGUCUUAUUCAAGAAGAAGUCUAUGUCAAACAACCCUCUGGAUUUGAGGACUUUGAAAAACCUGAUUAUGUUUUUAAAUUACAUAAGGCCUUAUAUGGAUUAAAACAAGCUCUUAGAGCUUGGUAUGAAAGGUUUUCAAAGUUCUUAGUGAAAAAGGGUAUAUCGGAAGAAGCAUAGAUACAACACUAUUCAUUAAGCAAUAUUUGAAUGAUUUAAUUGUUGUUCAAAUUUAUGUGGAUGAUAUUGUAUUUGGUGCUACUAAUGAGGUUUUGUCCAAGAACUUUACUGAAGAAAUGCAGGGUGAGUUUGAAAUGAGCAUGAUGGGUGAACUGAAAUUCUUUCUUGGUCUUCAAAUCAAAUAAUGCAAGGAUGGUAUCUUUAUCAAUCAAGAAAGAUAUAUUCAAGACAUGCUGAAAAAGUUUGAUGUGAUGAAGCUGAAGCCAAUCAGCUUUCCAAUGAGUCCCUCUACCAGGCUUGAUAAAGAUGAAAAAGAAAAGAGUGUUGAUCAAAAGCUUUAUAGAGGAAGUAAAACAGAUAGAAAAAGUACUAGUGGCACUUGUCAGCUUUUAGGAAACAUGCUUGUAUCAUGGUUAAGUAAGAAACAGAACUCUAUUGCACUUUCAACUGCUGAAGCUGAAUACAUUUCCUUAGGUAGUUGUUAUGCUCAAAUUUUAUGGAUUAAACAACAAUUAAAAGACUUUGGAGUAACCAUGCAUAAUGUACCAAUAUUCUGUGAUAAUACAAAUGCCAUAAACAUCUCAAAGAAUCCAGUUCAGCAUUCUAGGACCAAACAUAUUGAAAUUAGACAUCACCAUAUUAAAGACCAUGUGAUUAAAGGAGACAUUAAGAUUGAGUUUGUUAACACUUUGCAACAAUUAGCUAAUAUAUUCACCAAGCCCCUGAAUGAGGAAAGAUUCUAUGAAAUUAGGAGAAAUCUAGGAAUGGUUAAUGUACAGGAGCUCUAAGAAAAUUUAUGAGCUUUCCAUCCAUAAAACAAUAGGUACUUAGUUGAUUAAGAGAAUCGCUUAACCAACGAAGAGCAUUCUGUUUCUUUUUGUUAAUAGACUUAGUUGAAUAAGAGCAAAACUUAGUUAGUUAAGAAACUAAAAUAAAAAUGAUAAAAUGUAAGGAAAAAGGAUAGGCAUACCGGGUGAAAGAAAAAAGGAAAAAUCGUUGACUAAAUAUAAAAAGAAAGGUAAAUUUUUUAAUUUUGAAAAUAGGGGUAACUGACAGCAUUUAAAAGGGGGAGUUUGAUGGUUUUUAAAGAAGAAAAAACCACUCUUAACUUCUCACCCUCUCCCCUCAUUCCCUCACAUCAGAAGCCACACCUCUCAAAACCAAAACCCUCUUCCUCUCAAACUCUCAAAACCCUAAGUCUAAAACUACUUAAAAUCGAUUACCAAAUCCACAUUACCCAGUAAUAUUUUGGAAAAUAAGAAAGGAAAACGACCCAUGAAGGAGAGUCCACCAUCCAAAAUUCAAAAGAAAAGGAAGAAGGAUGAGUUAGCUUCAAUGACAGAGAAAACUGGGAAGAAACAGAGAAAGAAAGAACAGAAAUCAGAGAAAAAAAAGGAAAAAGAAAAAUCCAUCAGAAAAGGUAAUCCUCCAUCCACCAAAUUUAGAAAUAAAACUCAUGAGGAUAGAUUUAGGAAGAUAAAGAAUGCACCCAAUUCAUGUGGGAAAUAUAUUGACUAAGACAGCUUUAAUAAGGUUCUAGAAAUUAAAGAGGGUUCAUCGGAUUAUUUUGAAGAGAUAAAAUUCAAGAAAUUGAGCAUUUCUAAUAACAGAACCUAUAGUGCUAGCCUUGUGAAGGAAUUCUAUGCUAGCAUUGCACUAGAUGAAAAUGAACUUAAAGAACUUGAGGAUUUUAUUAAUGAUGGCCUAAACGUGUUCCUGAAUGGAAAGGAGUUUGUGGUCACUACCACAGAUUUGGGAAGUCUGCUCAAAGUUGAGUAUGAAAAGAGAGAAUAUGAAAUCCCUAAAGAUUAUGAUCCCUCAUCUCUAUAGGAAAUAAUCACAAGGAAAAAGGAAAGAUAUUCAUCCAAAAGUUAUGCUAGUUUCAUUAAAAGCCCUCAAAUUAGGAUCCUACAUUAUUUCAUUGCUUCAACAAUUCAUGGAAGAAGCAAUAGCUUUAACUACGUAAGCCUUCAAGACAUGUGGCUGAUGGAGCAUGCCUUUAGUGCUACUCCCUUCAAUUUAGGUAGAUUCAUGAUAGAAAAAAUGAAAGGAACUUCUCAAGUUGACAAGGUGAAUAUGCUUUAUGGAAACAUAAUCACCUCUUUGGUGAAGAAAAAGGGGAUAUGGAGCUCCAGAUAUGAAAUGAACCAAGUUAAGAGCAGGGAUCAAGCAAUCUAUCUAGGAAGUUUGCCAAAGAUAGGGUACAAGCUAGAAAGAGAAAAGUUUGCCAAAACCCCCAAAGAUACUCCAAGGGAUAAGCAUGUCACCCUUGCUCAGACAGAGGCAACUCCCUUUCAGAUUUCAAAUGAAAUGAUUCUGAAUUUACUUAUGAGAAUUGAUGGGAAACUCACUGAUCAGUCUGAAAGAAUUCAAAAAAUUGAAGAUACGUUUUCAACACCAAGUCCAGCACCAGUAAGACAAGCUACUGAAAGUCCUACUUUCCAAGCUGAAGGUGAUGAACCAAAAUCUACUGCAGCAAGAAAAGCACCCACUCAUGAACCUGAAAUUGAAAAGGAAGGCAGUGAUAACAGAAAAGUGGUAAGAUCGUUUAAUGACAAUUCUCCACUGCAUGAUAAGGCACAAACAGAUAAACCAUCCCCCAUAAAUUCUGAAGAAAUUCUUAUCAUGGAUAUAUUUCACCCCAUGGUAAGGGAAGAAGAAGCUGAAAAAGAAGCAACCAAUAGUAGAGCAGAGAAACCAACAUCUACAAGAGCUUCCCCUGAAUCAGUCCACACCACAAAAAGUGGACCUACUGAUAAAGAAAAAAAAAAGCAGCUGAGUUUACCCAAGAUAAACCCAAACAUAUUGGCAAAGGCAAAAAGACUAUGGCAACAAAAACUAAGUUCCCUAAGAGGAGAAUGUCCUUCAAAUUAGCUAAAAAAGCUAAACCUUCAGUCAAGUCUUCUAUUUAGGAUCCACUCUAAGUUCCAGACACAUCUUCUCUUGAUUCCUCCCCAUAAAAAUCCUCACUUAUGCGAUCUUUUAAACCCCUCAAUGUCUACUUUGGCACUGAUGAGUCCACCCCCUUUGACUCUUCCUAAACUAGUAGACCACCCCUGUUUUGCUAAUGACAAAAAAGGGGAGAAAUAGAAAGCAAAGGGGGAGAUAAAAAGUAGAAGAAAUUUAAGUAAAAAAUAGAAGUAAUUUAAGGGUAAUUUAGGAAUCUAAAUCUUAUUUUGAUGAAACUGGGUUGUUUAUGACACUAUGUUAUUUUGGAUUGCUAAUUGUUAAGAAUUGGAUACUGAUAACGUAUUUCUGUUAUGCUUUUAUGAUUAUUUUUGUUGGAUUGUGAAUGGCAAAUGUUUUUAUAAUGAAUAUGGAUGCCGAUUAUGCUUUCAUGAUAUUUCUGUUGGAUUGUUAAUGGCAUUUGCUUUUGAAAUGGAUAUGAUUUGUUGAAAAUAUGCUGAUGACAAUUAGUCACCUAUUGCUAAUUGUUCUAUAAGCCUGUAUGAAGAUAUUCUGCCAAAUGUUUGAAUUUACACCUGUUCUUUUCUUUAAGAAAUUAAUAAAAACUUGCUCACUUGUUAAGUUGGAUAAUAAAUAACCUCAAAAGAUCAUGCAUACAUUAAGGGGGAGCCCACACUCAAGGGGAGAAAUCCUUAGCUGGUACAAAACAAAAAGAACUAAUAGACACUGUGCUUUUAAUCAAGGAAUGUUUUGUCAUCAUCAAAAAGGGGGAGAUUGUUGGCUCCAUUAGUUUUUGAUGAUAAUAAAACAUUCCCACUCAUUUAUGUCUAACCAUACUACUUGAGUGUUCAAGAUGAAAAUGUAUGUCAAUGAUAAAUUAAUCACUCAAAAGUAAAUAUCAAAACUCAUAAGAAUAAGGAGCUACAAUUAAGCUAAAAAACAAAAGCCUCUUAGUCGAAUAACUAAAGGAGUUAGUCAACUAAAAUUCAAAAAUGAAGUUGGUUGGGUUCAGAGACAAAGACGACUUAAUCGACUAAGAAGCAUUGUUAGUCGACUAAGAACUCGCUAUUAGAAACUAGGAUUGGAAACAAAGAUGACUUAAUCGACUAAGAAGCAUUGCUAGUCUACUAAGAGCUCACUGCCAGAAACUGGGAUCAGAAGACAGAGAAGGCUUAAUCGACUAAGAAGCAUGUUAGUCGACUAAGAGCACUCUGUUAGAAAAUUUGAAUUUGAAUGCUAGAAGACAGACUAACAGCUAGAACUGACUCCAAACUAUUUUUCAACGGUCAGAAACUGUCAAACAUCCAUCAGAGUUAGUUUUUCAAGUAUAUAAGGCACUCCCAAUGGCUAACAACAAGAUUAGAUGCAUCCAAGAUCAAAAAAAGCUCAAAAAUAGUAAAAACUCUCUAUGUACUUUCUACACUUCACUCCAAUCCUUGUAAUAGAGUUAAGCACUUCAUCUUGUACCAUUUAGAUCAAGUUAGUGAUCAUAGGUACUCUUUUAUUUCUGUUCUCUUUGAUUACUUAGAGUGAGCGAGUCACUCUAAGUGGAUUGAUCAAGCUUGGGUUAGCUUGAUUGGGUGUAUAGGUUCUAACUCAGCCUAAGAAAAGUUAGUUUUGGGCUUUAGUUGAUCCCUUGAAAAACCAUUGUUAAAGGUUGUGGCUGAGCUUGCGAAAAGCCAUUGUAAAAGCUUGGUGGAAGCUUGGGAAUUCCAUCGUUUAUAGUGUUUGGUUUAGAAAAUCCUUGGUUGAAAGAUCAAGGUAGUGGAUGUAAGUCUUUGACUGAACCACUAUAAAUCUUUGUGUAUUAUCUACUCCAUUUUAUUUUUCAUUUUCAUUCUUUCUUAAAUCAUUCCUUCAUCUUACAUCAAAUUUCUCAUCAUUAACCUCCAAUUUGCCCCCAAUUAGAAAUCAAGUUUAGUGAAAGCCAAAAAGUUCUAUUCACCCCCCCUCUAGCACAUUUAUUUGGGACCAGUAAAAAGUGCAUUAUCCAAGAAGAACUCAAUUUGAGAAGUUAAAAAAAAUAAAAAUAAAAAACUCAAUUUCAGAAGUUGGGUAAAAGUCAACCUAUUCCACCAUCUUGGGUUGAGCAAGCACCAAAUCUUGAGUUAAAGCCAUUACAACCUCAUCUUAGGAGGAGACUAGUUUCACACCUCAAUCUUUUUCCAUGCAAACUCUAACCUCCUUAAAGGGUGAAUGAAGACCUCAACCAAAGUCAAGCUGGUGACUAUAAAGAAGCGCUUCUUAGGAGGCAACCCAAGCUAUAUCUUUUUAGAUUUAGUUGUUAUUUUAGUUACUUUUUGUUUUCUAUGUAAAUAAGUAGUUAUAACCUCUUCCUAGCUUGUUUUGUUGUGUAUGUAGAUUUGGAAAGCAUGAAGAUGAAGAGAAAGAAAAUUAGAGCUUUCAAAGCACUGCCACCAUUGAUAAAGGAGUUUAAUUUCCUUUUAUCUUUUUUGUAGCUUUUCACAUUGAGGAGAAUGUGCAAUUUAAGUUUGGGGAAGGGUUUUAUUGUUAUUAGUUUUUGUGAUGUUUUAGGUUAGUUUAUUUUUGUAAUUUUUUUUUUUGUUUUCAGGAUUUAUUUUAGGAAUACUUGAGAUGAAAAUUGCCAAUGCCAUGAUAUUACCAAUCCUAGGAUGAUAUUUUGAUUAUCUUGCUAAUUUGAUUAUUGGUUUGAUAUAGACAUGAAUUGAGUGAUUGUGAUAUUCUUUUGUUAGUUUCAUUAUAGAAUGUGAUUUCCAAUAAUUUGUACACUAAAUCUUUUACUUAUAAUUAUCAUGUGAUUUAGAGAAAGUUUAUGUUGAUAAAAAGUAUAGUGAAGUCAAGGAUUCUAGAAUUUGUUUGAUUCUUUCUUGAGGCGAAAUUCUGGAUAACACUUAGGAUGGGACAUGAUUUAGGCCAUCUUUGGAUCGUUUGAUCCUCUCAAGCUAACCUUGUUAAACUUUUAUCCCUAGUAUACCCCUUUGAGCCUAAUUUCCCUUUUCUUUGUUUAACCACAUGAUAAUAACCUUAGCCUUAAAACAAAAUUCCAAUUUUGCAACCUUCACUCCUAAGCAUGUAUAUUGUUUUAUGGAAUAUAGAUUGAGUUAAAUGUUGAAAAAGGUAGAAAGGUGGAGUUACUAAAAAAAAUUCAAAAAUUAUUAGAAUUCAACCCACUACCUACAACAACAAAAAAAGAAAUAAGUUUAGGGGUGUGGAAUUGUGAUAACAAAAAAAAAGAGAAAAAGAAGAAGUGUUGAACAAAAAGAAAAAAGUUGAUGAAAAUGGUGUACUUGGUCAAGGAAAACAAAGUUCUAUAGGUCCUAAAAUAAUUAUAUGCUUAGGGUGAUAUUGAGUCACAUUAUAUCCUUUAUCAUACCUAGACCCUAACCUUACAUUAUGAGCUUAAUAAAAACCUAUUGAUAUUUGCAUAAGUGUUAAUCUACAUUAGUGGAGAGAGAGAUGAAAAGCAAACAUACAAAAUUCUAGCACUUAGCUAAAUUUUGCAUUGGCAUAAUCUUAUCUAGAUUGUAUGAUAUUCUUUGUAAAAAGAUCAUUCAAACACACAUAAAUAUUGUGAAAUCCAUUUGAGAAUGAACCUGCAGUUGAAUUGAGCAUGAAUUUAAUGAUUAUCUAUGUUUUACUUUGAGUUAAUAUUGUGGGAUAGUUUUUGAGAAAUAAAAAAAUUGGGGAAUUCAUGCUUUGGUGAAUUGCAUCUCUAGCUAGUUGUUUUGUUUUUAGCUCUUCCCUUUUGCUUGGAGUCAAACAAAGAUUCAAGUUUAGGGAUAUUUUAUGAGUGCAUCAAAUACAUAUAUUUAAUGGGAGAUUAAAUACCUAAUUAGUCUAAAUUAGACUAGAUUUAGGAUCAGAUUUAGUUGUUUUUAUUUAUUUUAUUAGUUUUGUUUAAUUUAUAUUUAAAUGUUUAUUUUAAGUUAAUUGUCACGACCCAAUUUUCUGGGCCAUGAUCGGCGCAUGAGCUCAAUGAGCAUAGCUCACUAAGCCCAAGCAAGCCUAUCCAUUUACCUUUGCUUAACAAAUUUAUCAUACCAUGCAUACACACACACCUUUCCCAGGUGUGAACAUAGCCAAAACACAAUGGAUUUAUCGAUAAUAAUAUACAUGCACUAUGCCAGUCAUGUAUUUAGCAAUUUACAUUGCAUACACAUAUUCACAUUGUUAGAUUGUAUUCACAAUACAAAAGGACCCAUGACUUCCAGCGGAGACAUUUACAAUAAAAGGGAUUACUAUCGAAUGUCAGACACAUACCCAGGAGAUGCACUACAGGGACUCCUCGAUCUAGGGUCCUACAGUCACCUGAUCUAAAAAUAUGAAUUUUUAUAAAACGUGAGUACAAUACUCAGUGAGUGAAUAUUAGAAGGGAACAAGCAAUCUCAACUAGGAAAUUUGACAAUCAUGAUGCACGGUUGAAAAUAAGGCCAUUUUCAUCUAACUACUAUUCCAAACCCUUUUUCCCUUAAAACAAGCCAUCCUGCUAAAACAACAAUAGCAACAUGUAACACAUGUAAACUUCCAAAUUCAACAAAACAAACGCUUACAUAUUUGCAUUUACAACCAUAUACCCAUCAUCAACAUGCACACCAUCCCAUCAUCAUCAUCUCAUAUGCAACGGCUUAUGCGCAUAUAGUCGGGUUAGCAACGGCUUAUGUGCACUCCCACUCACACAUAGCCGGGUCAGCAACGGCUUAUGUGCACUCCUACUCGCACAUAGCCAGGUCAGCAACGGCUUAUGUACACUCCUACUCGCACAUAGCCGGGUCCAAAUCAACAUGCAAAGAAGCAUCCAAUGCAUAUCAUGUAUUUUGUGAUAACACAUAAACCAUUGUAUAGCACAUUUUCACAAUAUAAAAUCAUUGUACUAAAAGCUUGUUCCCAAGGUACAUUUUCUAAGACAAGUUGAAUAGAAUCUUUCAUAUUCCCCAAAACAAGUUUGAAAUGUAAGUCCACUCACCGGUAUCGAAAAUUUGGAUUCCGGGUGCACUCGGAUUAAUAGCCCUCAGGUGCAAUUCCUUUGUCUUUUCCGGACAUCUCACUACCUUGACAAAUAACAAAGUUGAGGAAUUUACUAUAUUGUCCCUAAAUUGAUAUAAACUAAUUUAAAUUACUAAUACUUGAUACGUAAAUGCAAACAUACGUCCGAUUACCACUUAAUCGCGGUAUCGAUUAAAUUCGACCGAUCACUCGAUUAAUUAGCGAUUAUGUCCAAAUCACCUCCAAAUUAAUCCAUUUCUCCUAUAAUACCUUAGUUUACCACAUACCAUUUAAAUUAAGCCAAAUUCAGCAUUAGAACCCUCACAGUUCCUUAUAGAAAAAUUCGGUCAUUUGGUGCACUAGCUCCGAAAUUUUUCUACAUAACCGUUUCACCUUAAUUCAUCAUAUUUCCAAGCCAUUUUCCUUGAAAUAAAAACAAUCCCCCAUUGAUAUUCAGCCCUCAUGGUUCGACCAACAAGGAACCUUAGAGAAAUUAAAUAUUUCUUUUGUGUUUUUUAUUCAUAACCAUGCUUAAAUAUCCCUAAACACUAACAUUGACUAAAAUCAAAUUAUUCCAACAACUAUUCCUCUUCCAUACCCAUUUUUCAGAAUUGAAUUCAUCAUGAUAACUCAAUAUUCAACCAUGGAAAUCAAGAACAAAAGCAUGGGUAAGCUAGGUAUCAAGGAGAAUUCAAGAAAUUUUAACUUACCUAGCUUGUUUCCUUGAUUUCUUCACUUUUUCUUUGAAUUUCCACCUAGAUUUUCUUGUUUUUCCCUUUGUUCUUCCUUUUUUCUUGUUGCUGGUUGCCUAGGCCGAAUAUGGUGAGAGAGUUGGGGAUUUAAUGGGCUGAUUUCUAUAGAAAAUAAUAAAAUAAUCAAGCAUGGCACAUGUCACAUGCUUAUUGGCCCAAUUUUUAACUUUUUGACUUUUUCUUCUUAAUUUUCCAUCGUAAAUAUUCUGGUAUUUAUCCAAUCCUACCACAUUUAAAAUCCCUUGGUCUUGACAAGUGCUGGGGCCAAAAAUUUACCGAUUUGCCCUCGAGACGAAAAAAUUACGAUUUUACCCCUAUACUCUGAAAUGUACCGGAAUCACAUUAUUUCUACUUUUCAACCUCAAAUAACACUAAUAUUGAUCAAUAUUAACCAAAUGGGGCAAAAAUCAUUUUAUAAAAUUUUCGUUUAGUCCUCUAGUGGUAAAAUUACCAUUUUACCCUUGUGCUCCAAAAAUAUCGGGAAUCACAAUUUUUCACUGCUAAACAUCAUUUUAUACUCCAAUAAUCAUAAUUAUAUCUCAUAUAAUUAUUCUUGGUCAGAUGUGAUCAAAUCUUGACUAGAAAUCUCCAUUUAAUCAUCAUAUGGUAAAAUGACCGUUUUGUCCCUAAUAGGUCAAUUUUCCUGAUGGACUCCAAACUGGACCUUGAACUCCGAAUCAUUAUUCUAAGCCAUUCUGUGGGUUUCAAAAUUUUCAAUUUCCUCUUAAAAUUUUUAUUUGAACUAGUUCAAGGCUUGAUUUAACUUAGUUGUACCACUAGGUACAAUAUCAUCUUUUAAUCGAGCUUGAUAAAGUCUCACAUUAAUAAUGUUAGUUUUAUGUUAUUUAUAUUUAUUUUUAUGUUUUUGUAAGAGUAGGAUCAAAAAUAAUUUCAAUUGGUGAAGAAGGGUGCAUAAUGGACUAGUGGUCUGUUUGCAUAUGUUUUGGUUUUUCAAGUAUAUCUCCCACCACAGAAAUUCAAAUGACAUGAUUUUUAGACCAUUAAAAAGCUAAGAGCAGGGCUACAACUUUGAUGUUUACCACUUUACCCAGUUCUGAUCAGGAGGUGGUCAAUAUCUUUGUCGAAGUGAAAGUACUGCACCAGAAGAACAAAAUUGAGCAGAACCUUUGAGAGCCGUGGCUCUAGAAAAUGAGAGUUGCGGCGCUCACCGUAUUUUCCAAAACAACAAGCUUACGAAAUUUUGGAAGCUAGGGCUUUUAGAGGCUAUUUAAGGGGCCUUUUUCAGAGGUUUUUGGGGAGGAUACAGCAAGCAAUUUCUCUAGAGAAAAAGAGCCAAAAACAAAGCAAGAAAACAAGAGAAUUUGAGGGAGAAUCAAGAUCACAAAGCUUCAACUAUUAUUUUUCUCUCUUUACUUUUGUGUUUUUCUUAUUUUCUUAAGCUUGGAUUAAUGGCUAAUUUUCUUUGGAUGAAGUUUUUAUUAGAUAUUAUGAACUAAACUAUAUUUCUAAGAUUGCAAUUGAACUCACAUGUAAUCGAAAUUUUUAAUCUCUUUCUUGCUUAUCUUUCAUGGGAUUAGAAUUGUUUAUUCCAAUUUAUUCUUAAUGCUUUUAAUUGUGUGGCCACCAAUUAAAUUGAUUUAGGAACAUAAACAAACUUGGGAAAGGGAGUUUAGUGUAAACUAAAAUUGGGAUAGCAUAUGAUCAUAUUAAUUGAUUUACGUACAGCAUAGGGAUAUACCUAUAGGCCAUAUGUAGCCAAAUUAAAGCCUGAACUUAAUGAGUCUGUUUUAAUUUCAAUUCACAUAGGAAUAUAGUAUUUUGGUAAAAAUAGAUAUUUUUAUAAGAUGAGUUGGGAGACCCUUAUAAAUAAUUUAGGACUCUAGGUUAGUAAUUCAACCCAUUGAAAUAAAUUAAGGAAGAGAGGUAAGAUUUAGAUGAAGUGUGAGGGAUAUUAUAAUCCUAGGCUUAUUUGAUUUGAUAUUUACUCAUGUUAUUGUUAUUGUGAUUUUUCUUGUUGAUUUAAAUUUUAGUUAAUUAGUUUUAGUUAAUCAAUUAAUUUUGAGUGUUUGGAUAAGAUUAAUUUGUUCUAAUUUUAGUACUUAGAAAAAUUUUAGUUCAAUUCUCUGUGGGAUUGAUACUCUGCUUGCUUAUAUACUAUCUAUUCGAUACGUAUACUUGUGUAGUAGAAUUUUAACUUACAAUUUCAUUAAUAUGAGCUUAUAGGAGAAAAUCAUUUGCCAUGCUUGAGCUUAUAUUGAUAUAUAGCUUGAACAAGCUUGUCACAUGUUGAAAAUGCUAUUAUGACUUGUUCUUGAUGAAAAUGAAUGCAUGAGCAAAUGCUUGAAUUUAUUGAUUUUAUUGUUACUCAUGUGCUUGCAUAAAUAACAUUAUUUCUUGAGAAUAAAAUGUGCAUAUGGUCAUAUUGAUUAAAUCAUCUUGAGGAAUUGAAAUGUUAAAAUGCUAGGUCUAGAAUCAAUUUUUAGAAUAUACUUUGUUAUUGUACUUAAUUGAUUAUUUCAAAAUUGAUUUCUUGAUUUUGUAUAUGGAAUUGGUUAUGAUGAACACAUUGAACUUCAUGAAAAAUAUUUGUAGUUCAUCUAUCAUUUAGGUCAAGUUACAUGCUUACAUGAUAUCUUAUCUUGCUUGACCUUAAGAUUUGAGGUCUAUAACUUGAUUUGAUUAUGCUCUUGAAUGAGAAAUUAAAUUGUCAAGUUAAAUCAUGAUAUAUUAUGUUGAAAUAGUUGAAAAAUCUUUUGAAUGUGCUUUUAACUAUUAACUAUGUCCUUUAUGAGCUUACAUGAUUACAUGCUCCAAAGACUUGUGUUCAUCCAACAUUAGUUUAUAGGCUAUCAUAAAUCACUUGGUUUAAGAUGAAAAAUAGCCUACAGCUUGAGUUAGCAAUGAAUAUCCAAUGAGCUUUAAUUGGACGUUUAUUUCUUAAAUCUUAACAAUUGGUAUUCAUUGAUGUUUGGAUGCUUACAUUAGAUAUAUUCAUGAGUUGAAUGUUUUAUUUCCAAUAUAUCAUAACACUUGGUAGCACUUAUGAAUUAUGAAACAUUGAGAAAUAACAUGUAUCUUGAACUUUAUUGAUCAUCCUUUUGCAUAUGCCCAUGUUUUUUAUUGAAAUCAUGCAUGCAUUUCAUGGAACAAAUUGGAAUCAUGAUUAGUGAAGAUAGCCAAAACUCUUUCGUAAGCAUGCUUGUGCUUGCUUGAUCAUAAUAUUUUCUUAUAUAUGAUUACAAGGAAAAAUGCCUUGGCAAUGCUUUAUUGGUACUGAUAUUGUCUCGAUGAGAAAACUUCUCCUUAAUUUGAUAAUUUUAUACAUAAUUAAGAGAACUCUUAUUGAAAUCCUUGCUUGAAAAUAUUAUGGAAAAGAGAUUUCCAAAAAGGCUAAAUGAUGAUAUUUUUAUGAUAAUAUGACAUUAUUGAGGAAAUUCUCUUAAAUUGUCAUUCUUCUAUAAUUUAGAGAAUUUCGUUAAAAAUGUUUGAUUGAUAGUGCUUGUACGAUGCAUGAUGAAAAUUGAAAAAAGGUGCUUAACGCAAAAUGAUAUCUUGGACAUGCAUUGGAACUAAUGUGGAUAAACUUCUUGAAAUUAUAAGUUUUUAAAGCAUGUAUUUAAUAUUUAUUUAAAUACUCAUGCUUUACCAGUUCCUUGAAUAUACAAGUAUGAGAUUGACAUGUUGAAUAUCUAUUGUAAUGCUUAUCUAUCAUAUACUCAUGAUUUAUCCCCAUAUUUGUCUCAUGAUCCAUUUAAGGGAAGGUAAGAUUAUGCUUUAAUAUGAUUAACCAUUUAAUCCAUUCUCCUUGUUGGAAUUGAUUUAGUGAAUGCUUAAGGGGGAGAUGGCCAUUGAAAUUGUCAUAUGAUUCUUAAGCACUUGAAAUCUUUAACAAUGACCUUGGUAAAAUCUGUUCAUCUCUAUUGGUAAUGUCUCUUAAACACCAUCUUAAAUUUGUGCUAAAUGAUGACUUAUAUUUGUGCUUGAAUAAUGAUUGCUAUGUUUCUUACUAUACUAGUUUGCAUGUAAAUUUGUGAAUUAAUUUGCAUGAUUGGUUCUGUAUUCAAACUGUUUGUUAUUAGAUAAUUGCAUGAUUACUUCAUUAUUUAGUUGAAUAAAUAUGUAAAUACUAGCAUAUAAAGUCGUACACAUAUCACUAAAUCCUGUUCAGAUUAUAUGUAGACUUAUAAAUGCUUUAUAUUUUACUAUGCUUGUCUACAUAUAUACAUAUCCAACUUGAACUUAAUAGAUAAAAUGUCCACACCUGAUAGGUUUGGCUAUAGACAACAUGCUCAGAAUACGCAGCAGAAAGAAAAUUAUAACUCUAUGACUAAACAACCAAAACCUGCCUCCACCCAUAGAUCACUUUAAUGAUAUUUAACACAUAAAAGCACAAAAUAAAUUAUUAUUCAGAAAGUUACCUUGCCAAGUAAUUUUGUAAUCACAAUGGCACUUCUUGAGGCAAUCCUGCGAACACCACAAGGAGAAAAAACCCUAGCCAAUCAAGUGCUUGGCCUCUAACGGUAAUACACACGAUUGCACUUGAACCUUUAACGAAUGAGGGAGUUUUUAACUAUACUUUAUGCUAGCAAAGAGGACAAUAAUAGUCAUUUUCUUCUUUUUCAUAAUCUUAGCCAACCUUUCUCAAAAAUUGCUUCAUAAGCAAUUUUUUCUUUCACACAAAGGGAAUGGUGGCAAAAAAAGAAAACGUUUUUCUUUUUCUAACAAAAACUAAGUUUUCUUCAAUUGUGAAAAACUCUCAUAUGAAAAAUAGUUAAAAGGUGACUUAUAUAAUUAGGUUAAAAUAACUUCAAUUUUACAAUUAAGCCCUCAAUAUUAUAACACAUUAUAAUAUUAGGCCCAUUACUUAAUUAAACUAUUUUAAUUAAGUCCUGGGAAAUUAAAAUCAAAAUUAAUUUCCUUUAUAUUUUUCAAUCAAGGACUUAUAAUUAUAACUAUUUAUAAUUAUAUCUAAAACUUAAUUAAACUCUUUUAAUUAAGUUUAUAGAAGUUAAUUACCUAGCAUGUGAUUUAAAUCUAACUUAAAUCAUCACUCUCCCAAUUUAAUUCAAAUGCAAUUAUUGUGUGUGGCCCAUUAGGUUCCCAACAUGUUGGCAAUGGAAUUGAUUAAUGACUUAAUUGAUUAAUACAAAUUUCAAUCAAUUAAUUUAUGAUCAAUUCCAUAGACCAAGAUUGGCAUCUAGCAAUGCAUCAUGGCCACCCAAUUGUUAAGAGAGUCAAAGGGUUCUUUGACAACCUUUUAAUGUAUAGUCUAUCAGUGUAAUUCAUUCCUUCAUCAUAUAUAUCAAAGAUGAUAAGAGCUUAGUACAAUAUCUACUCUUAUUGACCUCCAUAUUUGUUCCUGCAAUUAUAGCAUUAGCUUUAUAGAAAGUUAUGAAACCUUUUCAUAAUCUCCAUGUCGCCUUGGCCAAGGAUUUCAAUAAGCUAAUGUUAACCAAGAAUUGAUAAGAUAUGUCCUCUAAAACACUUAAGGUGAUGAUUUCUAUCUUGACCACUCAUUUGCCUUCACAUGCUUCAUACUAUACCCAAAAGCAUCUUGUUUUGGCAUCCUUAGUUAGGCACCUAUAGAAAUGAAUACAAAGCAUAGCACUCCACAUAUAAAACAACCUGAUGUCUCAAGUCUAGGGAGUAUUUACACAACUGACACAUGAGAAGUGUUGGAUAAACACUGAAAUGUAUUACCAAAUGCACUUCUCAUAGCAGGUCAUGUUCAGUGAACUUGCUCUCCAAGGAAAGCACUUAUAUUCUAGUUUCAAGUAUCUUUAUACUUCAAUCUAUAAGAUUGAUUGCUUACUUCCAAAGUAAGGAACAUAGAAUAUACCAGUCUCUAAGCAUCAUUGAUGUCUAAUCUCUAUGAUACAUUGACUAGGAACAUUUUGAGAUUAUGCUUGGAUGCAUAAGGAUCUCAUAACUGCAACCCAUUUCAGUUCCUUUGUAUGGCAUAUUAAUCUCAUGGACUUCAUCCAAUUAGACUUAUAACUCAUUAUAAUUGAUGUCUUAUUGAUAAAGGAAAACCUCUAAUCAUUCAACAUGAAUAAUACUAUUGCAUGAUUAGAAUCAAGCUUUAACCAAUCCCAAUUGGCUACAGGGCUCAUCCUAACCACACCUUGCUUAUAAAUAUACAUCUAUAUGUGGCAUUCUUGGUUGAUUGAUUGAUGAUAUACUCCAUAUUAACUUCCUUGAAAUAUAUGAAAUGGAGAUAUAUCUUGAUUUGCUUAUCAUAUAUUUAUAUAUUCCAUAAUACCUUGAUUGAAUAUCUUACAUGGAAAUACCUCUUGGUUGAAAAUAUCUAUAUGUGCCUUGAUUGCAAUGGUUGAAUAUAUUUCUUGAUUUCUUUGACUGAAUAUUUUGCAUGGAAAUAUAUCUCAAUGUUUUGACCUUGAUGGUUAGAGAUCAUUAUUGAACUUAAUGCACAUUUAUACUUUAUGAUUAUCACUAACAAUUGUUUCUAGUGUUUAAGUGUUUUAAGCUCACACUUCUUAACCUUUUUGAUAUAAUAAAAAGGGGGAGAAGGUUUAUGAGCACAUUGAAAUGCUCUUAUGUUAGCUAAAUUAGUCUUGAAAACAUUUUUGAACUUCAUGCAUAAAUUAAGGUGGAGAAUUUUCAAAAUUCAUAAUCAUUUCUUAUACCCUUCUUAUUUGCACUUAAAUGUUUUCACCAAGGGUAUAAAGGCUAAUUAAGUUAGGGGGAGGUUUCAAGAAAUUUCAAAUGCAAUAUGCUUAUGUUUUUGUCUUGUCAAAAAAGGGGAGAUUGUUAGCCUUGAGUUAUAUCAUGUUUUGAUUUGACAAAAAUCACAUGUUUUCUUGAACUUAACUAAUGUCAAGUAUUUGAAAUUGUCUCAAUUACAUUUUUAAUAGCCUAAGGUUACAUAAUUGUUUGAAAAGCCAUGUGUCAAGGUCCACAUCAACCCUUGUGAGGUAUUAUCUGCUUUGGCCCGUUGGCCUCACGAUUUUGUCUCACAAAAGGUGCCUCAUAGGUUGAAGGGGGUGUGAACUCUUAUAUGCCCAGUAUCACUCUAAUACAUAGCCAACGUGGGAUUCAUGGCUCCCCUCUCUAAGACCAUGACAUCCUCUUUUACUCCCCGUUGAAAGUUUUUCUUCGAUAUGGGACUUUUUGGCUUUACCUGCUAGCAACAUUAUCUCAAUGAUGUGGGAUUCACAUCCAUGCAAGGAUCGUGACAUCCUUCCCCACUUCAACAAGGGUCCACUAUCCUCAGUGGCACAUCGCUAGUGCUCAGAGUCUGCUUUGAUACCAACUAUCAAAAUCCACACCAACCCCUAUGAGGUAUUAUUCGCUUUAUCCACUAGCCUCAGAGUUUUGUCCCACAAAAGGCGCCUCAUAGGUUAAAAGUGUGUGAACUCUUAUAUGUCCAGUAUCACUCUAGUACGUAGCCAAUGUGGGAUUCAUGGCUCCCCUCUCUAGGAUCAUGACAUCUUCCCUUAUUCUUCGCUGCAAGUUUCUCUUCAAUGUGGGACUUUGUGGCUCUACCCCCUGGGACCAUUAUCUCGACAAUGUGGGAUUUAUGGCCACAUGAGGACCGUGACACCAUGCAUCAUUAAAAAACAUCUUAUAAGAUUUCAAACAAUGCAUAUUCAACUAAGAAAACAAGAGAAAAAAUGUCUUAAGAUGUUAUUUGAAUUAAAAACAAGGCAAAUAAGAAAUAACUGAAAAGAAAUGCCAAAAAGCUAAGAAAACCUCAGGAGACAAGUCAAAAGUCGAUCCAAAGGCAAAAAGGGUGCAAAACUUGAAGAUUAUAAAGUCAUAGUCGACCCUGAAGUGCCUAUAGUCAACCCUAUUCGAAAAGCUCAAGAAAAUCAAGUUUUGAACAAACAUAGCCGACAGUGGUCCAACGAUAGUCAACCUUGACAAGUCAAAACCAUGAAAAAAUUGACUUUACAUAGACAUAGUUGACUAUAAAUGAGGCAUAGUCGAAUAUAGCAGUUCAUAUUUGCAAAAAAAAAAAAACACGCUCUCAGGAGAAGGAUCGAAUAAAAAAAGGUUAUACUCGACUAAGAACCCUAAUUUCAUAAAUUUAAAAAACAUUGUUGAACCUAGGAGCAUUAUAGUUGACCUUCAAUCUUUAGCAACAGUCAAAUUUGAUUCAAACUUGUGUCUAACAACUCUAAACGUUACCCCAACUAUAAAUAGUUGCAUUUAAGCUAUUUAAAAGCAAGAAAAGACCCUAACUAAAGCUUCAAACCCUAAAGAGAGCUCCAAAAGCUCAUUUUCACUCUCUAACAUCUUUUUAGUCCUCCACCAAGAUUUGAAAAGCCAAAUACUUGCUUCAUUGAAGCUCAAAUUUCUUCUUUCUCUACACACAAACUUAAAGUCUUAGCACCCAACCUUUGUAAAGGUCUUGUUUUACUAAAAUUUGUACUCGACUGUAAAGGUUCUAGCUUAACCUUGAAAAGCUAUUUGUGAUGGUUUAUAGUUGAGUCUUUAAAAACGAUUGUUAGUGGGUUAUCACUUGAUCCCAUUAAAAAACAAGAAUCCCUUUGUGGAUUGUGUGAGGGUCAUUGCUUGAUCUCGUAAAACGUUAUUGUAAAGGUUAUCACUUUAUCAGUUAAAAAGAAAUCCCUUUGUGGAUUAUGUGAGGGUUAUCACUUUGUUCCAUUAAAAAGCAAGAAUCCUUGAUAGUGGAUUGAAAUUCCUUGGUUAUCAAAUGAGUGGAUGUAGGCAUCAAAAAAGCUUAACCACUAUAAAUUCUCUAUGCCUUUUUUUAAAUUUUUCGCAUUAUUAUUUAUUGCUCAUAUUUGGCUUAGGAAAAUAGUUUUAUAUAUUGAUUUGUUGUUCUACACUUACGAAAAUAUUUUUUUCUUUACUUUUCAUACUUAGCAUUUAGCUUAGGAAAAGCAUUUUACUUUGGUAUAUUAUUUUUAUGUUUAGCAAUUUAUUAUUGAAAACUUGUUUAUGAUACUAGAAAAUAUUUUUGGGUGAAAAAAUUUUGAUUUUUAUAAUUGGAUUUUCAAAGAAACUUUAAUAUACCAAUUCAUCCCCUCUUGGCAUAUUCCCCUUAUAAGACUUCUACACUAACAUAAGGUUUUUCUUCAUGAAUUUAUUAAAUUUCCUAGCUAUCACGGCUAUGUCCUCAUUUUCACUCUCACUCUUUGUGUAUUUCUUUUCUUCCUCAACUAUUGAUUUUAGGGUUAUUCCUUUUUUCUCUAUGUCCUCUCUCUUAGACUCCUCUAACUUAUUCGCAUUUUUCAAUGUCAUUUCGUAUGUGACUAAGGAUCCUAUUAACUAUUUUAACUUAAAGUCAUUAAGGUUUCUAACUUCCUCUUUAGCCGUGACUUUAGAUUUCUAAAACUUAGGUAGGCUAUUCAAGAUUUUUCUCACAAGUUGGGCCCUUGGAAAGUCUUUUCCCAAAGCCUUUAAACCUCCAAUAAUGUUAAUAAACCUUUCAAACAUCUCAUUUAUAGACUCAUCUUCUUUCAUCCUAAAUAGUUCAUAGUCAUGAGUAAGCAAUCCAAUCUUGGAUUUUUUAACUUGGUUAGUUCCCUUGUAUGUGGUCUCAAAGGUAUCCCAUAUUUACUUAGCAUUUUCAUAAAUUCACACUUUAUUAAACUCACUAGCUCCUGAGGCACAAAGAAUGAUAUUAUAAGCUUUGUAAUUUACUUGAAUUAAUUUCUUAUCUUUAUCAUCCCAAUCUUUUCUAGACUUAAUGACUACUUUCUCGUCUAGCUCCUUACUUGGAAUAUGUGGACCAUCAAAUAUAACAUUCCACAUAUCUAAGUCCAUAGAUUGCAUAAAUAUUUUCAUACGUUUCUUCCAAUAAUGGUAGUUAUUACCUACAAAAAAAAGGUGAUCUUUGGAUUGAUUGCCUUUCAUCAAGUAUAGUUGUCAUUACCUCCAUUUCUAUCGAUUUGAGCUUCCACAAUGGAUCUCUCGAAGGUGAUUAGACCGACAGAAUUUAAGACCAAGCUUUAACACCAAUUGUUAAUGCAAAAUUCUCAAUAAACAAUAUACCAAUAGGGGUGAAUUGGUAUUUAAAAAUUCUUUUAAUAACUAAGUAUAAAUCAAAACUUUUGCAACCAAAAAUUUCUUCUUGUGUUAAAAACAAAGUGUAUGAUUUUCCUAAACAAGUUUUCAAUAAUGAAUUGAAAAGAACAAGUAAUAGAUCAAGGUAAAAUAUUUUUCCUAAGUUAAAUACAACCAAAGUAUAAAUAAUGAAUUUAGGCAAAAUAUUUUCCUAAGUUAAAUGCAAGCAAUAAAUCACAAUGCGGAAAGAAUAAAAGUAAGACACAAUAUUUUUGUAGUGAUUCAGCUUUCUUUAGUGCCUACAUCCACUCCCUUGAAGCACCAAGGAAUUUCAAAUCCACUAAGGAAAAUAAGCUUUUUAUGGGAUCAAGCGAAACCCUCACAAUAGCUUUUUAUGGUAUGAAGUGAAACCAUUAUAAUGCUUUUUACGGGAUUAAGCAAAACCCUUACAAUGCAUUUCAUGGGAUCAAGCGAAACCCUUACAAUGCUUUUUCAUGAGAUCAAGUGAAACCUUUCAACAAUGGUUUUUACAAGCUCAACCACAAACCCACAAAUUACUUUUCAAGGUUAAGUUGGAACAUUUACAAUGGAGUACAAAGUUUAGGAAGAAAAUGCCUCUACAGAAGUUGGGUGCUAGGAGCUUAAGCUUAAGUGUGUGAGGAGAAGAGAUAUCAGCUCAAAUGAAAAAAGUAUAGAACUUUUCAAAGCUUGGUGGAAGACUAAAAUGAAGCUAGAGAGUGAGAAUAAGCUUUUGGAUGUCUCUAUACGGUUUGAAACUUUAUCUUAGGUUUUCUCUUACUUCCAAAUAACUCAAAGACAGCUAUUUAUAGCUGGUGUGAAGUUUGGAGCCAUUAGACACAAUCUUAAAUCAAAUGUGAUCAUUGCUGAAGCUUGAGGGUCAACUACAAUGCUCCUAGGGGUUGACUAUGUUUUUAAAUUUCUUAAAUUAGGGCUCUAUAGUCAAGUAUAACAUUCCUCUACUUGAUCCAAUUCUCGAGAGCAUGAUUUUUGCGAGUCUGAGUUGUGGUAGUCAACUUCACCUUGGGCAAGGUCAACUACGAUUGUGUAAAGUCCUUUUUUCACCCUCUUGUCUUGUCAGGGUUGACUAUACUUAAGCCAAGGUCGACUACAUCAGUUCAAUUCUUCAUUUACUUGAGCUUUCUAGAAUUGGGUCGACUAUGGCUUUACAGUCUUCAAAUUUUGCACUCAUUUUACCACUGGAUCAACUUGAGGCUUUCUAAGGUUGACUCUUCAUUUGUGUCUUGAGGUUUCCUUAGCCUUUGGGCACCUCUCUUUAGUUAUUUCUUCCUUGCCUUGUUCUUACAAUUGAUAACUUUAUUAUAUAGAGUUGUUUUGACACAUUUUGAGGGCUUAAGUAGUUAGAUCUUUGAGAUUUUAGGUUUGGAUCGUAGCAUUUUAGGUGUUUUUCUAGUUUAAGUUUGAUUACAUGUCAAGUUGUUAAUUAAAGUUAUUUUAGCUAAAUUUUAUGUUAUUUUAUUUUAAAUUACUUUAAGAGUAGUUAUUGCUCAUUUCUCUUAUUGCUUUUGUAGGAAAUUUGAUGAAAAAGGCUCAUUUGAUGAAAAUUAGUGCAAUUAUGGUGAUGGUUUCAUUCAUAUAUGUUUUGGUAUUUUGGCUAUACAUCUGUCUACAAAACUCUAAAUGAGAUGAUUCUUGGACCACUAGAAUUAUAAAAGGAAGGGAUACAAAUUUUUUGUUUACUACUUUUCCUAGUUCUGAUCGGAUCAUGGUUAAAACAUUUGUCUAAACAGAGGAUUGCAGCAGUAUGCAUGGACUGAACAUAAUGCAGUAUUUGGAGCAUAUCUUUCAAUCUAGAAGUCCAAUUGACUUGAUUCUUGAUCCAUUGGAAAUUUAAGAGAUAGGAUGUUUACUACUUUGCCUAGUUUAGAGUAAAUCAAGGUGAAAAUAAUGUUCAAAGUUGAUAGACCGCCACAGCACUAAAGAACAAGGCUACAGUGGUAGUUAAAGGAAGCACACAACACAUUUUCCUGAGAACUCAACACUGCAGCACUAGAAGAUGAGCGCUGCAGCACUACUGUAGCAAGAACCAAGCACUGCAGUGCCAAGAAAUCAAGGUCGCGGCGCUGGGCAAUUUUCCAAAAGUAAAAAUUUGAAGAGAUUUUGGAAAUUAGGUUACUUAGAGCCUAUUUAAGGGACCAUUUUCAAAGGUUUUAAGGGAGAGGAAACAAACAACUAUUCUAGAGAUUUGGAGCCAAGAACAAAAGAAGAAAACAAAAGAAUUCGAGGGAGAAUCAAGAUCACAAAGCUCCAACAAUUAGUUUUCUCUCUUUACUUUUGUGUUUUUCUUAUUUUCUUUGACUUGAAUUAAUGGCUAAUUUUCUUUGGAUGAAGUUUCUUUUAGAAAUUAUGAGCUAAAAUUUUUUUUUUCUAGGAUUGCAAUUGAACUAACAUGUAAUCUAAAUUUUUAAUCUCUUUUUUUCUUAUCUUUAAUGGGAUUUGAAUUGUUUAUUCUAAUUUGUUCUUAAUGUUUUUAAUUGCUUGAUCAGCAAUUAAGUUGAUUUAGGAACCUAAGCAAACUUGAGAAAGAGAGUUUAGUGUAGAUUAAUAUGACAUAGCAUGUGAUCAUAUUAAUUCAUUUGCAUAUAGGAUAGGGAUAUACCUCUAAGCUAUAUGUAGCCAAAUUAGUGCCUGAACUUAAUGAGUCUAUUUUAAUUUCAAUUCACAUAGGGAUAUAGUAUUCUGGUUAAAAUAGAUAUUUUUAUAAGAUAAGUCGGGAGACCCUUAUUAAUAAUUGAGGACUCUAGUUUAACAAUUCAACUCAUUAAAAUAAGUUAAGGAAGAGAGUUAAGUUUUAGAUGAAGUGUGAGGGAUAUUGUAAUCUUAGGCUUGUUUGAUUUGAUUUUUACUCAAGUUAUUAUUAAUUUGAUUUUUCUUUUUAGUUUAAAUUUUGGUUAAUUAGUUUAGUUAAUCAAUUCAUUUUGAUUGUUUGAAUAAGAUUAAAUUGUUAUAAUUUUAGUACUUAGUAAAAUUUUAGAUCAACUCUCUGAGGGAUCGAUACUCUGCUUACUUAUAUACUAUCUAUUUGAUACGUAUACUUGCGUAGUAAAAUUUUAACUAAAAAGUUUUUAGCAUCAUUGCUAGGGAAUUAUUUCUACAAUUUUUACUAAUAUUAAUACCAAGCACUUUAGUCUUACUUCAAAUUUUAUUUUUCUUAUUUUAAUAUUAGUUUUUGUUUACUUACAAAUAUCUUUGGUCAUUGUAUGCAAAGGAGAAGCAACUUUGUUCCAUUUGAUCUUGAGAUAGAAAGAACAUUCAGAAGACAUUGAAAGGAGAAUUUGCAAGUUGCAACCUUAAAUCAAACAAUGGCUGAGGAUAACAACAACAAUGACAACAAUGCCAGUAAUUUGGUUCCUGAAGAAAAUAAAGCACUACGAAAUUAUGUUGUUCCUCUUUUGCAAAGUUUACACUAAAGCAUUAGAAGACCUUCCAUCAAUCCAAAUAAUUUUGUAAUUAAACCAGCUGACAUUCAGAUGAUUCAGUCUUCAAUCCAGUUUGAUGGGUUACCUAAUGAUGAUCCUAAUUCUCAUUUGGUGAAUUUCCUAAAAAUUUGUGAUACCUUCAAAUACAAUAGAGUAACUGAUGAUGCUAUCAAAUUGAGACUGUUUCCGUUUUCAUUAAGGGAUAAAGCAAAGAGUUGGCUUAAUUCACUACCUAAUGGGUCUAUUACUACAUGAGAGGAGUUGGCUCAAAAGUUUUUAGAAAAAUUCUUUCUACCUACCAAGACUGCAAAGAUAAGGAACUAUAUAACCUUAUUCACACAAUUUGAAGGUGAAUCCUUGUAUGAACCUUAAGAGAGAUUUAAAGAACUACUAAGAAGAUGUCCACAUCAUGGGAUUCCUGAUUGGUUGCAAGUUCAGACAUUCUACAAUGGGCCGAUUGGUUCGAUAAAAACCAUAAUUAAUGUUGUUGCUAGUGGGGCAUUAAUGGGUAAGAAUGCUACAGAUGCUUAUAAUCUGUUAGAAGAUAUAGCUUCAAAUAAUUAUCAAUGGCCUUCAGAAAGGUCUGGUCUUAGAAAAGUUGUUGGAGCCUAUGAGAUUGAUGCACUUAGCACCUUAACUGCUCAAGUAGCUGCACAAGUGGCUGCGUUAUCCAAGAAGUUUGACACACUUGGAGCUCAUGUGGUUCAAAAUUCAUUUAUAGUCUGAGAAAUGUGUGGAGAUAGCCAUUCAAGUGAUCAAUGUCCAUGCAAUUCUGAAUCAGUCUAAUUUGUGGGGAACUUCAACAAGCAGCAAAAUAAUCCAUACUCCAAUACAUAUAAUCCUGAUUGGAGAAACCACCCCAACUUUUCAGGGAACAACAAUGUAAGGUCUUCAAAUCCAAAACCCAUCAUGCCUCCUAGUUUUCAACAACAAGUUAGACCACCAAUUCCUGAAAAGAAGUCCUAAAUGGAAAAACUUCUCUUACAAUAUAUAUCAAAAAUUGAUGCUAUAAUUCAAACCAAGGAACCUACUUGAGAAAUCUUGAGACCCAAAUAGGACAGCUUACAAAUUCUAUCAACAGUAGACCCCAAGGUGCCUUACCAAGUGACACAUAUAAAUCAAUCCUAAAGGUAAGGAACAAUGCCAAGCAAUCACUUUAAGGAGUGGAAAAGAAAUUGAAGUGGUGAAUGAAAAAGCAGUUGCAUAUGAGAAUGGACAUGUUGAUAAGGAGGAAGGAAUGUGUGAGAAAGCAAUUAAAGUUCAAUAGAAAGAAAAUGAAAAGGCUAAAAAUCAAGGGACUUCUCAAGUCAUCCAUCCUUCACCACCUCUUCCCCAAAGGCUCCAAAAACAAAAGCUUGAAAAGCAAUUUCAGAAGUUCACCAAUGUCUUCAAGAAAUUGCACAUAAAUAUUCCUUUUGUUGAAGCUUUGGAAUAAAUGCCAAGCUAUGUCAAGUUUUUGAAAGACAUCCUCUCCAAAAAGAGAAAACUAGGUGAGUUUGAAACUGUCUCCCCGAUAGAGGAAUAUAGUGCAAUUCACCAAAAUAAACUGCCACCAAAACUCAAAGAUCCAAGUAGUUUCACCAUCCCUUGCACUAUUGGAAUUUUAUUUUUUGCAAAAGUUUAAGUGACUUAGGUGCAAGUAUCAAUUUAAUGCCUUGGUCAAUUUUUGAGAAACUUGGUUUGGGAGAAUGCAAACCCACUUCUGUUACUUUGCAACUGGCUAAUCGCUCUUAUGUCUAUCCAAGGGGAAUUAUUGAAGAUGUUCUUGUUUAGGUAGAUAAAUUUAUUUUUCCAGUUGAUUUUAUUAUUCUUGACAUGGAAAAAGAUAGGCAAAUUCUAAUCAUCCUUGGGAGGCCAUUCUUGGCAAUUACUAGAGCCUUGAUUAAUGUUGAAAAAGGUGAGCUCACAUUGUGAGUUCAAGACCAACAGUAACAUUUAAUAUUUCAAAGCUUUAAAAUUGCUUGUGACAUCUAAAGACUACUGUCACGACCUGGUACUCUCCUCAAGCCCGUGACAACCGCCGCGAUGUCCCGAUAAACAUUCAUUACCUUGAAUGCCAACCGAAACCUCGCAAAGCUUAAUAUUAGUUUUCGCACCUCCCUUGUGAGCAAUAAUUACUAAAUAUCAUAUUUUAAAAGAUUAUAAGCUAUUUUCAAAUCAAAACAAUAAUAAAAAAAUAUUUUCUGUCUCACAAGGACAUUUUGGUCAUUUUUCUCAAAAAUUUUGAAACCUGUUGAACAUAUAAUAUAUAGGGAAAACUACACAUUUCAUAACUAAAAACAAGUUUUAUGUCUAAAACAUUCAUUUAGGGUGAAAUUGUAGCUAAUAGAAUAAAAUAAAAAUAUUAAAUGAAAUAUUCCAUUUUCUUAUAAAAUAAUAUUUAUAGAACUCUGCGUAAAUAAUUUUUGUAGCAUAAAAGCAAAAUAAAUCCAUACAUAUAGUAACACAGAUAACCAGAGUAUGUAAUUUAAUUUACAAUGACGUGUGGGCCCCUGAAUGACCAAAGGUAACAAAAGCUAUGAACCUACAAUUUCUAAGGAAGCGAGUCCAAUAAUAACCCUCGACGUAAUCAGCUAUUUACGGACUGUCCUGAUCCUGGAAUGAGUAGAAAGGAGGGUGGUGAGUUUAUAUAAACUUAGUGAGUAAACAGACAUCAUCUAAAAUAUCUAAAGUCGAGUAAAUGGAGACAACUUAAAAUAGUUCAUUGUACUAUGAUUCAUAACGUUUCAAACUCAUUUCAACUAAAUAAAAUAAUUUCAUUUCACUCAAAUAAUCAACAUGGCUUAUGAAUUUCUUAAAAAUUUGGCUCGUGCCAAAACUCAUUCUUCGGGGAUACCUUGGCCGGGGCAUCCAACCGAGUCCGCCAAGGCUGUUGAAGAAAAGUUCAUAUACGCAUAAAACACAUUUUUAUGUUUAAAAGCAUAGACAUUCCUUGGCGUUGGCUGAGUUCACCCUCACGUGGUAAUUUAGCGUGUAGUGAAUUCUAAAGCUUUACCUCAAGAGAUACCUUCCGCGCCUCUCGUACUGAGGUAAAAUAUAAUCGGGUUUAUGGUGCCCCUCUUUAAUAAGCUGGUCCACGAAAACCCACCACUGCAGUGACUAAUCAAUAUCCCACCAAAUCAAUAAAAGUUUCGACAGCAUGACAUGGCAAUUAUAUUACUA